rnacentral:lncRNA from 1 species
AAAACAAGGAUAACCCAGAAACUAUCCAACCAUCAAUAACAUAAAACUUUUGUAAUUCUGGUAAAGUGAAUGAGAAGCAGAACAUACAUUUCACGUAAUAAUGAAGAUACAUCUUUUAAUCAGUCUUUGCUCUUAAUUUAUUAUCGUACUUCCUUCCAAUAACAAUUCAUAAUGCAGGUUGGUAUCUUGAAAAAUUAUAUCAUACAUUUCUCUUAUCAAUGGGGCAGGUUGCUAUUGAACAUUAUUCAUAAACAACGAGCCAAAUAUGCUUUAAAGCUACUUAAAAAUAAGCCAUCAGGCACUGACGCAGACACUCAACAACAAAAAACAGACUUAUUAUAUUUGUUGCACAAAUAAGAAAGAAGAUAACAAUUUUAAAUUAACCAACAGGCUUUAUCGUAAUACACACUAUCAGCUAUGAAUUAGCAUACCUUUAGAAGUCCUGAACUCAUUCACGGCCAUUCGAAGAGAAUCAUCCGGUAGAAUCAACCGUGACAAUGCUCCAGUGCUUAACCUACGAAAAUUAGAUCAAGCAGAGCUUGCAUUCCCUGAAGUUAAACCAAAAAAAAAAAAAAAACAUUACGAUGACUUAAAUUUUAACAGAAAACAAAAAACAAAGCAAGAGUGAAUAGAGUAAUACCAAAGCAAAUUUAGGAUUGUUAGGUCCAAUUUGUGGACCAACUUCUGAACUUCUAAUUGUAGACUUAGGAGGAUGGAUUUGCAGAAGCUGCGGCGGCGGCGAAUACGCAUCAAGUUUCACAUUGCUCCUCACUUUGAGGGCCAAAAGAGUGCGGAGGCGCGACAAAGCUGACGCGCGAUUCUUGUGCUGCGAUCGGUCUUCGGCGGCAUGCGCUAUGACGCCGGUCGGUACGUGCUUGAGACGUACGGCGGAUUCGCGCUUAUUGCGGUGCUGACCGCCUGGUCCCGACGAUUUGUACGCGUCCAUUUCGCAUUCGCGAAACAGCUCAUCGUCGGUCAAUUCUAAGUAAUUCUUCGAAGAAGAAGAAGAAGAAGUUGAAGAACAAUUGUCAUUGGUGCUGUAAAUUGUAAUUGCAAGACAAGAACAAUGGUCGAUAAUUCCCGCGAUGCUUGUACGACGGAAAGUUUAGUUCCCGUUCGGUAUCAUUUUAUAGGCCCUGUUUUCAUUUUCCUUUUCUAAAUUUAAGUUAGUACGUGUUCGGUGGCUGGAUUUCAAAAAACAAAUUAUAAAAGUUGGGUAAUCCGAAGCAGGAAUUGAGCGGCCAACGCCCUCGUCAAUUUCAAUUUCCCCACCGUGUAUGGGAUGAUGAAAGCAAAGGUUCGCACUAGUAACACAUUCUUAUGGCAGGCCCAGCCCAAUCCAGCCCAGUCCAGCAAGUGAGCAAUGUUGUUGUUUUAUUAUUUUUGAACUCGUGGUGGCUCUGUAUUAUUUGCAAAUUAUUUGCAAAAUACUCGUAUAAGGAGAGGGACAUAUUUUAUGCUGGAAUAUUUUCAAUAUAAAUGGUGCUCUAAAAAUGUGUCCGACUGUAAAGAUAUGUCUAAUUAAACAGUGUUAUAAAUAAUAAAAAUGUAUCCUUUUAUUUAAAGAUGCAUCCAUUCACGGUUUCAUGCUUCAAUUUGAAAUGACGAUAGUUUAUUUUGGACCAGUGAUGAUCUAAUUCAAAUUUUGAUUUAAUAACCAUGAAUGAAAUAACCACUUUCUGUUAGUUCUCUAAAAAUUUAUUAAGAAAUCUAUAUUGAAGGCUGUUUCAUCCUUUAGUGUUGUAAAAAAUACACUUUACAUUUUGAAAUUUAAAAUGACAUUCUUUUAAAUAAAAUUUUAAAACAAAUGCCUCUAACUAAAGAAAUUUUUUUAGAAUACAUCAAAAGUACCAUGUUAGCCAUACAACAAGUGAAUCAUGCUAAGACACAUGUGCAUUGAUUUUAAAAAACUAUCAUUCAAAUGGUGGUUAUAUUGAAUAUAAAUAUGUACAUAUCAUACAUGACACAAAUCACCUCAACCCUUCUGUUGGAUCUGGGGUGAAUCAUGCAAUUUUAUAUCUAAAGCUCAUGACAUUAACUUAAUUCAUGAAUAUAUAACAAUAGCCUUGGCCUUUGUUAUAAACAUAUAAUAAUCUAUGUGCCUCAUUCAAAAAUUUAUUAAAAACUUACAUAGUUCAUAUCUCACUGUACAUACAUACACUUCAAAAAUAUACAUAUAAACAUAAACGUGGUCAAAAUGUAAGUCAUGCAGUAAUGCGUGUCGUGGCCCAACCUCAAUUGAUCAGAAAUUAAACUACACGAAAUCCUAUGGAAACCUUAGAGAAAUGGGGUAAAUAGGAAAAUAGUAAGCUUGCGGCUCAAUGAAUGAAUAUAAUUAUAUAUAAAAAUAAAUUAGUGCUUUAGUGCUCGUCAUAAUUGUAUGACAUAACUUUACACUGAACGCUUUACAAAAGCAAACAUGAACUCGUACAUACACACAUGACAAAAUUGCACCAAAUAAUAUACAGGGGAAAUAACUCUCAAUACUCACUGGGAUCAUCAUCGCAUGAGUAAAAAGGGGGAAAAACCUCUCAAUACUCAGUAGAAUUUACAACAUCACAAGGGUCGAGUAAUUUAACUCUCAAUACGUAUGCGUAGAGCCUAUGGGGAAAGGUACACAUAUGGUACCUGUCAAUUACAUCUCAUGACUCAGUCAAUCAUAUAAUGUACGUACAUAUAAUCAUAACAUUAUAAUAAAUCAUACUAUCAAACAUAAAUGUUUUGUGAAAUACAUAAUAGUAAUAAUAGUAAUAAUCCACUCACAGAUCCUAUUAAUGAAGCACGCAAGCGCUUUGCUUUAAGCUAACAGCUUGCUAUUGCUUUGACAAUUAACCCAUGUGCCUCCUUUUAGCUUGCACGUGCGUCACAAUACAUGCAUUAGAAUUGGUUGUAUUCUCAUGGGUGAAGCAUGAAUGUGCUUUGCUUUAAGCUAACAGCUUGCUAUUGCUUUGACAAUUAGCCACAUGUGAUCCGUUUAUAGUUUAGGAAAUAACAAUAUUGAAUAUAGUAUUUAUUUUCCAUUCAAACAUUUUCUCAUUUAGGCAAAGGUCACAAAAAAAAAUUACUUUUUUAAUUUAAAUGUAAAUAUUUAAAAAUCAUAUAUAAGUUAUAAAAAAUAAAUAACUAAUUUUUUUUUAAAGUUAGACUUUAUAUGCUUAACAAUCAACCCUAUGGAACAUGAAUAAGAGCUACUAAAACAAAAACAAAAAAAGAAUAAUUUUGAAACUAAAUACAAUUAAUUGAGAGAUGAGGACGGAUAAGAUAAAUUCAGAGAUAAAAAUUAAAAUAUCACCCUACUUAUUGCUGCCAGUUAUGAGCAUUAAAGCACAGAAGCACCUGUGUUGAAAAGUAUGGUGUUCGUGUGGAAUUUUCAGCUAAAAGUCUACAAGGCAGUUGAAUUAAUCAAUCAUCGUGGAGUGCACGGUGGUUGGACAAUGAGAUGAAAUUGAAAAAUUAUCACGGAAAUUGAAGGAAGGGGCAUGUCAUCGAUUUAUUCUACAGAGUCACGCACAUUUGGUUCAAUAAUUGUUUUCAUCCGAAUCAAAAUCUCUCACUCAUCAAUUCAACUGUUUCUGUUUAUUAUGGCUUCUUCUUAUCGAAACAACAAGAAGUAUGAUGUUUUUGUUAGUUUCAGAGGAGAGGAUACCCGCGACAACUUUACUAGCCAUCUCUAUUCUGCUCUGUGUCGACAAAAUAUCCAAACUUUCAUUGAUGACCAACUUAACAGACGAGACGAAAUUUCGGAGUCACUUGUGAAUGCAAUUGAAGCAUCAGCCAUUUCAGUUAUCGAACCCGUUUGGGAGUGUGGCGAGAUAGCUGGACUGUUAAAGCCCAGCUACUAAGGUGUUUGGUAACACUUGUAGUUGAGUUUUAGUAGCUUAGUAGUUUUUUUUUUCAACUUCUACUCUACAGCUAUAGCUUUUACUCCACAGCAGCUGCAGCUUAAAAGUUACAACACCUCACUCUCAAACACACCCAUCUUCUUGUCAGAAGGGUAUGCAUCAGCCAUUUAAGUUACCCAAAAUUCAACCGAAGAUCCAAACGCAAGUUUCAAACUAAACCAACCCAAAGUUUGGGCAAGAGUCCAACGCAACCCAACUAAAACCAUUUUAAUUUGAUUUUAGUUUGGGUUGACUUAGGCUUUUAUAAAUUCACAUGUUGUAUACCAUAAUUAAAAUAAAGUAUCAUUUGUCAUACAUUUUAUACAUUAAACACAUAGUGAAGGAAAAAAGUUUCAAAAAUUCAGUGGCGGCAAACGUCCUCUCUGCAAUCUUUGUGGGCAACGCAUACGUGGUAUCUUCACUAAUAAGUGUUGAAUCUUUAGCUUCAAAGGAAACAAACUAAAAAGGGUAGGGAUAUUUCCACCCCAUUACUUUUGUAAAUUUACCCACUUCUAGAAAAUAAUUAUAAUGAAUUCACAAUAUUUUUUUAAAAAUACAAAUUAAUAAAAAUUUUGUAUAGUUAAUCAAUUAAAUCCCUCUAUUAUUUUUUUUACUAGAUUUCUUUGAGUAUAUUUGAUCAUAAACUUGAUAUAAAUUUUACUUUACUAUUUUAGUAUUAUGAUAUAAAAAGGCCAAAUUGUACAAUAAACAUGGGUUAUUGUAUCUAAUAAUUUAGGUAUUUAAUUGUGUGAACUAAUAUUUUUAAAUGAAAUUUAACUAUUAUUUUCACUAUCUUACGUGUAAAUGAUGUAAAUUUGACAAGCUAAUAAUUUACAUGAGUAUUGUGCCAUAAAGCCAUUAUGUUUGUUUAAUUAAUGUUUUAUAAUCAUAUUAAUAAAGUAGUAUUAGAAAUAAUGAAUUUGGUAUAAAAUUAGAAAAUAUUGAAGUUAAAGAAUUAGUUUUACCUUAUAAGGAUAAAAUAAUCAAUUCAGACUUAUGUCAAAUCAAUCUUUAUGAUCAAAUAUAAUAAAAAAAUUUAAGUCACAAAAAGUAAAUUAAAAUAGAUUUGUUAAUUUGUUCUCCAAAGUUCAAAAUGAGUAAAAGGAAUUAGGCUUCGUAGUUUAGGAAAUAAAUUUACUGAAUAGAAAUAUUUUUAGUAUAUAUUAUUUAUUUUUCAUUCAAACAUUUUCUCAUUUCAGCAAAGGUCACAAAAAUUUGCUUAUUUAAUUUAAAUGUAAAUGUCUAAAAAUUAGAUAUAAGUUAUUAAAAAAAAUUAAUUAAUUUUUUUUAAAGUUAGACUUCAUAUGUUUAACAAUCAACCCUAAGGAUAAUGAAAAAGAGCUAUUAAAACAAAAAAAAAGAAUAAUUUUGAAACUAAAUACAAUUAAUUGAGAGAUGAGGACGGAUAAGAUAGAUAAGAUAAAUUCAGAGAUAAAAAUUAAAAUAUCACCCUACUUAUUGCUGGUAGUUAUGAGCAUUAAAGCACAGAAGCAUGUGUGUUGAAAAGUAUGGUGUUCGUGUGGAAUUUUCAGCUAAAAGUCUACAAGGCAGUUGAAUUAAUCAGGUAGCGUUUACUUUUUGGAUUGGAGUGGGAAUCCUGAGAAGUGGGAAUCCUAGGAUUGGGAGUGUGGAGUGGGAGUAGGUUGUUUACUUGCACUGGAAUAGAAUCAUGGAAUGGAGAUCAGAAUCAAAUUUAUGUGUUUACUUUGUCUUGGAUUGGGAGUAAAUAGUUUCAAAUUAUAAUUUUAUCCUUAUGUAAAGAAUUAUAGUUUUUAAUUACAAAGUUAAUAAAAAAUAUAUUUAAUGAAUAAACAUUUAUUUUAUUAUAUUUGUAAAUUUAUAAUAAUUAUUAAUAUUCUUAAUUAUGAACAUCAAUUUUUUUUUUAAUUUUAAUUAUAUAAAUUAAAAAUUGUUGAUAAGGGCAAUAUAAAUGAAAUAUUUUUACUAUUAACAUAGUAUGAAAUUAAUAUUUUCUUAGAAUAAACUAUUUAUUAGUAUUAAUUAUUAAUAUUAAAUAAAUAUAAUACUAUUAUUUUUAAAUAAAUAUAAUAAUAUUAUAUUUUCAAAUAAAGAUUGUAUAUAGUUAUAUUAUUAAUUCUCUAUUAAUAUAAUAAUAUUAUUUUAAAGUAAAUUAAACGUAGAAUCAAACCCAAUUAUUAUUUAGUUAAAUAUAAUAAUAUUAUUUAAAUAUUUAAUAAAUAUAGUUAUAGUAAAUUUAAUAAAAAGAAGGGUAAAUAUAAAAUGAAACAUUAUUUUAUUUUAUAUAAUUAUAUUAAAUUUAUUAAUAUAAUAUUAUUUAGUACAAAAUUAAUAUUUUCUUAGAAUAAACUAUUUAUUAUUAUUAAUUAUUAAUAUUAAAAAAAUAUAGUAUGAUUAUUUUUAAAAUAAAUAUAAUAAUAUUAUAUUAUUAAAUAAAGAUAGCAUAUAUUUAUUAAUUCUCUAUUAAUAUAAUAAUAUUAUUUUUAAGUAAUUUUAUCUUAUAAUCAAUGUAAAUUAUUAUUUAGUUAAAUAUAAUAAUAUUAUUUAAAUAAAUAUAAAUUAUUUUAUUUUAUUAAAUUAAAUUAAAAACAAAGGGUAGAAAAUGGAGAGGUGGGAGUGGAUUCCCACUCCUACCUCUCCCCAUGGGAGUCCCACCCCUACUCUCCACUCCAAAAAUGGGUGGGGUCCACGGAAUAGGAUUCCCAAUCUCUCUCUAUUUUGUUGAAGUAAACACUGGAGUGGGAGGAAUCCGCACUCCUCACUCCCACUCCAGAAAGUAAACACUGCCUCAAUCAUCGUGGAGUGCACGGUGGUUGGACAAUGAGAUGAAAUUGAAAAAUUAUCACGGAAACUGAAGGAAGGGGCAUGGCAUCGAUUUAUUCUACAGAGUCACGCACAUUUGGUUCAAUAAUUGUUUUCAUCCGAAUCAAAAUCUCUCUCUCAUCAAUUCAACUGUUUCUGUUGAUUAUGGCUUCUUCUUCUCGAAACAACAAGAAGUAUGAUGUUUUUGUUAGUUUCAGAGGAGAGGAAACCCGCGACAACUUUACUAGCCAUCUCUAUUCUGCUCUGUGUCGACAAAAUAUCCAAACUUUCAUUGAUCACCAACUUAACAGAGGAGAUGAAAUUUCGGAGUCACUUGUGAAUGCAAUUGAAGCAUCAGCCAUUUCAGUUAUCGUCUUCUCAGAAGGGUAUGCAUCUUCCAGAUGGUGUCUCGAUGAACUUGUAAAGAUCCUCGACUGCAAGAAGGAGUAUGCACAGAUUGUGAUUCCGGUUUUCUAUCGGGUUGAUCCAUCAGACGUGAGAAACCAAACUGGGAGUUUUGGAGAUUCAUUUUCGAAGCUUGAAGAAAGAUUAAAGGAGAAUACUGAGAAGCUGCAGAGUUGGAGGAAUGCUUUGGAGGAAGCAGCAAGUUUGUGUGGAUUUCAUUCUCCUAACAUCAGGUGAAAAGUUAAACCUUUAAUUUCUCAUACUAAUAUUUAACAAUAAAUAAAAUUCACGCAGCGCUCUUAGUUAAAUUUCCGGAUGCUAAACUACAAUUUAAAAAAUUUUUAAGCAUCAAAUUCUAGACUUCCUGACUUCCCCACUUUUUUGCUCAUAUAAAAUAAUUUUGACAUAAUUAAUAAUAAAAGCGCGAGAAUUUUACAAUUUUUAUAUAGCAAAAUUAGUGGUGCUCUGUAGUUUUUCAAGCAAUUUCAACCUCUCACUCAUAUACCACCAUUAAAAAAAAAAUCACACAUAUUCCUGUAACUUAAGAGUUAUCAAUUUAUUGUGAGAUUGUAGACUUAUAGUGAUAUAUAUUAAUUUCAAUAGGAAAACUAACAAUCUACCUUAUUUCAUAUUUAAUACAAAUUCCUCCUAUUAAUUAAUUUGAAGUUACCGCGGCUAAUUUUAUGUAUUUGCUAGGCGUGAGUCGGAACUUAUAAAUGAAGUUGUUAAUCACAUUUUGAAGAGAUUGGAUGAAGUGUUUCGGCCGGGUGAUAACAACAACCAGCUGGUUGGACUAGAAUCAAAAGUUGAGGAAAUUGAAUCCAUAUUAGGUGUUGAGUCAAGAGAUGUUUACUCUUUCCGGAUCUGGGGCAUUGGUGGUAUAGGCAAAACAACAAUCGCUAGAGCUACUUUCGACAAAAUCUCUAGAUAUUUUGAAGGUUCUUGCUUCCUUGAAAAUGUUAGAGGAGAAUUACAAAGACCGGGAUGAUUAGCUUGCCUGCGACAAAAACUUCUUUCAAAUUUAUUGAAGGAUAAAAAUGUGAUUCUUGAUAUUGGCCUCAAUUUUCGAAGGCUCAGCCGCAUGAAGGUUCUGAUUGUUUUUGAUGAUGUGACUUGCUUCAGCCAAUUGGAAUCUUUAAUUGGAAGUCUUGAUUGGUUGACGCCUGUGAGUCGAAUCAUAAUAACCACCAGAAAUAAACAAGUGCUUAGAAAUUGGGGGGUGGGGAAAAUAUAUGAGAUGGGGCCAUUAGAGUAUCAUCACGCUCUUGAGCUUUUUAGUCGACAUGCCUUCAAACGAAACCAUCCUGAUGUUGGUUACGAGAAACUUUCAAGCAAGGUAAUGAAAUAUGCUCAAGGUGUUCCUUUAGCUAUUAAAGUUUUGGGUUGCUUUCUAUAUAAAAGGGAAAAAGAAGUCUGGGAAAGUGCAAUAAAUAAAUUGCAAAGUAUCCUCCACCCAAGUAUCCUAGAGGUAUUAAAAAUAAGUUACAAUGGUUUGGACGAUAAGGAGAAAAAUAUUUUCCUUGAUGUUGCUUGUUUCUUUCAAGGCGAGGGUGUAAAUCUGGUAGUGAAAUUCUUUAAUGCAAGCGGUUUCUACCCAGAAAUAGGAAUAAGUGUUCUCGUCGAUAAAUCUCUCAUUGUUAUUGAUUCAUACAGCAAGAUAACAAUGCAUGAUUUACUACAAAAAUUGGGUCGGGAAAUUGUUCGACAAGAAUCAAUUAAUCCUGAAAACCGCAGUAGGCUGUGGCAUCAUGAGGAUACCUAUGAAGUUCUUACACAUAAUACGGUAAUCAUUUUGUUGUGGAUUAUUAUUUUGGAGUAUUAUAGCAUUUACAAACUUGAUAUAAUAUAUAUAUACGCGCUCGAACCGAUGAGCCUUGGAAUUAAUAGCAGUGUGACAAUGAUUAGGAAAAAAAAAACAAUAAUGGUUAAAUGAUGUAACAAUAAAUUAUAAAUGCCAUGACAACUUGUGUGAUCGUUUGUAAGCCUAAUUUAUAUAUCAACUUGUGUACUAUACAUACAGAAUUUUUAUGUUAAAUAUUACGUGUGAUAUUAUGUUUCUUUGUUCAUUUGCAAUUAAGAGUUUAGCUGUCGAGCAAUAACCAUAAACAUGGAUUAUUGAAAUUUGAUUCCUGUAAUGGCAGAGAGCCCCACUCCUAUCCCACCUCAACUCUACUCAAGAAUAAAUAAACGUUGAAUUAAUAACUAAGCUACCUCUAAUCGUGAAUUAAUGACAAACUUACCCCAAAAAAUUGUCUUGGUUGGGUUGAGGUGCGAUUCAUUGGUGGAAUAUACAUAUCAUUUUUCAUUUAAUUUUAACUUUAUUCUUUUUUUUUUUUAAAUUAAAUUUUAGGGGACAGAAAAAAUUGAGGGCAUUUGUUUGGAUAUGUCAAAAGUAAAAGAUAUCCAUCUAAAUCCCAAUACUUUCACAAAGAUGCGUAAGUUGAGAUUUUUAAAAUUCUAUAGCUCAUCAUUCAAUGGAGAGAACAAAUGUAAGGUGUCUUAUUUGCAAGACCCCGGAUUUGCUGAAGUGAAGUAUUUUUACUGGCAUGGAUACCCGUUGAAAUCAUUGCCUUCAAACCUUAAUGCAGAGAAGCUUUUGUUUCUUGAACUGCCUGGUAGCGACAUUGAACAACUUUGCGAUGGUGUGAAGGUAUGUAUAUCUUGAUAUAUAUGUGCAAUCUUUCAAUAAUAACGUUAAAUUAUCAUACAUGGUAAUGAUUUUGUGUUGGCUUCUUUUUGAUCGAGCAGCGUCAUGGUAAGUUAAACCAGAUAAUCCAUGCUGCCUGCAAGAAGCUAAUUGCCAAAAUUCCAAGCCCCACGUUGAUUCCACAUCCGAACAAUCUAGUUGCCUUGAAUCUAACAGGUAGCAAAAGCCUGAAAAGUCUUCCAGCUAGAAUAUUUAAUUUGGAAUUUCUUAUCGAACUUGAUCUUUCGGGUUGUUCAAAACUGAAGAGGCUUCCAGACAUCUCAUCUGGUAACAUAAGCCGGCUAUAUUUAAGUGGAACUGCAAUUGAAGAACUGCCCUCAUCAUUUGAGCUUCUACUUAGGCUUUCGUGGCUGGACCUUUCAGAUUGUAAAAUGCUUAAGAGUCUCCCAAGCAGCCUAUGUAAGUUGAAAUCUCUUGGAGUUCUUGAUCUCCAUGGUUGCUCAAAUCUUCAGAGAUUGCCUGAACGUCUUGGCCAGUUAUCGUCGCCAAUAUUGUUGAAUCUAGUGAAAACCAAUAUUGAGAAGAUACCAAAAAGCAUUUUCCAACUUUUAGUGUUGCGACGCCUGAUCUUAAAUUAUUGUGAGGGGCAUUAUGAAUCCUUAUCAAAGCCUCCAUUCCUUGUACGAUGGUUCGAUGCCGAUCAUUGCCCGAUACUGCAAUCAUUCAUAGGUUCAUUCUCUAAGUUCUGAAUCUUAUAAGCAGUGUUUUUUGACCAAAGCAAUAACUUUAAAUUGGAAGGUAAUUCUACUGCAGGAAUUAUUGAAGAUUCUCAGAGAACUGAGCAUUUGGGCCAUGUGGUAGCUGCCCGUUGGAAAGAAGUACGGGAAAAGGUGUGUCAUAAUUCUCUCUCCUUACAAUUUAUACAACAUUUUUUUGUUUAAAAUUAUGAUUUUUUUGGUAUAGAGAGGUUGUCCCAAGGAAGGCCAUUUCAUACUAGCUGGGAAUGAAAUUCCAAGGUGGUUUAAUUUUCAAAGUGUGGGAUCUUUUAUAACCUUGGAGAUGCCCCCUGAUUUCUUCAAUAACAAUAGAGUACUGGGCUUUGCAUUUAGUGCUAUUUUAGCAUUUUCAGACCGUCAUGUAGAUUGUGGCAGAUGGUUUUCAUUUUCUUGUGAGUUCAAAGUAAAAACCACCAAAGAUUGUGAUCUGCAUGACACACGGUUAUUUCAGAGCAGAGUUAAUUAUGUAGAAUCAGAUCACUUGCAUUUGGGGUACUAUCUGUUCUGUGAAGAGGAUUUCAAUGGUUUUUGGAAAUGCAAUUGCAUUACUGAGGCAGUCCACUUUAAUGGUUUUCCACCUUUGGAGUGCCAAUGCUGCGGGGUGAAAAAAUGUGGGAUCCAUUUACUUCACACCCCAGAUUCUACGAAUUCAAUGGAAGAUCCAAGCAGAUGUUUCAACUGUAACUAAGAAGACUGAUAUUUUCAUGCAUGUAUUUUUAUUGUAACUGAUGCAACAUAAAACAUGAGGGCCUGGAUUACAGUUGGUGUGAUUUAUUAGUGGAUUAUAGUUUGUGUGUUUUAUUAAGUGCUAUCAGUGGAUUACAGCUGGUGUGUUGAGUGUUAUUAGUGGAUUACAGUUGGUGUGUUUUAUUGAGUGAAAUGUAAUAGGUGGAGCUGUGUAUGAGUACUAUAAAUAUGUGCUAAAUCCAUUGCAAAAAUCAUCCAAUCUUCAAUCAAAAUUUGAGUUUUCUCGUUUGAAAUUCUAAUUCAUAAUUUGUUAUACCUUUUUUUUCUCUUCGUGAAAACACAAGUUAGAGCGACAUCUAGCAAACCGCUGCGUCAAUUGGUAUCAGAACCUUCCUCUGUAUCAGGCGGAGCUUUCCUAGUGGCCAUAUCUUUCGUAUCCAUCCAUUCUCCAUCAUCAUUUUCCAUUAAACAAAAAAAAAUCAAAUUGAAACCCUAGACCUAGCCGCCACUGUAUUUACCACCACUUCGCAAAUAUCCAAACCACCUAUCUCCACUUCGCAAAAAAAAAAAAAUCAAAGGCGUGAGCAUAUUGCAUCUUGUGUCUUGUGCAUAGAUUUAAAAAAAAAAGUGUGUGAGUUGAAAAGAAUAAGCAACGUGAGUGUGUGUAUUUUGUGAAGUGUGCAUAUUGAACAAAAAAAAAAAAAGAGAGUGUGUGUGUUUUGUGCUUUGUAGUAUCAAAAAAAAAAAAAAAAGAGAGACGUGAGGAGAAGUGACAAGUUCGAGGCUUGUGUCUUGUGCAUUGAAUUAAAAAAAAAAAAAAGUGUGUUUUGUGCUUUGUGAAGGGAGUAUUAAAAAAAAAAAAAAGAGAGAGAGACGUGGGGAGUGAGAGAAAAGUAAGGAGAAAAAAAAAAGAGAUGAGUGGGUAUUAAAUUUCCUUGAGGAAUAUUGGGCUGUGUUGGUUCUGCUCCAACUUCAACUCGCCUUUGUUGUUGGAAAUUAUUGUUUUGCCCGCCAAGGAAGUGUUGAGUUAAAUUCGUAAGCAUGACUUCUAAAUUUUGUAAUCUAGUUUCAAGUGCAACAACUGAUUCUUUUGUUGCGAAUGUACCCAUAGCGUGGUUGGAUUCUUCGUCUGACAUUUUUUCUUCUUUUUUUUUUCUUUGCUUUUUUUGCUUCUUUUUUCUUUUUUCUUUUUCACAAUUCAAGUAAAUAAACAAAUAUACAUACAAAACAAAACUAACACAAUUCUGAUUUUUUUUAAUUAUAGAAUAAACUACCCUAAAAAACCUCUCUUUUUGUUAAUUAAUUUUUUUUCACUCGCAAUUAUUCCUCCUAAAUUCUACCCCUUUUCUGGAAAAAAAUCUAAACUCGCUCAAACCUUUUUCUUUUUUUAUCACACAAUAUUUUUUUUUCACUCUUGUGUAAUCUCUCUUCCCCACUCACACACAUUACUCUUUACACUUUACAAUUCCCAAUACUUCUCUCCACCCUCACGUUUCAUUCACACACUUUUUUUUUUUUCACUCACGCCUCCUUUUUUUCUUUUUACAGUUUUUUUUUCUCUUUUAAUAAAACACCCACAACUCUCAAAAUUUAUGCACAAAUACUUAUGCACAAAACACUCACACUUUUUUUUUUUAAAGAUUCACGCCUAUCUCUCUCUCUUUUUUCAAUUUCGUGUAACAACAAAAUACACAACGCACUUAUUAUUAUUUUUUUUUUCAAAACUCACUGCCCCUUUUUGUCUUUUAAUUCCCUGCACAUGCAUGCACACCUUACAAGAUGCACACACCCACGUUUUUUUUUUUUUAAUUCCCUGCACAUGCACAACACCUUUUUUUUUUUUUUUCAAAACUCACACCAUUUUUUUUUUUAAAUUCCUUACACUUGCACAAAGUACAACACACUCAGACUUCACCGGAAUAAACUUUUCAACGAAGAUUCUAGUGAAGAUGAUGGACCGGUGCCACCAGAAAAUAACCAAGCGUCUCGGCAAAUUGACUACCGAAUGAAAAUUGAAAUUCCACAAUUUGAUGGCCUAUUCAUGAUCGAGGAAUUUCUUGAUUGGCUAGCUGAAGUUGAAAAAUUCUUUGACUAUUGGGGGACUGAAGAGCACAUGAAAGUCAAAUUGGUGGCCUAUCGACUCAAAGGAGGUGCGCUUGCUUGGUGGGAUCAAUUACAAACAACACGAAUUCGACAAGGAAAGCACAAAGUUCGAACUUGGCAACGCAUGAGAAAAUUAAUGAUUGAGCAUUUUCUUCCUCCAGAUUAUGAGCAGACACUUUUCAGUCUGUAUCAACAUUGUCGGCAAGCCAACCGAAUAGUACAUGAGUAUGUUACAGAAUUUCACAAGCUUGUUGCACGCGUGGAUGUUCGUAAGAUUGAAAAUCAAAAGAUUUCGAGGUUCAUUGAUGGACUUCGCACCAAUAUUCAAGAUGAAGUAUUCAAGCAGUCACAUCACACUCUAUCUAGUGCAAUACAACUGGCCUUGAAGAUUGAAGCACAACUCAACAAAAGAGGCACCCGUAUUCAGGUUUCUUCACAAUCUUCUACACCACCACAAAAGCCUGACUGGAAUAAACGAAAGACAAUAACCAGACCACGUGAAGAAAUGCCUAGGCCAAAUUUCUCCCAGAACCAACCGGCGGGACGAUUACAAAAUGAACCAGUGAACAAAUCCAAAUCAACCAAUCCUUAUGCAGUCCUAAGGGGAAACAAAUGUUAUCGUUGUGGUCAGACGGGUCAUUACUCUAAUCAGUGUUGACAAAGUAAACUGGUCAACUUGGCCACACAUGAUGAUGACGUUGAAGAAGAGGAGUAUCCGGAGGAUGAUGAGUAUGAAAAAGAAGACGCAUUGAAGGAAUUCACCUAUGAAGAUGAAGGAGUAUCAUUAGUAAUAAGACGACUAAUGUAUACCCCGAAGAAAGAUGAGAGCAUUCAACGACAUAACAUCUUCAAAACACGGUGCACGGUCAACCAACGGGUAUGUGAUCUUAUCAUUGAUAGUGAAAGUAGUGAGAACAUAGUAUCCAAGACCAUGGUAGAUAAAUUGUAAUUACCAACUCAAUCACACCCAUUUCCAUACCGCAUUAGGUGGAUUAAAGAUGUCAGCGAGACAAAGGUGACCGAACAGUGUCGUGUUCCUUUAUCUAUCGGUAAGUAUAAAGACGAGGUAAUGUGUGAUGUUGUUGAUAUGGAUGCUUGCCAUAUGUUAUUGGGUCGUCCUUGGCAAUUUGAUUUAAAUACAGUGCAUAAUGGCAAAAAUAAUACUUAUACAUUUUAUAAAGACAACAUGAAGUUUAUUCUUGCCUCAAUGAAGCAUUCUAACACUCCAACAUGCUCAAAGACCAGGAACAACCUUCUUUUGGUGCCCAAAGAUGUUCUUAUCUCACAAAGUGUACUAGAUUCAAUUCAACCUUUAUUGGUAGAAUUCACUGAUGUUGUUCCCGAUGAAUUACCAAUUGGAUUACCUCCGCUUAGAGAUAUCCAGCACCACAUUGAUCUUAUUCCUGAAGCAAACUUACCAAACUUACCACACUACCGCAUGAGUCCUAAAGAAUAUGAGAUUCUGCAUGAACAAGUUGAGGAUCUUCUCAAGAAAGGCCUGGUUCGAGAAAGUAUGAGCCAUGUAGCUGUACCCACACUCCUGACUCCAAAGAAAGAUGGAAGCUGGAGAAUGUGCAUAGAUAGUCGAGCCAUCAAUAAGAUUACGAUAUGAUAUCGUUUUCCUAUUCCUCGAUAAAGAUAACAUGCUUGACAGAUUAGGAGGAUCAAAAUUAUUUUCUAACAUUGAUCUGCGGAGUGGGUACCAUCAAAUUCGGAUUUGCCCUGGUGAUGAGUGGAAAACAACAUUUAAAACUCAUGAGGGUUUGUCCGAGUGGCUAGUUAUGCCCUUUGGUCUAUCGAAUGCUCCAAGCACUUUCAUGAGGUUAAUGAACCAGGUAUUUCAACCUUUCAUUGGAAAAUUUGUUGUUGUUUAUUUUGAUGACAUCUUAAUUUACAGCCAUAGCGAGAAGAUCAUAUUCAACGUUUGAAAGAAGUAUUUGAGGUGUUACGAAAGAACAAGUUGUAUGCCAAUCUUAAAAAAUGUAGCUUUAUGAAAGACAACUUAAUUUUUUUGGGCUUUGUUGUGAGUUCAGAUGGAAUCAAAGUCGAUCAAGAAAAUGUGAAAGCUAUUCGAGAAUGGCCGACACUGAAGACAAUUUCAGAUGUUCGAAGUUUUCAUGGCCUCGCAACCUUUUACAAACGAUUUGUGAAGGACUUCAGCACCAUAGCUGCACCACUUACAGACUGUUUAAAGUAAAAACAAUUUGUUUGGACAAAAACAACAGAACAAAGCUUUAUGGUCUUGAAAGAGAAGCUUACAAAUGCACCAGUGCUUACACUUUCUGACUUUAACAAGAUUUUUGAAGUCGAUUGUGAUGCUUCUGGAGUGGGAAUUGGACCUGUUCUAUCUCAAGAAAUGAAGCCAAUUGCCUUUUUCAGUGAGAAGCUCACCGAAGCCAGAAAGAAAUGGUCAACAAAUGAGCAAGAAUUAUAUGCAAUUGUUCGCACUUUGCAACAAUGGGAGCCAUAUCUAAUUCAAAAAGAAUUCAUCAUAAACAUGGAUCAUCAAGCUCUCAAGUAUCUCAACAAUUCCUCUAAAGCCAAUCGAAUGCAUGCGAGAUGGAUUGCCUACAUUCAGAAGUUCACUUUCUCUCUUAAACACAAGCCAGGCCAAUUGAACAAAGUCGCUGAUGCACUGAGUUGUCGAGUUAUGUUAUUGACUAGUGCUCAUAAUGAAAUAAUUGGUUUUGAUUAUUUGAAAAUUUUUUAUGCAGAUGACAAGGAUUUUCAUGAAGAAUGGCAACAGUGCACUAGCGGAGUUGCAAGUAAACACCAAUUACAUGAUGAAUUUUUAAUCUUUGAAGAUCGUCUAUGUAUUCCAUGAGGAUCACUAAGAGAACACAUCAUUCAAGAGCUACAAGCUGGAGGUUUAGGGGGUCACAUGGGACGUGACAAAACUAUUUGAUUGGUAGAAGCUCGAUAUUUAUGGCCUCAUCUCAAACGUGAUAUUGAGAAAUUUGUCAAACGUUGUUAUACAUGCUAGACUGCAAAAGGACAAGCUCAUAAUACUGGGUUAUGCAUGCCACUUCCUAUUCCAAAUGCACAUUAUGAAGACUUGUCCAUGGAUUUCAUUUUAGGAUUACCACGAACACAAAAAAGUUUAGAUUCUAUCUUUGUUGUGGUAGAUCGUUUUUCUAAAAUGGCUCAUUUUAUUCCAUGCAGGAAAACUUCGGAUGCUACCUACAUUGCCCAACUAUUCUUUCGAUAAAUUGUUCGUCUACAUGGAUUGCCAAAGACAAUAGUUUCUGAUCGAGAUAGCAAAUUUCUUAGUCAUUUUUGGCAUACUUUAUGGAAAAGACUUGAUACAACUUUACAAUUUAGUACCACUUAUCAUCCACAAACGGAUGGGCAGACUGAAGUCACCAAUCGCACACUGGGUAAUAUCUUGCAAUGCUUGGUUAAAGAAAACCCAAGACAAUAGGAGAAUGUUUUACCACAAGCUGAAUUUGCUUACAACAAUGUGCCUAAUCGUUCUAGUGGUAAAUCUCCAUUUGAAGUUGUUUAUAUUCGUCCUCCAUUGCACACUUUAGACUUGGUUCCUUUACUAAAGCUUCCUGGAAUGAGCGUCAUUGCUGAUCAUCUAAUCGAUAAAGUGAUUGAUGUACAUGGAGAGGUAAAAAAUAAGUUGGAAGAAUCUACCGCAAAAUACAAGGCCAUUGCUGACAAGCACAUAAGAUUCAAGUCAUAUAAAGUGGGUGAUUAUGUCAUGGUACAUCUGCGCAAAGAAUGAGUUCCCGUAUGAGAAUACGGUAAGCUCAAACAGAAGAAAAUUGGUCCUUUUCGCAUCCUUCAAAAGAUUAAUGAUAAUGCCUAUAUCAUCGAUCUCCCCGAACACUAUGUCAUUUCUAACACUUUCAAUGUUCAAGAUUUGUACGAGUAUCAUGGUCCAGAACAAAUUCCUUGACUAACUCAAGGACAAGUUGUCUUUAAGAGGGGGAGAAACUGAUGCAGCAUAAAAUAUGAGGGCCCAAAUAGUGGAUUACAGUGGUGUGAUGAGUGUUAUUAGUGGAUUAUAGUUGGUGUGUUUUAUUAAGUGUUAUUAGUGGAUUACAACUGGUGUAUUAAGUGUUAUUAGUGGAUUACAGUUAGUGUGUUUUAUUGAGUGGAAUGUAGUAGGUAGAGUUGAGUAUGAGUACUAUAAAUAUGUGCUAAAUCCAUUGUAAAAAUCAUCCAAUCUUCAAUCAAAAUUUGAGUUUUCUCAUUUCAAAUUCUAAUUCAGAAUUUGUUAUACCUUUUUUUUUUCUCUUCGUGAGAACACAAGUUAGAGCGACAUCUAGCAAACCGUUGCUUCAGUAACAAAACAUUCGAGGGAUAACUAUUAAUUAUAGGAGAAAAUGCUAAAAUCAGUUCUUGGAACAAAACAUUCAUGUAAUAACUUUGGAGGAAUCAGGUGCAUGCAAUUACCUUCGAGGGAUUUGGUGCAAGCAACACAAAUUCACACUAGAGCAUAGAACAUUACCUUCUUAGAUGAAGAGUAUAACAUAUGAAAAUCACAUGAUUUAUAAUGUAAAAUUCCAAAAUUAUUGGCCUUCUUUCCUGCAUUGUGCACACAGUAACUCAAAACACAUCUAUUUGGUUAGAAGAGUACAUGACAUAUAAACCAGUAAAAAAACUCACUCGCUAGCGAUGUGGGAUAUUAUAAGACGCACGGCAAGUUCUUAUUGGUGGAGUAAUGUUGUGGUCCCAUAUCGAUGCCAAUGAAAACAUGCCACUCAUCAUGUUGUGCACUAAAUCAACGCUUAUGUAUAUAAUGCAAUCACAUUUGAAAAUUUUCUACUUUCUUAAGUCUAAAUUAUUGUAUGUGGGAAAGUUUCAUCAUGUAGAAGCAAAAGCCAUAAAGUGGGAACAGUUAAAACACCAUCAAAUCUUAUAUAUUUGAAAAAACAUAUUUGUCUACCAAUUAAAAAAAAAGAACAGGACAGGUGACAUUUGCACUCAACUCAUUUGUGUUGUGAAUCCAUUUGCUUAAACAUGUAUCCACUUUUUCAAGUAUCUACACCAAUUUCAUAUUCAGAAUGGUGUAUUUAAUUCUAUAGUUGACAUGGUAUCAUCUAUGGCUAGAAUUUAGCUUUAAAAAACUAGCUUGUAAGGAAAGGAUUAAAGAUGCCCAUGAACUUAUAUUUCUAUUUAGAUUACUGUAUCUUUUUCAUGUGAAAAAUUGAAUCCUAUCAUUCACUUAUCAUUAACAUAAGCAAUAUAGAUAUUAAAUCAUUGUUCUUUAUUAUUGUGCAAAAUUUAACUUUUUAUAGAAUAAUUUGAUAGAUUUCUUAAAUCAAUUUGGAGCUUCUACAACUUGUCCGGGAUCAGUUUCUCCUACAUUCCUUUCGGUGCCAAAAGAUAUUCAAGCGGUUGAAGAAGAAUUGAUCCAUACAAUAUAAGUGCAAGAGUUGUUUGUCUUUUUACAAUAGGAAUAAUAUAUAAUGCUCAUCGAUACUUGUUGAUGAGAAAGUAAAUUUCUCAGAAAUUAAAUGUUUCAGCCAACCAAGGAAGCGGCUUUUCAUGGACCAACUCGGGCCUGUCGUCAUGGGGGCAAUUUCCUACUUCUUCCAAUGCAAUUAACUUCACAAUUGAGAGUUAAGAAGGAGGAGAUGAGAAGUAUUCACCAACAGGUCCAUCGAGGGGGGUGAAUGGAUCCUCAUUACCCCAUAAGACUAGUACAGGUAUAUAGAUUGAUGGCAUCAGUUGUACUGGGUUCGGCCCUGGUGAGCCUCUCGCAAUCGAAACAAAUGCAUCAAGUGCCCCGUCAUCAUUGGCGGGUUCUCGUAUGUUCUGCAAUUAUGAGGUCAAUUCAUGAAUUCUGAGUAGCCAUUUUUGUAAGAGGUUAAAAUGGCACAUAAGUGGAGAAUAUUAGUACAUCUACUAGUGUUUCAUCCACAGAUUCCUUAUUUCCAUAGAUGGACAGUAAAAUAUUGCUCUGUGUUACCCUACAGCACCCAUAUAUACACACGUGGAGUUUUUUAGUUUUGGCUCUAGUGUUUUAGGAUAAUGAACAAUGGACUGAAUAGAGAGAAGAGAACAACUUUGUUUCACACACUCAAAGAUUGCAGAAGUAAUUGGCCUUUGUUUCAACAAAAAAUCAGGGAACCAAAGCAAUGGUUACAAUAGUUUCAUUCUCCAAUCAUCAACAAUUGCCUUGUUGUUCAUGCCACCAUCACAAUUCAACAGAACAAGCCCUCGAACAAGGGUUUGACUGGAUUCUUAUGGUAGAAAAUAUAGUAGGUUUACUGCAAAAUAUAGAUACCAAAAAGGCUAAUUAGGUGCAAGUGUUUCUUUGUGAGCAAGAUGAAGAAUAUCUGAUGAAGAAGAAGAAGUUAAAAUAAGUAUACCUGAGGCAGCAAUAACACAAGCUAGGCUUCCAACAGAAUUACCUAUAAGCACAGUUGGCUUCUGAACAACUUCAUCCAAGAAAUCCAAUAUUAGAUGUAUCAGUGAACCUCACACUCAAGUUUGUAAGAAAAAUGACUAAAGGUCAAGCAAUUGACGAAGUAAGUACGGGGAAGAUCCAACUUCUGGCUCGGGAACAUGCAUAGCCAGGGUCGGAGCUUGGGGGAAAUUCUACGGGGGGCCAAAUUUAAAAUUCCAACUUUUAUGCUAUUAUAUAUUAGUGUCUAAGUGGGCUUUAGUGGACUUGGCUAAUUUGUUUCUUAUUUUUUUAUGCUAUCAUUGGUGGGCCUAACAGUAAAAUUACAAUAUUAUCUGGGGGGAACCUUAGGUGCAACUGUGGCACCGUGCCACAGUUGCAUCUAACCGUUGGAUGUCAGUGGAUCCUACCAAUCCAACUGCAUCCAACGGCUAGAUGCAACUGUGGCACGGUGCCACAGUUGCACCGUAGCCUGAUCCUAUUAUCUGAUAUAUAAACUUUAUACAUUUAUUGUGUAAGGGCUAGUAUGGACAUUUUACACUAACUUUUCAUAUUUUAUUUAAAAACCCUAAAAAAUUUUAAAAUUCUACAAGGACCAUGGCAUAUUCUAGUCUUAUAUGGCCUCCACCCUUGUGCGUACAUGUGCCCAUGCCUCCAUGGUAUAUGAAAAACCAGCUAGCUUAUCCGAAGCACCAAAUAACCAGGCCUGCUCCUUCCCUGAUUCUACCUCUAUGAGACUGACUAUGACAAAACUUUUUAUUUAUUUAUUUAUGAGGUUUAUUCCACUAUUAUAUGAAAAUUUUACUGAUAUUCCUCAAAAAUCAAAAUAAUUUGCCUGAAAUGAAUAUCAAGUGCUUUACUAAAAUACUCCAUGUCAUGGUGUCUCCGCCCAAUAAGUUUUGUAAACCCAUCUCAUUUUUAAAAAAAUAAUUAUAAAAAGUAUAUACUAUUUUUAAAAAUCUUCAAAUACAAAAGAGCUUUAGAGGAUUAAUUAAAUAAAUCCAUUUUAAUUUACUUUUUUGUGACUCAAUUUUUUUAUCAUAUUUGACUACAAAGAUUGCUUUGGCACAAGUUUAAAUAGACUAUUUUACUGUUAUAAGGUAAAACUGACAAGAAUUUACUUUAAUAUUUUUCUAGUUUUAUACCAAAGUCAUUGUUUUUAAUUGUACUUUAUUAGUAUGAGUUUUAAUCUUUAAUUAAACUAACAUAGUAUCUUUAUGGCAUGAUACUCAUGUAAAUUAUUGGGAUGUCAAUUUUAUAUUAUUUACACAUAAAGGUAGUGAAAAUAAUAAUUAGAUUUUAUUUAAAAAUAUUAUAUUAUAAGUUACAAAAUUUAAUACCUAAAUUAUUAGACACAAUAACUCAUGUUUAUUGGGGUAAUUUAGUCGCUAUCUAUCAUAAUAAUUAAAUACUAAAUUAAAACUUGUAUUAAAGAUUAUGAUAAAAGAUGGUCAAAGAAACCUAAGAUGCAACAAAUCCCUUCACUGUGAAAAUUAGAUCAAGCAGAGCUUGCAUUCCCUAUAGUUAAAAAAGGAAGAAAAAAAAAUCAUUACUAUUAGCCUUAAAUUUUAAUUAAACAAAAGACGAAGCAAGAGUGAAUAGAGUAAUACCAAAGCAAAUUUUGGAUUGUUAGGUACAAUUUGUGGACCAACUUCAGAACUUCUAAUAUUAGACUUAGGAGGAGGGAUCUGAAAAAGCUGUUGCAACAGCGAGUACACAUCAAGAUUCACGCUGCUCCUCACUUUGAGGGCCAAAAGAGUGUGGAGGCGCGACAAGGCUGACGCGCGAUUCUUCUGCUGCAAUCGGUCUCCGGUGGCCUGCACUAUGACGCCGGUCGGUACGUGCUUGAGACGAACGGCCGAUUCACGCUUGUUCCGGUGCUAACCGCCUGGUCCCGACAAUUUGAACGUGUCCAUUUCGCAUUCGUGAAACAGCUCAUCAUCUGCCAAUUCUAAGUAAUUCUUCUUCGAAGAAGAAGUUGAAGAACAAUUGCCAUUCGGGCUGUAAUUGCAAGACAAGAACGGUGGCUGAUAAUUCCAGCAACAUAUUCUUAUAGUAGGCCCAGCCUAAUCCAGCGCAGUCGCGCUAAUGAGCGACUUCUCCCCUAUCUUAUAUGCAAUGAUUAUGUGCUGGUUGGAUGUAGUUUAUCUAAUAAGUCUUUACUUAGGGCCAGUUUGAAAUUGCGAAGGCUGAUGAAAUAAACUACUUAUAUUGUAUAGAUGAAAUAAGCUGCUGAUUAAAAAAAUAGCUUGGUGUUUGAUAAAUUGUGCUGUUGCAAAUGCUGUGAGUUUGAAAAGUAGAGUACAUGCAUUUGAUAAAUUUUAUUAUAAAAGUGAUGCUUUAUUAUAUGAUGACCAAAAUAAAUAUAAGUUUAAAUUGCCUUUUACUUUUAGAGUAUGUUUAAUAAAUUAUUUAGACAUACCUUUUCUUCUUAAACAGGUAAAAUUGCAUUAAAAAAACUCAAUUAACGACAUGGAUAUAGAAGAAAAUUAUGGAUAAAGAAAAAAUGUAUAGGAAAAAAAUAUGAACUUACUAGAUAAAAAUUAGGUAUAAAAAAUAUAAAUAUAUAUAGAUUAAACUUUAAAAGCCAUAGUUAUGGAAUUACAAUAUGAACUUAUUGGAUAAAAACUGGAGAAAAUGUACGUGGUUACGACGAUAACUAAAUUAUGGCGGUAAUAUGAUAUCUAAUGAUUUAUAUAUUAGGGUUUAUAAAUAAGUAAGAUAUAAUUGUCUUUUUAUUAAAAUACUAGGAUUGUAAUAGGAAUUUUCAAAAAGUGUUGCAGCAUAUUGAAUAAACUACUUAUGAAAAGCAACCACCUAUCUGCUUUUAAAAGCUGCUGAUAAAAUAAAGAAAAUUAUGAAAUAAGUUGCUUUUACAAAAUUUAGCAAACAUUAUUUUUGUCAAAAAUUAUGAAAUAAGCUGGUUAUUGAACUUCAACCCCAAUACCAAACGGGACCUUAAUCUUAUAAGUUCUUUUUAAAAUUUUUAUUGUUAUUUAGUUAUUUUUUUAGUACCACUUUUAAAGACUAAAUAAGAUAUUUUGCCUCUACUAAUAAAAGCUCAAACUUUAGGCUUUUGGGAGUACAAGUUUAAAAUGUUAAAAUGUUUAAAAUAUAUUCUUUAUUUAUUUGACAAUCUUAUUUCAUUUGUUUAUAACAUAACUUUAAAAAACUUGUCUAUUAAAUUAAAUUUAUAAUUUGUGAUAAAAGUUUUCAGUGACAACCAAACAAUUAAAUUUCUUUUUAGUUACUCUAUUUAUAAAAGUUCUACUGACAAAAGCUCUAUUUAAAUAAGUUCUAUUUAAAAGUUAUACCAAACGGACCCAACAGUAUCAUUGACGCAAGCAAUGUUAUUCAAUUAUUUUUGAACUCAUGGUGGCUCUAUAUCAUUUGCAAAAUACUGUUAUAAGAGAGAGGGAUAUUAUUUAUGUUGGAAUAUUCUCAAAACAAAUGGCGUGCCUUAAAAGGUGUCUUAUUGUAAAAUACAUCUAACUAAAUAUUGUCAUAUACAAGAAAAAUGUAUAUUUUUUUCUUUUAAAGAUGUAUCUAUUCAUGGUGCCAUAUUUUAUUUGAAAUGAUGAUGGUUUAUCUUGGACCAAUGAUGAUUUAAUUUAAAAUUUAAUCCAAUAACCACGGAUAGAGGGUGUCAUAAAAGGUAACAACCCAAAUGACGGAGCACAUGAUUAUGUAUAAAUAAAAGUCGCAACAUUUUCUAUAAAUAGAAGUUACGCCAUUUUGUGAUCUAUAUAUCUUCUUGGUCCACUCUUUUUUUCUUUUUUUAUUUUAAUCCCUCUUUCCUAAAACGAAUUUCUGCAUAAUACAUCUAUAUUUUAUGCAUCAAAUCUCUAAUAUAUUGUUUUUUUGCAGGAACAAUAUAUUAAUUUUUCGUAAGCUUACAACAUACAAGGGUAUUUAGGUUUGCUUUUAUUAGUGCAUAAUACAGGCAAAUAAAACAAGCACUUCAUUAUAUCAUGGAGACACAUUUACUUAACAUUGUGUCUCGCAGCACUGUCAAUUCUUACAAUUUACUAUUAUUAUUAUGAUUAUUAUUAUUCUUUGUACCUAUAAAGUUUCAUCAAUUAUUUCUCCAAUUUGCCACAAUUAUUAUUCCCCAGGAAUAUAUUUCCAAUAUUUUAUUUCACAUAUUUACUUCUGCUACUAGUAUGAUAACAAAUGAUGCCUUUUUGAUCUACAUCAGUUUCUAGAUCCAUUUUAUUGAUAACUAACCGAACGCACCAUCCAUUAUUUAAUUUAUGGAUCAAAUAAGUCAUAAGUAGUUGAAAUAGAAUGUUUGUUUGGUAGAUAAUUUCGAUUUUUAAAAUAGUUUAAAAGAUUUUCAAACAUAAGUACAAUAUUAUACAAUUGAAGCCUAGUCCAACAUAGAAAAUCAAAUAAAAUUAAUUUUCAUCACUACUCGAGAGACUCAAAAGAGUACUAAGGUAGCAUUUGUUUUUUGUUUUUAAUCUAAAAUUUGAAUAGGCUUGAAUUUAGGUGAAGUCUUAACAUAAAUGUCUAACUAAUAUGUUUAUUUUUUUAAUAUCUGAAAAUUAAGCGACAUCUUUUUUUUUUAAUUUUAAAAAAAUAAACAUGGUUAUUUGACAUUUUUGUCCUUAUAAGUCAAAAUGAAUAAAUGGAUUAGACUUUAUAGCUUAGGAAAUAACUAUAUUUAAUAGAAAUAUCUUUAGGAUAGAGUAUUUACUUUCCAUUCAUAUAUGGUUAUGACUUAUGAGUACCAAAGCACAAAAGCCGUGUGCUGAAAGUAUGGUGUUCAUGUGGAAAUUUCAGCUAAAAGUCCACAAAGCAGUGAAAUUAAUCAGUCAUCGUGCAGUCCGCGGUGCUUGGACAAUGAGACGACAUUGAAAAAUAAUCAGUCAUCGAUUUAUUCUACGGAGUCACGCAAAUUUGAUUCAAUAAUUGUUUCAUGCCAUCAAAAUCUCUCCCUAAUUAAUCCAACUGUUUCUGUUAAUUAUGGCUUCGUCUUCUCGAAACAACAAGAAAUAUGAUGUUUUUGUUAGUUUCAGAGGAGAGGACACCCGUGACAACUUUACUAGUCAUCUCUAUUCUGCUCUAUCUAGACAAAAUAUCCAAACUUUCAUUGACGACCAAUUGAACAAAGGAGAUGACAUUUCGGAGUCACUUUUGAAUGCAAUGAAGCAUCAGCCAUUUCAGUUAUCCUUUUCUCUGAAAGCUAUGCCUCUUCUAGAUCGUGUCUCGAUGAACUUGAGAAGAUCCUCGAGUGCAAGAGAGAGUAUGGACAGAUUGUGAUUCCAGUUUUCUAUCGGGUUGAUCCAUCAGACGUGAGAAACCAAACGGGGUCUUUUUGGAUUUCAUUUUCGAAGCUUGAAGAAAGAUUUAAGGAGAAUUCAGAGAAGCUGCAGACUUGGAGGAACGCUUUGAAGGCAGCAGCCAGUCUGUCUGGCUUUCAUUCUCAGAACAUCAGGUGAAAAGUUACUUUUAAUUUCACAUACUAAUAUUUAACACUGUAAAUAGAAUUCACGCAGCACUCUUAGUUACAUUUUCCAGAUGCUAAACUACACUUUUAAAUAUUUUUAGGCAUCAGAUUCUAGACUUCUUGAAUUUCCCAACUUUUGAGCCCAUAUAUUUUUGCUGAAUUAAUAACAAAAGCUCCAGAAGUUUACAAUAUAUUUUAACAAAAUUAAUGGCGUUCUAUCUUUUUUUAAGCAAUUUCAAUCUCUCACUCAUAUACCAUUAUGAAAAAAAAAAUCUCCCACAAAUUAAUAAAUACUACUUAUUCUGAUUAUUUUUAUAAAAUUUGAUAGCUCUCCUUGUACCAUCAUUUUACAAAAUUAUCUCUAUGAAAAAAAAUAAGUGGUAUAUAUUAAUUUCAAUCGAAAACUGGCAAUUUCCUUUUUUUCAUAGUUGCUGCAAAUCCCUCCUAUUUGAAGUUACCGGUGAUAAUUUUAUGUAUUUGCUAGGCCUGAAUCGGAACUUAUAAAGGAAGUUGUUAAUCACAUUUUGAAGAGACUGGAUGAAGUGUUUCGGAUGCGUGAUAACAAAAACCACCUGGUUGGAGUGGAAUCAAAAGUUGAGGAAAUUGAAUCUCUGUUAGGUGUUGAGUCGAAAGAUGUUUUAAUAGAAAACAAAAAACGAAGCAAGAGUGAAUAGGGUAAUACCAAAGCAAAUUUAGGAUUGUUAGGUCCAAUUUGUGGACCAACUUCUGAACUUCUAAUAGUAGACUUAGGAGGAAGGAUUUGAAGAAGCUGCGGCAGCGGCGAAUACGUAUCAAGAUUCACACUGCUCCUCACUUUGAGGGCCAAAAGAGUGCGGAGGCGCGACAAAGCUGACGCGCGAUUCUUGUGCUGCGAUCGGUCUUCGGCGGCCUGCGCUAUGACGCCGGUCGGUACGUGCUUGAGACGUAUGGCGGAUUCGCGCUUGUUGCAGUGCUGACCGCCUGGUCCGGACGAUUUGUACGUGUCCAUUUCGCAUUCACGAAGCAGCUCAUCGUCGGUCAAUUCUAAGUAAUUCUUCUUCUUCAAAGAAGAAGAUGAAGAACAAUUGUCAUUGGUGUUGUAAUUGCAAGACAAGAACAAUGGCUGAUAAUUCCCGCGAUGCUUGUACGACGAAAAGUUUAUAUUUUUCCUUCGGAGUUGGGGAAUCCGAAGCAGGAAUUGAGCGGCCAGCGCCAUCAUCAAUUUCAAUUUCCCUCUCUGUGUAUGUGAUAAUCAAAGCAAAGCUUCAUACUAGUAACACAUUCAUAUAGCAGGCCCAGCCCAAUCCAGCCCAGUCGAGCAGGUGAGCAAUGUUAUUAUUUUAUUAUUUUUGAACUCGCGGUGGCCCAGUAUAAUUUGCAAAAUUCUCAUGUAAGGGAGAGAAUAUAUUUUAUACUGGAAUAUUUUCAAAAUAAAUGGAGCUUUAAAUAAGUGUUUGAUUGUAAAGAUAUGUCUAAUUAAACAGUGUCAAAUAUAAUAAAAAUAUAUUCUUCUAUUUAAAGAUGCAUCCAUUCAUGGUUUUAUACUUCAAUUUGAAAUAGUGAUGGUUUAUUUUGGACCAGUGAUGAUCUAAUUCAAAUUUUGAUUUAAUAACCAUAAAUGAAAGGGUAUCAUGAAAUGUGACAAUCCAAAUAAAAGAGUACAUAAUUAUUUAUAAAUAGAAGUCAGGACCUUUCUGUGAUCCAUCUAAUCUUCCUAUCGUACUCUUUUUUUCUCUAGAAAAACUACAUUUGUAAUGUGUCUCGAAGCACCAUCAAUUCUUACCUAUAUUUCAAUUAAAAUAAGAGUGAAACUAUUGGCACCCCUUCAUUAUUCUUAUAAAGCCCUAUUUCAAAUAAAAUUACAGUUAAGAGCAAAGAAGAAAUAAACACAUGUAGGAUUUUUUUUCCCCAACAAAUUACUUACAUUAAUAAUCAAUCCUUUUUUUUUAAUUUCCUACCUAUUAUUUCUUAUCUAACUAAGAUAAAUUGUAUAAAUUUAGAAUAAUCUAUUUUUCUUUUCCUAUUUCUUAUCGAUUAAAUAUUUUUGUACUCAAGAUUACUUUCAAACUACAAUCUAAAAUAUGUGUUAUUUAAGCUAAUGAUUAGCAUUCAAACUUUAUCACCUAAAAAACUUUUUAAUUUGUAUGUAGGAUAACAAUAAGAUUGCAAAAGAGAUGAAAAAUAGCACAAUACUACUUUGAGUUUUAACAAUAAAAAAAUAUUAAAUGAAAAACUAAAAGAGCACUUUUAAAAUAAAAGGAAAUUUUUGGAAAUAAAUAAAAUAUAACUGAAAAAAGAGUUUGAUGAGGAGACUAGAGGGGUGCCAAUAGUCCAACUUUUAAAAUAAAGUUUUAUCAAUUAUUGAUCCCUUUUUCUGCAAUUAUUAUUCCCCACAGAUAUUUCUCCAAUAUUUUAUUUCAUAUAUUUACUUCUACUAUACUCUAACAAAAGAUGCCUUUUUGGACUACAUCAGUUUCUACUUUCUAGAUGCAUUUUAUUAAUAAAUUAAAUAAAGGUACCAUCCAUUGUUCAAUUUCUCUAUUUUUUUUUCUCUAAAUAACCACUUUCUAUCAGCUCUCUUAAAAUUUAUUAAGGAAUCUAUGUUGAAGACCACUUCAUCCUUAGUAUUGUGUAAAUGUGUAAAAAUACAUUUUACACUUUGAAAUUUUAAAUGACCUUCUCUUGGCAUAAAUUUUUAAAACAAAUGCCUUUAACUAAGGGACAAAUUUUAGAAUACAUGAUAAGUACCAUAUCAACCAUAUAGAAAGUGAAUCAUGCUAUGAUAUAUGUGCACUUAUUUUGAAAAAUCAUCAUGUAAAUGAUGGUUAUAUUGAAUCUAAGUAAGUGCAUAUCAUACAUGACACAACCCGGCCCAGCCUCUCUGCCGGAUUCAAGGUGAAUCAUGUGAUCUUAUAUCUAAAGCUUGUGACAUAAAUUUAAUUCAUUAAUGCAUAACACUAGUCUCGGCCUUUGUUAUAAACAUAUAAUAACAUAUGUGUCUCAUUCAAAAAUUUAUUCAAAACAUGUGUUAGAGUACAAUUUAUGCACUAGUUUUGCAUUGUUUACUUCCCUUAAUAUCGAUAUUUUGAACUUAAUAAUAGUGAUUUAUUUGUGUUUUACUUUUGUAGGUGCAAUUCUAUUGAUUGGUGAUAAAAUUGAGCUACAAGAUGAUUGUUCUCUUGGAGAAAUUAUGAGCGUCAGGAGAACUUUGUUGAUAAGGCGUGGGUGCGUGCUGUCAACUACGGACCUACAGUUUUUAGUUUAACGUGUUUUGUAUUUUUGGUUAUUUUUGUAAUUACGAAUUCAAUAUUUAAGAUAUUAGUAUUUUAUUUUAAAUAGAAUUCUAGAGGAGAAGAGAGAGAGAAUAUUUAAGGGAGGAAUCUAUUUUGAAAAAGGGGAUUGGAGAAAAGAAAAGAAACCCUAGAUCUAAACUUUUCUCUUCUCUCUAUGAAGAACUAAACCUAUUUUUCUGGUUGAAGGUUAAUGAAGCUUUGAUUCAUCACUACUGUGAGAUUUUUCUUAUGCUUUAAUUGUUUUAUUGCUUUUUGGGUAUUUGUUUAUUCUCUUAAUUAUUUUCAUGAUUAUGAUUGUUAAUUAGGUAAUUGACCACUAUUUAAUUAUCAACUUAAUCUAUUGUCAAUUAAAGGAUUCAUCGUAUGAAGAUUUUAAUGUUUGUGACAAAUAACAUAGCAGAGAGUUGUGUUGUGAGAUUAAACAAUCUAAUUUAAAUGAACCAUCGUAUGUGUUUGUUGAUUAGGAUUUGGAUCUCUCUGGUUUUUCAGGCUGUCAAUUGAUUAAAUCCUAUGAUCGUAUCUAGGGUUGUCUAUUGAUUAGGGAAAUAACCAACGGUCGUACCUUGGUUAUCGACUAGUUAAGGAGAGAUUGGCUAUUAGAGGGUCUCAGUAGCUAUAACCGGUCUAUUCAUAAGUAAUAAUAAUUUAUAUUUGAAUCAAUGAUCAGUAGUCGAAUCAAGCUAAGUUAAUUCCUUCAACCAGAGCUUUCUCCAAUUUGAAUUACAACUUUAAUUUGCAUUCUUGUUACUUUAAUUUGAUUUUUAUUAUUGUCAACAAAACCCCCAUUUUAUGUUUUACGUUUUAAAAUGAUUUAAAUAAUUACCGAUCUUUGUGGACACGACCCUGCUCAAUCACUAUACACAAUUUAUUUAGAGUAGGUAUUUUUUUUUGCUGGCUUCGACAACCAUCAAAUUUAGGCGCCGUUGCCGGGGAUUGGUGUCGUUUAUUUAAUCCUUUUUACGUUUUACUUGGUGUAUGGUUCGUUCUUCUCGUACAGGUACACUUUUGUUUGAUCCUGAAAUUGAGAAGACAGCUCGCCAGCUGAGACAGCAGACGAAGCGAGCUAAGAAACGAUCCUCGUCGCCUUUGCUUUCUGAAACAUAUACGGUGCCUGAUUUAGUUGAAUCAUCUAGCGAUUCAGAAGAACAAGUGAUGGAUAGAGCUGCACCUGUAGAAAGAACUCUUAGAGAGUUAGCUGAACUAGACUUGAAUCAGCAACCACUCUGCAUUCAAUAUGUAGACUUGGAGGUAAAUUUUGAAUUAAAGUCUGGUCUUAUUCAUUUAUUACCCAAGUUUCAUGGUUUUGCAGGUGAAGAUCCUCAUAAACAUCUCAAGGAGUUUCAUGUUGUGUGUUCAAGUAUGAGGCCACAAGGCGUGACUGAAGAGCAGAUUAAGCUGCGUGCUUUUCCGUUCUCUUUAGAUGGGCUAGCUAAAGACUGGUUGUAUUACGUGCCUCCUGGAUCAAUUACAACGUGGAAUGGUUUGAAGAAGCAGUUCCUUGAGAAGUACUUUCCUGCUUCAAGAGCUGCCAACAUCAUAAAAGACAUUUGUGGGAUCAGACAACUUCCUGGGGAGACUUUGUAUGAGUAUUGGGAUCGAUUCAAACAAUUGUGUGCCAGCUGUCCUCAGCAUCAGAUUUCUGAUAAACUUCUUAUUCAAUAUUUUUUCGAAGGACUAUCAUUAAUGGAUAGGAGUAUGAUAGAUGCUGCUAGUGGAGGUGUGUUGGUGAACAAGACCCUUACUCAAGCAAGGGAGUUGAUCUCAAAUAUGGCUGCCAAUGCACAACAAUUUAGCAGCAGGCAAGAUGCCACUUCAAGAAAGGUGAAUGAGGUAAAUAUUUCUUCUGUUGAACAACGUUUAGAUAAACUUACUUUUCUUGUGGAAAAGUUUGUUGUAGGUAAUGUGCAACAGGUAAAGACUUGUGGCAUUUUUUCUAAUAUGGGUCAUUCAACUGAUAUGUGUCCUACACUUCAAGAAGAACCCGUUGAACAAGCCAAUGCAGUUGGAGGAUUUCCAGGCAUGCCUCAUAGGAGGUAUGAUCCUUAUGCACAAACAUACAAUCCGGGAUGGAAGGAUCAUCCCUACUUCAGCUAUGGAGUUAGGCCGUCAGGAUUCCCACAUCAGUAUCCACCAAGACAACCAGCACCUCCACAGUCAAACUCCAAGUCAGGUAUAUCUCUUGAAGAAAUUGUUAAAUCACUUGCGACUAACACUCAACAAUUUCAGCAGGCAAUUACAGCAAGCAUUCAGAACUUGGAGAACCAAAUGAGUCAAUUGGCAACUACAGUGAACCGUCUGGAGUCUCAAGUAUUAGGGAGAUUGCCUUCACAAUCUGAGGUGAAUCCAAAGCAAAACGUUAGUGCUGUCAUCCUUAGAAGUGGGAAGGAGUUGGAAGAGCCUAGUAAGAAAGUGACAAAACAUGUAGAAGAUGAGCUUGAGAAGAAUGAAUUGAUGCAUAAAUCUCAAGAUGUGCAACCCACUAGAGCGAAACCCCUACCUAUUGUGAUACCUCCUCAUUUUCCAAGCCGGUUUGCAAAAUCCAAGAAGGAGGAAGAAGAGAAAGACAUUCUUGAGACAUUUCGCAAGGUUGAGGUAAAUAUUCCUUUAUUAGAUGGUAUAAAACAAAUACCUCGAUAUGCUAAAGUCCUUAAGCAACUAUGCACCUCUAAGAGAAAAUUAAGAGGAGAUGAAAAAGUUCACAUGGGGGAGAAUGUUUCAGCAGUUCUCCAAAAGAAACUACCUCCUAAGUGCAAGGAUCCAGGUAUGUUUACUAUCCCUUGUAAAAUUUGUAGUGUUAGAGUUGAAAAGACUAUAUUAGAUCUAGGAGCUUCUAUUAAUGUCAUGCCUCGUUCCAUUUAUUCAUCUUUGAAUGUUGGUCCAUUAAAAGAAACUGGCGUGAUAAUUCAACUAGCUGAUAGGUCUAAUGCAUAUCCUGAUGGGGUAUUAGAAGAUGUCUUAGUACAAGUUAAUGAGUUGGUUUUUCCUACUGAUUUUUAUGUAUUUGAUAUGGAAGAGGAUAACUCCUCUAAUUCUGUCCCAAUUUUGCUAGGAAGACCUUUUCUUAAGACUGCUAGGACUAAAAUGGAUGUACAUAAAGGGACUCUCACUAUGGAGUUUGAUGGAGAGGUUAUAGAAUUCAAUAUGAAUGAUGCCAUGAAAUAUCCUAGUGAGAAACAUUCGGUAUUUUCUGUGGAUGUUAUUAACCUUAUAGUGCAGGAAGUAUUUUACAAGAAAAAGACGAAGACAUUUCAUGAUAGAAUGAUUUUGAGAAAGGAGUUCUCUGUUGGUCAAAAAGUUCUUCUUUUUCAUUCUAAGCUUAAACUUUUUCCAGGUAAAUUACGUUCUUGUUGUUAACAUAUAUGUUUCCAUAAUAUUGAUUUUGAUGAUAACAAACAAGAUUAAGAAUGAUUAAUCUUUUAAGCUCAGAUUGUUUUUAUUCUUUUUAAAUAAAUCAUUAUUUUUACAUUAUAAAGGUUUUAUAUUUAAUGGAAAAAUGAUUUUAUGAAAUUGAUUGUUUUUAUUCCUUUUAAAUAAAUCAUUAUUUUCACAUUAUAAAUGUUUCAUAUUUAAUGGAAAAAUGAUUUUAUGAAAUUGGUUGUUUUUCAAAGUUUAUGGUUUAAUUGAAAGAAUUUUGAAAACUUUGAAAUAAAUAAGUAUUGCUUGAAAUUUUGGUACAGGACUUAUUUGAAAAGUGUCAUAGCAUUUUUGGCUAUAUCAUAAUUUCAGAAAGUUUUGGGAUUAACAAAGCAUUAUUUAGAAAUUCUGAAAUUGGACUUAUUUACAAAGUUUCAUAACGUUUUGGGCCAUAGUACAGUUGUAUAAAGUUUUGGGGUCAAAUUGUAAUUUUGGAAAAUAGUUCACUGUAGCAGUUCACUGUAGCAAGCGGAAAUCCGGAUCCUGAUAAACAAAAAUCCGGUUGUUGGCAGUAAGCUUCUGAGCAUAAGCGGAAAUCUGGAUUUGACAAAGCGGCACCCCGAAUGUUCAGAAAUUUAAAAUUGUGGCUGUAACGGUAACAUUAGCAAGCGGAAAUCCGGAUCCUGAUAAACAGAAAUCCGGUUGUUGGCAGUAAGCUUCUGAGCAUAAGCGGAAAUCUGGAUUUGCCAAAGCGGCAUACCGGAUGUUCAGAAAUUUAAAAUUGUGGCUGUAACGGUAACAUUAGCAAGCGGAAAUCUGUAGCAAGCGGAAAUUCGGAUCCUGACAAACGAAAAUCCGAUUGUUGGCAGUAAGCUUCUGAGCAUAAGCGGAAAUCUGGAUUUGGCAAAGCGGCAUACCGGAUGUUCAGAAAUUUAAAAUUGUGGCUGUAACGGUAACAUUAAGCGGAAUUACGGAUGUCCAUAAUCGAUAAUCCGGUUACGACCAAAAUGUGCAUAACGGCUAGUUUUUGAGCUCAAACUAUAUAAACUCAAAACCAAUUCAUUUUUGGUAACCCAAGCAAGUAAGAACAAGUGCACACAACAUAUAUUGAGCUUCAACUUCGUGAAUCAUCAUUCAUUAAAUCAUCUUUGUUCUUCAAUUUGUAUAUCCACUCUUAAAGGGAGAUUGAUUGUUGUAUUUUCAUUUCACAUCAAAUUGUGUGAGUACAAGUGUGAGAAACACUUGGGGUGAAGAGAUUGGAGAUAUAAUCUCUUGUUGUAAAGGUUCAUUGACACCUUGAAGUCAAUUGUAAUCGUUUGAAGCCUUGGAAAGACUUGGAUAGUGAAAUCCUCAAGCCCGGUGUGCUUGGAGGCGUGGACGUAGGCGGGGAUUGCCGAACCACGUAAAAAUCCUUGAGUUUGCUUUCUCUUCCCUUGCUCUUUAAUUAUUGUACUUUGAUUGAACUUAUUGCUUUCAAUUUUUAUUAAGAAAUUAGAUUGCUUGUUGUGUGGAUUUGCUAGGAUAAUUUUUAAAAUUCUAAUUCACCCCCCUCUUGGGUUGCACACUUAUAUUUCACUUGCUGGGUUGGACCUUUUAUUGUUACUAAUGUUUUUCCUCAUGGUGCCGUUGAGAUUUGGAGUCCGACCUCUGACAAAGUUUUUAAGGUUAAUGGUCAUCGCUUAAAACCUUUUUAUGAAGGUUUUUCGGUGAAUAUUGUGGAGGAUGUGGCUCUCGAGAGUCUCAAUUAUAGAGAUUGACGCAUAAAUGUGUCUAGCCAAAGACAUAAAACAAAGGCGCUUUUUGGGAGGCAACCCAAAUGAUUUAUUUAUUUUGGUUUUUGUUAUAUCUUCUUUUAAUGUUGAUUCAGAUUUUUUUUAAAAAAAAUAAUGUGUUUGCUUAUUUUGGUAAGAAGAAAAUUUUUGAUAAGGCGUGCCCACGUCUUAACUAAUAAGUACUUCUGUGAUUUUUAAAGUAAAAUGGUUUUAAGGCGUGCCCACGUGCUUAUUAGAAAAUUACUUCUGAAAUUUUUUAGUGUCUCAAAGUGAUUCAUCACUAAAAAAAAAAAAACUAUUUAUUUAUUUAUUUAUUUAAAAAAAAUGAAUUUUUUUUCCUUUCUUUUCUUUCUUUUAUAUAUAUAUAUUUUUUAUUUGAAAAAAAAAUGAAAAAAAAAUUUACUGUUCACAAAAUCCCUAAUUCGCAGAAUUGGUUUUCUUCUCCAGCCUUCACCGAGCAGUCACGCAGCACCAGCAAUCCACCAUCGCGCACCAGCCCACGCAGCAGCAGCAGCAGCCGUGCGCGCAACCAUCUCCGUCCCGCGCGCGCAGAUCCAGCCUUUACCAAGCAGCCACGCAGCAACCAGCAACUCGCAGAACCAGCGUUAGCCCAGCUCUCGCGUGCAAUCAACCCCAGCACAGCAGAAUCAGCCCCAGCCCGCGUACGCAACGCAACCAGCGUCACCAGCUCGCAACCAGUAAUCCACCAUCGCGCUAAGCUCCAGCCGAGCAGCAAUCGUCCGCAACCAGCCUAUGCCCUAUAUUCCAACCGGGUGAAUCGAAAUCCGUGAGUGAAAUUAUUGUAACAAUGCAGAAGAGGAAAGCAUCAACUUCCAAGUCAUCUAAAAAGACACCCGUCGCAAAGAAAUCCAAGAUUGCCGCUCCCACUACGGUUCCAUGGAACACAGUUUCAGAUUCACGCCAAGCCGUGAGACAAAGAUCGAAACAUGGAAAGGGCAUGAGUGUUUUGCCACUUGCGGAAUCCAAUCUCAGAGGGUGCCUCGCAUUCACGACUCAACAAGAGAAAGAAAUGUGUGGUUGAAUUCAAGGAGGGGAGAUUUCAGUUUACUGAACCAGGGCCCACUCAACUUCCAAAGAAGCUUUAUGCUAGGAGUGGUGCUACCUCUGAUGACGAGUUUGACGAUGAAACUGCCGCCUCACCAACUAUUCCUUCUACAUCCGCACCACCUUUGAGCAUUCAGUUAGAGAAAAUGGAGCACAAGCUGAACAAGAUGGAGCUGAAUUUGGCCGCAUACUUCGAGAGCGUGGGAUUUAUCCCACCAUUUUCGCCAAGCCCAUAGACGUUAUGUGGAUCAAAGCUCAUAAUUCAGGGAAGUUUUUGCCUUUAAUCUUUUAUCCUUACGCUUUAAUUUUUAUGUGAGUUUUGAUUAUCUUACAUUGGGGACAAUGUAAGGUCUUGGUGUGGGGGAGGGAUUUUUGCAUUAUGGAAGUAUUGUUUUCACUCUACUCAUCCUUAAAUGAUUUUAGAGUUAGUAUGCUUCAUAUAUAUUAUUAUUUUUCUUUUCUUUUCUUUUCUUUCUCACUACUCUUUUCCCAUCUAUCUCAAAUUAUUUACAUCUAUUUUUAUUCUAUCAUACUCUUUCAUCACUCACAUUUUAUCUUUCACUUUUCAUAGUACUACAUACAUCUUUUUCACUUCUUAUCAUUUUUACCUUUCCUUUUAUAUAUCACUUCUACCUUCUUCUCAUUUCAAACCACUAUUGAUGGUUGAUUCAUUUGAAAAGUGUGCAUGAUUUGAUGGCAAAUUUACCAACUUUGUAAGGAUUUGAGACUAUGAGCAACCGCUUUGCUCUAAUAUUUUUGUUAUGUGAAUAUCAAUCUUAGUUUGUUUAUUCUAGAACUUGCUUUGUUAUGCAUGUUGAAGCCGCAUUACGGGAUUUUAUGCAUUAAAAUGAUAAGGGCAAACCAUUUUCCAUUUUUCUAUUCUCGCAUUUUUUUUUCUACCCGAAGACCUUUAUUUGUUAUAUUUGUUUGAGCCUUAACCAUUACCCAUCUAAUUCUCUCCUUCUACUUAACCAUUUUUCUUCUUUUUGAGCCUCAAUUUAAGGAGAUUUUUGGACUCAUUGUGUGGAUAUAUAUAUUUUGUAUAUAUUUUGUUGCUUUUUCUACCUUGUAUUAAAAUUUCUCAAUUAGAUCAACAAGCAUUAUGCUUGAAUUAAAUUGUGCAAGGUUCGUUUCUUUUGCUUGAUUCAAAAAAAAAAAAAAAGAACAAAAAAGAAAAAUUGAAAAAAAAUCGAAAAAAUAAAUGUUUACAUUCUUAGUGACUUGAGUAGAAAUAAGCAUUUCGAUAUCAUAAGGUUCAUUCUUCGAGUUCAUUCUUCUCAUUUUGAUCUCUUUUUCUUUCAUAAACUUUUUUUUUCAUUUAACCCAUUUAACCCCGUUACAACCUUUUUAAGACCCUUAGAUUUUUACAUUUAAUUCAUGUUUUGUGGAUUGAGAUGUGAUAUAUAAGCAAGCUUAUGGUAACAGCAUUUUUUGAUUUGAUUUUAGUGCAUAAAUGACACCCUAAACACUUUGAGUGCAUGGAGUGAAGUCAAUGAGAGGGCUAUUAAAUCUUGUUGCACUUGAAUUUUGAAUGGAUCUUCUUGGUGGUUGAAUGUUUUUAUUCUAGCUUAUGAGAUUCUAUGCUUUAAAAUCCUUGUCUCUCGACUGUUGAUCGACUUAAUUUCUUGAGGUAUGCUUGCUUAAAAUUGUUUUUGGAUUAGUUGAGAUGAGAAUUUAGUGGAGAUUUGGGAUUAGUCUUGAGUUAUAUGCUUGAGGACAAGCAUCAUCUUGGUGUGGGGGAAUUUGUUAGAGUGCAAUUUAUGCACUAGUUGUGCAUUGUUUACUUCCCUUAAUAUCGAUGUUUUGCACUUAAUAAUAGUGAUUUACUUGUGUUUUACUUUUGUAGGUGCAAUUCUAUUGAUUGGUAAUAAAAUUGAGCUACAAGAUGAUGCUUAAAGAUGAUUGUUCUCUUGGAGAAAUUAUGAACGUCAGAAGAACUUUGUUGAUAAGGCGUGGGCGCGUGCUGUCAACUACGGACCUACAGUUUUUAGUUUAACGUGUUUUGUAUUUUUGGUUAUUUUUGUAAUUACGAAUUCAAUAUUUAAGAUAUUAGUAUUUUAUUUUAAAUAGAAUUCUAGAGGAGAAGAGAAAGAGAGUAUUUAAGGGAGGAAUCUAUUUUGAAAAAGGGGAUUGGAGAAAAGAAAAGAAACCCUAGAUCUAAACUUUUCUCUUCUCUCUAUGAAGAACUAAACCAAUUUUUCUGAUUGAAGGUUAAUGAAGCUUUGAUUCAUCACUACUGUGAGAUUUUUCUUAUGCUUUAAUUGUUUUAUUGCUUUUUGGGUAUUUGUUUAUUCUCUUAAUUAUUUUCAGGAUUAUGAUUGUUAAUUAGGUAAUUGACCACUAUUUAAUUAUCAACUUAAUCUAUUAUCAAUUAAAGGAUUCAUCGUAUGAAGAUUUUAAUGUUUGUGACAAAUAACAUAGCAGAGAGUUGUGUUGUGAGAUUAAACAAUCUAAUUUAAAUGAACCAUCGUAUGUGUUUGUUGAUUAGGAUUUGGGUCUCUCUGGUUUUUCAGGCUGUCAAUUGAUUAAAUCCUAUGAUCGUAUCUAGGGUUGUCUAUUGAUUAGGGAAAUAACCAACAGUCGUACCUUGGUUAUCGACUAGUUAAGGAGAGAUUGGCUAUUAGAGGGUCUCUGUAGCUAUAACCGGUCUAUUCAUAAGUAGUAAUAAUUUAUAUUUGAAUCAAUGAUCAGUAGUCGAAUCAAGCUGAGUUAAUUCCUUCAACCAGAGCUUUCUCCAAUUUGAAUUACAACUUUAAUUUGCAUUCUUGUUAUUUUAAUUUGAUUUUUAUUGUUGUCAACAAUUCCCCCAUUUUACGUUUUACAUUUUAAAGGGAUUUAAUUAAUUACCGAUCUCUGUGGACACGACCCUGCUCAAUCACUAUACACAAUUUAUUUAGAGUAGGAAUUUAUUUUUGCUAGCUUCUCAGAAGGGUAUGCAUCUUCCAGAUGGUGUCUCCAUGAACUUGUAAAGAUCCUCGAGUGCAAGAAAGAUUAUGCACAGAUUAUGAUUCCGGUGUUCUAUCGGGUUGAUCCAUCAGACGUGAGAAACCAAACUGGGAGUUUUGGGGAUUCAUUUUCGAAGCUCGAAGAAAGAUCAAAGGAGAAUACUGAGAAGCUGCAGAGUUGGAGGAAUGCUUUAAAGGAAGCAGCCAGUUUGUCUGGCUUUCAUUCUCUUAACAUGAGGUGAAAAGUUACCUUUAAUUUCUCAUACUAAUAUUUAACAUUAAAUAAAAUUCACGCAACACUCUUAGUUAAAUUUCCGGAUGCUAAACUGCAAUUUAAAAAAAUUUUAAGCAUCAGAUUCUAGACUUCCUGACUUUCCCACUUUUGUGCUCUCAUAAUUAUAAAAUAAUUUAGACAGAAUUAAUAAUAAAAGCUCAAGAAUUCUACAAUAUAUAUCUAACAAAAUUAGUUGUGGUCUGUCAUUUUUUAAGCAAUUUCAACCUCUCACUCAUAAGCCACCAUUAGAAACAAAAAAAAAAAAAAAAACUCACACAUAUUCCUGUAAUUUAAGAGUUAUUAAUAUACUAGGAGAUUGUAGACCAAUGAUGGUAUAUAUUAAUUUCAAUAGGAAAAUUGACAAUCUCCCUUAUUUCAUAUUUAAUGUAAAUUCCUCCUAUUAAUUUGAAGUUACUGCGGCUAAUUUUAUGUAUUUGCUAGGCGUGAGUCGGAACUUAUAAAUGAAGUUGUUAAUCACAUUUUGAAGAGAUUGGAUGAAGUGUUUCAGCUGCGUGAUAACAAAAACCAGCUGGUUGGAGUGGAAUCAACAGUUGAGGAAAUUGAAUCUCUAUUAGGUGUUGAGUCCAAAGAUGUUUGGGCUUUAGGGAUUUGGGGCAUUGGUGGUAUAGGCAAAACAACAAUCGCUAGAGCUAUUUUCGACAAAAUCUCGGGUGAUUUUGAAGGCACUUGUUUCCUCGAAAAUGUUAGAGUAGAGUCACAAAGACCAGGAGGAUUAGCUUGGUUGCGACAAAAACUUCUUUUAAAUUUAUUGAAGGAUGAAAAUGUGAUUCCUGAUAUUGACCUCAAUUUUAGAAGGCUCAGCCGCAUAAAGAUUCUGAUUGUUUUUUAUGAUGUGACUUGCUUCACCCAAUUAGAAUCCUUAAUAGGAAGUCUUGAUUGGUUGACGCCUGUGAGUCGAAUCAUAAUUACCACCAGAAAUAAACAAGUGCUUAGAAACUGGGAGGUGCGGAAAAUAUAUGAGGUGGAGGCAUUAGAAUAUCAUCAUGCUCUUGAGCUUUUUAGUCGACAUGCCUUCAAACGAAACCAUCCUGAUGUUGGUUACGAGAAACUUUCAAUCAACGUAAUGAAAUAUGCUCAAGGAGUUCCUUUGGCUCUUAAAGUUUUGGGUUGCUUUCUAUAUAAAAGGGAAAAAGAAGUCUGGGAAAGUGCAAUAAAUAAAUUGCAAAGAAUCCUCCAUCCAAGUAUUCGAGAGGUAUUAAAAAUAAGUUAUGAUGGUUUGGACGAUACAGAGAAAAAUAUUUUCCUUGAUGUUGCUUGUUUCUUUCGAGGCGAGGGUGUAAACCUGGUAAUGAAAUUCUUUGAUGCAAGCGGCUUCUACCCAGAAAUAGGAAUAAAUGUUCUUGUUGACAAAUCUCUCAUUGCUAUUGAUUCAUACAACAAGAUAACAAUGCAUGAUUUACUACAAGAAUUGGGUCGGGAAAUUGUUCGACAAGAAUCAAUUAAUCCUGAAAACCGCAGUAGGCUAUGGCAUCAUGAGGAUACCUAUGAAGUUCUUACAUAUAAUACGGUAAGCAUUUUGUUGUGGAUUAUUAUUUUGGAAUAUUAUAUCAUUUACAAACUUGAUAUGAAUAGAUAUAUACACGCUCGAACUGAUGAGUCUUGGAAUUAAUAGAAGUGUGACAAUGAUUAGAAAAUAAACAAUAAUGGUUAAAUGGUGUAACAAUAAAUUAUAAAUGCCAGGACAACUUGUGUGAUCGUUUGUAAGCAUAAUUUAUAUGUCAACUUGUAUACUAUACAUAAAGAAUUUUUAUGUUAAAUAUUACGCUUAUUAUUAUGUUGCUUUGUGCAUUUGCAAUUAAGAGUUUAGCUGCCUAGCAAUAGCCAUAAACAUGAAUUAUUGAAAUUUGAUUCGUGUAAUGGCAGAGAGCCCCACUCCAAUCCCACCUCAACUCUACACAAGAAUAAAUAAAAGUUGAAUUAAUAACUAAGCUACCUCUAAUCGUGAAUUAAUGACAAACUUGCCCCAAAAAUUUGUCUUGGUUGGGUUAAGGUGUGAUUCAUUGGUGGAAUAUAAAUAUCAUUUUUCAUUUGAUUUUAAUUUUAUUUUUUUAAUUGAAUUUUAUGGGACAGAAAAAAUUGAUGGCAUUUGUUUGGAUAUGUCAAAAGUAAAAGAUAUCCAUCUAAAUCCCAAAACUUUCACAAAGAUGCGUAAGUUGAGAUUUUUAAAAUUCUAUAGCUCAUCAUUUAAUGGAGAGAACAAAUGUAAGGUGUCUUAUUUGCAAGACCCCGCAUUUGCUGAAGUGAAGUAUUUUCACUGGCAUGGAUACCCAUUGAAGUCAUUGCCUUCAAACCUUAGUGCAGAGAAGCUUGUGUUUCUUGAAGUGCCUGACAAUAACAUUGAACAACUUGGGGAUUGUGUGAAGGUAUGCAUAUCUUAUUAUACAUGUGCAAUCUUUCAAUAACAACAUUAAUUUAUUAUAUGUGGUAACAGUUUUGUCUUGGCCUCUUUUUUGACCGAGCAGCAUUAUAGUAAGUUAAACCAGAUAAUCCAUGCUGCCUGCAAUAAGCUAAUUGCCAAAACUCCAAAUCCCACGUUGAUGCCAAGUCUGAACAAGCUAGUUUUCUUGAAUCUAAGAGGUAGCAAAAGCCUGAAAAGUCUUCCAUCUGGAAUAUUUAACUUGGAAUUUCUUACCAAACUUGAUCUAUCGGGCUGCUCAAAAUUGAAAAGGCUUCCAGAGAUCUCAUCAGGUAAUAUAAGCUGGUUACUUUUAAGGGGGACUGCAAUUGAAGAACUGCCCUCAUCAAUUGAGCGUCAACUUAGGCUUUCGUGGUUGGACCUUUCAGAUUGUAAAAUGCUUAAGAGUCUCCCAAGCAGCCUAUGUAAGUUGAAAUCUCUUGGAGUUCUUGAUCUCCAUGGUUGCUCAAAUCUUCGGAGAUUGCCCGAAUGUCUUGGCCAGUUAUCCUCGCCAAUAUUAUUGAAUCUGGCGGAAACCAAUAUCGAGAGAAUACCAAAAAGCAUUAUCCAACUUUUCAUGUUGCGAUACCUCCUCUUAAAUUGUUGUGAGGGGCACGAAUCCAUACCAAAGCGUCCAUUCCUUGUACGAUGGUUAGAUGGCGAUCGUUGCCCGGCACUGCAACCAUUGAUAGGUUUAUUCUCUAAGUUCUGAAUCUUAUAGGUAGUCUUUUUUUUUACUAGAGCAAUAAUUUGAAAUUGCAAGGUAAUUCUACUGCAGGGAUUAUUGAAGAUGCCAUGAGAAUUGAGCAUAUGGGCCAUGUGGUAGCUUCCCGUUGGAAACAAGUACGGGGAAAGGUGUGUCUUAACUCUCUCUCCUUACAAUUUAUAGUCUUUUUUUUUUUUGGUUUAAAAUUAUGAUUUUUUUGGUGCAGAGAGGUUUUCCCAUGGAAAAAAGUCAUUUUGUACUAGCUGGGAAUGAAAUUCCAAGGUGGUUUAAUUUUCAAAGUGUGGGAUCUUUUAUAACCUUGGAGAUGCCCCCAGAUUUCUUCAAUAACAACAGAGUAUUGGGCUUUGCAUUUAGUACUAUUUUAGCAUUUUCAGACCGUCAUGUAGAUUGUGGCAGAUGGUUUUCAUUUUCUUGUGAGCUAAAAGUGAAAACCACCAAAGAUUGUGAUCUGCAUGACAAACGGUUAUUUCAGAGCAGAGUUAAUUAUGUAGAAUCAAAUCACUUACAUUUUGGGUACUAUCUCUUUUGUGAAGAGGAUUUUAAUGGUUUUUGGAAAAGCAAUUCCAUUCCUGAGGCCGUCCACUUUAAUGUUUUUCCGCCUUUGAAGUGUGAGUGCUGCGGGGUGAAAAAAUGUGGGAUCCAUUUAGUUUGCUUCCCAGACUCUACGAAUUCAAUGGAAGAUCCAAGCACAUGUUUCAACUAUAACGAAGAAGACUGAGAUUUUCAUGAAUGUAUUUUUAUUGCUUUCCUUUUUCUAAUCACUAUUAAUAAUAGGAGAAAAUGUCAAAAUCGGUUCUUGGGACAAAACAUUCAUGUAAUAACUUUCGAAGGAUCUGGUGCAUGUGACACAGAUUCACACUAGAGCAUUGAACUUUACCUUAUUAGAUGAAGAGUAUGUUGUGUUGUAUGAAAAGCACAUGAUGUAUAUUGUAAAAUUAAAAUUAUUGGCCUAUUUCCGGCUUUGCACACGCAACCCAUGACGAUUUUGUUAUUGAGCUUUGUAACCCAAAACACAUCUGCUUAGUUAGGGGAGUACGUGACUUAUAAACCAGGACGCGCAGCAAGUUCUUAUUGGUGGAGCUACGUUGUCGGCCCAUAUCCUAUCAAUGAAAAUAUGUCACUCACCCCGUUGGCGCACUGUAUCAACUCUCAUGUACAUAGCACAAUCACAUUUGAAAAUUUUCUACUUUCUUAAAUCUAAAUUGUUGUAUAUGGGAAAGUUCCAUCAUGUGGAAGCAAAAGCCAUAAAGAGGGAACAGUUAAAACACCAUCAAAUCUUAUAUAUUUUAAGAAAUAUAUUUGUAUACUGAUUUAAAAAAAAAGAAAAAGAAAGAACAGGAUUGACUCAACUCAUUUGUGUUGUGAAUCCAUUUGCUUAAACAUGUAUGCACUUUUUCAAGUAUCUAUAACAAUUCCAUUAACGGAAUGGUGCAUUUGAUUCCAUAGUUAACAUGGUAUCGUCAUAUGGCUAGAAUUUACAUUUAAAAAACUGACCUGUAAGGAAAGGAUUAAAGACGCCCGUGAACUUAUAUUUCUAUUGAGAUUAUUUUAUUUUUUCCAUGUGAAAAAUUGAAUCCUAUUAACAUGAGCAAUGUAAAUUACUAAAUCACCGUUCUCUAUUCUUUAGAUUGCUGUAUCUUUUUCAUGUAAAAAAUUGAAUCCUUUCACUCACAUAUCAUUAACAUGAGCAAUAUAGAUUGUGCUGAAUUUGACUUUUUGAAGCAAGUUAGACUUUUUAUUGAAUAAUUUGGUACAUUUCUUGAAUCAAUUUGGAGCUUCUGCAACACGUCAGGGAUUAGUAUCUCCUACAUUCCUUUCGGUGCCAAAAGAUAUUCAAGUAGUUGAAUAAGAAUUGAUAUAUACAAUGUAAAUACUAGAAUUGUUUGUCAUUUUACAAUAGGAAUGAUAUAUAAUGCUUAUCAAAACUUGUUGAUAAGAAAGCAAAUUCCUCAGCAAUGAGAUGGUUCAGCCAACCAAUUAAGAAAGCAGCUUUUCAUGGACCAACUCAGGCUUGUCGUCAUGGGGGCAAUGUCCUACUCCUUCCAAUACAAUUAGCUUCACAUUUGAGAGUUUAGAGGGCAGAGAUGAGAAGUAUUUACCAACAGGUCCAUCGAGGGGUGUGAAUGGAUCCUUAUCACCCCAUAAAACUAGUACAGGUAUAGAGAUUGAUGGCAUCAAUUGAACUGGGUUCAGCCCUGAUGGGCCUGUCACGAUCAAAACAAAUGCAUCAAGUGCCCCUUCAUCAGUGGCGGCUUCUCGUAUGAUCUGUAGUUUUGAUGUCAAUUCAUGAAUUAUGAGUGGCCAUUUCUGUAAGAAAUUUAAAUGGCACAUAAGUGCAGAAUAUUAAUGCCUACUAGCGUUUCAUCCACAGAUUCAUUAUUUGCAUAGACAGUAAAUUGCUCCUCAGUCUUUACCAGCAGCACCAAUAUAUACACAUCAUAGUGUUUUUUAGUUUUGACUCUAGUGUUUUAGGAUAAUGAACAAUGGACUGAAUACAGACGAGAAAAUUCGCAUGUUAUAAAACACAAUUAAAAUAAAAUAUCAUUUGUCAUACAUUUUAUUCAUUAAAAACAUAGUAAAAAAAAUUUCAAAAAUUCAGUGGCGGCAAACGUCCUCUCUGGAAUCUUUGUGGGCAACACGUACGUGGUGUCUUCACUAAGUGUUGAAUCUUUAGCUUCAAAGGAAAGAAACAAAAAAAUUGUAGGGAUAUUUCCAUCCCAUUAUUUUUGUAAAUUCACACCACUUUACAACAUAAUUAUAAUGAAUUCACAAUAUUUUAAAAAAUACAAAUUAAUAAAAAUUUUGUAUAGUUAAUCAAUUAAAUCUUUCUAUUACCUUUCUUCUUAGAUUUCUUUGUCUCUAUUUGAUCAUAAACUCUUAUAUAAAUUUUAUUUUUCUAUUUUAUUAUUAUGAUAUAAAACGAACAAAUUGCCUAACAAACAUGAGUUAUUGUAUAUAAUAAUUUAUGUAUUUAAUUAUGUGAACUAAUAUUUUAAAAUGAAAUCUAAUUAUUAUUUUCACUACCUUACAAAUAAAUGAUAUAAAUUUGACAAGCUAAUUAAUAAUUUACAUGAGUAUUGUGCCAUAAAGACAUUAUGUUUGUUUAAUUAAUGUUUUAUAAUCAUACUAAUAAAGUAGUAUUAAAAAUAAUGAAUUUGGUAUAAAAUUAGAAAAUAUUGAAGUUAAAGAAUUAGUUUUACCUUAUAAGGAUAAAAUAAUCAAUUUAGACUUAUGUCAAAGCAAUCUUUAUGAUCAAACAUAAUAAAAAAAAUGGGUAAUUUUUACUUUCCUCCCUUGAGCUUUGGGCCUUUUCCACUUAGAUGACCAAGAUCCCUUUAUUAGUAAAGACCCCCCUACGGAAUGCAAACUGGUAGAUCUCAUAUGGUUAGUUAUGGGCAAUUUAGUAAUUUAAUUUGACAAGCAUAACUUUUACACAUUUUGAUUGACAUGAGCACAGUGAAUUGUCAAAUCAUUGUGAAAAAAUAGUGUCUUGUGAUCAUUCAUAUAAAAACAAAUUAUAUAUUUAAUAGGCCCGAAAUAUGUAUGAAGGUAUAAACAAUUUUUUUGUCUUAAUGAUAGUUAUACAAAGCUGAAAAACUGAAGUUUAAAACACUUAAUGAUCAUUGUUUUUAAUUGCAUAAUAUAAUAUUAUCAUUUUAUUAGAAUUAUCCUUUUAUUUGUUGAAUGUAAUUGUAAAUAACCCAAUUUUAAGGGUAUAAUGGUAAUAUUAUGGUUGUUAUAGUUUUCGCACGAAAUGUAUAGCGUGUGAAAGUUCUUGAAAAUCCAACUGGGGGUAUUUCAGUCUUUUUGAAUUCAACUAACAGUCAAACACAAAAUUAAUUGACUGUAGCGGGGUCUUUACUAAUAAAUGGAUCUUGGACAUCUAAGUGCAAAAGACAAAAGCUCAGGGGAGGAAAGUAAAAAUUACCCUAAAAAAAAUUGAAGUCACAAAAAGUAAAUUAAGAUAGAUUUGUUAAUUUGUUCUCCAAAGUUCUUUUUUAUUUAAUUUUUAAAAAAAUAAUGUGUACUUUUUGUAAUUAUUUUUUAAAAAUGGGGUGGAUUUGGAGAUAUCAUUAGCCAACAAAAAAUUUAGUCAGGAUUAAUUUGAUAAUUGCCCAUAAAAAGAAGGCAUAUGUGCAGGUGGUGGUAGGGAAGCCUUUUUCGAAUCUAAAAUUACAUGUAAGAAUCUAUUAUAAAAAAGAUAAAUGUGUAACAGGAUGUGGAUAGAAAAAUUGAUCUUCAUUUGGGGAUUCUUGAUCUUCAAUUCUUCACUCCACUAAAAUUUAUCAGAGAAUGAGGUGAAAAACAUGGGCCAAAAUUAUUAACAUAUAAAAAAAUUUAAAUUAUUAAAAAUAAUAACUAAAAAAAUACAUAUUUUUUACGAAUUUUGGAAUUAUUUUCCUUUGAGUAAUGACACUAUAAUUCAAAAGACGCUUUUUGAAUUAAAUCAGAUUUUUUAUUCAAAACAAACAAAGGGAUUAUAUUUUACAAUUUAGGAAAUAACUAUAUUUAAUAGAGAUAAUUUUGGGACAUAGCAUUUACUUUCUAUUGAGAAAUUUUCAUCUAUUAGACAAAAGUUACAAAAGUUUACUUAAAAAAAAAAAGAAAAUUAGAGUUCACACGUUUAACAAAUAACCCGAAGGAAUAUGAAUAAGAAUUAUUAAAACAAAAAUGAUAAAUAAGGAUAAUUUUAAAAUUAAAUACAAUUAAUGGAGAGAUGAUGACUGAUAAGAAAAAUUGGGGGGCAAAAAUUAAAAUAUCAACCUACUACUAAUGGUUGAUAGUCAUGACCCACUUAAUUUGAGAAUUAAAAGGACAAAAGCCAUGUGUUGAAAACUAUGGUGUUCAUGGGGAAAUUUCAGCUAAAAGUCUAAAAAGCAGUGAAAUUAUCGUGCAGUGCACGGUGCUUGGACAAUGAGAUGAAAUUGAAAAAUUAUCACGAAAACUUCAAGGAAGAGUGCCAAUAGUCUUACUCAUAACGCCGUGUCUAACUCAGUUCUACGAAAGCAACGGAAGAGUGCCAAUAGUCUUAACUCAUAACGCCGUGUCUAUAAUUUCGGCUGAAAAAAUCUGCCAAGUCGAAAAAUUAGGUGGGCAUUUCAAUAACCCUUGAAUAUUCCACGGAUCAUUGUCCAGGAAGCUUGGGAAAUGAGAUAUCAGGUCAAUAUAUGCUGCAGAGUCACGCUCAUUUUGGCUUAGUAAUUGUUUUCAUCUGAUCACAAUCUCUCUCUAAUCAAUUCAACUGCUCCUGUUGAUUAUGGCUUCUUUUUCUCGAAACAACAAGAAGUAUGACGUUUUUGUUAGGUUUAGAGGAGAAGACACCCGCGAGAACUUUAUUAGCCAUCUCUAUUCAGCCCUGUCUCGACAAAAUAUCCAAACUUUCAUUGAUGACCAACUUAACAGAGGAGAUGAAAUUUCAGAGUCACUUGUGAAAGCGAUUAAAGCAUCAGCCAUUUCAGUUAUCAUUUUCUCUGAAGACUACGCUUCUUCCAGAUGCUGUCUUGCUGAACUUGCGGAGAUCCUCGAGUGCAAGAAAGAGCAUGCACAGAUUGUGUUACCGGUUUUCUAUCGCGUUGAUCCAUCAGACGUGAGAAACCAAACAGGGAGUUUUGGGGAUUCAUUUUCAAAGCUUGAAGAAAGAUUCGAGCAAAAUUCGGAGAAGCUGCAGACAUGGAGGAAGGGAUUGAGAGAAGCGGCUGGUUAGUCUGGAUUUCAUUAUCGUAGCAUCAGGUGAAAAGUUACUUUUAAUUUCUCAUGCUAAUAUUUAACACUGUAAAUAAAAUUCAUGCAGCACUCUUAGUUAAAUUUCCGGAUGCUAAACUACAAUUUUAAAUUUUUUUAGGUAUCAAAUUCUAGGCUUCUUGACUUCCCCACUUUUGAACCCCGAUAAUUAUGAAAGAAUUUUGACAGAAUUAAUAAUAAAAGCCCGAUAAUUUUACAAUAUAUUUAACAAAAUUAAUGGUGGUCUGUCAUUUUUUAAGCAAUUUCAACCUCACAUACCUCCAUCAGAAAAAAAAAGAAAAAAAGUCACACAUAUUCCUAUAAUUUAAGAGUUAUUAAUUUAUAGGGAGAUUGUAGUGGUAUAUAUUAAUUUCAAUUGGAAAACUAGCAAUCUCCCUUAUUUCAUAUUUGAUGCAAAUCCCUCCUAUUUGAAGUUACUGCUGCUAAUUUUGUGUAUUUGGUAGGCUUGAAUCAGAACUUAUAAACGAAGUUGUUAAUCACAUUUUGAAGAGACUGCUGGAAGAAGUGUUUCGGCCGAGUGAUAACAAAAGCCAGCUGGUUGGAGUAGAAUCAAGAGUGGAGGAAAUUGAAUCUCUACUAAGUGUUGAGUCGAAAGAUGUUUACGCUUUAGGGAUUUGGGGCAUUGGUGGUAUAGGCAAAACAACAAUCGCUAGAGCUAUUUUCGACAAAAUCUCGGGUGAUUUUGAAUGUUCUUGCUUCCUUGAAAAUGUUAGAGGAGAGUCACAAAGAACGGCAGGAUUAGCUUGCUUGCGACAAAAACUUCUUUCAAAUUUAUUGAAGGAUGAAAAUGCGAUUCCUGGUAUUGACCUCAAUUUUAGAAGGCUCAGCUGCAUGAAGGUUCUGAUUGUUUUUGAUUAUGUGACUUGCUUCAGCCAAUUAGAAUCUAUAAUUGGAAGUCUUGAUUGGUUGAUGCCUGUGAGUCGAAUCAUAAUAACCACCAUAAAUAAACAAGUGCUUAGAAAUUGGGGGGUGAGGAAAAUAUAUGAGAUGGAGGCAUUAGAAUAUCAUCACGCUCUUGAGCUUUUUAGUCGACAUGCCUUCAAACAAAACCAUCCUGAUGUUGGUUAUGUGGAACUUUCAAGCAAAGUAAUGAAAUAUGCUCAAGGUGUUCCUUUAGCUCUUAAAGUUUUGGGUUGCUUUCUGCAUAAAAGGGAAAAAGAAGUCUGGGAAAGUGCAAUAGAUAAAUUGCAAAGAAUCCUCCAUCCAAGUAUUCUUGAGGUAUUAAAAAUAAGUUAUGAUAGUUUGGACGAUAAGGAGAAAAAUAUUUUCCUUGAUGUUGCUUGUUUCUUACAAGGUGAGGAUGUAGAUCUAGUAAUGAAAUUUUUUAAUGCAAGUGGCUUCUACCCAGAAAUAGGAAUGAGUGUUCUUGUUGAUAAAUCUCUCAUUGCUAUUGAUUCAUACAACAAGAUAACAAUGCAUGAUUUACUACAAGAAUUGGGUCGGGAAAUUGUUCGACAAGAAUCAACUAAUCCUGAAAACCGCAGUAGGCUCUGGCAUCAUCAAGAUAUCUAUGAAGUUCUUACGUAUAAUACGGUAAGUAGUUUGUUGUGUAUUAUUAUUUUGGAAUAAUGUAGUGUUUAAAAACUUGAUGUGAAUAUAUUUACAUACGCUCGCACUCGUGAGUCUUAGAAUUAAUGGAAGAGUGGCAGUGAUUAGAAAAAACAAUAGUGGUUAGAUGACGUAGCAAUAAAUUAUAAAUGCGAUAAGGAGAAAAAUAUUUUCCUUGAUGUUGCUUGUUUCUUUCAAGGUGAGGAUGUAAAUCUUAUAAUGAAAUUCCUUAAUGCAAGCGGCUUCUACCCAGAAAUAGGAAUAAGUGUGCUCGUUGAUAAGUCUCUUAUUGUCAUAUCAAAUAACAACAAGAUAACUAUGCAUGAUUUGCUACAAGAAUUGGGUAGGGAUAUUGUCAGUCAAGAAUCAAAUGAUCCUGGAAACCGCAGUCGGUUGUGGCAUCACGAGGAUAUCUACGAAGUUCUUACAUAUAAUACGGUAAGCAAUUUGCUGUGGAUUAUUACUUUGGAAUAUUCUAGCAUUUACAAACUUGAUAUGGAUAUAUUUAUAUACUCUCGAAUUGAUGAAUCUAGAAUUAAUAGAAGAGUGACAAUGAUUAGAAAAAAAUAAUAGUGGUUAUAAAUGCCGUGACAACUUGUAUAAUUCUUUGUAAGGAUAGUUUAUAUUGUCAAUUUGUAUUGUAUCCCACAUGCGUAAAUUUCAUGUUUAGUAUUACUUGUAUUAUUAUGUUCCUUUGUGCGUUUGCAAUUAAGAGUUUCACUACCUAGCAAUAACUAUAUAAACAUGAAUUACUGAAAUUUGAUUCGAGCAAUGAUAAAAAAUUCCACUCCAAUCCCACCUCAAUUCCACACAAGAGUGAAAAAAAAGGUUGAAUUAAUAACUAAGUUACCCCUUGUUGUGAAUCAAUGGCAAACAUGCCUCAAAAAUUUGUCUCGGUGGGGUUGAGGUGCAAUUCAUUGGUGGGAUAUAAAUAUCAUUUUUCAUUUUUUUAUUGAUUAUUAGGGGACUGAAAAAGUUGAGGGCAUCUGUUUGAAUAUGUCCAAAGUGAAAGAGAUUCACCUAAAUCCCAAUACAUUCACAAAGAUGCGGAAAUUGAGAUUUUUAAAAUUCUAUAGCUCAUCAUUCAAUGGAGAGAAUAAAUGUAAGGUGUCUUAUUUGCAAGACCCUAAAUUUACUGAAGUGAAGUAUCUCUAUUAAAGUAUGAGCUUUAAACUGAUUUCCAGAAGAUCAACCGUCAUGUCCGUUUGUGUUCAUUUUCGUAUACGACAUGUCAGCUGUAAAGCAUACAAGUCUGUGUGACAAACUUGUAUCGUCAUCCAAAGCCUAUUAAGUAAAGCACGCAAAUGUCACAUGCUUUCACUUACUCUAUACGGCAUGGAAGACUGUCGUUUUGGGGGUCACUGCUUGGAAGAAAUCAACACGUGUCCUCAAGGUUGUUAAUGACAGUUACAACAGGCGGGAGAAUUCUGGGUUUGUUAGCUAACAAACCCAGAUUACAGCUGGUUGACAGGGGAUCUUUGUGAAGGGCUUUAAGCUAGUAUAAGUAGCCUUAAGGGUUGGGAAAUCAGUAGUUGUAUUGUGUGUCACUUCGUCUCUAAACUUGUAACUUGUUCUUGGUGAUUGAAAAAAAGCUGCUGCUCUGUUCUUCAGUGGAUGUAAGCUGUCUUCAGCUGAACCACUUAUAUUUGUUGUUCUUUGCUUAUUGUUUCUGGGUGAUUCUUUUGUGUGAAUUCGAUUAGCCAUUUUCUAGAUCAUUGUUAGAGAGUUCAGCUAGGUCCUGGAGAUUCUUGAUUGGAUACUAAAUCUAAUCUUGGUUCAACAAUCUCCACUGGCAUGGAUAUCCAUUGAAGUCAUUGCCUUCAAACAUUAGUGCAGAGAAGCUUGUGUUUCUUGAAAUGCCUAAUAGCAGCAUUGAACAACUUUGGGAUGGUAUGAAGGUAUGUAUAACUUAAUAGUUUGGGAUGGUAUGAACAUUAUCAACUUUGGGAUGGUAUGAAAGUAUCUCCACACUUCGAAAUUCUUGAUCUCAGUGGUUGCUCAAAUCUUCAGAGAUUGCCCGAAUAUCUUGGCCAGUUGUCCUCUCUAGGAACAUUGCUUCUAGAGAAAACCAAUAUUGAGAGAAUACCAGAAAGCAUCAUCCAAAUUUCUGUGUUGACUUACCUCCGCUUAAGCUAUUGUGAGAGGCUUCAAUCCGUACCAAAGCUUCCAUUCCUUAUACGAUGGUUAGAUGCCGAUAAUUGCACAUCGCUGCAAUCAUUAUCAGGUUUAUUCUCAAGUUCUGAAUCUUAUAUGUAAGCAGUGUUUUUUGACUAGAGCAAUAAUUUUAAAUCGGAUGGUAAUUCUACUGCAGGAAUUGUUGAAGAUGCCCUGCAGAGAAUUCAGCUUAUGGCAGCUGCCCGUUGGAAAGAAGUACAGGAAAAGGUGUGUUUUUAACUCUCCUCUUUCAAUUUAUAUAAUUUUGUUUUUUAAGUUAUGAUUUUUUUUUAACAGAUUGAUUUUCACAUGAACGGAGGUCAAAUCUUACUACUCGGGAAUGAAAUUCCGAAGUGGUUUGAGUUUCAAAGUGUGGGAUCUUUUAUAACCUUGGAGAUGCGAUCAGAUUCCUUCAAUAAUAACCGAGUACUACUGGGCUUUGAAUUUAGUGCUAUUGUAGAAUUUUAAUGGUUUUUGGAAAUACAAUUGCGUUCCUGAGGCGGUCCGCUUCUUUUAUGAUGAUUUUGAUCGUUUUCCACCUUUGGAUUGCGAGUGCUGCGGGGUGAAAAAAUGUGGGGUCAAUUUACUUUACAUCCCAGACUCUACGGAUUCAAUGGAAGUUCCAAGCAGAUGUUUCAACUGUUACGAAGAAGACUAAGAUUUUCAAGAAUGUAAUUUUAUUUUUUCUCUUUUGCUAAUCACUAUCAAUAAUAAGAGAAAAAGCCAAGAUCAGUCUUGGAACAAAACAUGCAUGUAAUAAUUUUCAAGGGACGUGGCGCAUGUAACAAUAGCUUGAUUCUCCAGUCGUCAACUAUGCCUUGUUGUUCAUGCCGCCAGCAUAAUUCAACAGAACAAGCCCUCGAACAAGUGUUUGACUGGAUUCUUAUUGUAGAAAAUAUAGCAGGCUUAUCGCAAACCAUAGUUACAAGAAGGGUAAUUACGUGCAAGUGUUUCUUUGCAAGCAAGUUGCAGAAUAUCUGAUGUCCAAGAGGAAGUUAAAAUAAAUAUACCUGAGGCGGCAAUAACGCAAGCUAGGCUUCCAACAGAAUUGCCCAUAAGCACGGUUGGCUUCCGAACAAAUUCAUCCAAGAAAUCCAGUAUUAGUUGUACCGACGAAUCUUACUCAAGUUGACAAGGACAAUAACUACAGGUCAAGCUAUUGAUAAUAUAAGUACAGGAGUUGUGAUAUUUGACCGGUAAAAUAUCUCAUCAGCCUCCAUGAAUCACUUUAUAUAAAUAUCUAUUUUAUCUUUAUAUAAAAUGAUUUAAAAGAGUAAAAACUAAUGAUUUUUAAUGUUUGAGGAUGCCUACAAUUAUAUGUACACAAAAAUAAAUAGUACAAAAAAUAAUACAUUAUCAAUAAAAAAAAUCACUAAAAAGAUGAAAAUUAAUUUUUGCUUUUUGUGCCUUUUGCAGUAAAUUUUGUUUAAUUUUUAGUACAUAUAGAGUUAUGCUGCGGAUGCGAGGAGGACAAAUGUGGGGUCCAUUUAUUGUAACCCCAAAUUCUAACUUAGGAUCCAAGCGCGAGUUUCAGACUAAACCAACCCAAAGUUUGUACAAAGUCCAACUCAAUGCAACUAAAAUCAUUCUAAUUUGGUUUUAGUUUUGGUUGACUUAGCCUUUAGUAAAUUCACAUGUUAUAUAACAUGUCAUUCAUUUUAUACAUUAAAUACUUAGUAAAUUUUUUUCUUCAAAAAAUUCAGUGGCGGCAAAUGUUGAAUUUUUAGCUUUGUGGGCAACGCGUGGUAUCUUUAAGUGUUGAAUUAUUUUUUUUUAAAUGUUGAAUUUUUAGAUUCAAAGGAAAGAAACGAAAAAGCGUGUGGAUAUUUCCACCCUUUGUAAAUCCAUCCCAUUUUUAGAAAAUAAUUAUAAAAAAAUCACAAUAUUUUUAAAAAAGUAUAAAUUAAUAAUAGUUUUGUAUAGUUAAUUAAUUAAAUCUUUCUAUUACAGUAAAACCUUUAUAUAGUCAUAUUGUUGGGACUGGAGAAAUUUAUUCUUAUAAAGAGGUUAUAACUCAAUAGAGGUAUAGUACAAAAAUUAUUGUCAUUUUCUGCUACUUAUUAUAGAUGAAACUAGCUUAUAUACCCGCAAGUUCAAAGAUGUGGUUGCAACUUUAAAAUUUUUGAAAUAUUAUUACUAUGUGGAGGUAAGUUUAUUAUUACGGGACCUACAAAAAAUAACUUAUUACAUUGUGGAGUUUAUUCUUAAUUAUAAUUGGUCCCAAGUUAGGAUUACAAUUUUUUAUUAUUAUGAAGAUGUUAUUCCUCUAUAGAGUAUUAAUAUUUAGAGGUUCUACUGUAAUUUUUUUCUUAGAUUUCUUUGACCAUAUUUGAUAAUAAAAUUUAAUAUAAAUUUUAUUUUACUAUUUUAUUAUUAUAAUAUAAAAUGGCCAAAUUUCCCAAUAAACAUGAGUUAUUUUAUCUAAUCAUUUAGGUAUUUAAUUAGCUGGAUUAAAAUUUUUAAAUGAAAUUUAUUUAUUAUUUUUCCUACCUUACGUGUAAUUGAAAUAAAUUUGACAGCCUAACAAUGAAUAUUGUGCUGUGGAGAUGUUAUGUUAGUUUAAUUAAAGUUUUAUAAUCAUACUAAUAAAGUGGUAUUAGAAAUAAUGAAUUUGAUAUAAAAUUAGAAAAUAUUGAAGUUAAAGUAAAUUCUCAGUAGACCUUAUAAGGAUAAAAUAAUCAAUUUAGACUUAUGCCAAAGCAGUAUUUACAAUCAAAUAUAAUCAAAAAAUUUUAAGUCACAAAAAAGUAAACUAAGAUAGGUUUAUUAAUUUGUUCUCCAAAGUUCUUUUUUAUUUAAAAUUUUUUAAAAAUAAUUUGCACUUUUUGUAAUUAUUUUUUGAAAAUGGGGUGGGUUUAUAAGAACUAUGGGAUGGAGAUAUCAUCACCCAAUAAAAAUUUCAGGGUUAAUUUUACAAUUGCCCAUAAAAAAAAAAAAAAGCAUAUGUGCAGGUGAUGGUGGGGAAGCCUUUUUCCAUUUCUCAUUCCAUUUAAAAUUUGACCCAUAUUUUUCACCUCAUUCUCUCAUAAAUUUUAAUAGAGUGAAGAUAAAGAAUCUGCACAUGAAGAUCAAUUUUUCUAUCCACAUCAUGUUACCAUUUAUCUAUUAUUAUAAUAGAUUCUUACAUAUAAUUUAAAUGAAAUAAAAAUUAAAAUGACUCAAAUGAAAUCAUCACUAACAUAUCAUAAAAUAUUUAAAUUAUUAAAAAUAUAACUAAAAAAUAUACAUAUCCAUUAAGAAUUUUGAAAUUAUUUUUUCUCUUUCUUCAAAAACUUAUCAAAAUUUGGUGGGUGGGACCUGUGCACCAUCUCUAGUCGGCCACAUUGGACUUCUUACAGUCGGUCUUCAAAGAACUUUCGAGAAAGGCAAUAGACAAUGAGUUGAAUGAAAUUACUGCGACACUUCCCUGAAGAUUCAAGGAAGUAGUGGAGGAUACAUUUCAAGCGCACAGACACAUUCAAUUCAGUUGAACUGUUUCUGUUAUGGCUUCUUCUUCUUCUUCUUCUCAUCGAUCCACCAGUCUGGGCCUGAUUAGACCUCGAAACAACAAGAAGUAUGAUGUUUUUGUCAGUUUCAGAGGAGAGGACACCCGUGACAAAUUUACUAGCCAUCUCUAUUCCGCUCUGUCUCGACAAAGUAUCCAAACUUUCAUUGAUGACCAGCUCAACAGAGGAGAUGAAAUUUCAGAGUCUCUUGUGAACGCAAUUGAAGCAUCAACCAUUUCAGUUAUCAUUUUCUCUGAAUCAUACACUUCUUCCAGAUGGUGUGUCGAUGAACUUGUAAAGAUCCUCGAGUGCAAGAUAGACUAUGCACAGAUUGUGAUUCCGGUUUUCUAUCGGGUUGAUCCAUCAGACGUGAGAAACCAAACUGGGAGUUUUGGGGAUUCAUUUUCGAAGCUUGAAGAAUUCAAAGAAGCUGCAGAGUUGGAGGAAUGCUUUGAAGGAAGCAGCCAGUUUGUCUGGCUUUCUUUCUCAGAACAUCAGGUGAAAAGUUACUUUUAAUUUCGUAUACUAAUAUUCAACACUGUAAAUAAUAUUCACGCAGCACUCUCAGUUAAAUUUUCCAAAUGCUAAACUACACUUUUAAAUUUUUUUAGGCAUCAAAUUCUAGACAUCUUGAACUUCCCCACUUUUGAACUCCUAUAAAAGAAUUUUUGCAGAAUUAAUAAUAAAAGCCCCAGAAGUUUACAAUAUAUUUUAAAAUUAAUAGUGUUCUGUCGUUUUUUAAUCAAUUUCAAUCUCUCACUCAUACACCAUAAGGGAAAAAAAAAUAUCUUCCACAUAUAACAUAUUCGUGUAAAUAAAGAGUUAUUAAUUUAUAAGGAGUUGUAAAUUCCUUUACUCAAAUCAAUAUAUAUCACUUAUUCUGACUAUUUUUACAAUAUUUAAUAACUCUCCUGUUACCAUUAUUUUACAAUAUUAUCCUUAUGAAAAAAAAUAAGUAGUAUAUAUUAAUUUCAAUUGAAAAACUAGCAAUCUCCCUUUUUUCAUAUUUGAUGCAAAUCCCUUCUAUUCGAAGUUACUGCUGCUAAUUCUAUGUAUUUGAUAGGCCUGAAUCGAAGCUUAUAAACGAAGUUGUCAAUCACAUUUUAAAGAGACUGCUGGAUGAAGUGUUUCGGCCAAGUGAUAACAAAAACCAGCUGGCUGGAGUAGAAUCGAGAGUUGAGGAAAUUGAAUCUCUUCUAGGUGUUGAGUCGAAAGAUGUUUACGCUUUAGGGAUUUGGGGCAUUGGUGGUAUAGGCAAAACAAAAAUCGCUAGAGCUAUUUUCGACAAAAUCUCUAGUGAUUUUGAAGGUUCUUGCUUCCUUGAAAAUGUUAGGGAAGAGUCACAAAGACCGGGAGGAUCAGCUUGCUUGCGACAAAAACUUCUUUCAAAUUUAUUGAAGGAUAAAAAUGUGAGCCUUGAUAUUGGUCUCAAUUUUAGAAGGCUCAGCCGCAUGAAGGUUCUGAUUGUUUUUUAUGAUGUAUCUUGCUUCAGCCAAUUAGAAUCCUCGGCCUUUGUUAUAAACAUCUAAUAACAUAUAUGCAUCAUUCAAAAAAAUAUUCAAAACUUGCAUAGUUCACAUCUCACUGUACAUACAUACACUUCAGAUAUAUACAUAUAAACAUAGAUCUGCUCAACAUGUAAGUCAUGCAGUAAUGCGUGUCAUAGCCCAACCUCAACUGAUUAGAAACUGAACUGUACGAAAUACUACAGAAACCUUAGAGAAAUGGGAAAAAUAGGAAAAUAGUAAGCUUGCGGCUCAAUGAAUGGAUAUAAUUAUAUACAAAAAUAAAUUAGUGCUUUAGUGCCUGUAUAUAAUUGUAUGACAUAACUUCACACUGAAUGCAUUACAAAAGUAAACAUAAAGUCAUAUAUACAUACAUGACAAAACUGCAUUAAAUAAUAUCCAAGGGAAAUAACUCUCAAUACUCACUGGGAUCAUCAUCGCACGAGUGAAAGUGGGGGAAAAACCUCUCAAUACUUAGUGGAAUUAACUGCAUCACAAGGGCCAAGUAAUCUAACUCUCAAUAUGCAUGCGUAGAGCCUAUGGGGAAGGGUACACAUAUGGUGCUUGGCAAUCACAUCUCAUGAUUCAAUCAAUCAUAUAAUGUACGUACAUAUAAUCAUAACAUUAUACUAAAUCAUACUAUCAAACAUAAAUGCUUUGUAGGAUACAUAAUAGUAAUAAUAAUAAUCCAUCACAUAUCUUGUUUCACUUUAGGGUUUGUUGGGGAUCAUGUGGAUUCCUUAAUUCUUGGAUUUCUCCUAACAUAAAGAGUUAAAUUAAAUGUUAGAACCAACUGAUAUAAAAACUUUUAUGUAUGAUGUAAACUAAAUUAUAAUUGUUCAAAUUUCUUAAAUAUGUUACCCACUGGCUCAUUGGAAAUAGAUCUAACUACCCAAUUCUCUUUCUGUAACAUUUCCUCUCAAUUCCUGUUUUCAAACUUAAUUUUCACUCUCGGUUUUUCUUUUCUUUAUUUUUUCUUCUUCUGUUCUUUUCCUCUUCUCUUUUCCUUUCUUUUUCUUCUCUCUUUGAAUUGCUCUUUUUCGAUUUGAUUCAUGAAAAUGGUCAGAGCUACUUCAAUUCUUUAUAUAUAUCCACUACCUCCAAUUAUGCUUGACAAGCACAUAGGUGAAGCAUGCAUGUGCUUUGCUUUAAGCUAACAACUUGUUAUUGCUUGUGAGAUAAAAUACAACAAUACUUGUAACUCUAUACAAUUAGUAAAAUACUUCCUCUCAUUUUCUCUCAUGGACGUAGGCCAAAAAGCUAAACCAUGUAAAUCCUCAUGUCUCUUGUGUGAUAUUUACUUCUCAAUUUCAUUUUAGUUGUGUAUCUACAUUGCUCAUCAACCCAUAAAUGGUAUUAUCCAUGCAUACGACAUUGUUCACAGAAUUAUUUCCAAUGGGAGUAUCAAAGACCAAGAGUGGACCAAUUGUGUGAUAUUGUACAUGUCUAGGAAAGUUUUGUCACCAAGGCGAUAAGAUCCAAAGGAGUUUGGGUUCUAAGUUGGACUGUUGUGACCCCUCUAAUUUUUCCUGGGGACUUUCCUGGUGUGCAAUAUCAUAGCGUCUAUGACUAUUCAAUCCAAGUUAAGAUUGCAACAAGAGCUUAUUUGGGCUUGGGCCACAUCAAUGCCUGAGUACGCUUUUGGACCUUGCUCUUCGAACUACACAACGGGAUCAGGCGGGUUGCAUACUAACUAGUCUAAAUUUCUAUUCAAGCCCAAUUCUAGAAGAAGUUUAUUCUUGUGACACGUGGCUUAGUAAAAUUUCCGCUUCAAACAUCAUCAUGCUCUGAUAUCGAAAUUGAAGUUUUAGAAUUUAGAUGACAUCCUUAAAUUUCAUUGAACACCCUAUAGAAAAUUUGUACUGUACAAAUAACGAAGAAGUUGUAUCAUUUAAAACUCAAAAACAUGCCCACCAAGGCGCAACCAAAGUGCCGGCAGCCAGCAAAGCUAAGGUUGAAAAUGAUGUGUUACGGAGAAAAGUAUACGGCAGCAAGUCAACAACAUUGUUAAAUAUAGAAGGGAUAAGAACAGAUUGAGCAGUUUUUUAUCUUAUUUUUUCUCAUUCAUCAUAUAUAAAAAUUUUAAAUAAGGAUUGAAACAUUAUACUUCUGGUUAUUAAGCCUCUUCGAAACUCGGACCAAAUAUCUGAUCUCGUUUCUUCAAUUACACUCGUAUCAAAUAAUAUUGUAAUGGAACCCGACAGCAUGCUAUUGUUAGAUUCAGCUAUUUCACAAUUAAAAAUCCAAAUGGCGUUUCAAUACUUCGAAAAAGGAUCAGACAGACACAAGAAAAUGGCCGGUUGGGUAACCCUGCCACGGAUUCCCACCAUCAAAUCUAGUCAAUAAAAUACAACAUGAAAUAAGAAUUCAGACCAGAAUAAACAUGAACUUAUCAUUAAUUCAUUUGCUAGCCCAUUUUUCAAAUCUAUUUUUAUUUAAGAUUUUACUAUACAAAUAUAAUCAACUUUGUUAUAAUAUGGUGUAAUGUCUAUAUUGCUACAUAGUGUGAUAGGCCAUUAAUGUAAUAUAUAUGGUAUUUAUUUUCACUUGACCAAUUUGCCCAAAUUUAUAUUUUAUAAGCAGUUUUAAUCCUAGAUUCAUCAGGUCGUGAUUUUUAAUUUGUGGGUCGAACCAAACUUGUUACAAACUGACUCAAAUCGAGUCGAUACGGUCAAGUUGGUUCGAUCUAACUGGUUUCGUUUUGACAUGCCCACCCCAACGAACAACUUUUGAGUUUUCCAUUAUUGGCCUAUUGCAGUUUUUUCCAACAUUCCUUGUUUAAUUGAUAUAUACAUUUGUCACUUUAUUUAUCAAAAAAACAAAAUUUUAUAGGAAGCACAAAACCACUAAAAUCCCUAGAUAAAAAGUAAGUUGUCUAUAAGUAUCUUAAUGUUCUUUUCAUUCCUUUUGUCAAAAUUUUAUAAUCUAUUUUUUUAUUUUUGUCAAAGUAUCAUUGUUCUUUUUUUUAAAAAAAGAAUAUAUACAAAGUAUAAAUUUAUUUUUUAGUCUAUUAAUUUCUCUAAAAUUUAAAUAUAAAUGAUCAACUAAAUGUUAGUUUGUUGAAAACACUCCUACCGUCGAUGCUGACCGUUACUCAAAAUGUUAUCAAUAAUAUGAGAUUUAUGCAACUGAACAUAUAGCAUUAGUUAGGAAUGAACUUUGCAAUAAAAACAGAAAUUGAGCUAGAAAAGACAACCGAGUGUGAUCAACAAAUGUAGAUCCAAGACAAAUAGUUUUGUAUAUAUUAUUAAUUUGAUUUCCUGUUUGAAGAAGUUUUCAACCGUCACGGAAUGUGACACGUGGCGCGUGCAUCUGACCUCAUACUACCGGUGACCAAUAACCAAUAGCCAACACUCGAUCAUUUUUAAAAAAUUUACCCGCACUGAGAAAACGACGUCGUGAGCGACCCUCGCACGUACCAUUUGAAAAAAGAAAAAAAUGCAGUUGUAUGUAUCAUCAUCAUUAUUGCUCUCCUUAAUCAUGUACAAGAACGUGUCCGUGUCUAUCGUCUCACUUUGAUUCAUUUUCUCACCAGACACCCACUUUAUUGCUCCUCUUCAUCUUUUAAUUUAAAAACCAAAUAUUAUUUUUUCUUUUUCUUAUGAUUAAGAAAUGGCUGCGAAAAUUGGAUCAUUUAGACACAGUUUUGCAGAAAGGAGCAAAGAAAGAUUGCUAUCUAGGAAGGGCUAUUCAGACUUUGGCCUGAACAGCACGGAUGAUGAUGGCAGCGAAGAUGGAAUCAAAUGAAGAUGUUUCCGUUGGAUAUCAGACGGAGUCACCAAUUUUUGGACCAAUUUGCAAAACAUUUUUAUUCAAUUCUAUGACAUGGGUCGUAAUGAUCCUCGUAAAGCCGUUUUUGCUGCCAAGAUGGGCUUGUCGUUGGCACUUGUGUCAUUGGUUGUCUUUUUCAAAGAGCCACUCAGUAAUGUUAGCCAAUAAUCGAUCUGGGCAAUUCCUACUGUUGUUGUAGUUUUUGAAUUCAGCGUAGGUACUAGUUUACAAUCAUGCGAUGCGACUAAAACAAGCAAAAUCGUAUUGAGAUUUGGAUAUGGAAGUGAUUUUGUAAUGUUAUUGAAUCAAUUUCUUUCAUGUAGGUGCAACGCUUAACAAAGGAUUCAAUCGCGCUUUAGGGACGUUUUCUGCUGGUGGCCUUUCUCUGGGCAUUGCAGAGCUCUCUCUGUAUGCAGGGGCUUACCAGGAAGUUAUUAUUGUCAUCAGUAUUUUUAUAGCAGGUUGGCAUCUUGUUAGCAAUUAAUAUCUAUCAAUCAUUGCCUUGGAGCCCAUUUCUUGAAUUGUUGCUCUUAUAUUUUUAUUUUGUCCUUUUCAGGAUUCUGUGCAAGUUAUGCUAAAUUGUACCCCAAAUUGAAACCAUACGAAUAGUUCGAGUCUUCUUGUUGACAUAUUGCAUUGUACUUGUGUCUGGAACUUCAACAACAUUUUUCCGCACAGCAUUUUAUCGGUUAGUGCUUAUUGCAGUUGGUGCUGGGACAUGUUUGGUUGUAAAUGUGUGCAUAUAUCCCAUGUGGGCAGGGGAGGAUCUGCACAAGUUGGUGGUCAAAUUUUCAAAGGCCUCGCUACUUCCUUGGAAGGUUAGACAUUUGCUUCUUAGAUAUUCGGUUCUCUUUGAUUUGAGCUGAAUUCUGAUGAGUAGUUGAUUGAUUUAUCAUAUUGGACUUGGAUUUAGGUUGUGUUAGUAACCACUUGCAGUGUGUUGAUUAUGAGAGAGUCCCUUCGAAAAUUCUUACUUAUCAAGCUUCUGAUGACCCAGUGUAUAGUGGCUAUAGAUCGGCUGUACAGUGUACGAGCCAAGAGGAAUCUCUGGUAUAAUCAGUAUAACUUUGCUGGUUCUUUCCUCAACUCCAUCUCUUUUAUUUCUUUUUCUUUCCUGCAAGGCCUGUCCUUUUGACAGACCAGAAAGUUAGGAUCUCUUGUACUCUUGUACUCUGCAGAUGGAGUUCGCAAUAUGGGAGCCACCUCACGGCCCUUACAGGUCAUUCAAUUAUCCCUGGAAAAAUUAUGUUAAAGUAAGUGGUGCAUUGAGGCACUGUGCAUUCAUGGUCAUGGCUAUGCACGGAUGUGUACUUUCUGAAAUACAGGUAAGUGGCUUUUUUUCUAUUGCUUUAGCUGCUGUUUUAGCAACUUAGGCUUAUGGUUAAAUCUGUACUUGGAGAAUGAAAGUGUCAUUCAAGGAUCCUUUUAUUAUCUCCAAUAUGUCUAGUGAACCAUAUUUCUCUUGGAGUAAUGGUAGCCCAUCUAGGUAACUGGUCGUUUCAGUCAUUAAUAGUGAGUUUCUGAGCUUCAAUGUACUAAUGAAGUUUAGCUCUAGUCCCCAUCUUUCCAAUCUUUUGCUGGUCCCUCUUCUUGAUAAUUGGUGCAAACCAGCUCUUAAUCGGCAUGUAUCCCCACCAGAUGUUUCUCAAUCAGAAGCACUUGAAUUGCGAUCCUCGAACUCCUUUCACAAACUAAUAGUUUCAGCUUUGUCGGCACAGCUUUGAUGGUCUCAAAUGCCAAAACUCCCCUUUUCUUCUCCCCAUUCACUCUGCAAAUUGCCAUCAAAUUUGGUUAAUUGGCAUUUUAUUUAUUUAUUUAUUCCCGUAUUGCAAUUCAAAAGAAUAGUAUAUAUUCAUGCAUGCUGGUUUGGUAGCAUUAUUUUGUUCUUCUUAAUCUUAAUUAAAUUUUUUAUAUAUACGCUAUCACUUUCCAAAUAAAUGGGAAUUACAUGGUAUGUGAAGAAAUAAAUUGAAAAAAAAUAAAAUUCAGAUGCAAGGUACUUAAUUAAAGAGUGCAGUUAAUGAAUCAAAUUGCCUUGAAACUUUAUACUUCAGGAAACAUUAGCAAUAAAGUUGAAGAAGUCUGGAUCAAGUCGAAGUUUGUAGAAUUUAUGAGUAUUAUAUUUAAUUUAGGUUUAUUAAAAUUUACUUUCUUUCAUAUUGGUUAUUUAAUUUAAGUUUAUUAAAAAAAAAAAUUGAGUGAGAGGUAGGAAGGGUAUGAAAAAGCAUACAGAACAAACAACAAAUUGUGAUUGCCUUGGUCACGGACCUCUUUCUAUUAUAUGGCCCUCAUUCCAUGUCUAAUUUCUGUGAGAAACAAAUGUCUAGAUUCUAGAAAUAAGAGAUGAAAAGAGAAGAUAAAACAUCCUUAUAAUCUACUGAAUGUAGAAAUCUGCAUCUGCAUAUUAUAUAGCAAACAAAAUUAAAUACUUUCUGUCUUACGAAGUUUUGAAAUUGAUUUCCCUUUCUUUAGCUGUUGCCAAGUCAUUUCCAUGUGAUUUUGUUGUUCUUAACCAGUAAUUUUUCUCUCCAGUCUUGUGUAUUAGCAGCAGAUGUCUUGUGGUGAUUCCUUUUUGUAAGCUCCAUUUCUUUGUUUCAUUCUUGAGUGAGUUAAUUAAAUAUGUAGCAAAAACAUUCAGGAUUCUAAAUUUUGUGUUAGGCUGCAAGUAUUUGGAGUCUGGAUUUAGAUAUAUGUUUGGUUUGCAAAUUUUAAUGUGCAGGCACCACCAGAGAAGAGACAGGUUUUUGCUAGCGAGCUCCGAAAUGUUGGCAAUGAAGGAGCUAAAGUAUUACGCAAGCUUGGAGACAAAGUUGAGAAGAUGGGAAGGUUAAGCCCUGAAGGCAUACUAUUUGAAGUUCAUGAGGCAGCAGAAGAGUUGCAAAUGUAGAUAGACCAAAAAUCAUAUCUUCUGGUCAAUUCAGAAAGCUGGGCCGCCAUAGCGCAGCGCAAGGAACUGCAAGAUUCUGAGAACUUUAAUGAAGUCAAAGAUGAUGAAAACAAAGUGAUUAACUCCUUGAGCGAAGUGUGGGAUGCUCAGAACCCUCACAUGGGCAUGAACCCUCCUAUUCAAGAAUGGAUUUCCUCAGAAAAUAUGUCGAGAAAUCCAGUCUCGUGGCCACGGAUGUCGUUUCAUAAUAUUGAGUCCACGCUUGGCUUACAGGAAUCAAAAGUACAUGAAAGUGCCAGCUCUUUGUCACUAGCGAUAUUUGCUUCACUCUUGAUUGAAUUUGUUGCGAGGCUCCAAAAUCUUGUUGAUGCCUUUGAAGAACUAUGUGAAAAAUAGACUGACUUCACUCAAUUAUUUAAUAAUCGAGACUAUUUCGUAGUGAAAAUGUAAUAACACAGGAAAAAGUUUCUCAAUAUGUCAAUCAAAUACGAAAGCUAUGUGUUUUACAUUUUUUCAUAGGCGAAAUCUCUGUCAUUAUUAGUUAAUUUUAUUAUAAACAUAUAUGUUUGUCAAGAGUUUACGAGAUGCGUCCAGAAAUGACGUGUUAUGUGCGCUCCACCUCAUGGGAGUAACACUGCAAUCCCCUAAUAAUAUCUAACAUGUUUUAAUUAUUACUCACCUAGUACAUAAUGAGUGAUAUUGUACAUAUAAAAUUAUUUAUUUAAAAAAAUUAUCUUACAUCCAUCAAUUGAUUAAUAAAAAUAAUACAAUUAAUUCACUUGAAUCUUGUAAAGAAUUACCAGCAAAUAACGAAUAUCAUAUUAUUUAGAAUGAAAAUUUAAAUAAAAAAAUUGUAAUGCUUAUUAUUACUAUGAAAUUACCUUUUAGUUAUCCAACCAUUUAGUAGUUUUCACUUGAGCCCGAGGAAAGCCCAUGGAGUAUAGUUUAUGCAGGCCCAGGUUUGUGGGCUUGGGUAGAUAAUUACAAGAAAUAUACCAGAACGCAGACAAACAAAUUCCUAAAUCUCUCUUCUCUCUCUGGGCAGAGGUCGUUGCGGGAGGGUAUUGAGAUCGGUGAGAGCUAAGGAUGGCAAUGCAAUGGGGUGGGGUGGGGAGACUUAUCCCAUUUCCCACCCCAUUAAAAAGUUUUGACUCCAUUUCCCAAUAAAUUUAGUGGGGUGGGGAUGGAGAAUCCCCACGUGGGGAAUGAUUUUUCAUCCUCACUCCAUUCCCCAUUUACUUAUUUUAUAGUAGGUAUAAAUAUAUGAUUUCAGUAAAUUAAAACUUAGAGAUUUAAAAUAAAAUCAUUACCAUAUUAUAAAGUAUUUAAAUUAUUUUAAAAAAAUCUCUAAAAGUUUGAAACAAUAUCUUAAAAUGCUAUCAAAACUGAAAAAUGUUUGAAGAGAGUAAUACCUUAAAAGAGAAAAAAAAUAUAACAAUAUUUUAGAGUUGAAAAAUAAUUAUAUUGUAGGAUUUUCUUUUAUUCAUAUCAUGUUUAUAUUACAUAAAAAUUAAAAAAAAUUAUUAAUUGACAUUAUAGUUGAUAAAAUAAAAAUCAUUAAAUAAGAAUUAAAAACAUAUUUAUAUAUAAUGGGGAUUGGGAUGGGGGUGGGGUGGGGAGUACAAAACUAAACCCCACCCCGUUAAGAAUUUGGGAAUUAUUUUUCCCUCACUCCCCACCCCAUUCCCAAAAAUUAUUCAAAAUUUUUCUCCUUUAUGGUGGGGCUCCAUGGGACCCCAAACCCGUGGAAAAUUUUGUCAUCCCUAAUGAGAGCAUCUUCAGUUCUCAGUCAUUUCCAUUUAUCGUAAUUUUUAAUUAUUAGUUUUGUUAUUUAUCUUCACCAAUCAAUAUUAAAACAUUUAAUUCUCGCUUAAUGAUUAGUUGACGCACAAUUUUCAAUCAAGAAAAUAAAAUAGAAAUUUUAAAAAUUUUAAUUAUUCUAUUUAAUGAUUUUAGUAACUCUUAGAAAUGAUUAAUGAAAAAACUGAAUUUAGUUUACCCUAGCUGUACUAUUAGGCACCUUUUGAUUCGGUAACUAUUUAUUUAUUAUUUAAUUUCUCCUGCCCUUGUUAACUGAUCAAUUUUACUUUCGUUUUCGUUUUCUUUUGUUUUCGCUGCCAAACACAUCAUCAGUGUUUAAGGCCUCAAAAUCUUCUUUAUUGUCUCUUCCUUUUGUUUUCUUUAUGGUUACCUUAGUUUCUGGAGUUGAACUCUAGGGCUUGUCCCAGAUCUCAACAUUAUUAUUUCACGUGAUUUUUUCUUUUAUGCUCUGUUUAAUUGCCAGCCAAAAACUAUCUGAACGAUAGUACUUCAUAAAAUUUGGGAUCUUGGUGCUGGAUAAUGUGGAAUUGGCAUCUUAUAGUUACUGGAAUAUUCAAACCAUUUAUUAGUCAUCAAAUUGAUAUUGAAUUUGAAUUUUGGAAAUCUUUUUGUUGAAUUUUGUGAUAAUAUAUAAGUUGCAAUUCAUCUGAUUUGCAGUGCUUCUGGGUAGAUAUUUGAUCAUAACGGUUUUCCAAGAGUUUUGAAAUACAAUGGCAAUGGUUGAUGAACCAUUAUACUCAAUAGCCGUUCUCAUAGACGAGCUGAAAAAUGAUGACAUACAGCUUAGGUUGAACUCAAUACGUAGGCUGUCAACAAUUGCACGUGCUCUUGGGGAGGAGCGGACUCGGAAGGAAUUAAUUCCGUUUCUGAGUGAAAACAAUGACGAUGAUGAUGAGGCACUUCUUGCAAUGGCAGAAGAGCUUGGUGUUUUCAUUCCAUAUGUGGGAGGAGUUGAGCAUGCCCAUGUUUUGCUUCCGCCUCUGGAGACCCUUUGUACUGUUGAGGAGACCUGCAUGAGGGACAAAGCCGUUGAGUCUUUGUGUAGAAUUGGGUCGCAGAUGAGGGAGAGUGAUUUGGUUGAUUGGUUUAUUCCUCUGGUCAAGGUUAGAUUACACCAUUCUGUCGUGUUUGUUUAUUGAAUUGUUGUUUUGUAAUGUUGAUCUUCUAUGUUCAAGAAACACAACUGCAGUAUGUUUGGAAGAAUUUUCAUUUCCUUUAAAUUGUUUACUAUGCCCUCAUUUUGUGAAGCACUUUCCCAAACAUCUAGAAAAAUAUGCAGCUUGCUGAGUGUUUACCUCUGUAUUGGCUUUUGAAGCUUGUUAGUACUUCACAUUGUCCAUUUCUUACCUACCUUAAUGAAAUUAUGUUUUAUUGAAAGAAACAUUAGUAAAGCAAGCUAUUUAAUAUGAGUAACUUGAGAUGCGUAUGAAGGUCUUUCCACGGUUCUCUGCAUUUAUAAUUUUUUUAAAAAUAAUUUACUGAUAUAUUUUUGCUAUGGCUGCAUAUAGAAACAUUAUCUCUUGCAGUUUAACCACGUACUUCUGUGUGAAUGCUUGCUUUUUCCUAAUUCCUUUGUGAUAGGUAUUUCAUUAUUCUCCUGUGUAUUUUCUGAGUCUUUGCUUUCUACAUGUUUUAAACCUCGUAUAUUCAGAGACUAGCAGCUGGUGAAUGGUUUACAGCUCGGGUUUCUGCAUGUGGGCUGUUUCACAUUGCUUACCCAAGUGCCCCAGAUAUUUUAAAGACAGAAUUGCGGUCAAUAUACACCCAAUUGUGUCAAGAUGACAUGCCCAUGGUUAGGAGGUCUGCUGCAUCCAAUCUGGUCAAAUUUGCUGCAACUGUUGAACCUGCUCAUUUGAAGACAGACAUCAUGUCAAUAUUUGAGGAUCUGACAUAGGAUGGUAAUUAAAUAAUUAAUUUAUAUUUUACGGAGAACAUGUUUCUAUCUGUUUCUAUUGUUGGAUAUUGCUCGUCACUUUGUGGUUUACGCGUCUCCUUCAAGUGUCUUUUAAUUAUGCAACCUGAAUUCUCUGCUGCUGCCUAUUUGAAUUGAGUGCUCUCUUGAUAACUGUCAUCUAGGGUUACCUAUGUCCUGACAUAGAAGUGGUGCAUCCUUUCUUGCAACUUCAGUACAUGUAUGGUGCAUGCAACGUGUAAAAGAAGUAUGAGCUGCUAACACGAAAUUAUAAUAGCUGUGCAGAAUAUAUGCGACAUAAUUAAAGUUUAUUUGAGAUGAAUAUACUUCUGAAUGUGAGAUAAAAAUUAUAUUAAUAUGGCUAGGAGAGUAAGUUGCAGCAGGUCAAGGAUGGAUUUAAUGAGAACGCGUGAUAGCCUGGCAGCAGUCCAAUGGUGGGACUGUCAUCUUUCCACUGAUAUAGAUUCAAUGCAGUGGAAAUCAUCUGGCUUUUUUUUUUUCCAGUUUGCUUAUUGUGAUCAUCGGUUUGAUGAGGAGAUGGAUUCUACGAAAAUGCUUUACGCUUCAUUCAUCUUUUGGGUCAGGGUUUUCUGGCUGAUACUUCAUGAUAGAUUUCUUGGGCAUUCAAUGGGACUCUUGGCGUUGAAAAAUAUAAUAUAUUACUGCUAAUAGAAGUUGGGGUAGACAUAAAAUGAACAACUAGAUUGAACUAACAGGAACAGGAUUGGCAUUCCUAAAACAUUUGGUUCAUGUGAACACUAGCAGUUGUGGUGGGCUGGCUGCAUGUUGACACUAUGUUUAUUGUUACUUAUUUUUCUUUCGUGAAUUAUCUUCUUAAGGUUACCUGAAAUCUGGAAAUUGAAGACAGUAAUGUUUAUUGUAACACUGAAGUAUGACCUCCUUUCUUUUUCUUUUUUUCCCCAAGUGACAGAACUGUGUGAUAUUCCUAAACUUAAAUUUUAUUAGCAAAGAGAUGCUAUUUAAAUAAAUUUAAACUUAUGGUCCUUAGAUUGAACCUAGUUGGCUUGUGAAUAUCUCCUGGCUAAUUGUCUUUAUUGCUAGAAGACAAGUGAAUUGAUUUGGGUGCGGUACAAAAGGAUUAAUUUUGAUCAUGCCUCAGAUCGAUGCUACUGUGAGAUUUUCCACAUGACUAUCUGAGGAUAGUUUAAGAAACUUUCCUUCAUGACACAUAGCUAUAUGUUUUAUCGUGGUAAAUAGCUCAAGAAAGCAAUAUCCUGAACCCCCCCCCCCCAAAAAAAAGGAAAAAGAAUUCUUUCAAAAUAAUAUUAAAAAAUAAAUAAAUAAUCUUAGGAUAUUGAUCAAUCUUGACAAAGAAUCAUGUUGAGUUCAAAACAAUGUAUGAAUGGUCAAACAGAUGUGUGGUAUGGUGUUCGGAACAUAAUUCGUUCAUUUCAUGUAUUAAAUUUUCGAGUAAAUUACUCUGUGAAUAGUAACUUAUGUUUUGCUUAUAUAGAUGCAUGUUAUAUUUUAAAGAUCAUUUCAUAUAUGAAAACCCCACAUGAGGUUUUUUAAUUAACUUUUGACCCAUCAAGAUUCUGUUCGAUUAUUGGCUGUCGAGGGUUGUGCAGCACUUGGAAAGCUGUUGGAACCUCAGGAUUGUGUGGCACAUAUUCUUCCUGUUAUUGUGAAUUUCUCUCAGGUACACUUGUAUUGAUGAUUCUUGCUUCAAUGCUAGUUAUCUGAUUUGUGAUUAGUGUGUAUUUGGAGAAGUCUUUCUUGUAGAUGACACUUCUAUACUUGAUUUGUAUAAACCCGCUUUUGCUGGAAAGUUAUAAUUUACUUCUCCAUAUGCAAUGUGAAUUGAACUUGUUGGAUCAAUUCUGAUAAUCAUAAAGUCUAAAGCAAUGACUUGUUCAUUUUGGUUGCCUAUGACACCACUAGCAAAUUGUCAAUUUGGUGAUUCAACAGACUAUUACAAGCAUUACAAGUGUGGAGUUAUAGCGAGGAGUGAAGAUUAAAAAGUAUUGAAGGACUAACGCACGAAACUCAGUAGAAAAAUGAUUAAGGCUGAAAUCCCAUUUCAGCAAAGGUCCCAAAAAUUUACUUUUUUAAUUUAAAUAUAUAUGUUUAAAAAUCAAAUAUAAGUUUUUUUAAAAAACUAUUUUUUUUUUUAAGUUGGAGUUCAUAUAUUUAACAAUCAACCCUAAGGAACAUGAAAAAGAGCUAUUAAAACAAAAAAAAAGAAUAAUUUCGAAACUAAAUACAAUUAAUUGAGAGAUGAGGACCGAUAAGAUAAAUUGAGAGAUAAAAACUAAAAUAUCAGCCCCUCGUUGCUGAUAGCCAUGAGUAUGAAAGCACAUAAGCCGUAUGUUGAAAAGUACGGUGUUCAUGUGGAUUUUUCAGCUAAAAGUCCACAAAGCAGUGGAAUUAAUCAAUCAUCGUGGAGUGCAUGGUGCUUGGACAAUGAGAUGAAAUUGAAAAAUUAUCACGGAACUUGAAGGAAGGUUCAUGGCAUCGAUUUAUUCUACAGAGUCACGCACAUUUGGUUCAAUAAUUGUUUUCAUCCGAAUCAAAAUCUCUCUCUCAUCAAUUCAACUGUUUCUGUUGAUUAUGGCUUCUUCUUCUCGGAACAACAAGAAGUAUGAUGUUUUUGUUAGUUUCAGAGGAGAGGACACCCGCGACAACUUUACUAGCCAUCUCUAUUCUGCUCUGUGUCGACAAAAUAUCCAAACUUUCAUUGAUGACCAACUUAACAGAGGAGGUGAAAUUUCGGAGUCACUUGUGAAUGCAAUUGAAGCAUCAGCCGUUUCAGUUAUCGUCUUCUCUGAAUCAUACGCUUCUUCUAGAUGGUGUCUCCAUGAACUUGUAAAAUCCUCGAGUGCAAGAAAGAGUAUGCACAGAUUGUAAUUCCGGUUUUCUAUCGGGUUUAUCCAUCAAACGUCAGAAACCAAACUGGGAGUUUUGGCAAUUUAUUUUCGAAGCUUGAAGAAAGUUUUAAGGAAAAUCCAAAGAAGCUGAGGAGUUGGAGGAAUGCUUUGAAGGAAGCAGCCAGUUUGUCGGGCUUUCCUUCUCAGAAUAUCAGGUGAAAAGUUACUUUUAAUUUCUCAUACUAAUAUUUAACAAUAAAUAAAAUUCACGCAGCACUCUUAGUUAAAUAUCUGGCUGCUAAACUACAAUUUAAAAAAUUUUUAAGCAUCAAGUUCUAGACUUCCUGACUUCCCCACUUUUGUGCUCUCAUAAUUAUAAAAUAAUUGUGACAGAAUUAAUAAUAAAAGCUCGAGAAUUUUACAAUAUAUAUGUAACAAAAUUAGGGGUGGUCUGUCGUUUUUUAAGCAAUUUCAACCUCUCACUCAGAUACCACCAUUAGAACGAAAAAAAAAAAAUCACGCAUAUUCCUGUAAUUUAAGAGUUAUUAAUUUACUGGGAGAUUGUAGAUCAGUGGUGUGGUAUAUAUUAAUUUCAAUAGAAAAAUUGGCAAUCUCCCUUAUUUCAUAUUUAAUGCAAAUUCCUCCUAUUAAUUUGAAGUUACUUUGGCUAAUUUUAUGUAUUUGCUAGGCGUGAGUCGGACCUUACCAAUGAAGUUGUUAAUCACAUUUUGAAGAGAUUGGAUGAAGUGUUUCAGCCGCGUGAUAACAAAAACCAGCUGGUGGGAGUGGAAUCAACAGUUGAGGAAAUUGAAUCUCUAUUAGGUGUUGAAUCGAAUGGUGUUUACGCUUUAGGGAUUUGGGGCAUUGGUGAUAUAGGCAAAACAGCUAUUUUCGACAAAAUCUCGAGUGAUUUUGAAGGUUCUUGCUUCCUCGAAAAUGUUAGAGAUGAGUCACAAAGACCAGGAGGAUUAGCUUGCUUACGACAAAAACUUCUUUCAAAUUUAUUGAAGGAUAAAAAUGUGAUGCCUUAUAUUGACCUCAAUUUUAGAAGGGUCAGCCGCAUGAAGGUUUUGAUUGUUUUUGAUGAUGUGACUUGCUUCAGCCAAUUGGAAUCUCUAAUGGGAAGCCUUGAUUGGUUGACGCCAGUGAGUCGAAUCAUAUUAACCACCAGAAAUAAACAAGUGCUUAGAAAUUGGGGGGUGAGUAAAAUAUAUGAGAUGGAGGCAUUAGAAUAUCAUGACGCUCUUGAGCUUUUUAGUCGACAUGCCUUCAAACAAAACCAUCCUGAUGUUGUUUAUGAGGAACUUUCAAGCAAAGUAAUGAAAUAUGCUCAAGGUGUUCCGUUAGCUCUUAAAGUUUUGGGUUGCUUUGUAUAUAAAAGGGAAAAAGAAUUUUGGGAAAGUGCAAUAGAUAAAUUGCAAAGAAUUCUCCAUCCAACUAUUCUAGAGGUAUUAAAAAUAAGUUAUGAUGGUUUGGACGAUAAAGAGAAAAAUAUUUUCCUUGAUGUUGCUUGUUUCUUUCAAGGUGAGCAUGUAAAUCCCGUAAUGAAAUUCUUCAAAGCAAGCGGUUUGUACCCAGAAAUAGGAAUAAGUGUUCUUAUUGAUAAAUCUCUCAUUGCUAUUGAUUCACACAAGAAGAUAACAAUGCAUGAUUUACUACAAGAAUUGGGUAGGGAAAUUGUUCGACAAGAAUCAAUUAAUCCUAAAAACCGCAGUAGAUUGUGGUAUCAUGAGGAUAUUUAUGAAGUUCUUACGUAUAAUACGGUAAGCAGCUUGUUGUGGAUUAUUAGUUUGGAAUAUUGUAGUGUUUCAAAACUUGAUGUGAAUAUAUUUAUUUACGCUCGAACAAAUGAGUCUUAGAAUUAAUACAAGAGUGACAAUGAUCGGAAAAAACAAUAGUGGUUAGGUGAUGUAGCAAUAAAUUAUAAAUGCGAUUGACAAUUGCAUAACCGUUUGCAAGCAUAAUUGAUAUAUAAAUUUGAUAUACAGAAUUUUUAUGUUAAGUAUUACUUGUGCUAUUAUGUUUCUUUGUACAUUUGCAAUUAAGAGUUUAACUACCUAGCAAUAACAAUAAACAUGAAUUAUUGAAAUUUAAUUUGAGUAAUGAUAGAGAAAACCACUCCAAUCCGACAUAAACUCCACACAAGAACAAAUUAAAGUUGAAUUAAUAACUUACCUUUAAUUGUGAAUGAGUGAUAAACUUGCCCCAAAAAUCUGAAGUGUUAUUCACUAGGGGCAUGUUUGGUUGCUGUAUUAUAACUCCUCAUUGCAUUAGCUUUGUACAAGCCCAUGUUUGGUAAGUUAAAAGCUACAGAAACACUGCAUAAUUGGCCAAUCUAAUGCGGCAGUUUGCCGCGGCAAACUGCCGCUUGCUCUUUCCUUUUUUUUUUUCCUUUUCGUUUCCAACUUUCCAGCUUUUGCUAACUUUUGCUUUUACUUUAAUUUUAUAAUAAUAAUAAUAAUAAUAAUAAUAAUAAUAAAAUUAUUUUUUAAUUUAAUAUUAUAUUAUUUAAUAUUUGUUUCCUUUUCGUUUGCUCUUUCCUUUUUUUUUUUUCCUUUUCGUUUCCAACUUUCUAGCUUUUGCUAACUUUUGCUUUUACUUUAAUUUUAUAAUAAUAAUAAUAAUAUAAUAAAUGUUUGAGGAAUUAAAUAGAGCGACCAUGAUCUCCUCCAAGUGAAAGUGAGCAAAUGGUUGAGUAGACCACCUCGACCAGGUACUAUGAGGUUGAGCAGAUCACCUUGACCAGGUGGUAUGAGCUUGAGCUGAUGACCAUGUGGUAUGAGCUUGAGCAGAUCACCUCGACCAGGUGGUAUGAGCUUGAGGAGACCACCUCGACCAGGUGGUAUGAGCUUGAGGAGACCACCUCGACCAGGUGCUAUGAGCUUGAGCAGAUCACCUCGACCAUGUGCUAUGUGCUUGAGCAGAUCACCUCGACCAGGUGCUAUGAGCUUGAGCAGAUCACCUCGACCAGGUGCUAUGUGCUUGAGCAGAUCACCUCGACCAGGUGAUGACCAGGAAUCAAGACUCAGUUAAAAUAAACCACCACAAAGCUCCUCCGAAAAAUCAGAGCACGAAUUUGAUCAAUUAAUGGUUAUUGUCACGAUCUAAGGUCGUGGGUGUGGGAUGUUUAUAAAAACCCUGAGAAAACCACGCCAAAGUGGGGAAGGGGGGCUCUUUUUCUCUUGAUCUCACUGAGAAAUUCUUUAGGGAUACUCGACUUUACUUUUCUGUAAAUUAUUCAAAAAGCUUUUGGUUUUAAGGCAAUGUUUAUUAAGCCAUAUGAGAAAUGGCAUAUUUGGUUUUUCCUGUAAAUCUCAUAACUGACUUGAGCAUCGAAGGAUUUACGCCGGAAAAACUUCCGGCACCUCUGACCAUUCUCUGUAAUUUCAGGUACUUAUUGAUCGUCAGCUUGAAGAUUAUAUGCUCAUGAAUGUUCUGCUCAUAGUCAGAGAAUAUUCUUGGAGAUCAACCAACAGCUUCCCACCAAACAAAUUUAAUGCUGAUGCAAGGAUUCGAAAUUGAGUCACUAACCAACUGGUUUGGAUUUCGGCAUCAACAAUAAAUAUUAUUUUUUAAUUUAAUAUUAUAUUAUUUAAUAUUUUUAUUUUUUUACAUUAUAAUUAUUAAUAUAAAUAAAUGAUUUAUUGUUCAAUAAUAUUAUAUUCUAUUUUUUUAUUUUACAUUUUAAUUUAUUAAUAAAUUUACAAUUUAUUAUGACUAAUAAUAAAUAUUUAAAUAUGAAUAAUAUUAAUUUAAAAUUAAUAAUAAUAUAAAUAAUAAUAUAAAAUAUUAAUACAAUUUAAAUAUAUUAAUAUAAUAUAAUAUUUAAAUUAAAUUAAUCAAAAAAAUUAUUACAGUACAGUGUAGUACCAAAUAUUGUACAGUAUUAUUAUAAUACAAUGCUAAUGCAAUACAACAUAAUACAAUACACCAGCAUUAAAAUAAUGCAAUACAACAUAAUAUAAUACGUGUACCAAACGCACCCUAGUGGAAUAUAAAUAUCAUUUUUCAUUUGAUGUUAACUUUAUUGAUUUUUCUAUUUAUUUUUAGGGGACAGAAAAAAUUGGAGGCAUCUGUUUGGAUUUGUCAAAAGUAAAAGAGAUCCAUCUAAAUCCCAAUACUUUCGCAAAGAUGCGUAAAUUGAGAUUUUUAAAAUUCUAUAGUUCAUCAUUCAAUGGGGAGAACAGAUGCAAGGUGUCUCAUUUGCAAGACCUCAGAUUUGCUGAAGUGAAAUAUCUUCAUUGGCAUGGAUAUCCGUUGAAGUCAUUGCCUUCAAACCAUAGUGCAGAGAAGCUUGUGUUUCUUAAAGUGCCUAAUAGCGACAUUGAACAACUUUGGAAUGGUGUGAAGGUAUGUUUAUCUUAAUAUAUAUGUGCAAUAUUUCAAUAAGAACAUUAAAUUAUCAUGCAUAGCAAUGAUUUUAUCUUUGCCUCUUUUUUGACCGAGCAGCAUUAUAGUAAGUUAAACCAGCUAAUCCAUGCUGCCUGCAAGAAGCUAAUUGCCAAAACUCUAAACCCCACGUUGAUUCUACAUCUGAACAAGCUAGUUAUCUUGAAUCUAAGCGGUAGCAAAAGCCUGAAAAGUCUUCCAGCUGGAAUAUUUAAUUUGGAAUUUCUUACCGAACUUGAUCUUUCGGGUUGUUCAAAGAUGAAGAGGCUUCCAGAGAUCUCAUCUGGUAACAUAGGCCAGCUAUUUUUAAGUGGAACUGCAAUUGAAGAAUUGCCCUCGUUAUUUGAGCUUCUACUUAGGCUUUGGUUGUUAGACCUUUCAGAUUGUAAAAGGCUUAAGAGUCUCCCAAGCAGCCUCUAUAAGUUGAAGUCUCUUGAACUUCUUAGUCUCCGUGGUUGCUCAAAUCUUCAGAGAUUGCCCGAUGGCUUGGCCAGUUAUCGUCGCCAUUAAUAGUGAAUCUAUUGAAAACCAAUAUUGAGAGAAUACCAGAAAGCAUUAUCCAACAAUUUAUGUUGCGAUACAUCCUCUUAGAUUAUUGUGAGGGGCUUCAAUCCUUACCAAAGCCUCUAUUCCUUGUACGAUGGUUAGAUGCCGAUCAUUACUCGGCACCACAAUCAUUAACAGGUUUAUUCUCUAAGUUCUGAAUCUUAUAGGCAAUGUUUUUUUACUAGAGCAAUAAUUUUUAAUUGGAAGGUAAUUCUACUGCAGAAAUUAUUCAAGAUGCCUUGAGAAUUCAACAUAUGGGUCAUGUGGUACCUGCCCGUUGGAAAGAAGUACGGGAAAAGGUGUCUUAAUUCUUUCUCCUUACAAUUUAUACCUUUUUUUUGGGUUUGAAAUUUUGAUCUUUUGCUAUAGAGAGGUUUUCCCAAGGAAGGCCAUUACGUACUAGCUGGGAAUGAAAUUCCAAGGUGGUUUAAUUUUCAAAGUGUGGGAUCUUUUAUAACGUUAGAGAUGCCCCCAGAUUUCUUCAACUGCAACAGAGUACUGGGCUUUGCAUUUGGUGCUAUUUUAGGAUUUUCAGGCCGUCAUUUAGAUUGUGGCAGAUGGUUUUCAUUUUCUUGUGAGAUCAAAGUGGAAACCACCAAAGAUUGUGAUCCGCAUGACACACGGUUAUUUCAAAGAAGAGUUAAUUAUUUAGAAUCAGAUCACUUACAUUUGGGAUACUAUUUGUUCUAUGAAGAGGAUUUUAAUGGUUUUUGGAAAUGCAAUUGCUUUCCUGAGACAGUCCACUUUAAUGUUUUUCCACCUUGGAGUGUGAGUGUUGCGGAGUGAAAAAAUGUGGGAUCCAUUUUUUUGGCAUUGCAGACUCUACGAAUUCAAUGGAAGACCCAAGCAGAUGUUUCAACUAUAACGUAGAAGACUGAGAUUUUCAUGAAUGUAUUUUUAUUGUUUUCCUUUUUCAAAUCACUAUUAAUAAUAGGAGAAAAUGAGGAGAAAAUGCCAAAAUCAGUUCUUGGAACAAAACAUUCAUGUUAUAACUUUCGACGGAUCUGGUGCGUGUAACACAAAUUCACACUAGAGUAUUGAACUUUACCUUAUUAGGUGAAGAGUAUAAUGUAUGAAGAGCACAUGAUGUAUAUUGUAAAAUUAAAACUAUUGGCCUUCUUUCUUGCUCUGCACACACCACCCAUAAUGAUUUGUUUUUGGACUUUACAACCCAAAACACAUCUACUUAGGUGAGCAUGUGAAUUAUAAACUAGUGAAAAAACUCAUUUGCCAGCGGCAUGGAAUAUUACAGGACGCGCAACGAGUUCUUACAGAGUAUGUUGUUGGCCCAUAUCUCAACCAAUGAACACAUGCCACUCAUCCCAUUGCGCACUACAUCAACUCUCUUGUAUAUAACCCAAUCACAUUUGAAAAUUUUCUAUUUUGUUAAAUCUAAAUUGUUGUAUAUGGGAAAGUUUUAUCAUGUGGAAGCAAAAGCAAUAAAGAGGGAACAGUUAAACUCCGUCAAAUCUUAUAUAUUUUAAAAAACAUAUUUGUAUAUUGAUUUUUAAAAAAAGAACAUGAUAGAUGUCAUUUUCACCAACUCAUUUUUUCUAUGAAUCAGUUUGCUUAAACAUCUAUUUUGGGGUGAAAAACAUCAUGAUCAGGCACGCAUGAGCAAAAUGUGCUCCCCUCGGCCUAAAAUGACUCAUCGAGAAAGAUUAUCCCCGAUGAGGUGUGUGGCUGGUCACAUGAGCAAAGUCGGCUCGAGGAAGCACGACGAGAGACUAGAAUUAAGUCAAAUCGACGACUUGGUUAAAGGUCAACCCAUGGGUUUCCUCCAAAGAAUUCGAGCAUGAAGCCCACUCACCAGCAGUUACGCUACCUACUCUCCCACAGUUAUGUGACCAACCCAGCAACGGUGUUGGGGGAGAGAGGAGGCCAAUAAUUUUGGUUGGAUAUUAAAGCUUUAGAGAAUAGAAGUAAGGGGUUUAGAUAACUUUUUACUUAAUUUUUUCAUACUCUCUCUAUUCACAAUUUUAUCUUCUCUAUUUUUCCUUUUUUAUGAAAUUAAACCUUUUUUUUCAUUCAGAGUAGUUGUAAUUAAGUCACGUGAAUCAUGUCACGAGUUUUUUCAAGUAGACCCAGAUCGCCCACUUAAGCGUCGGAGGGUUCACGCCGGAAAAACCUCAGGCAUCCUCUAACUAGAUGUUAUAAACGUAGGUGUUCUUGAAGGAAGUACUUGAGGUCGCAAGAACUUAUUCGAUAGUGAGGAAAUAGCAUAGAACCGUCUCUCCAAUAACAACAAAUUUAAGUGUUGGCCUGGUUGUCUGGUCGCUACAUAGCUCAACUAGAUUUAUGUAUCAACAAACAUGUAUCCACUCUUUCAAGUAUUUAUACCAAUUCCAUAUUCGAAAUGUUUCAUUUGAUUCCAUAGUUGACGUGGUAUCAUCUAUGGGUAGAAUUUACCUUUAAAAAACUAGCUUGUAAGGAAAGGUUAAAGAUGCCCAUGAACCUUUAUUUCUAUUUAGAUUAUUGUAUCUUUUUCAUAUGAAAAAUUGAAUCUUAUCAUUCACAUAUCAUUAACAUGAGCAAUAUAGAUUAAUAAAUCAUUUUUCUUUAUUAUUGUGCUGAAUUUGACUUUUUAUUGAAUAAUUUGGUACAUUUCUUGAAUCAAUUUGGAUCUUUUACAACUUGUCAGGGAUCAGUUUCUCCUACAUUCUUUCGAUGCCAAAAAAUAUUCAAGCGGUUGAAUAAAAAAAAUAUAACAUUAUAAAUACAAGAGUUGUUUGUCAUUUUACAUUAGGAAUAAUAAAUAAUGCUCAUCAAAACUUGCAGAUGAGAAAGUAAAUGUUGGAGAAAAAUCAGGUUUUUUAAUUUUUAUAAAACCUUUUUAAGAUCGCUCUCAUAUAAUAUAUAAGAAUUUGUAAUCUAGAAAUCGUACUUUGAAAAUCCGAUUUGGCUUUUUCCUCUGAAGUGAUUUAGGCUCCCAUAUCACGAUCCGUCACCACCGGGUAAUCUUGCCACAAUUGUGUGUCGUGCCCAUUGGUAAUUCAAAUGAAAUAACAAUUACAAUCAUGAAAUCAUAACUAACUCAAGAUUAAGAUUACAGUAAAAUCAAUGCCUAUGAGAUUUAAUAAGUCUGACAGUCAUUUCAAGGUUAAUUAAAUCUCAUAUGUGAUCCUGUUCAAUGUAGUCGUACUACAUCAAUAAAUUCAUACAUUAUUAAGAAAAAUCAUUCAAUGAAUUCAUUAUAAUCUAUAACUAAAUAAAGUGCCCAACUUUAUUUAUCAACUGCGAACUAAAUUUAUUUAAUCAUAAGAUAACUUGUAUUUAUGUCUUCUGUGAAUCCACAUGGUGAUCACAUAAAUACAUAUAAUAUGAUUAAAUGGACUUUAAUAAAAAUAUUAAUGCAAUUAAGAUAUUUGAAUAAAAUACCUCAUUUAUUUUAUUAAUCAGAAAAACUAUUUAUUACAAUUAAAUAAACACAUAUGCUUUUAAAGAGCAUAUUUUCCCAACAAUCUCCCACUAGCUCUCAAAGCAUAUUUGGCAUCUCACGCAUGCCCAUGGAUUCUAAGUGCAAGUUAAAAGGUUUCCCAGGUAUGGCCUUAGUAAAAGGAUCUGCCAAGUUUUGCUGUGACGCAAUCUGAGUAACCUCCACAUCACCUCUCUGCACUAUAUCCCUUAUAAGAUGAUACUUCCUCUCAAUAUGUUUUUGUUUCUUGUGGUUCCUUGGUUCCUUAGAUUGAGCUACCGCACCACUAUUAUCGAAAAAUAGUUUAAGGGGUGCAGUUACAACAGGUACCACCUCAAGAUCUUGUAGGAACUUGCGGAGCCAUAUAGCUUCUUUUGCAGCUUCAGAUGCAGCCACAUAUUCAGCUUCAGUUGUGGAGUCUGCGAUACAAGAUUGCUUCACACUCCUCCAACUAAUAGCUCCACUUCCCAAUGUAAACAUAUAGCCGGAAGUUGAUUUUCUGGAAUCCUUAUCUGACAUAAAGUCAGAAUCAGUAUAACCCACUGGAAUGAGUUCAUCACCAGAAUACACAAGCAUAUAAUUUUUAGUUCUUUUCAGAUACUUCAUUAUAUGCUUGACCGCAGUCCAGUGUUCAGGUCCAGGAUUAGAUUGAUAUCUACUAACCAUCCCUACCGCAAAAAGAUGUCUGGCCUAGUGUAAAGCAUGGCAUACAUGAGACUUUCCACAGCUUCUGCAUAGGGAACUUGUCUCAUUCUCUCUAUCUCUUCAGAUGUUUUAGGUGAUUGAUCCUUAGAGAAUGUAAUUCCAUGUCUGAAUGGUAAUAAACCAGUCUUGGAAUUUUCCAUGCUAAAUCUAGCCAAUAUCUUAUCGAUAUAGACCGCUUGAGAUAAGGCUAGAGUUUUAUUCUUCUGGUCUCGUAGUAACUUGAUACCAAGAAUAUAACUUGCCUCUCCUAGGUCUUUCAUAUCAAAUUAUUUUGCUAACCAACUCUUUAUUGUAGUCAAUACUCCUAUAUCGUUUCCAAUGAGGAAAAUAUCGUCUACAUAAAGAAUUAGGAAGGCUACAGAUUUUUCUUGAAUUUUCUUGUACACACAUGGUUCAUCAAUGUUCUGAAUGAAUCCAAACGAUUUAAUCGCUUGAUCAAAUCUAAUGUUCCAUGACCGGAAUGCUUGCUUCAAUCCAUAAAUGGAUCUUUGUAACUUACAUACCAUGUGUCCUUGGCCUUUUUGUAUAAAUUCAUCUGGUUGCUGCAUGUAGAUGCCAAAUUUCAUAAUCUAGCACUGCAGCAAUGGAGAGCAGAAUCCUGACGGAUUUAAGCAUAGCAACUGGAGAAAAGGUUUCCUCAUAAUCGAUUCCCUCUUUCUGAGUAAACCCUUUGGCUACUAAUCUUGCUUUAAAUGUUUCCACCCUUCCGUCUACUCCUCUUUUUUUUCUUGUAGAUCCACUUGCACCCUAUAAGUUUACUCUAUUUGGUGCCUCUACAAGUUCCCAGACUUUAUUAGAAUACAUAUAUUCCAUUUCUUGAUUCAUGGCCUUUUUUCAAAAUUCAACAUCUCUAUCUAUUAGAGCUUCGUUGUAACUAGUGGGAUCUUGUACAUGUUCAUCUGAGAUAGCCGUAUAGGUUUCUCCCAAAAGCAUGUAUCUCGCAGGUAACCUAGUUACCCUCCUACUACGACGAGGUUCUAAAAGUGAUGGUUGUUCAUGGAUAAUCCUGUGUUGAUCAUCUGGUUGUUACUGUUCUUCCUGUUCUGUAACAGGCGUUGAAAGCUGAGCAUCAACCUGAUCACCUGACAGUUCUUCAAGUAUUACCUUACUCUUAGGUUUGAAGUUAUUCAUAUAGUCUUCCUCGAGGGAAGUAAAAUAUGUGCUCACGAUCACUUUCCUAUCUUGAGGACUAUAAAAUAAACCUCCCCCUGUUCCUUUGGGAUACCCCACAAAUAUACAAACCUCAGAACGUGAAUCUAUUUUGUCUGCCUUUGGUUUCAGCACAUGUGCUGGUGAUCCCCAAAUACGGACAUGUCAUAAACUUGGUUUGCGACCUGACCAUAAUUCUAUUGGGGUUUUAGGCACUGACUUAGAUGGAACUAAGUUCAAGAGGUAAACUGCAGUUUCCAGUGCUAGUCCCCAAAAAGAGAUUGGUAAUGACGAAUAACUAAGCAUAGAUCUCACCAUAUCCAAAAGAGUUCUAUUUCUUCUUUCAGCUACCCCAUUUUGUUGUGGUGUUCCCGAGGCAGUCAACUGAGAUAUAAUCUCAUUUUCAACCAGAUACUCUUUGAAAUCUCAUGAGAGAAAUUCGCCACCUCGAUCAGAUCGAAGUUUCUUUAUGUUCUUAUCUAAUUGCUUCAUACUUGUGACGCAUCAGAUAAACAUAACCGUAUCUCGAGUAAUCAUCAGUGAAAGUGAUGAAACACUCAUAACCUCCUCGAGCUUGUACAUUGAUUGGUCCACAUACAUCUGUAUGUACCAAUUCAAGUGGUACUGUUGCACGUACUCCUUUGGCCGAGAAUGGCCUUUUGGUCAUUUUCCCUUCUAAACAAGAUUCACAGAGUGGCAAUGAUUCAUUUUUUAAUGGACCCAAAAGCCUAUCUUUGAUCAUUCUCUGUAUCCUAUUUUAGUUUAUAUGACCCAAGCGUAAAUGCCAGAGGUAACAUUAGUUGGAAGAAUUUUUUUUUUCUUAGAUAAAUGUGUAUGCUCAUCAUUAUUGAUCACUGUGUCAUGCAUAGAAUGGAUCAUUGGACUUAAAUGAUAUAAAUUAUCUUCCAAUGUACCAGAACAAAUAAGUCUCUUAUUAUGAAAAAUAGAAACAGAGGAUCCAAAAUUUAUAAUGUACCCUUGCUUUGACAAACAAGCUACUGAAAUUAAAUUCCUCUUAAUGUCUGGAACAUAAAGAUAAUUAUUCAAAAAUAAAGUCUCAUUAUUAAAAGAUAAUAAAACAGAUCCAGUUUUUACUGCUGACACGAACUGUCCUGUCCCUAACUGCAGCUUGACGCUUCCUUUACUUAUUUUCCUGGUUUCCUGAAACCAAUAAAGUGAAUUACAAAUAUGAUUAGUUGCUCCUGAAUCCAACACCCAAGUGUCAAUAGGAUUCUGAACUAAACAAGCCUCAAUUACAAAAAGAUUUCCCAUACCUGAUUUCACAAUCUUAGGGCAAUCCUUUUUCCAGUGACCUUUCUGUCCACACUUGAAGCAUUUGCCUUUCGGCUUGCCAUCUUGCUUGGUAGACAGUCUCUUUUUCCCAGCUUUCUUCUUACCUUUGCCUUUCGGGUUAGGCCCAAAAGAUGAACUUUUUUCAGUAAUAUUUAUGCUUCCCAGAGAUUUCUCAGCACGAUAGAUCUCUUCAGUAUAAUGGAGUUCGUUCAUCAAUUCGGUUAAGGUCAUGUUUCUUUUGUUCAUGUUAUAAUUGACCUUAAACUCCUUGAAUGUUUCUGGCAGCGAUUCUAGCACCAUGUCAAUCUUUGAGUUAUCAUCGAUUUGUGCUCCCUGAAUCUCAGCCUUAUUCAAAUAGUCCAUCAUUUUGAGGACAUGAUCACGAACUCUUGUGCCCUUCCCCAUUUUACUGUUCAUAAUUCCUUUUAGCGCUGCUUGUCUCGUGGAGCGAGUACUCUGCCCGAACAUCUGUUGGAGACUAUCCAUUAUUUCAGUGGCAGUCUCCAAGUUCUGAUGUUUGGUCUGCAGAAUAUUAGAAAUCGAGGCUAAAAUAUAGCAUUUUGCCAUUUCAUUGGCCUUUUGCCUUUUCUCAUAAAGCCUCAUCUGAUUUCUAUGAGCAUCAUCCGCUGGAACUGGAGGGCAUGGCUGGGUUAAGACAUAUUUAUAAUUUUCAGUAGUCAGGACAAUGAAUAGAUUUCUUUUCCAAUCUAUAUAAUUCUCUCCAGUGAGUUUGUGUUGACUCAGAAUAAUAGUAAGUGGGCUCAGGGAAGACAUUUUCUGAAAAAUAAAACAUCCAUGCAUAAAUAAUUUGUAAUAAUAUUCACAAUAAAUGACAAAAAUGCAUAAAACCAUAAAUGCAUUUUAAUUUAUUGUAACGAUAAUCUAGUUCCGCUUUGACAAGCUAUCCGUUGGGGAAGUAAUGUCUAUACUUACUAGACCCAAUUACCCAUUGGAUUAUUUACUUUCAUGUAGAAACAUGAUAAAUAAUUAUUGUUAUCCUUUUUUGGGCCUAAAUUUGUUAACAGAGCUUCGUUGGGAAGGUUAAUAACAAAUUUUAGUUGAGUGUAUAACCAUUGUUUCAAUCUAUGUAUUUUUCAUAUCAAUAGUCACCGUUGGGGUGAAUAAUCGAUUGAAAAAUAUUUCAAUUUUAUAUUUGAAGAAGUUCAUCAAAUAAAAUAUCUAAUAUAUAUACCCUCCGAAGGGAGCAUCACCGUAUCAUGAAGUCGAGGUAUAUAUAUAAUUUUAUUAUUGAACUAACAAUGGAGCCCGUGGGAAAAUUAUCUUGAAUUUUCCCUCUCCCACUCAAUAUUUUAAAAUUGGUUUUUCCUUUUAAAAACAUACAUAUUGUUAAUUGCAUGUUUCCUAUAAUAUUAUCUAGAUGAUAUCCAAUAUUAUUAAGCAUACGCAAAUUUCAAACAAUAUAAUGAAAUUCAUUAUUAAUGAAUGACAUGUAUCAUUAUGCAUAGAGUGCCACUACCUAUUCUAUAUGACAUGUUAUUAUGGCAUGUUAUCAUCCAAAACAUAACAUAUAGAAAAUUAAAAAUAAUUAAAUAAUCUUAAUUCAUGGCUUUUCCUAUAAUGAAAGAAUACAUUAAUCCUAAGCCUAAUCUUCAUUGGACUUCUUAUCAAUGUCCAUCUUCCAUAAGCAUUUCUUUGUUAAUGGACUAGGAGAAAUUGAGCUUUUAAAUUUAUUAUUGGUCCAACUUUAAUUUUGAAAGGAAAUAAUUAAAUAAUUUUAAAAAAAUUUAUUAAAACUUUUGGACCAAAAAUAAAUUUAAUGUAUUCAAUUUUAUCUAUGCAUUUUAAUCCAUUAAGUCCUAUUGAAAUUGGGCCUAAAACUAGGAUUCAUUAAGCCCAAAACUGUUUUUGGAUUUAAACGCAAACAAUUAAAAAUUUUCUGCCCGAAGGAAAAAUUAUGAAACCAUAGGGACCUCCAUGAUAAAAACCAUAAAACCCUAAAAUCAUAUUUUUCUUUCUUUCUUCUUCCCCAGCCGCCAUCUCCACAAAUGCCCAGCCAUUGUUCACUGUUGCCACCGAUCUCCGACCCAUCUCCGGCGCCAAACCAACCGCUGCUGCCUCGUGGGAAAACGUGCCAAAACCCGCGCGUGCAACCAGAAGCCCUUUACUUGCGCUGCAGCUGCUGGUCGUGCGCGCUGCAGCUGCUGCAUGUGCAGCGCCUGGCAGCGUGUGCUGCUAGGCUACGCGCGCUACUGGCAGCGUGUGCUGCUGGCCGCGUGCUGCUACACUGGUUCGUUGCCGCAGUUUCCAGCAAGUUUCUGCAAUUUUCCAGUGAUUAAUUUACAAAUUUCCUAGGCCAAUUUUGGCUUACAAAAUUUCUAUAGCAGUAAACUAAAUCAAGAGAGAAACAUGGUGAUAAUAAACCACCCCUCUUGUUACAGAUCUAAAAACAAAUACAGCAGAAAAUCUAACAAUGAAUUAAGACAAAUCAUAAACAUGCUUUAUUCAUAUAUUAAACAAAUAAUAUAUAUCUGAAUAAAUUGUGCCACUCUAAUACAUAAAUAUCAAGACUAAUUUCAUACAAAAUUCUUAUAUAUUAAUAUGAGAUGGCUCUGAUACCAAUUGUUGGAGAAAAAUCAGGUUUUUAAAUUUUUAUAAAACCUUUUUAAGAUCGCUCUCAUAUAAUAUAUAAGAAUUUGUAAUCUAGAAAUCGUACCUUGAAAAUCCGAUUUGGCUUUUUCCUCUGAAGUGAUUUGGGCUCCUAGAUCACGAUCCGUCACCACCCCGCUUGUCGGAUCACGAACUGUCACCAAUGAUCUUCUAGGUUAUGACUCAGGUUUGAUCUGCACUUGACGUGUGGGCGCCUUUAUCACUACCAAAGCAACUAGCACGAGAAAAUUUUUCUCUCAACAAUAGAGAGAAAAAUCUUUUUUUCUGAUCUGUAUAAAGUGGCUGCUAUCUUUUUCUUUAGAGAAAAUAAGCCUUUUUAUAUCUCCCUUUAGUGAAAACCCUGGGCUCCAAAAAUCAAAAAUCAAAACUCACGUUACUUGCUUUUUCUAUAGGGGACCCACCUUGUAAAAUAACAUAACUCUCCUGGUACCAUCAUUUUACAAUAUUAUCCUUAUGAAAAAAAUUCAGAACUAUCAGACCUGAGCUUCCGGUCGCCGUUGACUGAAUUCCAGUUGCCGUUGACCAGUAGGGGCAAUUCAGUAAUUUCACAAACUGUUGGGAUAAUGUUGUAAUUUAUGAAAUUGGUGGAUAAUUUAGUAGUUUUGGACUAGGGCAGUUAGGUAAUUUGAGAUUUCAAGGGUAAUUCAGUAAUUUAAGUUAUUAAGGGCAUUUCGGUAAUUUCGUAAUUCAAGGGUAAAUUCAUAAUUUCGUACCUUGUGGUUAUUUUUGUAAUCUGAAUUGAGGAUAGUUUAGUAAUUUAGAAUUCUGAGGACAAUUUGGUAAAUUAUGGUGUCGAGGGCAUUUUGGUAAUUUUGGGCAUGCGGGGGUAUUUUGGUAAUUUCAUUCAUACGGGAAUAGUUGAUUUUGGGAAAAUGUUUGUUUUGAGCGUUAUUGCAUAAAUUUAGUUGUAUUUCAUGUUACAGAUAAUAAUUAUGUCGUUUCAUUAAUUUAGGAGGAACCGCGAACGAGAAUCAAUCCGCAAACGUAGCCGAUACUUGAGUUUGAACGUAAUCAUUGUGAGUGGAAUAUACAAAACCUAUUUUCAUAGUUAAUUAUGAUAGUAAAGCCUAUUUGUGAAAUGAGUAUCUUAAAUAUUCUGAUUUAAUGAUUUUCUUGAAAUGGAUUUUAUUCACGCAUUGAUAUUUUAUUAAAAUGUUUGGUUAAUGGUUUUCUGUAUUGAUUUGAAUAAAGCAUGAUAGUAUUCUUAAGACAAGAAAAGUGGAUUCAAAUGUGUUAAUGAAAAGAACAAUAUGAUUUACAGUAUGAUUAAAAAGUAUAUGGUUAUGAGUAUAAAGAUUGUUUUCGAAAUCAUUAGAUAGUACACUUCCCCUUCAGAUACAAUGAUACAGAUGAGAUGAGAGGCUUUAGGGCUCGUCUGAGUGCAUAUAGAGGCUUUGGGCUGUGUACUUGGAUGCUUUAUCCUUUGGGGACCAGAUUAUGCAUGCACAAAUAUGAUGAGAUAUGAUAAGAUAUAUGAGAUGAUACUUCCAUGUCUAUCCAGGUAGCUCCGGGGUAUGACGAUACUUAGAUAGUACGUCAUUGUCUGUCCAUUGAAGUCCAGAUAUGAGAUAUGAGACGACAUUUUCCUAUCUACCCGUUGUAGCUUCGGGGCAUGACGGUUUCCUGAUUGCUCGUCCGUCGAGGUCUGGGUAUGACAAGAUUAUUUGCUUGGAUACUUGUUUGGUGAUAGUUUUUAGAAUUACAGUAUUUGAUAUUACAAUUAUGUAUUAUUGUUAUAUUAGUACUUGAUUUAAAUUAAAUGAGUUUAUUUAAGUUCUUAUGAUAUUUUGAUGAAAUUGAUUUGGGACAGAUUAAAUUAUUUUAAAGUAAAUUCAUUGAGUUUUAUACUCACCCCGUUUUUAUUAUAUUCCCCCCAGGAGAUUUGCAGGUACAUUAGUUGACCCAACAACAAUAACUAUUUUUGAAAUUGUGGCCACGUGAUGGUGCUAGGAAUCAUAGAAGUAUUGUUGGGAUAUUUUGGAUUGUAUAAAUUAUUACAUAUUUGUGACUAAGGAUACUCUAUUGUAGUUGACAUUAAAAUGUUUGGGUGAUAUUUGGUAUUUUGAUUAAGGAAGUUGGUUGUGGAGGUUGGUUGAAUAUUGAAUUAUUUUUUAGAGUGCUAAUUUUAUAAAUUGCAGGUUUGGGAAUCUCAUAAUUGUAGAGGAGACUCUACCGAAUAAUCUUUGGUGGAAUCCUUAAAUAUUAGAUUUAUUAUCGGUUCAAUUAGAUGAGAUUAGAUGACUAGUCCUGAGGUUUCGGGGCAGGUCGUUUUAUCUAUACAUUAAAGGCCCAUAGCCUAUUAGAUACAUUGAAGCCCAUAAUACUGAAAACCUUAAUAGAUCUCUUUUAAUUGGGCUUAAUUUUAUAUGACAGUUUGUAACACAUAAUUAUUCACAUAUAAUCCCAGCAUUGGGUUAAGGAUUUAACAAUGCUAGAUUAAAAAAUCCAACAAAACUAAUAUUUAUUUAUUUAUUUUACAAUAGUUUACAUUGUCUCUUUAUCUUCACAUUAAACAUAAUUAAAAAGGAUAAUUUAUUUCAACAUUUUUUAAUAUGAACCUUUGAGACUUGUUAUCUCAAUUGUCAUAUAAGAAUUGAUUUGAUGUUGGGUUCCAGCAGUACCAGCUUGCUUUUACUUAUCUUGGAUGCUAGGUGUAUUGCACAUGGAUCUAGUAUUUUAAUGAUAUGAUCUAAAUUGGAGAUUGGAUUUCAGGGUAGGAUAACCGGCUUCUCUCUUUUGAGGGUAAGCUUGUACUUUUAUGGCAUGUGCUUCUUCCAUACCGUUACAUAUCUUCCAAGUCCUCUAAUUGCCUACGGUAGUCAUUAAUCAUCUCGAGCAAUAGUUCACCAAUUUCUUAUUAGGAGAUACAAAUUCAAGAUGGCGCAUCCACUGGUACAAAUUACCAUAUGUUUACUUCCUUGUGGAUGAAGGUGGUUUGGGAAUUCAUUUUCUUUUUCAAAUCUGGCAGAUGCAUUUGAGCUGAAAAUGUGGUAGAGAUUUCGGGAUCAACAAUCUCUUUGGGCUUCAUUCAUAAAGUCCAAGUAUUGCAGAACCUAAUAUCCCAAAAUGGUUCGAUUUCGCUAUUCUAUUUCCCCAUUUUGUCGACAUUUUUGCUCCAUUUGUUAUGUUGCUAAGCCUCAUAUACACUGGCUAAUUAGAUCUAGUGAUAAUAAUUUCUUGGAUGAUUGUUGUUUGUGCUUUAUGCUUCUUUUUCUUUUUAACAUUGGUGCUGCUUCUAUGGUUCUUGUGUCAUUCUUUUGGCGAGGAGCAGUUUACGAUAGGAGCAGGCUAUUGUUUGUUCUACUUACUUCAAUUGUUGAGUAGAUUUUGUUGAUCAUUAUUUUUGGUAUUAGACCAAAUAUUCUUCAUUGGACUCUAUCUAGGGAUGGGAAUUUUUCUAUAAAGACUAUUUGGGAGCUUGUUCGUGGGUCUCAGAUCUGGAAUGAGGUUUUUACUUAUAUUUGGCAGCGACAUAUUCCUUAUGGUGGUUGUUGUAUGGUUUCUUAGCUGCGAAUGAUGCCUUGGGCUUGCACUAUUAAGAUUGUCAGACAGUUAUUUUGUGAAUUGCUCAUUAGUUGGGCAAAUCUGACAAUGAUUUUACUCGAUGAUUGGUCUUUGAUGCCUUCCUUUCUAUCUCCUCAUACGUUGCUUGUUCAUUGGCGGCAUUGUGCCCAUUCUUCGAGACAUUUUCGAGUCCUUCUCUCAUGCUUCAUCCUAUGGCAUGUCUUGAAGCCUUGAAAUGCUUUUAAAUUCGAUUCAAGUUGUCAUUGCUUUUUGAGUGGUUUCGGGCCUUAGGCUCGCUAGCUCUGUUUUCGGUUUUAAGCUAUCCCAAUUGAGGGGUGUUUACCCAUAUUAGAGAGGGUUUGUAGAUAUUUUGCCUCCUCAUUGACCGGUCGCUUGGUUUCCUAGUUGAGGCUAUCGCCUAGCGUGAUGAAGUUAAAUGUGGAUGGUGCUGAAGGUGUUCUACAUGAUCAUUCGGGAGUACUAUUAGUUGCUUUUGGUUCUUUCUUAGGGCACCAAUCAAUACUGUUUGCUGAGCUGUUGGCUAUGCUUGAAGGAUUAGAUCUUGUGCUCAGCUUGGGUUUACUGUUCUAGAGUUGGAAUCUAAUUUGGCCACUGUGGUUUCUUUAGCUACUUCCCACGGUUCAGUGCAAUAAGAAUUUGCUUAUCUCCUGGGUUGGAUUCAUGCUUUAUCUUCUAGUCCUUUUAUUGCUAUCAAACAUGUCUUUUGGGAGGCCACUUCAGCCACUAACUUCAUGGUUGAUUAGGCAUGUACUCAUAAGACUCAUCAGCGAUUCUUCAGCUCUGGGGAUCUUAUAUCUGGUUUAUUUGGCAUUCUUCAUUUAGAUGCCCUCGAGUUCUUUAAUGUCCAACAUUGAUUUCCCUUUGUUGGUUUCUUUUAUAGUUUCUUUUUCUUUUUCUUUUUUUAAGAAGUUUUGGUUUAUGCCCCCUCUUCAUAUUCUUUUCAUUAUCUAAUUUUUCUUUCAUUGUAGGUAGAGGUCUGGCCUAACCCCCCACCUUCAUGAUGGUUUAGAUUAAAAAAGAAAAAACCAAUUUGACGUUAGGUUUGAAUAUCCAAACUAGAGGGGGGCGAGGAUUCCUAAGGAUCCUUUGGUAAUGAGAUUCACAAGAUUUACACAUAAAUCAACUGGAAUAAUAUCGAUUUGUCAUCCUCACAAAUGGUGGAAAUUAGAGUAUCCACUCUUUUGUAUGCUAAAAGUUCUUGGGAUUGAAAAAUUGCAACAAGCUAAAAAUGUGUCAUAAAGAUUUUUUCUUCGAAAAUGUUAUAAGAUUCUUUAACAGUUUUACCCUUUUCACCUAUUCCUCUUUCAAUGUGAAAAAAAUGCAAAUUAGUUUAAACUUUAGAGAAUUUCAGAUGAAAUCAUUUCCACAUUCAAUUAGAUUGUAUCUACUUGUUUGUCCAUUAUCAUAAUCUUAAUUUAGUACAUAAUUGUAAUUAUCCAAGCAGGGCUUUAAGGGGUAAAUAGAAGGGGUGCUAAUAGUCCCACUCUUUCCGCAAUUAUUAUUGUCCUCGAAUAUUUCUCCAACAUUUUAUUUCAUAUUUGACUUCUGCUACUAAUACUAUAACAAAAGACGCUUUUUGAAUUACAUCAGUUUCUAGUUGCAUUUUAUUGAUAAAUUAGCCGAACGCAGAUUUUUUAUUUCAUAUUUGACUUCUGCUACUAAUAACAUUGUUUGAUGCAACAUUUUAUUCCAUAUUUGACUUCUGCUACUAAUACUAUAAUUCAAAAGAUGCUUUUUGAAUUACAUCAGAUUUUUUGUUCAAAACGAACAAAGGGGUUAUAUUUUACAAUUUAGGAAAUAACUAUAUUUAAUAGAGAUAAUUUUGGGAUAUGGCAUUUACUUUCUAUUGAGACAUUUUCAUAUAUUAGAUAAAAGUUACAAAAGUUUACUUAAAAAAAAAAAUUAGACUUCACACAUUUAACAAAUAACCCAAAGGAAUAUGAAUAAUAAUUAUUUAAAACAAAAAUGAUAAAUAAGGAUAAUUUUAAACAACAAGAAGUAUGAUGUUUUUGUUAGUUUCAGAGGAGAAGACACCCGCGACAACUUUACUAGCCAUCUCUAUUCAGCCCUGUCUCGACAAAAUAUCCAAACUUUCAUUGAUGACCAACUUAACAGAGGACAUGAAAUUUCAGAGUCACUUGUGAAAGCGAUUAAUGCAUCAGCCAUUUCAGUUAUCAUUUUCUCUGAAGACUACGCUUCUUCCAGAUGGUGUCUUGAUGAACUUGCGGAGAUCCUCGAGUGCAAGAAAGAGCAUGCACAGAUUGUGUUACCGGUUUUCUAUCGCAUUGAUCCAUCAGACGUGAGAAACCAAACAGGGAGUUUUGGGGAUUCAUUUUCAAAGCUUGAAGAAAGAUUUGAGCAAAAUUCGGAGAAGCUGCAGACAUGGAGGAAGGGAUUGAAAGAAGCGGCUGAUUUGUCUGGAUUUCAUUAUCGUAGCAUCAGGUGAAAAGUUACUUUUAAUUUCUCAUGCUAAUAUUUAACACUGUAAAUAAAAUUCAUGCAGCACUCUUAGUUAAAUUUCCGGAUGCUAAACUACAAUUUUAAAUUUUUUAGGUAUCAAAUUCUAGGCUUCUUGACUUCCCCACUUUUGAACCCAUCGAUUAUGAAAGAAUUUUGACAGAAUUAAUAAUAAAAGCCUGAUAAUUUUACAAUAUAUUUAACAAAAUUAAUGGUGGUCUGUCAUUUUUUAAGCAAUUUCAACCUCACAUACGUCCAUCAGAAAAAAAAAAAGUCACACAUAUUCCUAUAAUUUAAGAGUUAUUAAUUUAUAGGGAGAUUGUAGUGGUAUAUAUUAAUUUGAAUUGGAAAACUAGCAAUCUCCCUUAUUUCAUAUUUGAUGCAAAUCCCUCCUAUUUGAAGUUACUGCUGCUAAUUGUAUGUAUUUGGCAGGCCUGAAUCAGAACUUAUAAACGAAGUUGUUAAUCACAUUUUGAAGAGACUGCUAGAAGAAGUGUUUCGGCCGCGUGAUAACAAAAGCCAGCUGGUUGGAGUAGAAUCAAGAGUUUAGGAAAUUGAAUCUCUACUAAGUGUUGAGUCGAAAGAUGUUUACGCUUUAGGGAUUUGGGGCAUUGGUGGUAUAGGCAAAACAACAAUCGCUAGAGCUACUUUCGAAAAAAUCUCUAGAUAUUUUGAAGGUUCUUGCUUCCUUGUAAAUGUUAGAGGAGAGUCACAAAGAACGGGAGGAUUUGCUUGCUUGUGAAAAAAACUUCUUUCAAAUUUAUUGAAGGAUGGAAAUGCGAUUCCUGGUAUUGACCUCAAUUUUAGAAGGCUCAGCCGCAUGAAGGUUCUUAUUAUUUUUGAUGAUGUGACUUGCUUCAGCCAAUUAGAAUCUAUAAUUGGAAGUCUUGAUUGGUUGAUGCCUGUGAGUCGAAUCAUAAUAACCACCAGAAAUAAACAAGUGCUUAGAAAUUGGGGGGUGAGGAAAAUAUAUGAGAUGGAGGCAUUAGAAUAUCAUCACGCUCUUGAGCUUUUUAGUCGACAUGCCUUCAAACAAAACCAUCCUGAGGUUGGUUAUGAGGAACUUUCAAGUAAGGCAAUGAAAUAUGCUCAAGGUGUUCCUUUAGCUCUUAAAGUUUUGGGUUGCUUUCUAUAUGAAAGGGAAAAAGAAGUCUGGGAAAGUGCAAUAAAUAAAUUGCAAAGAAUCCUCCAUCCAUGUAUUCUAGAGGUAUUAAAAAUAAGUUAUGAUGGUUUGGACAAUAAAGAGAAAAAUAUUUUCCUUGAUGUUGCUUGUUUCUUUCAAGCUGAGGAUGUAAAUCUAGUAACGAAAUUCCUUAAUGCAAGUGGCUUCUACCCAGAAAUAGGAAUAAGUGUUCUCGUUGAUAAGUCUCUUAUUGUCAUAUCAAAUAACAACAAGAUAACUAUGCAUGAUUUGCUACAAGAAUUGGGUAGGGACAUUGUCAGUCAAGAAUCAAAUGAUCCUGGAAAUCGUAGUCGGUUGUGGCAUCACGAGGAUAUCUACGAAGUUCUUACAUAAUACGGUAAGCAAUUUGCUGUGGAUUAUUACUUUGGAAUAUUCUAGCAUUUACAAACUUGAUAUGGAUAUAUUUAUAUACUCUCGAAUUGAUGAAUCUAGAAUUAAUAGAAGAGUGACAAUGAUUAGAAAAAAGCAAUAGUGGUUAUAAAUGCCGUGACAACUUGUAUAAUUCUUUGUAAGGAUAGUUUAUAUUGUAAAUUUGUAUUGUUUCCCACAUGCGUAAAUUUCAUGUUUAGUAUUACUUGUAUUAUUAUGUUCCUUUGUGCGUUUGCAAUUAAGAGUUUCACUGCCUAGCAAUAACUAUAUAAACAUGAAUUACUGAAAUUUGAUUCGAGCAAUGAUAAAAAAUUCCACUCCAAUCCCACCUCAAUUCCACACGAGAGUGAGAAAAAAGGUUGAAUUAAUAACUAAGUUACCCCUUGUUGUGAAUCAAUGCCAAACAUGCCCCAAAAAUCUUGGUGGGGUUGAGGUGCAAUUCAUUGGCAGGGGUGGCUUUAAGUAUAGGCGAACAAGGCGAUUGUUUAAGGCCUUAUAUUUUUUUAAGGCCUCAUUUUUUUUUUGAAUUUCUUAAUAGUUCUUUAAUUAAUAAAGAUUUUUUUUAAUUAUGUAUUGUAGAGAAGCCUAUUAGACAUCUUUAUAAUUAACAGAUAUACCACAACUAAGAAUUAUUUUUUUUUUUUAUAGAAAAUCAAUAUUUGGUAACCUUAAUCUUCAAGAGAUAUAAUUAAUAAAAUUGUUUAGCUAUUAAUUCAUUCAUUAUUAGUUUUUCCAAUUUUUUUUUUAUUUUUUACCUUUUAAGUUUCCUAAAAAAAUUAAAUUCUUUGACUUUUAAUAUUCCUUUUAAUUUCCAUUAAAACCUUGUAAUAUAAUAUAAAAAUCAGUAAAUAAAUAGAUUUCUUGCUCUUUUUUUUUUUUACAAAGAGAAUUAUUACAUUCAUUAAUUCAUGUAAAAAAGAAAAAAUUAGUUUCUUAAAAUAUAAAGUGCAUAUAUAUUUCAUAAUCAAUUCAUUAUCUCAACUUUAUGCUAUUCUAAAUAUUCUAUUUGAAAAUAAUAUUGUUUUUAUUUAUUUUUUGAAAAUUUUUAAGAUAUUUUUUAUUACUAUUAGAAUUCAAGAGUUAAAAGCCAAAUGAAUUUUUUAGUCUUUUAUAUUUCUUUGAGUAUUAAAAUUGUAAAAUAAAAAAAAGGCCCCACAAAAAAAUUUUGCCUAAGCCCCAUAUACUUUAAAGCCGGCCCUGUUCAUUGGUGGUAUAUAAAUAUUAUUUUUCAUUUUUUUAUUGAUUUUUAGGGGACUGAAAAAGUUGAGGGCAUCUGUUUGAAUAUGUCCAAAGUGAAAGAGAUUGGUCUAAAUCCCAAUACAUUCACAAAGAUGCGGAAAUUCAGAUUUUUAAAAUUCUAUAGCUCGUCAUUCAAUGGAGAGAACAAAUGUAAGGUGUCUUAUUUGCAAGACCCUAGAUUUACUGAAGUGAAGUAUCUCCACUGGCAUGGAUAUCCAUUGAAGUCAUUGCCUUCAAACAUUGGUGCAGAGAAGCUUGUGUUUCUUGAAAUGCCUAAUAGCAGCAUUGAACAACUUUGGGAUGAUAUGAAGGUAUGUAUAACUUAAUACAUUAUGUGUGCAAUCUUUCAAUAAUAACGUUAAAUUAUCAUACAUGGCAAUGAUUCCUCUUGGCCUCUUUUUUGACCAAGCAGCAUCGUGGUAAGUUAAACCCGACAAUCCAUGCUGCCUACAAGAUGCUAAUUGCCAAAACUCCAAACCCCACGUUGAUUCCACAUCUAAACAAGCUAGUUAUCUUGAAUCUAAGAGGUAGCAAAAGCCUGAAAAGUCUUCCAGCUGGAAUAUUUAAUUUGGAAUUUCUUACAACACUUGAUCAGUCGGGGUGCUCAAAACUUAAGAGGCUUCCAGAGAUCUCAUCUAGUAAUACAAGUUGCCUUUUUUUAAGUGGAACUGCAAUUGAAGAACUGCCUUUAUCAAUUGAGCUUCUACUUAGGCUGGAGUACUUGGACCUUUCAGACUGUAAAAGGCUUAAGAGUCUCCCAAGCAGCCUAUGUAAGUAGAAAUCUCUUGAAAUUCUUGAUCUCAGUGGUUGCUCAAAUCUUCAGAGAUUGCCCGAAUGUCUUGGCCAGUUGUCCUCUCUAGGAACAUUGCUUCUAGAGGAAACCAAUAUUGAGAGAAUACCAGAAAGCAUCAUCCAAAUUUCUGUGUUGACUUACCUCCGCUUAAGCUAUUGUGAGAGGCUUCAAUCCGUACGAAAGCUUCCAUCCCUUAUACGAUGGUUAGAUGCCGAUAAUUGCACAUCGCUGCAAUCAUUAUCAGGUUUAUUCCCAAGUUCUGAAUUUUAUAUAUAAGCAGUGUUUUCUGACUAGAGCAAUAAUUUUAAAUCGGAUGGUAAUUCUACUGCAGGAAUUGUUGAAGAUAUAAUUUUUUUUUGAGUUAUGAUUUUUUUUUUUUUUACCAGAUUGAUUUUCACAUGAACGGAGGUCAUAUCUUACUACUCGGGAAUGAAAUUCCAAAGUGGUUUGAGUUUCAAAGUGUGGGAUCUUUUAUAACCUUGGAGAUGCCACCAGAUUCCUUCAACAAUAACCGAGUACUACUGGGCUUUGCAAUUAGUGCUAUUGUAGCAUUUUCAGACUGUCAUGUAGAUAAUGACAGAUGGUUUUCAUUUUCUUGUGAAUUCAAAGUGAAAACCGAAGAUUGUGAUCCGCAAGUCACACGGAGAUUUCUGAAGCGCCUUGCUUACGUAGAAUCAGAUCACUUACUUGUGGGGUGAUAUUUUUUCACUGAGGAAGAUUUCAAUGGUUUUUGGAAAUAUAAUUGCGUUCCUGAGGCAGUCCGCUUCUUUUUUGAUGAUUUUGAUGAUCGUUUUCCACCUUUGGAGUGCGAGUGCUGCGGGGUGAAAAAAUGUGGGGUCCAUUUACUUUACAUCCCAGAUUCUACGGAUUCAAUGGAAGUUCCAAGCAGAUGUUUCAACUAUUACGAAGAAGACUAAGAUUUUCAAGAAUUUAAUUUAAUUUUUUUCUCUUUUGCUAAUCACUAUUAAUAAUAAGAGAAAAAGCCAAGAUCACAAAUUCACACUAGAGUAUUUUCAUGAAUGUAAGAAAACAUGCAUGUAAUAAUUUUCGAGGGACGUGGUGCAUGUAAAAUUACUGGCCUUCUUUUCCUGCAGAUUUAAUCUACUUGGCGUGUUAUUUUUUUUCCUUUUUUUUUUUGAAUGCUAGUGUUUCAUUCAUGAUAUUUCUGAAUUUUUAUCCAUGAUUUUUUAACUUUAUUUUUAUUGAUUCAUGAUAUAUUUUAAAAAAUAUAUUUGUAUAUUGAUUUGUCAUUUUCACUCAACUCAUUUGUGUUGUGAAUCCAUUCGCUUAAACAUGUAAGGAAAACUGACUUGUAAGGAAACUAAUAUUAGUUUAUGAAGUGAAUAGUGCGCCGAAAUAUAUGGAAAAUACAAACAGAUAGUAAUCAAUUAAUUUUGCGCGAGAGAGGCAGAUAGUUAAUUACCGUGUGCAAAUGGUGGAUAUUGGUUUGAAUAUUAUCAUUAUCAGCGUGAAUGAGGAGGGAUCGAACUUUAUGCCAAUUGAGGCAACAAGUGAGGACGCCACUCAUGCAAAACAACAUCAUCAAAAGCAGAGCUAAACCAAGAGGGAUGCUUGUGAUGAUCUAAUUCAAAUUUUGAUUUAAUAACCAUAAAUGAAAUGGUGAUGGUAGUGAUGAUCUAAUUCAAAUUUUGAUUUAAUAACCAUAAAUGAAAGGGUAUCAUGAAAAGUGACAAUCCAAAUAAAAGAGUACAUAAUUAUCUAUAAAUAGAAGUCAGGACAUUUCUGUGAUCCAUCUAAUCUUCGUAUCGUACUCUUUUUUUCUCUAGAAAAACUACAUUUGUAAUGUGUCUCGAAGCACCAUCAAUUCUUACCUAUAUUUCAAUUAAAAUAAGAGUGAAACUAUUGGCACCCCUUCAUUAUUCUUAUAAAAUCCUAUUUCAAAUAAAAUUACAGUUAAGGGCAAAGAAGAAAUAAACAUAUGUAGGAUUUUUUUUUCCCAACAAAUUACUUACAUUAAUAAUCAAUCUUUUUUUUUUAAUUUCCUACCUAUUAUUUCUUAUCUAACUGAGAUAAAUUGUAUAAAUUUAGAAUAAUCUAUUUUCUUUUCCUAUUUCUUAUCGAUUAAAUAUUUUUGUACUCAAGAUUACUUUCAAACUACAAUCUAAAAUAUGUGUUAUUUAAACUAAUGAUUAGCAUUCAAACUUUAUCACCUAAAAAACUUUUUAAUUUGUAUGUAGGAUAAUAAUAAGAUUGCAAAAGAGAUGAAAAAUAGCACAAUACUACUUUGAGUUUUAACAAUAAAAGAAGAUUAAAUGAAAAACCAAAAGAGUGUCUUUGAAAAUAAAAGGAAAUUUUUGGAAAUAAAAUAAAUAUAACUGAAAAAAGGGUUUGAUGAGGAGACUAGAGGGGUGCCAAUAGUCCAACUUUUAAAAUAAAGUUUUUAUCAAUUAUUGCACCCUUUUUCUGCAAUUAUUAUUCCCCAUAAAUAUUUCUCCAACAUUUUAUUUCAUAUAUUUACUCCUACUACACUCUAACAAAGGACGCCUUUUGGACUACAUCAGUUUCUAGAUGCAUUUUAUUAAUAAAUUAAAUAAAGGCACCAUCCAUCGUUCAAUUUCUCUAAAUAACCACUUUCUGUCAGCUCUCUUAAAAUUUAUUAAGGAAUCUAUGUUGAAGACCAUUUCAUCCUUAGUAUUGUGUAAAUGUAUAAAAAUAGAUUUUACACUUUGAAAUUUAAAAUGACCUUCUUUUAGCAUAAAAUUUUAAAACAAAUGCCGCUAACUAAGGGACAAAUUUUAGAAUACAUGAUCAGUACCAUGUCAGCCAUAUAAAAAAUAAAUCAUAUUAUAAUAUAUGUGCACUUAUUUUGAAAAACUAUCAAGUAAAUGAUGGUUAUAUUGAAUCUAAGUAAGUGCAUAUCAUACAUGACACAACCCGCGUUAACAUAUAAGUUUCCAUAAUGUUGAUUUUGAUGAUAACAAAUAAAAUUAAGAAUGAUUAAUCUUUUAAGCUCAAAUUAUUUUUUAUACAUUUUAAAUAAAUCAUUAUUUUCACAUUAUAAAAGUUUUAUAUUUAAUGGAAAAAUGAUUUUAUGAAAUUAGUUGUUUUUCAAGUUUAUGAUUUAAUUGAAAGAGUUUUGAAAACUUUAAAAUCAACAAGUAUUGCUUGAAAUUUUGGAGUACUUAUUUGAAACGUUUCAUAGCAUUUUGGGCCGUAUCAUAAUUUCAAAAAGUUUUGGGAAUAGCAAGCAUUAUUUAGGGAUUCUAAAAUUGGACCUAUUUGCAAAAUAAUAUAACAUUUUGGGCCAUAAUAUAGUUUUAUAAAGUUUUGGGGUCAAAUUAUAAUUUUGGAAAAUAGUGCACUGUAUUGGUUACUGUAGCAAGCGGUUAACCGGAUGUGACAAAUGACUAGCCGGAUUUUAGGCAGUAAGCUUCUGGAAUGAAAGCGGCUAUGUAGAUUUCGAAAGCAGCUAAACGGAUUUCAAAAGCGGCUAACCGGAUAUGAAAAGCGACAUGCGAGAUAUUCUGAAAUUUAAAUUUUUGUUGUAACGGUAACAUAAAAGCGGCUAACCGAAUUCCAUAAACGGUAAGCCGGUUAUCACCAAAAUGUGCAUAAUGACUAGUUUUUGAGUUCAAACUAUAUAAACUCAAAUCCAAUUCAUUUUUGGUAAUCUUGGCAAGCAUAAACAAGUGCACACAACAUAUAUUGAGCUUCAAUUUCAUAAAUCAUCAUUUAUUAAAAUAUCUUUGUUCUUCAAUUUGUAUAUCUACUCUUUGAGAGAGUUUUUGUUGCAAUUUUCAAUUCUUCAUCAAAUUUGUGAGUGUUUAAGUGUGUGAGACACUUGAGUGAAGAGAUUGAGAGAUAAUCUCUUUGUUGUAAAGGUUCAUUGACACCUUAGAAGUCAAUUGUAAGCUUUUGAAGCCUUCGAAGGCUUAGAUAGUGAAAUCCUCAAACUUGGGUUGCUUGGAGGCGUGGACGUAGGCGGUGAUUGCCGAACCACGUAAAAAUCAUUGAGUUUGCUUUUUCGUCCCUUACUCUUUUAUUAUUGUGCUUUCAUUGAAAUUAUUGUUUUCGAAUUUAUUAAGGCAUUAGAUUGGAUUGUUGUGUGGUUUGAUUAGGAUAAGUUUUAAAAACUCAAUUCACCCCCCCUCUUGGGUUGCAUAACUUGUAUUUCAACCCGACCCAACCUCUCUGAUAGAUUCGAGGUGAAUCUUGUGAUCUUAUAUCUAAAGCUUGUGACAUAAAUUUAAUUCAUGAAUACAUAACACUAGCCUCGACCUUUGUUAUAAACAAGUAAUAACAUAUGUACCUCAUUCAAAAAUAUAUUCAAAGCUUGCGCAGUUCACAUCUUACUGUACAUACUUACACUUUAGAUAUAUACAUAUAAACACAAACGUGCUUGAAAUAUAAGUCAUGCAGUAAUGUUUGUUGUGGCCCAACCUCAUCUAAUUAGAAACUGAACUGCACGAAAUCCUAUGAAAAUCUUAAAGAAAUGGGAUAAAUAGGAAAAUAAUAUACUUGUGGCUAAAUGAAUGGAUAUAGUUGUGUGUGUGUGUGUGUGUGUGUGUGUGUGUAUAUCUAUAAAUAAAUUAGUGCUCUAGUGCUUGUACAUAAUUGUAUGACAUAACUUCGCACUGAACACAUUACACAAGCAAAUAUGAAAUCACACACACACACACACACACACACACACACACACACACACACACACACAUAUAUGAUAAAACUGCACCAAAUAAUAUGUAGGAGAAAUAACUCUCAAUAUUUAUUGGAAUCAUCAUUGCACAAGUAAAGUGGGGGAAAAAUCUCUCAAUACUCAGCGGAAUAAACUAUAUCACAAGGGUCGAGUAAUCUAAGUCUUACUACACAUGCAUAGAGCCUAUGGGGAAGGGUACACAUAUGGUAUCUGGCAAUCACAUCUCAUGAUUGAAUCAAUCAUAUAAUAUGCGUACAUAUAAUCAUAACAUGAUACUAAAUCAUACUAUCAAACAUAAAUACUUUGUAGAAUACAUAUAAAUAAUAAUAGUAAUCCACUCACAAAACUUGUUUCACUUCGGGGUUCGUUGGAGCUCCUAUAGAUUCCUUAAUUCUUGGAUUUCUCCUAAAAUAUAGGGUUCAAAAAUUAAUUAUUAGAACUUAUAUAAAAACUUAUACAUAUGACAUAAAUUAAAUCAUAAUUGUUCAAAUUUCUUAAAUACGUUACCUACUGACUUACUGGAUAUAGAUAUAACUAUCCAAUUCUCUUUCCUAUAAUAUUUCCUCUCAAUUGCUCUUUUCAAAAUCAUUUCUCACUCUCGGUUUUUCUUUUCUUUAUUUUUUCUUCUUCAUCUUUUGUUCUUCUGUUCUUUUCCUCUUCUUUCUUCAUCUUUUCUUCUUUUGUUCUUUUCCUCUUCUCUUUUCCUUUUAUUUUCUUCCCUUCUCACCUUUUCCUUUCUUUUUCUUUUCUCUUUGAAUUGCUUUGUUUUAGUUUGAUUCAUGAAAAUGGUGACAACUUCUUCAAUUCUUUAUAUAUAUAUAUUGCCUCCAAUCAUGCAUGACAAGCACGUAGGUGAAACAUGCAUGUGCUUUGCUUUAAGCUAACAACUUGCUAAUUAGCCACAUGUGCGUCACAAUACAUGCAUUAAUUGAUUGUAUUAUUUUUAAUAUAUUAUAUCAUUUCUUUUAAUGAAGGAUGUAGCCAACAAUUUUAUCCAGCUAAACAUGUUCUUUGACAUAUAAUACAGUUUAUGGUCCAACAACUCAUAAGUAGUUGAAAUUAAAUUAUUUUUUAAUAUCAAUUUUACUUUUCUCUCAAUUUUAAAACACUUUAAAAGAUUUUCUAACAUAAGAUACAGUGGUAUACAAUUGAAGCCUAAUCCAACAUAGAAAGAUUAAAUAAAAUUAAUUUUCAUCACUACGCAAGAGACUUGAAAGGACAUUAAGGUAGCGUUUAUUUUUAAUUUAAAGUAUGAAUAGGUUAGAAUUUGAUUAAAAUUUGAAUGGUUUUGAAUAUAAAUGUUUCAAUAACAUGUUUAUUUUUUUAAUAUAUAAAAAUUAAGUGGCAUCUUGUUUGCUUUUAUAAAGAAAACACAUUAAAUGUAGCUAUUUAACAUUUAUGUCCUUAUAAGUCAAAAUGAAUAAAAGGGAUUAGGUUUCGUAGUUUAUGAAAUAACUAUAUUGAAUUGAAAUAUUUUUAGGAUAUAGUAUUUAUUUUUCGGGUAAAAGCUCAUUUAGUCCCUGUAUUUUAAGAUUAGUGUCCAUUUAGUCCCUGUAUUUUAAAAAAUGUCUCGAAACAUCCCUGCCGUGAAAGUAUUGAUACCCCUACCGUUACUUUUUAUUUAUUUUGGCUUACUUUUACAAUAUUAGCCUUUUAUAAUAAUUUUUUUGUUUGGACAUUAAUAAAAAGAAAAUAAUUAAAUUACCAAUUUAACCCUAAAAAUAAAAAAAAAAUUAUAUUAAUUUUUAAUUGUCAAAAAUUGUAUGCAAACUACCAAGUGUGCAAAUGGUGCUUGCAAAAAAAUUAAUAUAAUUUUUUUUAUUUUCUAGGGUUAAAUUGGUAAUUUAAUUAUUUUCUUUUUAUUAAUGUCCAAAAAAAAUUAUUAUAAAAGGGUAAUAUUGUAAAAGUAAGCCAAAAUAAAUAAAAAGUAACGGUAGGGGUAUCAUACUUUAACGACAGAGAUGUUUUAAAAUAUUUUUAAAAAUACAGGGAUUAAAUGGACACUAAUCUUAAAAUACAUGGAUUAAAUGAGUUUUUACCCAUAAAUAGUUAAUCAAACAUGGAAAAGUAAUCUAAAUUGAAAAAUCUAUACAGAUAGGGAAAUUCUCCUUUUGGCAUCAAUGGGUCUACAUAAUUUAUUUUGCAUCAAUUAUGCACCAUCACAUUCUUCAACUGCUUUCAAUUAUUUAUGCUCCAAUAACUGCGAAUUGUUCUUUUCAGUGCAAUCAACUUGCAACUCCCCUAAUCGCAAAAAAACUUACAACUUCCCUUUCAUAAAUAGUAGUGCCCAUUUCCCCAGUAGUCUCGCAUUAACAUUUAAACAUGAUUAUCAAACACUUGGGUUAGUGGUGACCCUUUAUUUUUAAGGUCAGAAGUUACCUAAUCUUUUCAUAUAGAUAUGGGAGUAGAUUUUUUUGUUUUUCUCCCAAUUUCACAGUAAUUAGCUAGUAAACCCCUCUAAUCUUAGAGAAGAGUUGAGAAGUUAUGGAUCGAAUUUCUAAUUGAUUACAUUAAAAAUGGUUCCAUUAAUUUCCAUCAAACUUAUUUUUAUAAUAUUAAUACACUAAAGGCGUGUUUGGCGCCCCGCAUAACACUCUAUUAGAACGCCAUAUUGUAUUAAGAUAUUACAAUAAAAUGUUUGGCUGCUAUGCGGUAUUGCAUUAAAAAAAAUUAAUGCGGAAAAACCCGUAUAAUGGAAUCUAGCGUGAGUGUCGAGUUGAUUAGAUUUAAUUUUUAUUUUACAGAUUAUAUAUUUAAAAAAUACUGAAAAAAUAAAUGUUAUGCUACUAAAAAUUUAAGGUCAUAAGCUCAAAUCUUUAUGAAGAAUGAUGAUAUAUUUUUUAACAUUUAUAUUACAACAAUAAUGUUAAAUUUUCAAAAUUUAAGACUUUUAUAUUCAAUAUUUUUCUAAGUAUUAAAUAUUAAUAAAUAUUAUUUUCUAAAUAUGUAAUUUCAAUUAAUCAGCAAAGGAAUUAAUACAGUACAAUGCAACACCAAACAUAGUAUAACUAAAAAUUAAUACAAUAUAGUGUAGCACCAAAUAUUGUACAAUAUUAUUAUAAUAUAAUGUUAAUGCAAUACAACAUAAUACAAUACACAUGCAUUAAAAUAAUACAAUGUGUCAAACGCACCCUAAUUGUAUUGCAGUAUCUAAAAAAAAAGAUAAUUAGACUGUUUUAACCAUGAUUAUCUACCAUUAGAUUGAAUUAAAAGAGUCAAAAUUUAUGUUAAAAUUUUAAAAUAAAAAAUUGAAGUUAAAAUAUUCCGAUCCAUUAAAAAAAAUGUAUUUAACCAUGACCAUUGACUAGUCAACACUCACCAGCUUAAAGUAGUGUACGUAUUCGGACACUCACAAAUUCUUUAAUGGCAAAGUGCCACUUACUAAUUCUUAUGUUCAAGUACAGUAGACAAAUAAGUUAAGCAUUCAUUUCUCUACAAUAAAAGUACCAGUCUUCACUCUUCACUCCAUAAUUAGAUGAGUGGGUCUGCCUACAAUGGAACCCAUCCAUCUAAAUCUUCAAUUAGAUUUGAUAGGCAGCCAUAAAUCAAUUGACAUGUGUUUUGAUCUAACCGGUUACCCCGUUGAAGCCACAAUUCUCCCGCCAAGUUAAUGAUUCUAAUUGCACUAAAAAAAAAAAAAUUCACAAAUUUGUAAAAGAUUCCAUUUUUUUCCAGGUACGCUUACUUUUGCUGGAACACAAAGGGUAAAAGCCCAUUUAAUUUCUGUAUUUUCAUUUCGGCAAAGGUUAUAAAAAUUUAUUUUUUUAAUUUAAAUGUAAAUAUCUAAAAAUCAAACAUAUGUUACAAAAAAAAACUAAUUUUUUUUAAAAAAAAGUUAAACUUCAUAUGUUUAAAAUAAACGCUAAGGAACAUAAAUAAGAGCUAUUAAAACAAAAAAAGAAUACUUUUGAAACUAAAUACAAUUAAUUGAGAGAUGAGGACCGAUAAGAUAAAUUCAUAGAUAAAAAUUAAAAUAUCAACCCUACUUAUUGCUGGCAGUUAUGAGCAUUAAAGCACAAAAGCCGUGUCUUGAUAAGUAUGGUGUUCGUGCGGAAAUUUCAGCUAGAAGUCUACAAAGCAGUGGAAUUAAUCAAUCAUCGUGGAGUGCACGGUGCUUGGACAAUGAGAUGAAAUUGAAAAAUUAUCACGGAACUUGAAGGAAGGUUCAUGGCAUCGAUUUAUUCUACAGAGUCGCUCACAUUUGGUUCAAUAAUUGUUUUCAUCCGAAUCAAAAUCUCUCUCUAAUCAAUUCAACUGUCUCUGUUGAUUAUGGCUUCUUCUUCUCAAAACAACAAGAAGUAUGAUGUUUUUGUUAGUUUCAGAGGAGAGGACACCCGCGACAACUUUACUAGCCAUCUCUAUUCUGCUCUGAGUCGACAAAACAUCCAGACUUUCAUUGAUGACCAACUUAACAGAGGAGAUGAAAUUUCGGAGUCACUUGUGAAUGCAAUUGAAGCAUCAGCCAUUUCAGUUAUCGUCUUCUCUGAAUCAUACGCUUCUUCUAGAUGGUGUCUCGAUGAACUUGUAAAGAUCCUCGACUGCAAGGAGUAUGCACAGAUUGUGAUUCCGGUUUUCUAUCGGGUUGAUCCAUCAGACGUGAGAAACCAAACUGGGAGUUUUGGAGAUUCAUUUUCGAAGCUUGAAGAAAGAUUAAAGGAGAAUACUGAGAAGCUGCAGAGUUGGAGGAAUGCUUUGAAGGAAGCAGCAAGUUUGUGUGGAUUUCAUUCUCCUAACAUCAGGUGAAAAGUUAAACCUUUAAUUUCUCAUACUAAUAUUUAACAAUAAAUAAAAUUCACGCAGCGCUCUUAGUUAAAUUUCCGGAUGCUAAACUACAAUUUUAAAAAUUUUUAAGCAUCAAAUUCUAGACUUCCUGACUUCCCAACUUUUGUGCUCCCAUAAUUAUAAAAUAGUUUUGAAAGAAUUAAUAAUAAAAGCUCGAGAAUUUUACAAUAUACAUCUAACAAAAUUAGUGGUGGUCUGUCGGUUUUUAAGCAAUUGCAACCUCUCACUCAUACACCACCAUUAGGAAAAAAAAAAAAAGGAAAUUAUCAUUGCACCACUUUCCUUUUACCUAUUGUUCAUCCAAUCACUACAAAAUUCUAACAUGUUCUUUGCACCACUUUUUUUAAAAAACAUUGUAUCAAUAAGCCACUUUUGCACUAACACCAUGAAAUAAUUUAAAUGAAAUGAAAAUUUUACCAUUAAAUAAAUUAAAAGACCAUUUUUAUUUUGUAAAAACUAAGAAAAUAAAAAAAUUAUAAUUAUAAAAAUACCCCUAAAUUUAAUUAAAAAAUAAAUCCCAAUAUUAUAAUUUUUAUUUUUUAAUAAAAAUUAUUUUAAUAAAAAAUUAUAAUUAUAAAAAUAAUUACAAAAUUUUGGGAUUUAAUAAAAAUCCCAUAAUUUUUUAAAUUUUAGGAUUUAUUUUUUAAUAAAUAAAUUCAGUUAUUUUAAUUAAAUUUUACAAAAUUAUAAUUUUUUAAUAAUAAAUUCAGUUAUUUUUAUUAAAAUAUUGCAAAAUUAUAAUUUUUAAUAAAACAUAAUUAUUAAAAUUUUGUAAAAUCUAAAUUUAAUAAAAAUUAGCUGAGCACCUCUAUUUGAGAUUUUUUAAUUAAAUUUAGGGGUUUUUUUUUAAUUAUAAUUUUUUUAUUUUUCCAAGCUUUUAUAAAAUAAAAUGAUCUUUUAGUUUAUUUAGAGGUAAAUUUAUCAUUUUGUUUAAAUUAUUUAACGGUGUUAGUGCAAAAGUGGCUAAUUGAUAUAAAUUUAAAAACAAAAGGUGGUGAAAAGAAUAUGUUAUAAUUUUGUGGUGGUUGGAUGAAUAUAAAACAAAAGAGAGGUAGUGCAGUGAUAAUUUUCCCAAAAAAAAAAAAAACUCACACAUAUUCCUGUAAUUUAAGAGUUAUUAAUUUACUGGGAGAUUGUAGACUAGUGGUGGUAUAUAUUAAUUUCAAUAAGAAAACUGACAAUCUCCCUUACUUCAUACUUAAUGCAAAUUCCUCGUAUUAAUUUGAAGUUACUUUGGCUAAUUUUAUGUAUUUGCUAGGUGUGAGUCGGAACUUACAAACGAAGUUGUUAAUCACAUUUUGAAGAGAUUGGAUGAAGUGUUUCAGCCCCGUGAUAACAAAAACCAGCUGGUUGGAGUGGAAUCAACAGUUGAGGAAAUUGAAUCCCUAUUAGGCGUUGAGUCGAAAGAUGUUUACGCUUUAGGGAUUUGGGGCAUUGGUGGUAUAGGCAAAACAGCAAUCGCUAGAGCUAUUUUCGACAAAAUCUCAGGUGAUUUUGAAUGUUCUUGCUUCCUUGAAAAUGUUAGAGAAGAGCCACAAAGACUAGGAGGAUUAGCUUGCUUACGACAAAAACUUCUUUCAAAUUUAUUGAAGGAUGAAGAUGUGAUGCCUUAUAUUGACCUCAAUUUUAGAAGGCUCAGCCGUAUGAAGGUUCUGAUUGUUUUUGAUGAUGUGACUUUCUUCAACCAAUUAGAAUCCUUAAUCGGAAGUCUUGAUUGGUUGACGCCUGCGAGUCGAAUUAUAAUAACCACCAGAAAUAAACAAGUGCUUCGAAAUUGGGGGGUGAGGAAAAUUUAUGAGAUGCAGGCAUUAGAAUAUCAUCACGCUCUUGAGCUUUUUAGUCGACAUGCCUUCAAACAAAACCAUCCUGAUGUUGGUUAUGAGGAUUUUUCAAGCAAAGUAAUGAAAUAUGCUCAAGGUGUUCCUUUAGCUCUUAAAGUUUUGGGUUGCUUUCUACAUAAAAGGGAAAAAGAAGUCUGGGAAAGCGCAAUAGAUAAAUUGCAAAGAAUCCUCCAUCCAAGUAUUCUAGAGGUAUUAAAAAUAAGUUAUGAUGAUUUGGACGAUAAAGAGAAAAGUAUUUUCCUUGAUGUUGCUUGUUUCUUUCGAGGUGAGCAUGUAAAUCCUAUAAUGAAAUUCUUUAAUGCAAGCGACUUCUACCCAGAAAUAGGAAUAAGUGUUCUUGUUGAUAAGUCUCUCAUCGCUAUUGAUUCACACAAAAAGAUAACAAUGCAUGAUUUACUACAAGAAUUGGGUAGGGAAAUCGUUCGACAAGAAUCAAUUAAUCCUGAAAACCGCAGUAGAUUGUGGCAUCAUGAGGAUAUCUAUGAAGUUCUUACGUAUAAUACGGUAAGCAGCUUGUUGUGGAUUAUUAUUUUGGAAUAUUGUAGUGUUUCAAAACUUGAUGUGAGUAUAUUUAUUUACGCUCGAACAAAUGAGUCUUAGAAUUAAUACAAGAGUGACAAUGAUCGGAAAAAAACAAUAGUGGUUAGGUGAUGUAGCAAUAAAUUAUAAAUGCGAUUGACAACUUGCAUAACCGUUUUCAAGCAUAAUUGAUAUAUAAAUUUGUAUAGUACACAUACAGAAUUUUUAUGUUAAGUAUUACUUGUACUAUUAUGUUUCUUUGUGCAUUUGCAAUUAAGAGUUUAACUGCCUAGCAAUAACAAUAAACAUGAAUUAUUGAAAUUUAAUUUGAGUAAUGAUGGAGAGCCCCACUCCAAUCUGACAUAAACUCCACACAACGACAAAUUAAAGUUGAAUUAAUAACGAAGCUACCUUUAAUUGUGAAUGAGUGACAAACUUGCCCCAAAAAUUUGUCUUGGUGGGGCUGAAGUGUUAUUCAAUAGUGGAAUAUAAAUAUCAUUUUUCAUUUGAUGUUAACUUUAUUGAUUUUUCUAUUUAUUUUUACGGGACAGAAAAAAUUGAGGGCAUCUGUUUGGAUACGUCAAAAAUAAAAGAGAUCCAUCUAAAUCCCAAUACUUUCGCAAAGAUGCGUAAAUUGAGAUUUUUAAAAUUCUAUAGUUCAUCAUUCAAUGGGGAGAACAAAUGCAAGGUGUCUCAUUUGCAAGACCUCAGAUUUGCUGAAGUGAAAUAUCUUCACUGGCAUGGAUAUCCGUUGAAGUCAUUGCCUUCAAACCAUAGUGCAGAGAAGCUUGUGUUUCUUGAAGUGCCUAAUAGCGACAUUGAACAACUUUGGAAUGGUGUGAAGGUAUGUUUAUCUUAAUAUAUAUGUGCAAUAUUUCAAUAAGAACAUUAAAUUAUCAUGCUUAGUAAUGAUUUUAUCUUUGCCUCUUUUUUGACCGAGCAACAUUAUAGUAAGUUAAACCAGCUAAUCCAAGCUGCCUGCAAGAAGCUAAUUGCCAAAACUCUAAACCCCACGUUGAUUCCACAUCUGAACAAGCUAGUUAUCUUGAAUCUAAGCGGUAGCAAGAGCCUGAAAUUUCUUCCAGCUAGAAUAUUUAAUUUGGAAUUUCUUACCGAACUUGAUCUUUCGGGUUGUUCAAAGUUGAAGAGGCUUCCAGAGAUCUCAUCUGGUAACAUAGGCCGGCUAUUUUUAAGUGGAACUGCAAUUGAAGAACUGCCCUCAUCAUUUGAGCUUCUACUUAGGCUUUGGUUGUUAGACCUUUCAGAUUGUAAAAGGCUUAAGAGUCUCCCAAGCAGCCUCUGUAAGUUGAAGUCUCUUGAACUUCUUAGUCUCCGUGGUUGCUCAAAUCUUCAGAGAUUGCCCGAAUGGCUUGGCCAGUUAUCGUCGCCAUUAGUAGUGAAUCUAUUGAAAACCAAUAUUGAGAGAAUACCAGAAAGCAUUAUCCAACAAUUUAUGUUGCGAUACAUCCUCUUCGAUUAUUGUGAGGGGCUUCAAUCCUUACCAAAGCCUCUAUUCCUUGUACGAUGGUUAGAUGCCGAUCAUUACUCGACACCAAAAUCAUUAACAGGUUUAUUCUCUAAGUUCUGAAUCUUAUAGGCAAUGUUUUUUUACUAGAGCAAUAAUUUUUAAUUGCAAGGUAAUACUACUGCAGGAAUUAUUGAAGAUGACAUGAGAAUUCAAUAUAUGGGCCAUGUGGUACCUGCCCAUUGGAAAGAAGUACGGGAAAAGGUGUGUCUUAAUUCUUUCUCCUUACAAUUUAUACCUUUUUUUUGGGUUUAAAAUUUGAUCUUUUGGUAUAGAGAGGUUUUCCCAAGGAAGGCCAUUACGUACUAGAUGGGAAUGAAAUUCCAUGGUGGUUUAAUUUUCAAAGUGUGGGAUCUUUUAUAACGUUAGAGAUGCCCCCAGAUUUCUUCAAUAACAACAGAGUACUGGGCUUUGCAUUUGGUGCUAUUUUAGGAUUUUCAGGCCAUCAUGUAGAUUAUGGCAGAUGGUUUUCAUUUUCUUGUGAGCUCAAAGUGGAAACCACCAAAGAUUGUGAUCCGCAUGACACACUGUUAUUUCAAAGAAGAGUUAAUUAUUUAGAAUCAGAUCACUUACAUUUGGGAUACUAUUUGUUCUAUGAAGAGGAUUUUAAUGGUUUUCGGAAAUGCAAUUGCUUUCCUGAGACAAUCCACUUUAAUGUUUUUCCACCUUUGGAAUGUGAGUGUUGCGGAGUGAAAAAAUGUGGGAUCCAUUUUGUUGGCAUUGCAGACUCUACGAAUUCAAUGGAAGACCCAAGCAGAUGUUUCAACUAUAACGAAGAAGACUGAGAUUUUCAUGAAUGUAUUUUUAUUGUUUUCCUUUUUCAAAUCACUAUUAAUAAUAGGAGAAAAUGCCGAAAUUAGUUCUUGGAACAAAACAUUCAUGUUAUAACUUUCGACGGAUCUGGUGCGUGUAACACAAAUUCACACUAGAGUAUUGAACUUUACCUUAUUAGGUGAGUAUUGAACUUUACCUUAUUAGGUGAAGAGUAUAAUGUAUGAAAAGCACAUUAUGUAUAUUGUAAAAUUAAAACUAUUGGCCUUCUUUCUUGCUCUGCACACACCACCCACAACGAUUUGCUAUUGGACUUUGCAACCCAAAACACAUCUACUUAAGUGAGCAUGUGACUUAUAAACUAGUGAAAAAACUCAUUUGCCAGCGGCAUGGAAUAUUACAGGACGCGCAACGAGUUCUUACAUAGUAUGUUGUUGGCCCAUAUCUCAACCAAUGAACACAUGACACUCAUCCCAUUGCGCACUACAUCAACUCUCAUGUAUAUAACGCAAUCACAUUUGAAAAUUUUCUAUUUUGUUAAACCUAAAUUGUUGUAUAUGGGAAAGUUUUAUCAUGUGGAAGCAAAAGCAAUAAAGAGGGAACAGUUAAACUCCGUCAAAUCUUAUAUAUUUUAAAAAACAUAUUUGUUUAUUGAUUUUUAAAAAAAGAACAUGAUAAAUGUCAUUUUCACCAGCUCAUUUUUGCUAUGAAUCAGUUUGCUUAAACAUCUAUUUUGGGGUGAAAAACAUCAUGAUCAGACACACAGGAGCAAAAUGUGCUCCUCUCGGCCUAAAAUGACUCAUCGAGAAAGAUUAUCCCCGAUGAGGUGUGUGGCUGGUCACAUGAGCAAAGUUGGCUCGAGGAAGCACGAGGAGAGACUAGAAUUAAGUCAAAUCGACGACUUGGUUAAAGGUCAACCCAUGGGUUUCCUCCAAGGAAUUCGAGCAUGAAGCCCACUCACCAGCAGUUACGCUACCUACUCUCCCACAGUUAUGUGACCAACCGAGCAACGGUGUUAGGGGAGAGAGGAGGCCGAUACUUUUGGUUGGAUAUUAAAGCUUUAGAGAAUAGAGGUAAGGGGUUUAGAUAACUUUUUACUUAAUUUUUUCAUACUCUCUCUAUUCACAAUUUUAUCUUCUCUAUUUUUCCUUUUUUAUGAAAUUAAACUUUUUUUUUUCAUUCAGAGUAGUUGUAAUUAAGUCACAUGAAUCAUGUCAUGAGUUUUUUCAAGUAGACCCAGAUCGCCCACUUGAGCGUCGGAGGGUUCACGCCGGAAAAACCUCAGGCAUCCUCUAACUAGAUGUUAUAAACGUAGGUGUUCUUGAAGGAAGUACUCGAGGUCGCAGGAACUUAUUCGAUGGUGAGGACGUAGCAUAGAACCGUCUCUCCAAUAACAACAAAUUUAAAUGUUGGCGUGGUUGUCUGGUCGCUACAUAGCUCAACUAGAUUUCUGUAUCAACAAACAUGUAUCCACUCUUUCAAGUAUUUAUACCAAUUCCAUAUUCGAAAUGUUUCAUUUGAUUCCAUAGUUGACGUGGUAUCAUCUAUGGGUAGAAUUUACCUUUAAAAAACUAGCUUGUAAGGAAAGGUUAAAGAUGCCCAUGAACCUUUAUUUCUAUUUAGAUUAUUGUAUCUUUUUCAUAUGAAAAAUUGAAUCUUAUCAUUCACAUAUCAUUAACAUGAGCAAUAUAGAUUAAUAAAUCAUUGUUCUUUAUUAUUGUGCUGAAUUUGACUUUUUAUUGAAUAAUUGGUACAUUUCUUGAAUCAAUUUGGAGCUUUUACAACUUGUCAGGGAUCAGUUUCUCCUACAUUCUUUCGAUGCCAAAAGAUAUUCAAGCGGUUGAAUAAAAAUUGAUAUAACACUAUAAAUACAAGAGUUGUUUGUCAUUUUACAUUAGGAAUAAUAAAUAAUGCUCAUCAAAACUUGCAGAUGAGAAAGUAAAUUCCUCAGCACUUAAAUGUUUCAGCCAACCGAGAAAGCAGCUUUUCAUGGAUCUCCUUGGGUCUGUCGUCAUGGGGAUGAUGUCCCACUCUUUCCAAUACAAUUAACUUGCACAUUUGAGAGUUAAGAAGGUAGAAAUGAGGAGUAUUAACCAGCAGGUCCAUCAAAGAGGGUGAAUGGAUCCUCAACACCCCAUAAAACUAGUAUAGGUAUAUAUAGACAUUUUUUGGCAUCAAUUGCACUAGGUUCGGCCCUGGUAGGCCUAUCACAAUCGAAACAAAUGCAUUAAGCGCCUAUUCAUUAUUGGUGGGUUCUCGUAUGAUCUGCAGUUCUGAGGUCAAUUAUGAAUUCUGAGUAGUCGCUUUUGUAAGAGGUUUUUUUUUUUUUUAAACUUUUUUUAAAGGUACGGGGGUGGGCAAGCCCAAAUAUAAUUUUUAUACCCCUUACCACCCCCAAGAAUUGAACCCGGAUUUUGGUAGAGGGUAUAGCUUCACUGCAACUAACCCGACCACGCCGUUGGGGGCUCUUUUGUAGGAGGUUAAAAUGACACAUUAGUGGAGAAUAUUAGGGCAUGUUCGGUAACAUUUAUGGGCCCUGUUUUCAUUUUCCUUUUAUAAAUCUAAGUUAUUGUGCGAUUGAUGGCCGAAAUUUAAAAAACAAAUUGUAAAACAAAUAAUUCAUAUCUUCUUUUAUAGUUAUAAAUUUGAGAACGUGUAUAACUUAUUCUCAACGAAUUACAAAUAUAAAGCUAAAAUAAAUCAAAAAAUAGAGAAUCCAAGGCUUAUCCAUGAGCAUCUAUGAAUCUAAGUUAAUCCUGUUUUCAUUUUCCUUUUAUGAAUCUAAGUUAAUGCGCGAUUGAUGGCCAAAAGUCAAAAAACAAAUUGUAAAACAAAUAAUUCAUAUCUUCUUUUACAGUUAUAAAUUUGAGAACAUGUAUAACUUAUUCUCAAUGAAUUACAAAUAUAAAGCUAAAAUAAAUCAAAAAAUAGAGAAUCCAAGGCUUAUCCGUGACCGUCUAUUUCUCUCGCCUAAAAUCUUAUCGCGAUCUUCCCAUUCACUCUCCCUUAUCACAGAUCUAAUCGCUCUUUUUCUCCAUCUUUGGUACGUGUUGCUAUUCUCUCUUCUUCACCACUCUGGUGCUGCUGCUCUGUCUCUUUCACUGCUGUUGAUCUUCCUCUGUGCUGCUGUUAUCUCUCUCCUGCUGCUGUUGCUUGCUUCGUCACUACUAAAUCUGUGAGUUCUCUCUUCGUUACUAUCAUCCUCACAAAUGGCGGAAAUGAGAGAAUCCACUCUUUCGUAUGCUUAAAGUUCUUGGGAUUGAAAAUUUUCACCAAGUUAAAAAUGCGUCAUAAAGAUUUCUUCUUCGAAACUGUUAUAAUAUUCUUUUACAAUUUUAACCUUUCCACCUAUUCAUCUUUCAAAGUGGAAAAAAUGUAAGUUGGUUUAAACUUUAGAGAAAUUCAAAUGAAAUCAUUCCACAUCCAAUCAGACUAUCUACUUGUUUGUCCAUUAUCAUAAUUUUAAUUUAAUAUAUAAUUGUAACUAUCCAAGCAGGGCUCUAAGAGGUAUAUAGAGGGGUGCUAAUAGUCCCACUCUUUCCACAAUUAUUAUUACCCUUGAAUAUUUCUCCAACAUUUUAUUUUAUAUUUGACUUCUGCUACUAAUACUAUAACAAAUGCUUUUUGAACUACAUCAGUUUCUAGUUGCAUUUUAUUGAUAAAUUAGCCGAACGCACCGUCAGUUGUUUAACUUAUGGUUGAAAUAGCUCAUGAGUAGUUGAAAUAAAUUUUUUUUGGGUAGAUAAUCUCAAUUUUAAAAUAGUUUAAAAAGAUUUUCAAACAUAAGAUACAAUAGUAUACAACUGAUGCCUAAUCCAAUAUAGAAAAUCAAAUAAAAUUUAUUUUCUUCACUGACAUUGAGGUAGCAUUUAUUUUUUCAUCUGAAAUAUGAAUAGAUCUAAAUUUGGCUAGAGUCUGCAUGGAUCUGAAUAAAAAUGUCUAAAUAACAUGUUUAUUUUUUAAAUAUCUGAAAAUAAAGUGGCAUUUUUUUGUUUUUAUAAUAAAAAACAUAUCAAACAAUUUUUUUGACAUUUAUACCCUUAUAUAUCAAAACGAACAAGGGGAUUAUAUUUUACAAUUUAGGAAAUAACUAUAUUUAAUAAAGAUAAUUUUGGGAUAUAGUAUUUACUUUCUAUUGAGACAUUUUUGAAAUACUAUCUAAGCAACCCAAAAGGGGGGUGAAUUGGGUUUCUAAAAAUUAUGCAAUGCUUGAACAAAACUUAAUACAAAUCUUAAAUGAAUUUAAAACAGUAAUAAAUAAAUCAACCAAAAUGUAAAAAGAUAAAGGAAGAGAGAUUCAAACACAUAUAUUUUUAUGUGGUUCGGCCAACCUUACCUACAUCCACACCUCCAAGCUCACCGGGCUUGAGGAUUCCACUAGUCAAGCCCCCAAGGCUUCAAGAACACUUACAAUUGACUUCACAUGUGUCAAUCAACCUUUACAUCAAGAGAUUAUCCCCAAUCUAUUCACCUAAGUGUAUCCCAACAUUUACAAUCACUCAAAACAAAGAUUACACAAGUUUUUUUCUCCCACACAAAAUAUGUGAUUACAAAUCUAUGCUCAAUGUAAGAAUAAAUGAAAUAAGAACGAAUUUGAAGCUCAGUGAAUGUUGUAUGCUCAAUUACAAGCUCAAUGAUAACGUUGUGAUCAACCUCUGUUUGAAUUUGAUUGAGUUUAUUUAUAGUUGGAGCUAAAAAAUAGCCGUUAUUGACUUUCUGCCCGAAAUCGAAUCGCCGUUAACAAUUAUCGGUUAACCGUUUGGACUGAUCCAAGUGACCGAUGAGCUGAAUUUUAAAUAAUCAGUUGACCGUUUGCCACUAUCGGUUCGCCGUUAAUUUACAGAGACUUGCAAAACAAAUUUCUGCUAUUCGUUCUUGCUAAACAGUUGAAGGUUAGCAUGGAAUGACAUUCUGAAAAUUAUCGGUUAGCCGUUUGAAGUUAACGGUUCACUGGUUAUUUCCAAUAACCUGCAAAGAGAAAUAAAUUAUUCGUUUUCUUUAAACGGUUAGCCGUUAGCUAAAUCCCAUCUUGGAAAUUAUCGGUUAGCCGUUUGGUAUAAACGGUUCGCUGUUUAAUUCCAGUAACAUGCAAAACACACUUGCCUUAUCCGUUUUUGUUAACCGGUUCAAGUUUAAGGAUUUAUCUCUCUGAAAAUUAUCGGUUAACGUUUCAAAGUUAACGGUUCACCGUUUACUUCCAGAAUCCCAAUUUUAACAGAAUUUUGCAAGGAAUGAUUUUCCAAUUAAAGUUAAUGAUUAUUCAUAUUUCAUGAACACAUUUAGAAAAAUUAUACGGCUUUUAAAAAAUUGUUUAUUAAUGAAAACUCCAACAUUUUAAUAAAAAACAUAUAUAAUUUGUUGUCAUCAAAAUCAAUAUAAUAGACAUAUACAUGUUAACAAUUUUCAUAUAUUAGAUAGAAGUUACAAAAGAUUACUUAAAAAAAAAAAGAAAAAUUAGACUUCACACGUUUAACAAACAACCUGAAGGAAUAUGAACAAGAAUUAUUAAAACAAAAAUGAUAAAUAAGGAUAAUUUUAAAAUUAAAAGCAAUUAAUUGAGAAAUGACGAGUGAUAAGAAAAAUUGGGGGGCAAAAAUUAAAAUAUCAACCUACUACUCAUGGUUGAUAGUCAUGACCCACUCAAUUUGAGAAUUAAAAGCACAAAAGCCAUGUGUUGAAAACUAUGAUGUUCAAGGGGAAAUUUCUGCUAAAAGUCUAAAAAGCAGUGAAAUUAUCCUGCAGUGCACGGUGCUUGGACAAUGAGAUGAAAUUGAAAAAUUAUCACGAAACUUCAAGGAAGAGUGCCAAUAGUCUUACUCAUAACGCCGUGCCAAGUCGAAAAAUUAGGUGGGCGUUUCAAUAACCCUUAAAUAUUCCAUGAAUCAUUGUCCAAGAAGCUUGGAAAAUGAGAUAUCAUGUCAAUAUAUGCUGCAGAGUCACGCUCAUUUUGGCUUAGCAAUGAUUUUCAUCUGAUCACAAUCUCUCUCUAAUCAAUCCAACUGUUUCUGUUGAUUAUGGCUUCUUUUUUCUCGAAACAACAAGAAGUAUGAUGUUUUUGUUAGUUUCAGAGGAGAAGACACCCGCGAAAACUUUACUAGCCAUCUCUAUUCAGCCCUGUCUCAACAAAAUAUCCAAACUUUCAUUGAUGACCAACUUAACAGAGGAGAUGAAAUUUCAGGGUCACUUGUGAAAGCGAUUAAAGCAUCAGCCAUUUCAGUUAUCAUUUUCUCUGAAGACUACGCUUCUUCCAGAUGGUGUCUUGAUGAACUUGCGGAGAUCCUCGAGUGCAAGAAAGAGCAUGCACAGAUUGUGUUACCGGUUUUCUAUCGCGUUGAUCCAUCAGACGUGAGAAACCAAAAAGGGAGUUUUGGGGAUUCAUUUUCAAAGCUUGAAGAAAGAUUUGAGCAAAAUUCGGAGAAGCUGCAGACAUGGAGGAAGGGAUUGAGAGAAGCGGCUGGUUUGUCUGGAUUUCAUUAUCGUAGCAUCAGAUUAGCUUGCUUGCGACAAAAACUUCUUUCAAAUUUAUUGAAGGAUAAAAAUGUGAUGCCUUAUAUUGACCUCAAUUUUAGAAGGCUCAGUCGCAUGAAGGUUUUGAUUGUUUUUGAUGAUGUGACUUGCUUCAGCCAAUUGGAAUCUUUAAUGGGAAGCCUUGAUUGGUUGACGCCAGUGAGUCCAAUCAUAUUAACCACCAGAAAUAAACAAGUGCUUAGAAAUUGGGGGGUGAGUAAAAUAUAUGAGAUGGAGGCAUUAGAAUAUCAUCAUGCUCUUGAGCUUUUUAGUUGACAUGCCUUCAAACAAAACCAUCCUAAUGUUGGUUAUGAGGAACUUUAAAGUAAGGCAAUGAAAUAUGCUCAAGGUGUUCCUUUAGCUCUUAAAGUUUGGGCUGCUUUCUAUAUGAAAGGGAAAAAGAAGUCAGGGAAAGUGCAAUAAAUAAAUUGCAAAGAAUCCUCCAUCCAAGUAUUCUAGAGGUAUUAAAAAUAAGUUAUGAUGGUUUGGACAAUAAAGUGAAAAAUAUUUUCCUUGAUGUUGCUUGUUUCUUUCAAGGUGAGGAUGUAAAUCUAGUAAUGAAAUUCCUUAUUGCAAGUGGCUUCUACCCAGAAAUAGGAAUAAGUGUUCUCAUUGAUAAGUCUCUUAUUGUCAUAUCAAAUAACAACAAGAUAACUAUGCAUGAUUUGCUACAAGAUUUGGGUAGCGAUAUUGUCAGUCAAGAAUCAAAUGAUAUUGGAAACCGCAGUCGGUUGUGGCAUCACGAAGAUAUCUACGAAGUUCUUACAUAUAAUAUGGUAAGCAAUUUGCUGUGGAUUAUAACUUUGGAAUAUUCUAGCAUUUACAAACUUGAUAUGGAUCUAUUUAUAUACUCUCGAAUUGAUGAAUCUAGAAUUAAUAGAAGAGUGACAAUGAUUAGAAAAAAACAAUAGUGGUUAUAAAUGCCUUGACAACUUGUAUAAUUCUUUGUAAGGAUAGUUUAUAAUGUCAAUUUGUAUUGUAUCCCACAUGCGUAAAUUUCAUGUUUAGUAUUACUUGUAUUAUUAUGUUCCUUUGUGCGUUUGCAAUUAAGAGUCAUUGCCUUCAAACAUUAGUGCAGAGAAGCUUGUGUUUCUUGAAAUGCCUAAUAGCAGCAUUGAACAACUUUGGGAUGGUAUGAAGGUAUGUGUAACUUAAUAGUUUAUGUGUGCAAUCUUUCAACUUUGGGAUGGUAUGAAGGAUUUCUGAAGUGCCUUGCUUACGUAGAAUCAGAUCACUUACUUUUGGGAUGCUAUUUUUUCAGUGAGGAGGAUUUCAAUGAUUUUUGGAAAUAUAAUUUCGUUCAACUGUUACGAAGAAGACUAAUAUUUUCCAAAAACCUUAUAUUUCAAGAAAACAAAUAAAAGAUAUUAUUCACAAAAAUUAAUUUUACGAAUUAAAAUAACUUACCUCCCCGGCAACGGCGCCAAAAACUUGUUGUGCAAAUUUUAUUAAACUCACAAGUGCACGAAUCUAUUGUAGAAUAGAUCAAUGGUGACGAGGUCGAUUCCACGAGGAAGUUGAUUCUAAUUGUGUAAUAUAUUCAUUUUUUACUAGCAAAUUCUUCUUUUUCACAGCUUUAGGGUACAACUUUUCCUUUCCUUUUGAAGGCCCACUCCACUGGCAUAGAGAGUAAAAAGAGUUUCUUAUAAAUAAUUUUAGGAGGAUGCUUCUGCCACGACAAGUAAUACCAUAAACAAAUUAUUUCACCACAUUUCAAGAAAGCAUUUAACUUAUGCCUCAUUUUCAUUCUGGCAAUUUGCUUGCCAUUGGCUGAUUGGAAAAAGUGCAUUUUAGUGAUAGAAUACUGUCAACCUAUAGCACGAAUAGGGGUUAAAAAAAGUAAAUCCCUACCUUUACAUGUCAAAUAAAAGACUUUCAUAAUAUCAAAUAUCAAAACUAAUGUCUAGUAAAGGAUUCCCAAAUGCUGGCUCUCAAAAUUGCUUUUGUCUCAUGGAUGAGAUGAUGGUUUUUGUGCAUAUUCUGCUCAACUUGGAUUAUGACUUGGGUCAGAUCCCAACUUGCUGCAAAGCUCACCUGACUAAAUCUUAGUUGAUUUGCUUUUCAAAACUAAAUCCAAGCAAGUAUGUACAAGAGAUAAAAGCAAAAGUUCAAGCAUCUCAUUUGAGCCUGUCACUAACAAAUGGUCAAUGAGCAAUGUCUAGCUAUGACUGAGAAACAGAAUCAAUAAACAGACAGAUAAAAAAUAAUAAUCAAGUCAUCUGUCAAAUGCUAGUCCAUGAAAAUCAUAUAUAUAUAUAUGUUUAUGUAUAUGUAUAUGCAUAUGUAUGAUAUAUGUAUAUGCAUAUGUAUGAUCAUUCAUUUCUCAAUCAACCACCAAAUUGAUGUCAACAAAGCAUGAGGAUUGUCUCACAAGUCUUUCAUUUUCCCUCUCUUUUGGCCAGAGACCAGUAAACCAUCUGAAAUAUGGAUGUGCAAACCAGUAAAUAAAUCAUGAAGUUACACACUAGUCUGCUUUCGCACUCAUUCGGACUAUCAAUGAUACUUACUGCAGGUACGGUGUAUACAUUAUACUAAAGUGAAGGCUGGAUCAAUAAGAAAUUCAAAAUGUUUCAUCACAUUUGGGGCUUGAUGAUGCCAAAGAAAGACCAUCCCAAUUAUGAUGAACAGUAAAAUGUGAACAAGAUCAAGCAUACAUUUAAGAAAGCAGAGAAGCAUCAUUAAAAUAAAGCAUUCUUCUUACUUUGGAAAAUGGACCAAAAUAAAAAAGAAACCAUAUAUGGUUAACGUCACAAUCAAGAAUACUUGUGCAUUUGUACAUCAUAGGAUAUUGGGAAGACAUCAGCAGAGAAGUGCAUUUUUUUUUUUUUUUUGGGAAAGGAACAGAGAAGUGCAAGUCAAAAAGGAGAAAAAAUGAAAAGAGAGAGAUCAAAAGGAAUGCAAUCUAAUUAAUCGUCUAAGGAGACUACUAUGCUACAUUUAGCCAUUGGUUGAAUAGGCAGCUUGUUUUCUAGUACAAUUUUAAAUUUUCCAAGAUUGAGAAUUUUCCUAAUGAAGAAAACUAAUUUUUAAAGCAGCUAUUACCAUCUUCAUCCCAACGGUAAGCAUCUCCAUACUAAGGAAGGAGUGAAAUAGGUGUGAUUUACUUAUAGAAGCCCGUUCUUGUCCAGAGUGACUAGUAAGUUAUUUUAGCAUGACCCCCAUUAUGGUGACUGAAAAAAGAAAAAUAAAAAAAGAAAAUAUUUGCCGAACACAGAAGUAGCACCCAAGAAGUCCUACUUAAGAGGCUUCGUACCCUGCACAAAUCGGAGAGUUUUUUAAAAUUUUCAUGUUUCAAAUGAAGAUUGUCCAUUAAAAAAUUACACACAUAAUGUAUGUAAAGCAAUUAAAAUAGAAAAACAAGGAUAACCCAGAAACAAUCCAACCAUCAAUAACAUAAAACUUUUGUAAUUCUGGUAAAGUGAAUGAGAAGCAGAACAUACAUUUCAUGUAAUAAUGAAGAUACAUCUUUUAAUCAUAAUGCAGAUACGUAUCUUAAAAAAUUAUAUCAUACAUUUCUCUUAUCAAUGAAGCAGGUUGCUAUUGAACAUUAUUCAUAAACAAAGAGCCAAAUAUGCUUUAAAGCUACUUGCAAAUAUGCCAUCAGGCAUUGAGACAGAGUGACAGACACUCGACAACAAAAACAGACUUAUCAGCACUUAACAACACAAAAGUCAAAAAGCAAAUACUCUUAAUCAAGUAUUAUAUUUGUUGCACAAAUAAGAAAGAAGAUAUAAAUUUUAAAUUAACCAACAAGUUGAGUCUUAUCGUAAUACACACUAUCAACUAUGAAUUAGCAUACCUUAGAAGUCCUCAACUCAUUCACCGCUAUUCGAAGAGAAUCGUCCGAUAGAAUCAACCGUGACAAUGCUCCAGUGCUUAACCUGCCACAUUUAAAAAGAUCACCAUAAGAGAGAAAUCUUAAAUUAAAAAAAAUAUUGGAAACCUAAACGCCAAUCAAACACAUUACAUAUAGCAAUUUCUCUUUUUAAAGUUCAAUUAUCGCGAGUAUUAAACUUAAUGCAAUACCCCCAAUAAUUUUGCUGCUUCUGAUACAGAUCCCUCGACUGCGAAAAUUAGAUCAAGCAGAGCUUGCAUUCCCUGUAGUUAACCAAAAAAAAAAAAAAAAAUGAAGCAAGAGUGAAUAGAGUAAUACCAAAGCAAAUUUAGGAUUGUUAGGUCCGAUUUGUGGACCAACUUCUAAACUUUUAAUAGUAGACUUAGGAGGAAGGAUUUGAAGAAGCUGUGGCGGCGGCGAAUACGCAUCAAGAUUCACACUGCUCCUCACUUUGAGAGCCAAAAGAGUGCGGAGGCGCGACAAAGCUGACGCGCGAUUCUUGUGCUGCGAUCGGUCUUCGGCGGCCUGCGGUAUGACGCCGGUCGAUACGUGCUUGAUACGUACGGUGGAUUCGCGCUUGUUGCAGUGCUGACCGCCUGGUCCGGACGCUUUGUAAGUGUCCAUUUCGCAUUCGCGAAGCAGCUCAUCGUCAGUCAAUUCUAAGUAAUUCUUCUUCUUCUUCUUCUUCGAAGAUGAAGAACAAUUGGCAUUGGUGCUGUAAUUGCAAGACAAGAACAAUGGCUGAUAAUUCCCGCGAUGCUUGUACGACGGAAAGUUUAUAUUUUUCCUUCCGAGUUGGGGAAUCCGAAGCAGGAAUUGAGCGGCCAACGCCAUCAUCAAUUUCAAUUUCCCUCUCUGUGUAUGUGAUAAUCAAAGCAAAGCUCCGUACUGGUAACACAUUCUUAUAGCAGGCCCAGCCCAAUCAGCCCAAUCCACAUUAUUAUUUUAUUAUUUUUGAACUCGCGGUGGCUCUGUAUUAUUUGCAAAACUAGGAAAUAGAACUGCACUUUGUGCGACUUUAAAAAAAAAUUUAGUAUUAUCUUUUUUUAUUACUUUGCACUUGAUGAAACUGAUAAAAAAUAUGAUUUUUUUUUUAAAAUGACGCAACUUUAUAAAACUAAUGUUAUUUAUGAAAGUUAAUUAUUUUUUUGUUAACAUUAAAAAUAUAUAUUAAUGUGUAUAGUUAAGUGUGCACAACCUUUUCAUUAAUAAAAAUUAUGUUCACACUAAUCAACUCUCCAUUUUUCUUGGUAUUAAUAGACUCCUACAUCUUACUAAGCCUAACCCUUAUCAUCCAACUAUCUUUAUCAUUGUUUAACUCAUGAAGAAAAGAGUACUCCAUGAAGCACACAAUACUAAAAAUUUAAAUAAGUCAAAAAAUAAAAACACAAGAAUAGUUCUAAAGAGGAUGUUGGUUAAAUAAUAAAAAAAAAAUCAAACAUAACAAAUCUUAAAUGCUUAAUAUUUAUAGAGUUUGAAGAAGCCAAAAGACACUAAAUAAAAGGUUGCAUAAUUAAAUAUGGGAUUAUGAUAUUAAAAUUAGGUCCUAGUGGCAUUGGUGAGGGAAGAUGAAUGAACAUUCCUUCCUAUAUUAAUUAGUUGAUAUAUUUUAAACCACUAAAGUUUAGUUGUUGGCUUAAUAAAAUAAAUAAAUGUUUCAAAACUUAUAAUUAAUUUAUUAUUAAUGGUUACAUAUUGUUGAAUUUAAAUAGAAAGAGGAAGAGACAUGUAAUAUUUUAUAAUCUAAUAAUUAUUUUUUUAGUUUUAAUAUUUUGUAAUGUAAUUAUUUUUUAAUUUCAACCAAUAUAUUAGAUAAUAGAGAAUAUAAAAAGAUGAGAAAUAAUAAUGCCACAAAUCUUAACUACUUAAUAUUUAGAGAGUUUGAAGAAGCCAAAAGGCACUAAACAAAAGGUUGCAUAAUUAAAUAUGAGAUUAUAGCAUUAAAAUUACACCCUAAUGGCAUUGUUGAGGGAAGAUGAAGGAACAUUCAUUCCUAUAUUAAUUAAUUGAUAUAUUUAAGCCACUAAAGUUUAAUUGUUGGCAUAAUAAAAUAAAUAAAUGUUUCAAGAUUUAUAAUUAAUUAUUAUUAAUGGUUACAUAUUAUUGAAUUUAAAUAGAAAGAGGAAGAGACAUGUAAUAUUUUAUAAUCUAAUAAUUAUUUUUUUAGUUUUAAUAUUUUGUAAUGUAAUUAUUUUUUAAUUUCAACCAAUAUAUUAGAUAAUAGAGAAUAUAAAAACAUGUAAUCUUUUAAAUAGAAAAUACAAGAAGAUGAGAAAUAGUGAUGCCACAUCACCUUCUCUAGUCCCAACUUUAUAUUUAUGUAUAUAUAUAUAUAUAUAUAGAUAUAGAUAUAGAUAGAUAGAUAUAGAUUUUUAAUAUAUUGUAAUGUAAUUAUUUUUUAAUCUCAACCAAUAUAUUAGAUAAUAGAGAAUAAAAAAAUAUGAGAAAUAAUGAUGCCACAAAUCUUAAAUAUUUAAUGUUUAUGGAGUUUGAAGAAGCCAAAAUGCAUUAAACAAAAGAUUGAAUAAUUAAAUAUGAGAUUAUGACAUUAAAAUUAGGCUCUAAUAGCAUUGUUGAGGGAAGAUGAAGGAACUUUCCUUCCUAUAUUAAUUAAUUGAUGUAUUUUAAGCCACUAAAAUUUAAUUGUUGGCAUAAUAAAAUAAAUGAAUGUUUCAAGACUUAUAAUUAAUUAUUAUUAAUGGUUAUAUAUUGUUGAAUUUAAAUAGAAAGAGGAAGAGACAUGUAAUCAUUUAUAAUCUAAUAAUUAUUUUCUAUUUUAAUAUUUUUUAAUGUAAUUAUUUUUUAAUUUCAACCAAUUUAUUAGAUAAUAGAGAAUAUAAAAUGAUGAGAAAUAGUGAUGCCACAUCACCUCUUGUAGUCCCAACUUUAUAUAUAUACUAGGAAAUAAAACCGCGCUUCGCGCGGCUUUAGAAAAUGAAUUUAGUAUUAUCAAUUUUUCUUUCUUUACACUUGAUAAAACUGAUAAAAAAUAUAAAUUAAUUUUUUAAAAUGAGGCAGCCUUAUAAAACUAAUGUUAUUUAUGAAAGUUAACUAUUUUUUUGUUAACUUUAAAAAUAUAUAUUAACGUGUAUAGUAUAAGUGUACAAACCUUAUACCUUUUGUAGUUGAUAAGUUCCAAAUUAAAUUUUGUAAUUGAGGAUCCUUAACGUUGAAUUAUAAAAGAAAUAAGUAAAAUACAUGUAAAGACUUUUGUAAGUUAUUUCACAUCGUUUGUAGCUGCGUAGGUGAGCAGUUGUUUAUAUCAAGCUUGCAACUAUGGCAAGUUCCAAUGGGGAUCAGCAACACCUAGUGCCAACAUGUUCUUUAUCUGUAUAUAAACCAUGUCUCCAUGGAUUAGAGAGAAUGAAAGGAGAAACAAUUGAUGUAAAAAAGAAUGCUUCUUCACAUACUAUGUUCUUUGGCAAUUAAAUCCUCCAUAACAGCUUGGAAAACUCAACCAAACUACCAUUUUGCUGUCUCGAUAGUUCCUUUGAUUUAUCCAUUUGUCUACUGAAUAAUUAAAACACAUAAUAAAAAUCAUUAUUAUAGGGUGAAGUAAGAGCUUGCAAUGUAUAAAUUAAAUUUUAAAAUAUAAUCUAAAAAUGUGAUACCUUGAUUUUGUGAGCUGAUGUGUGAAUAUUUUGAAAUACUUCUUUGUAGACAAUGUUUUUUAUGAAUGUUCGGUCUUCUACCUCUUGAUCGGCGUUUAGUAUGGUUAAUCCUUCUCUUGUGGUAACUCGAGACACGGGGACAUAUAAUUGACCAUGUGUGAAUACUUGCUUAGGGAGAUACAAGCCAACAUGUUUAAGAGAUUGUCCUUGGCUUUUGUUGAUCGUCAUGGCAAAACAUGGUGCCAAAGGAAGUUGUCGUCUGUUAAGCUUGAAUGGCCAUCUUGAUUCAUUAGGAGACAUAAUAAUUCUUGGAAUUUUGACAUUUUGUCCAAUAUUUGUUCCAGAAAUGAUGUCACCUUUAAUGGACCAUUUACCAAGACGAGUGAUAAUCAAUCUUGUGUGGUUGCAUAGGCCUUCUAUUUGAUUUAGAUUUUUGAGAAGCAUUACGGGAGCACCUUCCUUAAGUCGUAUGUCAUGAUUAGGGAUGCCAUUGAAUUUCAAACUAUUCAAAAAUUCAGUUGGAUACAGAACAUCUUCAUCAUUUGUGUUUGCUUGCAUAUAAUGUCUGAGCUAAAAUAGGUUCUCCCUUGACCAGGUAUUAUAUUCAUAAUCAUCUCGUUCAAUUCAUGCACCAUUUCAUUUUUUGGCGUUAAUAUUGCUCUUUCUUUCAAAUAUGCUGGAUCACUGUAGUUAUGCCGAAUUGAUGGGUAGAUAGUGUCGACUAUUGAUUUCAUCAGAUUUUUUGAUGGUUUCUUACAGAUAUUAGAAGGUAGUUUAACUAAAUCUCUAUCAAUGUCAUCAUAUAAUAAACCAUCUCCAAUUUGCAACAACCAUUUGUAAAAAGAAGCUAUUUUAGCAACCUCAGAGCCACUCACGCUUCUAUUAUAGAGCCUCAUAUUUUGUUUGAGCUCAUAAAUUUUGAAAAAUGGCCAUAAGUAGGAUGAGUUAAGUGAAGCAUCAACAAUGUCUGUUCUUGUCCCUUUUGGCACAACUGGCAAUAUUUGUCGGAAAUCGCCACCACAUACUAUUGUAAGUCCUCCAAAAGGUUUGAUAGAACUAUUUUCAUAUAUUGUUCUUAGAAUAUCUCUCAAGGUCCUAUCCAAAGCUUCAAAGCAGAACUUAUGUGCCAUAGGCACUUCAUCCCAAAUGAUCAAAUAAGUUUUCAUAAGAAGUCCAGUUAAUAAGGUGCCUUGUCAGAUUUCACAAGUGGACUCUGCUGUCACAUCCAAAGGAAUAUGAAAUCGCGAAUGGGCUGUCCUACCAUUAGGCAAUAACAAAGCUGCUAUACCUGAAGUUGCAACAGGCAAGACUAUUUUAGAAUGUGAUUUGAGCUUUGCAAUAAUUGUAUUCCACAAAAAUGUUUUACCAGUACCACCGUGUCCAUUGAUAAAAAAUAAACGCCCUUCUUCAUUCUCAACAGAAUGCAUUAUUGCUUCAUAGGCUGAUUUUUGGCUAGUAUUUAGAGUAGUAAAUGAUUUCUCAUGCAACUUCUUUAAUUGAUCACUAUCAUAAUCAAGCUCUUCAUUGACCAAUCGGUUACCUGAAUCUCUUAUAAAAAAAGAAUUAGGAAGUGGCAUUCCAUCUAUGUCUCUCAAACUUUUUCCCAUUUUCAACAUGAUAGUUUUAAUCUCCAACAAUGUGUAUGCUUCAACUUGUUGCUCGGUUAACUGAAGAUCUUUCAAUCUGAAUCUUUUCCUUUGCAAUGAAGUUAUGUCUUCUGAUAAAGUAGUAUAAUUAGAUUUCCAAAGUUGGGAUGCAUCAGAAACCUGACAAUGAAUGAGUAUCGUGACAAAAAGAUGUCUUAAUUCAUUUCCAAUCGCCCAUAUUGCAGCUUCAAUCAAGCAGUCGAUCCAUUCUUUAUCAUCGUCUAAUAAUCCCAAAGCAUAGCACGCAGCUUUAAAAGUUGGAUAUGUCACUCCAUUUACUGUUCUAAUACUUUCAAAUGAAGUGCUUCCUUUUACAAAAUUGUGCAACAUUCUCAUAUAAAAUUGUUCUCCACUUGAAGGAUGUGCAAAGUAAAUUCUUCCGAUUGCUAAGCCAUUUUUUCUCCUAGUCCAAGUUUUGUCUUUUGAAUUCCAUACCCAACAUGUAGGGAAAUCAGAAUAAGUUAACUCUCAUGCAUCAUCAUAAUUCUUGUUUGCCUCCAACCAUUCUGUGAACUUUGUUUUUUCUAUUCCAGGUAUGGUAAGCACAUUUUGUAAGCACUUGGAUUCUUCGAAUAUUACUGUAUGCUCUCCCAGUAAAUGGAACGGCAAUCUUUCAACUGCCGGCUUUCUGUAAUGUAUGUCAAAUUGGAAGAUUUGCCAGCAAGCUUCGGUUGCUGAUAUAUAUCUGCAGUCCAAAUAUGAUUUGAUCUCGUCCAUUUCUUGGGUAGUGUUAAUAGAUUCCAUUGUUGCAGUUGUUCUAUCAGACCCUUUAUGGACAUACACUACAAGAAAAAUAAUAUUUUAUUACAAAGAAUAUUAGUCACUAAAAAUAAUAAAUUAGUCACUUUAUAUUUUUUAUGACAAAAAAUAAAUUGUCACACGUUAGUCGUAGAAGGACCGUCUUAAAAGGCUCUAGCGACCAAAAUUAUUUUCAUCACUUUAAGAACAUGAUUCUAUGACAAACAUGAUUGUCUUAAAAUUAAGUUAAAAUUGUCACGAAUAGUGUCUAAAAUGGUCAAAUUAGAGAUUAAAAAAUGCAAUCAAUGACACUCCAUAUCGGUCAUAAUAUGUGGUUUAUAGUGCUAUAAUAUUUGUCUUAAGAGUUUGUAAACAUAGUCGCAACAAUUACUAAAAUCGUCAUUUUAGAGGUUUGACGAUACAAUUAGCAACGCUAUUUUUUUGUUGUUAAAGUUUACAUAUCGCGACAUUUCAUAAUCAUCCCAAGUAGUUUUCAUUUGUGACAAUUUUUGCUAAUACAAUUAGUAAUUAAUUUAGUGUCAACUUUAUUUUAAUGACAGUUUAUUUUACUAUUACAUGACUAGUUAAAUUGUAUCAAAACAUUUUAAGUGACUAUUAUCUAUUGUCAUAAAAUGUAAGCAUUCGCAACUAUAAUAUUUAGUCAAAAAAAUUAACAUGUUGUGACGUAUUCUUUCGUUGCAAAAUAUAUGUAAUAUAGUCUAACAUUAUUUUUAAUUACAAUGCACUUUAUUAUUUUAUGACUAUUUAUAUGGCAUCAAAAAAGUUUAAAUGACUACUUUCAAUCGUCAUUAAAAGAAAGCAUUCACGACGACAUAUUUUAGUCAUAUAAAUUGAUAUAUAAUGUCAAAAACAAUUUGAUUCAGAAAAUAUUAUUCCAUGACAUCUAAUUUCGUUUCAAAUGACAAGCAAUAUAGUCUCACAUUAUUUUUAACCACAAUACAUUUUAUUUAACGACUAUUUAUAUUGUAUCCUAAAAGUUAAAGUGACUAUUUUAAAUUGUAUUUAAAAGAAAACAUUCAUGACGGCACAUUUUAGUCACAUAAAUUGAUAUUUUUUGACAAAAAAAUUUUGAUUCAAAAAAUAUUAUUUCAUGACGAUUAAUUUCGUUUCAAAUGAUAAAUAAUAUAGUCUCACAUUGUUUUUAAUCACAAUAUAUUUUACUAUUUGAAGACUAUUUAUAUCGUAUCCGAAGAGUUAAAGUGACUACUCUAAAUUGUCAUUAAAAGAAAGCAUUCACAACAACAUAUUGUAGUCACAUAAAUUGAUAUUUAAUGACGAAAAAAUUUGGAUACAAAAGAGAUUAUUCCAUGACAAUUAUCUUCAUUUCAAAUAACAAGCAAUAUUGUCUCACGUUAUUUUUAAGGACGAUGUAAUUUACUAGACAAGCUAGUGUGAUUAUUAAAAAUAGGUGUAGUCAUUAACAAUCAAACCAACAACAAUGAGAAUAACAUAAGAAAGACUUCGAAAUAUUUAUUCAUAAUCCGAAGGAUUCAAACACAAAGCAUGACAUUGAAAUCCAAACAAAUUUGGUUCUUGGCAAAUAAAUGUAAAUAUAAAAGUCACAAAUCACUAUCAAUGACCUAAAAGUAAAAUUUCAUAGUAGAUGUAUUUGCAAAGGUCUUAUUGGGAUUGAGAAUCAAAUAAUGCAGAAUCAACUGAAGGUGUAAGUGAAAAUGAUGGUUGCUCUUUCAUGAAUUUUAUGAAAUCUUCAACUACCUGUAGUCUGUUAUCUUGCUCCUCAAUCUUUUUUGCUUGCUCCUCAAUCGUCUUUGCCAUCUCCUGAUUUUGUUGGGACAAUGCUACAUUGGAUGUUAACUUUGAAGGACCUAUCAUUUUCUUCACAAAAUUAUAUUUCUUCCCCAAAACAAUUUCACAAAUUUGAUUAUCAGUUAAUGGCUCAACAUUUUCCUCGGUAUUAGAGUUUUCCUUCAUGUCUAUCAUUUGGUCCUUCAUAAUUAUAUUUUAUUGCUUUUCUACAGUAUGUUAUACCAAGUCUAGGUUCUAAUAAUAUAUUUCGUGGUCAUUUUGCAGGAUUGAAAAAAAUCAACGGUAAACAUAUAUUUAACCUAUUAAUUAUUAUAAAUAGUAAAAAGUCAACAAUACAUGGCUCAUGAAACUAUUAAUUAUUAAAAUAUUAAAUCAGCAUAAUAAUGAAAGCAGAAUUUAAUAUAAAACAAAAAAUUAACCAAACCUUGGUGAAUGGAGGACGGUUGGAAAACUUGAUGGAUGAGAAAAAGGAGCAAAAGCUGCUGGAUGAAAAUUCCAACACAAAAAUUGCAAUAUGAUAUAUGUCAGUAAGUGUACUUGCUUUUUCAAUCACAAUGGCUCAUUAAACAAUUAAUCAUUAAAAUAUUAGAUCACUAUAAUAAUGAAUGCAAAAUAUUAUAUUAAAAUAAUAUAAAACAAAAAAAAAAUCAAACCUUGUGAGUAGAGAAUGGAGAAUCCCUAUGAAAACUUGAUGGAUGAGAAGGCGGAGAAAAAGCUGAUGGAUGAAAAUCCCUAAAAAAAAAUUGCAAUAAAAAAUGUGUAUGUCGGUAAGUGUACUUGCUACUUUAGGGGAGAAAAAAAAGAAAUGCAGGCACACACUUGCAGUACAAAUAAAAUAAACUAAUAAUAAAAUAACCUAAUAGAAAUCUUAGGAAAAAAACCAGUUGCUUUAUUUCUUUGAAAACUGUGAAACACAGGGGAAAGUGGCGGGGUGUGGAAAUAAUUUGUAAUGAAAACCUUAUAAAGUAGGGUUUAAAGAAGUGAUAAAAGAAGAGUUACCUGGGUGAGUUAAACUAAUACAUGUGGCAAUUUAUGAAAGGCUGUCAUAAUAGAUGUGUGUUGUUAAACAAAUUAAUAAACUGAUGUGGCGGUACAUCUAUCUAAUGCCGCCAAAAUUAAUUCUUUUUAACUCAUUAAAUUUAACUUAAAAAAUAAACGUUACAAUCUGUAAAAUAAUAAUUUAAUUUUAUAUCUUCCAAAACAUAAGUAGGCUGCCAAAAGAGUCUACUUAUAUAUAUAUAUUUUGUUCAUUUAUAAUUUGGAAGUUACCAUAAGGAAAUCCUUUUACUAAAACAAAAUAAAACUAUUACUAGAAUCAUUGAAAUAUAGCACAUCUUCCAUAACAACCGCAAAAGAAUAGUAAUAAACUAUGCCAAAAAUUCCCUACCUGGUUGCUCUUGUUAAUGUCUGGCCUAUCUUAGCAAUGCAAAUGAGCCAAUCAUGCUGCAAACCAUUAUUUCCGGAUGCACUAACCCAGGUUUCUACAUUUACAGUAGCAUUCCUGCAAGAGAGACAUAAAUCAGACAUUUAGUCUUCAAUAAACUUCUUCUUUCUUUUCUUUUUCAGUUAAGCGAUAUAUCACUCAAAAGCACAACAACAAAGAACUGUCCGAGCUAACAUAUUGAGCAUAAGCCUCUGGAUACAUCCAUGGGCCAACUUCUACAGUAUGUUCUAAAAAAUUUGCAAAACUUCUACAGUCAAUUCUUUGCACCAAGGUAGGUUUCAUCAAUUUCACACAACAAGAACCACCAUUCCAACCAUAUCAUAUAGCCAAAUGCAAGCUAGUAAAUCACAUGAUUAAAUGAUAAGGUUUUCAGUUCUCAAUGAAUUGUUCCAAGAAUUUUAACAUAUAUAGUGUUAAAUGAAUACAACUUUGUUUAAGACCAUAAUGAGCAUGCUAACUGUUUUACAUAUAAAUGAAUACAACUUUGAGAUUUCUUCUUGUAAAAUAAUUAAAAGCUGAUUCGGAUAAGAUCUUUCAACAACAAUAGAACCAACUCUGCAGACUGUAAACAAAUGUUCAACUUAUUCCAAUAAGAAUUUUACCUCUUUUAGUAGCAUUUUGAGAUUCGUGGCAUUGAGCAUUGUGUUUCCAGUCAUGAUAAAGUCUCAAUACAACUACUGCAGUGGCUUAUAUGGGAAAACAUAACACUCUUUUAGAAUACUAGCAAGAUAAGUUAGGAAUGAAAUCUUCUCAUCAACAACCAAAUCAUCUUUAAAAGAUAAAUCCAAAGAACUACCGAUCUCAUGGAAGCCAUUUUUUAGAAACUCAAAAACUUUCUUAACCUAUCCAAAAGAUAAAUCAUGCUUUAAUAUAUGGAUCUCCUCUGAGCCCACAAAAUUUCUUAACAUUUCACUGGGCUUCAUCUUUUCUGUUUUUCCCCCUCUCUCAGUGGAUGAAAUACUAAUAAUUUAAAGAUGUAAAUAAUCAUAUCUAAGAAUUUUUUCAUUACUCUGAUGAAGAAAAUAACAAGUCUAUACUUAUUAUAUUAUUUAUUAAAACAAGUAGCACAUAUAUGUAAUUACUUCACUGUCAAUUUUCCUUGUUAAGAUAAAAGUGCCAAUGACUCAGAAUUUCAGAUAUAGAUAGUACGCUUCAGCUAAAUGUAAUGACAGUCCAUAUAUGACAGUGAUUUGGCAUCCAUGUUUUAUAAUUUGCCUUUAGCAGCUAAACUAAAUCCUACAAACUACAUAUAUCAGAAUGUACCAGAUAUCCAGACUGCUGCUGCCAAUCCACAACGGCAUUUGAACAUUGUACACCAAGUUUUCAACCUUAGAUUAAAGAAAAUGCAGUGACAAGCUUCUGUUUGUCCUUCUGAUUGUAAUAGUUUCAAGUUCGAAUAUUUCCAUUGCCUACAUCAAAUAAGAAAAUAAGACAAAAUAAUAAGGCAUUUAACAUUCCAAUUGACAAAUGAAAAGAGUAAAAAAUAAUAUUACAUAAAGCAACAAGUAGGAGGCUAGCAUCAAGUUCAUUCACAAGGCAGAGUUUGGAUAUUCCUUUGUUAGGAAAUUCGUGAUUAACAAAACUGUUGAGAAGGGUAGCUUCCUCAUAAUUCCGUAUCUUGCGAUUAAACAAAUACCGAACAGCUAAUGCAUUUGAGAGAGAUGAAAUUAUAAGAGACCAGAGGACCCAUCUCUCUACAUCUAAUAAACAACAAAAUCAAAAUUUAUUGAACCAUCUCAUAGCAAAAAAACCCCAUGAGUGGCCAAAUUUGUACCCAAUUCUACACUCUACUAUGAAGCUUAUGAAGCCGAAAUUACUUCAACAUAUAUCAGCUCAUAUGUUGGCAAUCAUAGUCAAAGAUGGUUAUCAAGCAUCCUCACAAAUCAAGAAGCUAAUAAAAACCAAGUUGCACUACAUUAACAUAUAUCAGUUCUUUGAUAUAAAGAUAUUGAAUGUUAUACACUUCUAAUCCCAAGUCAUGAAACAUAAAACAAAAGUUCACUCCACACGCUCAUAAAGAUAGACUGCUAGAAAAAUGGAGAAUAACCAUCAGAUAUGAGUCAAUAAACUAUUAAGCUAAUUAAUGCACAUGAAGGACACUGGCAUAAUAAUAAUAAUAAUAAAAAACCCAUUCACAUUCUUAAAAAGAAAAACCAUUCAAAUUCUAAUUCAAUAUAUCAACAAACCCAUUCGCAUUCUAAUUAAUAAAAAAAACACCAGCCGCGGAGCAACUUCUCCAACACAUUCGACAAACCUAUUUUCAUUUUAGUUCACAAACAACACCAGCAACAGAGCAGAUCCUUUGACAAACUAAUAAACCCAUUUUCAUUUUUCAAUAACAAAAUAAUGCCCAAUCACCGAUUUCUAACAUGCAAAGAGUUUUUUCAAAGACUAACCUUGUACGCAAUUGAGUGACAAUCGCCUCUAACGCCGACAGCAGGCGACACUCACUCGACGCCAUCACCCUUGAUUCAUCACAUGUUCUUUUAUUAUCGGAUUCUCCGAGCUAAAGUUGCAGGAUUGCGGUUGAUUUCUUUAUCUUCAAAGCAUUUAGAGAUGGAGUAUGUGUGUGUUUUGGUUAGAUGAAGAACACUUGCUUUUUGUGAUGGGUAGCUUCGAUAAAGAAAAAGAAACACCACUAAAUCUACUAGAUUUAUUAUGUAGCAACAAAUGCUUUGGAUAAUAACUUGUAGCUUCAGUUUGUUUUUUUAAUUUAAAGUUUUUGGAAUAUAAAUGGGCUAUUGCCAAUUUACCCUCAUCGAUUAACAAUACAUGAAAUAAUAACUAAUAAGGGAGGAAAGUGGAGAUAUUGUGAUGCUUUCAUCAAAUUGGAGAUAAGACAAAUCUCAGGGGGAAAACUGAAAAUUAUCCUAAGUAACAGUAGUAUGUGCGUGCUUUGUCUUGCUAUGACAGUACUAAGGAUUAAGGAAGACAAGUUAUUAUUUCUUACCUUUGUUUAAUACCGAUUAUUAUUAUUUGGUGAGACCAAUUAAUUGUUUAUACAUACAUAAAAAUUAAUUUUGUCUAACCUUUUAAUUACAUUUUAUUAUAAGUAAUUAUGUGUAAACUACAUCAGAAAAUAAAUUAAUUACUCAGUCAUAACAAUACAACGUUAUUUAAGACAAAACUUUUAGUUACUAUUUUUAGUUUUGUGACUAUAAUGACUACAUUUAGGACUAAAAAAAUAAAGUCUUAAAACUAUAAGAAAUCAUAAUAGCUUUAGAGACUAAUAUUAUGUGUCAUUGAUGGUUUGCCUAAAUUUACACCUGUUUUUUAGUUACAAAAUACUUUUGUCACCCAUAAUUAUAUUUCGUGACCAUUUAUUUUGUCAUGAAGGAUAAAAUAUUGUCUUAAAAUGUUCAAUUUUUUAAUGAGAUUUUUGUGUAAAAAAAUAAAUUUAUUUUUUCCGACUACAAUAAUAUUUGUCACAAGACCGUGGAAUCAGAUACCAAGUAGUGCGUCCAAGAAAAGAAAUAACUUGGUCACAAAAAUACAAUGUUAUUCAAGACAAAACCUUUAGCUACUACUUUUACUUUUGUCACUGUAAUUACUCAUCCAAGACCAAAAAAUGGCGUCUUAAAAUGAUAAGAUGUAAAAAUAGCUUUAGAGACUAAUAUAUAUGUCACGAAUAGUUUGGUUAAAUUUGUACUUAACUUUUAGUUACAAAAUAGUGUCAUCGCCUAUACUAAUAUUUUGCAACCAUUUUUUUUUAUCAUAACUAAUGAAAUAUUGUCCCAAAAUGUUUCGAAUUUGGAGGGAAAUUUUUGUACUAAAAUAAUAUGUUUUUCAGUGACUAAAAAAAUAUUUGUCACAAAAAGGUUGAAUCAGAUACCAAAUAUUGUGUUCCAAAAUAAAAUUAUUGGUCACAAAAUAUAAUACAAGUCAGGACAAAAUUAUUAGAUACGAUUUCAUAUAUUUGUCACAGUAAAUAUCAUUUCGUGACCAAAUUUCAAAGCGUUCAAAAAAAUAGUCUUAAAAAAUCAAAUUUCUUGUAGUGAUACUUGAAAAGAUAUUUAACUGAUCUCGAGUAAUUACAAAUCUCAACAUUAAUAUGUGCAUCAAAUUUGACAAUUAAAUUCCUGUGAUAAGGAACCACAUAUCGAUUAUCCGAGAAGACACCUUUCUUUUCGACAUGAAUACCUGUAUUUCUCCUUUUAUAGACUGGAAAGGCAUUUGUAUCCACUGUUGUCUGAUCAUUAAAUUUUUUUGGAAAAUGUUUUGUGCACUUGUCUUGCAUCAUGGAUGGAGAGUGAGAAUUGUGUUUUCCACACGGUCCAUGAAUCAUAAAUUUGUUAACUGCAUUAUAGAAUGCAUGAUUUAUUACAAGAGUUGGGUAGGGAAAUUGUUCGACAAGAAUCAAUUAAUCCUGGAAGCCACAGUAGGUUGUGGCAUCAUGAGGAUAUCUAUGAAGUUCUUACAUAUAAUACGGUAAGAAUUUGUUGUGGAUUAUUAUUUUGAAAUAUUCUAGCAUUUACAAACUUGAUAUGAAUAUAUUUAUAUAUGCUCGAACUGAUGAGUCUUAGAAUUAAUAGAUGAAUGCAAUGAUUAGAAAAAACAAUAGCGGUUAGAUGACGUAGCAAUAAACUUGUAUAAUCAUUUGUACGCAUAAUUUAUAUGUCAAUUUGUAUAGUAUACAUACGGAAUUUCCAUGUUAAGUAUUACUUGUAUUAUCAUGUUUCUUUGUGUGUUUCCAAUUAAGAGUUUAACCGCCUAGAAAUAACUAUAAACAUGAAUUAUUGAAAUUUGUUUCGAAUAAUGUUAGAGUGACCCACUCCAAUCCAACCUCAACUCCACACAAGAAUAAAUAAAAAGUGAAUUAAUAACUAAUUAAGCUACGUCUAAUUGUGCUCCCCCCCAAAAGCCUUAAACGGCCUUAAUGGCCUCUCCGGCCACCGGUCAUGGCAACCAGUUAUCACCAAUCAACACCUCUCCGCCGACGAACGAAUUAUCAGGAGUUUGAACCCUCCUAAGAAAUCAUUUAGACGACCCCCGAAAUUCACCAAUGACGCACCGCCUGAUGUCUAGCUACCAUCACUGCGAAUCAAACCGCUCCACCGGCAAAUUAUCCCCAAUCCAUCCACACAACCAACUCAUAUCUCUACAAACCAUUCCCAUGAAGACCCUCCAUCUCCAAUCCACCACCAUGCUGACCAUCCACCAACAACCACUGCCUUCAUCCUUUCGAAACUUCAGCAACCCUCCAUCCCUGUUGCCGUAAGUGAACAAUAAGAAAUGCCCUAUGAAUGAUGCCAUGAUGCAGCAAAUCACCCACCCCUUCAUAAGGAAGGGGAAGAAAGCUGUGCUCGAGACGAUCCAGAUCUCAUGAACUCACCGGCUGAUGGGAAGGGCAGCCAGCCACCUCCGGCUCAUCCCCCCAAUUCUAGAAACAAACCUCCCUUUCUUAGGAGAUCUCAAAGGCAAACUUGCUCAAAAUAUAAAAGCCAGUCGCCAGCCAUCCAACCUCAACAGCCACCAACAUCCGCAAACACAGCCAAUCAACCUUCAUUGUCAUCUCUUCAACAACCAACUUCAAUCUUAACUAGCCAUGAUCUGCUUCUAAACCCCGAGCCAUCAUCACCUUAAAAUUGAACUAAGCCUUACUUAAAUUAUAAAGAUGAGCUUGAAGAAGAAACAAAACACCUUUUUGGUUAUUUUAUUCAUCUCAUAAUCAUUACAUUUAUAGUGCUCUACAGGAAACACGAUAAUGCCAAGAAUAAGAUCAAGCCUGGCACAAUUGUUAUCUUUAUCUUGAUCUUGAUAAAUACAAAAGUGCAGCUUGAAUUAAUGAUAAGCUUAGAGAUAAGGUUGAUCACUUUAACUUUCGAGAACACCAAUGAAUGCCAAGUGUGCUGCCAUGUCAUCUAACAACUUUGAAUUCGUAUUACUCGAGUUUGGUAGCUCUGCUACAAUAUUUUCAUCGCCUUCACAAGCUAACACAAACCAGCUACCAGCCUGUUCGCAGUCAACACAAGCCACAAAACACCACUCGGUAGAUGCGCAUCCAAUCGUUACAGCCACUAUGCAAUCUCAAAACCAGCCUGUGCUCUAUGGCAAUUUAAAUGAAGAACCGUUACAAGCUGCAACCACCGUGGCUAAUUCCAGUAAGGCACAAUCGUCACCCACACAAACAAGCCCCACGUGCCAAAAAACUCUCACGCAUGCACUCGGGACAGCUCUCAUCGCCAGCUGCAGCUGUUGAACUCCGAUUGUCAGCUUCCCAUGCAGGCAACCACCACUGAAUCCAGUCAAAGUCAGCAAACAUCCCAGCCCAAAAGUCUUCAUGUGUGUGAAAGCCAUGAUGUUGCUCCACAUGAAAAUGAGCCACUUUCAGCAACACAUGAUUUUUGUCCCCCAUGUGUGUCCCCCAUUAGCCUUUCCCAUGUCCCACUAACCCCUUCCACUAAUCAAACUCAAGUCCAAUCCAUUCCCAAAAUAAAUCCCACGCAACCUUCCCGAAUGCCCUCCACUCUUGUCUCUAAUAACUCUCAAUAUGACCCAUUGACCCAAAAUACUACACAGCCCGCACCCUUUUAUGCCUCGGUUUUGAAUUUCCUGCCCAAUUUAAAUCGAAAUAGACCCCCCAAAAAAAUCUUUGGUGGAUAUUUUGAACAGCCCAACUAGUUCGAUGAUUCCGAUCAAGACUGUUACUUUAUUCGGGGGAGCGUCUAAUGUGCAAUUUUCCACUGUAGAAAUUCAAGUGAUGGCCAUUCCCUUCAAGCUAACAUUGGUCGGUAAAUUUUCUUAUAACAGACCUAGUAUGGAAUUAAUUCGUAAAUUUUUUAUUUCUUUGAAAUUGAAGGGAACUUCCAAGGUGUCCUUACUAGAUAAUUGACAUGUGUUAAUUCAAUUGGACAUUGAGGAGGCCUACUCCCGCCUAUGAGUUAGACAGACAUGGUACAUUAAUGGGAGUGCCAUAAGAAUUUUUAAAUGGACCACUGAUUUUCGGUGCUCCGAGGAGUCCCCUAUAAUCCCAGUAUGAAUAUCAUUUCCUUACUUGCCUGUCCACUUCAUGCACUGUAAGGAAGCAUUAUUUUCUAUUGCAUCAACUAUUGGUAAGCCAUUGCGAAUUGACCAAGCUACUGCCUCUUUAGCUCACCCUUCUGUUGCUAGGGUAUUAAUGGAAUAUGAUGUUACACAACCUCCAUUGUCACAGAUACGAAUCGGUAUGGGAGAUUCUAGAUUUUGGCAUAGUGUAAUUUUUGAGAAAAUCCCACUCUACUGUGCAUCCUACAAGCACCUUGGGCAUACCAUUGAGACGUGUUACGUGGCCAAUCUAGGGCUCCAUCCCCAGCGGCCCAAUAGGAAUAGGUAGACCAGAGUAGAAAAUAGUAAAAAGUUAGAAAUUCUACCGUCAGAUACUCCACACUUGAGCCUUCCAUAACUAAGCAGAUUGCGGAUGCGGGGUCCCUGAUAACGCUAUGAAAUGAGAGUUAUUACAUCAAUUCUAGACUUAAAUCAAGAUCACUUAGAGAGUAAAUAAGGUGUUUUUAUUAUAUUUUGGCUAUAUUUUGCAUAAACAUUCAUUUUAGUUGAGUCUUAAUAAAUUUUGCUUGAAUCAAAGUAAUUUGUGCUCAAAGCAGGUGCAUAAUUGUAGGUUUUCAGAAAUCUUUAAUUCAUGAAGAGAUGCUGAGAUAUUAGACUAGCAGGAGAAGGAAAAAAGAUGGCCACAAAAGAAGUAAAGCACAAUUGGGAACAGUGCAGUGUUGUAGCUGUUGUUAGAGCAACUAGUGCUGUAGCAAUCUGGGAGCACGGAGGGAGAAAACUUAAGCGCGGGUCAGCUGUAGAUUUGCGAUCUGCAUGUUUCCUAAUUUAAUUCAUGCACGUCCACAGACUUUUAUUUACCCUAGUUUGCAGUAUAAAAGGAGGGCGCGCACCACAUAAAACGACGGCAAGGAAUUAACAUUGGAGAAUUCGAGAGGAAAAGAAGAAAACAAUCAGAAUUCAAGAGAACCAAGUUUGCAUCAGUGAAGAAUCCAACAACGUUAUUUGGAUUCAAUCUUCAUCGUUCUUUACUUGUUCUUUUCUCUACUCUUUCAUUGAACCAAUGUAUUUCGUGACCAAUAUAUUAAUGUUUGUUUUUCUCAUUCAGAAUAUGAACUAAGAUUUUCUUUUAGUUGUAUGACAAACAAUCUAAUGGGUACUUGACUAUUCUUAUGUGUUGUUAUGUCAUUGCUGUAGCAUUUUACUCUAGUAGUUAUUAUUAAUGUAACUGUUAUUUCGGUUGACCACCCAUUUAAUAGUUCACGUUAAGAUAGAGCAGCAAAAUGGCAUGUCUUAGCGGAUAUUAUUAUAGUAUUACUUUAUCUUACUUUUAGUUUCCUGGAUUAAGUUAUCUUGAAUCCUAUAAGGGCUAUACUUGAAGUGAAGAUUUGUGACACACUAGACAUAGGUGCUCACCUUGUAGGGUGGAGAGACUAAAAGGUUAUAAGGCCAUAUCAUAAGUAGAUUAACAACUGGUCAUUGCUAAUAUAUUUAAGGGUAUGAGAGUUCCAAUACGCGAUAACUGAGAAUGCAGAUUAAUUCUGCCCAGUGCUGCAGCACUUGCCGUAAUAACUGGUGUUAACUUGAUGAAUAACAGUCAGCCCAUAAGGAGAGUUUGAUCAUUCAACUACCAUAGUCUCAAUUGAAUCUUAGACACAUUUAAUUUAGUUUAUUUCAUUACGGUCUUGUUUUACUUUAUUCUCUCACAAUCAUCAAUUACGAUAGAACCCAUUUUUAUGUUUGUUAACUUCAAACUUAAGUUAGUUUGCACUAUUGUGAUUGCUAUAGCAUUUCGAGUAACAUCAAUCCAUGUGGAGACGAUCUUGAAUAUUCAUCACUUUAUUACUUGUUGUGUAUACUUGCACAUUGGCAUUAGUAGCUUUUGAUUAUAAAAUUUACCAUCAGUCCCCGAUUACCAAACCUACGGAGAACCAAGCUAACAUUACAAAUUCUACAUCCGUUCAGGAGCCGAUUGCCCAGGAUGCCACGACUCAUGACUCUAGGGUCUGAGAACCUCGUGAUCAAAGCCUUUCUCCCAUGCGGAGCAUUGGUGAGUAUAAUCCACAUCUUCAUCGAGCAUGCAACACUAAUUUUAGGCAUUACAAUUCCCAUACUGAUAAUGAUGAUAGUUCUGACGAGCGCCUGGUGAAUAAUGAACAUUUUUUGUCUGCUCCUGAGAAUUAUAAGAGAAUUGACUUCAGCCCUGAUUUUAGCAUGGCCGGUCAAUCAAAAAAGGUCUUUAAAUUACUUACUGGCUGCAAGUAUUGUAAGACAUAUUAUCACCGUCUACAUUAGUCUUUUUUAUUAUGAUUCUCAUGUUAGGAUAUGCCUUAAUCUUUUCUUUUACUGUUGUAUUUCUUUCUUUUGAUUGGAGGUUUUGGUUUUUGUCCCCCUACUUGUAUCUUUCAUUAUCUGUUCUAAAUAACAGGUAGCGGUCCCGCCUAAACCCCCACUUUAGAGUGGUAUGCUUAUUGGAAAAAAAAAGCUACGUCUAAUUGUGAAUUAAUGACAAACUUGCCCCAAAAAUAUGUCUUCGUGGGAUUAAGGUGUGACUCAUUGGUGGAAUAGACAUAUCAUUGUUCAUUUGAUUUUAACCUUAUUGUUUUAUUUUUAUUGAUUUUUAGGGGAUGGAAAAAAUUGAGGGCAUUUGUUUCGAUAUGUCUAAAGUAAAAGAGUUUCGUCUAAAUCACAAUACAUUCACAAAGAUGCGUAAAUUGAGAUAUCGGACAUCGAAUGUGAAAUAAUUUUUGAUAAGUUGAGAGGUAUAUAUCUUUAUUGAUUGAUUUGCAAAAGAACACAAAUGAUAUUUAUACACAAGAGUUUAGCUAUGGUAUUUACAUAAGUCUUGGAACGUUAUUGAAGGUGGUUAUGUACAAUCAAGCCGAGAAUCCUUGAUUGAUUGGAAAUCUGUAUUUGAUUUCCGUUGAUGGUGUUGUUGAGAUAACAUUGUUGAAAUCCUUUUCGUCAAAUCUGCAAUUACCAUAUUGGCUUCAUUCUUGUCAGCCCCCCUCAAGCUAGGAAGGUCAACGCAGUGAACUCUUAGCUUGUUUUGAAGUGUAAGGAAUGGUUGUUUGCUAAGAGGCUUGGUAAAAACAUAUGUUAUUUGUUGAUAAGAGGGAACGUGCCUGAUGUCUAAUGAACCUGGAGCUACCUUUUCACGAACAAAGUGAUAGUCUAUCUCAAUGUGUUUAGUACGAGCAUGAAAAAUUGAAUUUUUGGUUAAGCAGCAAAGAAGUUUGAGUCAUAGGAAGCCCAAUAUCCUGAAGUAAAUAUGUAAUCCAAGUCAUCUUUGCAGAAGUGGAUAGCCAUCACAGCCCUUUGUAAAUUUCUUUACUUCAAUGCCUAGAAAAUAGCUUAAGUCUCUAAGAUCUUUUAAGGCGAAUUGGGAGCUUAAGCUAUUAAUGAUUGAAAAAAUGAUGCCUUCAUGAUUUCUUGUAACAAUAACAUCGUCAACAUAAAUUAAUAUAAGAAUAAUAACAUAAUUUUUAUGGAAAGUAAAGAGAGAAGAGUCAGUCUUGCUGCUUUUAAAACCAAUUCCUAUCAAAACUUAAGAUAAGCACUCAAACCAUGCUCUAGGAGCCUGUUUAAGGCCAUAGAGUGAUUUAUGAAGUUUGCAAACAUAUGUAGGAUGUACUCGAUCUUGAAAACCAGGAGGUUGCUCUAUAUAAACCGUCUCCUUAAGAGAGCCAUGUAGAAAAGCGUUUUGAACGUCGAGUUGUCUAAUCAACCAAUUUUUACUUACGGCUAUGGCUAAGAAAAGUUGAAUGGUUGUUGCUUUGACAACAGGGCUAAAAGUUUCGGCGUAGUCAAAGCCAAGAACUUGGGUAAAUCCUCUCGCAACUAGCCGAGCUUUGUAUCUAUCAAUCGAGCCAUCCUCUUUGUACUUUAUCUUAUAAACCCACUUUGUUCCUAUGAUAGUAGUAUUUUCUGGUUUAGGUACAAGUGUCCAUGUGUUGCUUUGAUGGAGGGCUUGAAGUUCUUCUUUCAUGGCUUGUAACCAAUUAGAUUUUUAAAGGCAGUCUUGCAAUUUUUAAGUUCAAUAUGGCUAGUACGAAGGGCUUGCAAGGCUAGGUUGGGGUUAUUCUUAAGUUUAGUUCUAGUGAUAAUAGGAUGUACAUUUAUAUCAUGGGAUGUUUGUUGGGAUGGGUUUACUGUUUUAGGAGGUAAGGUAAGGUCAACCACCAAGUGUUUGGAAAUAUCAAGAUAGUUGUGAUGGCUAUCUAAAAUUGAUGGGCUUUGCUCCUUUGCUGAAGAUGUUUCACUGACAUGUUCUGGAGGGAUUUGAGUGACAUCGUGAUCGGUGGCUGAAUGUUCAUGAGAAACAAGAAUAUUAUUAGAGACUUCUUCAUGCACAAUAUGACUUUUUGGGUGAGCUUCAAUAUCAUCAUUGUACACAACAUCUUGUGGGGAUUUUUGCUUUCCUUAAAUCUCCUCACAACAUCUAAAAUUUUGUGAGUCCUUGUGAAUUAUUUGUUGAGAGAACGUGCCAUUAAUUGGGGCUAGAUUAGUUGAGUGUGCUUCAAGUUCCUUUUCCCGACUUAAAUAAUUUUUUGUAAGCCACUCAUCACAUGUUGGGUAUGAAGUAAUCACAUUAUGUUCCUGCACGUUAGAUGAAAUAUUAUUAGAGGACAAAUUGAAGCUAUACGGAAAUAUUCUUUCAUCAAAGACAACAUGUCUUGAAAUAUAAACGCGUUUAGUUUGAGGUUGUAAGCAACGGUAACCCUUAUGUAAAGGGCUAUAACCAAUAAAGACACAAGGAUAAGUUUUCUUAUCAAACUUAUUCUUUCUAUAGUCUCUAAGAUAAGGGUAACACUUGCAGCCGAAGUCCUUCAAACCAUUGUAAUCAGGUAAUUUUUUAACAAAGUUUGAUAUGCGCUUUUCAUUCCAAGAGUAGAUAAUGGACUUAUGUUGAUCAAGUAUAUAGCAGUGAGAAAAAGCUUCCACCCAUAAAUGCAUUGGUAAGGAGGCAUGAUACAUCAUAGUGAGAGUUGUUUCUAUGAUGUGGCGAUGUUUCCUUUCAGCAACGCCGUUUUGCUCAGGAGUAUAAGGACAUGAUACUUGUCUUAUAAUUCCAUAUUUUUCAAGGUGACUGAUAAAUGCUAUUGAACUGAAUUCUCCACCGCCAUCACUUUGGAAAAUUUUAAUCUUCCUGUCAAACAAAUUUUCAACCUGUCUUUGAAAUUUCAAAAAACAAUCAAGAAAGUCAGUUUUAGAUUUUAAAGGAUAUAACCAUGAAAACCGAGUAUUAUCAUCAACAAAUAAUGCAUAAUAUCUAAAAUUUUGAGAUGAAUUAAUAGGAGAGGGACCCUAUAGAUCACAAUGUAUUUUAUGCAAGGGAAAUUCUGAUUUAUUAUUAGAGAAACCAAAUGGUUGUUUAUAGGCUUUGCCUAAUAGGCAAGAUUCACACACACUCGAUAUUUUAUUCUAUCUAGAAAAACUAAUAAGGUUGUCAUUUUUGAAAGCUUGCAAAAUUCGUGAACUUGGGUGUCCAAGUCGUUGGUGCCACAAACUAAACUCCUCAGAAUUUCCUUUUAUUGCACUUAGAGCAGCAACAUGAACCUCCUCCAAACCAUAAAGGUUCUUUUUUCUACGCCCCUUGGCUAGAACUUGGUUCUCCUUGUUCUGCACAAUAAAACCAUUAGAAUUAAAUUCAAAAGAACAUUUAGAGCUACUAGUAAGCUCAAUAAUAGAUAAUAAAUUCUUUUUCAAAUGUGGAACCAUAAGAACAUUAUUUAAUUUUAAAUUACCGUGUGGUGUUUUUAAAAUGGUAUUACUAAUAUGUGAGAUAUGUAAGCCUUUUCCAUUACCAACAUAAAUUUUAUCAUAUCCCACAUAUGGUGAAUAUUGAACUAGGUUACCUGUUGUGUUGAUCAUAUGAGUAGUAGCCCCUGAAUCUGCAUAAAAUUGUUGAUCUGUGGGAUCCUCAAUAUUCAUAGCUGCUAGAGCUUAAGGUACUUCAUCUUCAGGCCCAUAAUAGUCAUACCUGUGAUAACAAACAGCAGCACUAUGGUUAUUUUUACCACAAAUUUGACAGAAUAUGGUGCCUGGCUUUUCCUUUUGUUUUUGUUUGAUUUCAUCCGUCUUUGGCACUUGAGAUGGCUGUUACGGUGGCUUUUGGGACCUUUGACCAUAUGUUGGCUGAGUUUGAUUAUUAUUGGCCCACGAAUAUUGAUUAUUAUUAUUCCUUGACCUCCAUUGUUUUGUGAGUGCCCUUUGCCACGAGCUCCUCUAUAAUUUUUGCCCCUUCCUCUUUGACCGAAAAAGGCGUAAUUAGGAUCAGUAUGUUUGUUGCCUUCUUCCUCUUUUGAUACCAUCACAGUCUGCUCAUGGUUAUAAAGGGCUACUGUAAACUCCUUCAUGCUUGGGUAAGGAGGUUUAGUGAGCACUGCAGUCUUGAAGUUGGCAUACUUUGGUCCCAAGGCACGAGCCAAUUGAAAAACUGUAUCUUCAUCAGAUAAAGGUUUUCCAAUUGCAGCGAGGUUGUCGCAUAUCCCCUUGAACUUCUUCAGGAAAUCUUCCAACUUUAGUGAAUACAAAUUGUCCUUUAACCAGGACUCUUGCUCUUCAGUUGCGGGAAGCAUCUACUCCUCUACAGACUGCCAAACAUCUCUUGCGUUUUGAACGCCUAUGAUUAGACUCAAAAUAUCUUCGGUCAUCAUUCCCCUUAGCCAAGUCAUGAGUAAUCCGUCAUUAUUUUUCCAAUUAAAAAACUCUGGAUUGUUAACUUCCUUCCCAUCAAUAAUAACUUGACUAGAUGGCGUCCUAGCAUCGUUAAUGUGAUGCUCAAGGUCUAGGCUUUGUAUAAACGAAAGAACCUGGGACUUCCAUACAAGAUAGUUUUGGGAAGUAAGUUUGACAGAGACUAGGCUGGAGCAUUGGUAGAAUGUUUGGAGAGAAAGUUUGGGUUCGACCAUUUGGGAAAUUGAAGUCAUAGGGCUUUGAUACCAUAAAACAGUUUUUGAUAAGUUGAUAGGUAUAUAUCUUUAUUGAGUGAUUUGCAAAAGAACACAAAUGAUAUUUAUACACAAGAGUUUAGUUUAGCUAUGGUAUUUACAUAAGUCUUGGAACAUAAUUGAAGGUGGUUAUGUACAAUCCAGCCGGGAAUCCUUGAUUGAUUGGAAAUCUGUAUUUGAUUGAUUGGAAAUCUGUAUUCCGUUGAUGGUGCUGUUGAGAUAACAUUGUUGAAAUCCUUUUCGUCAAAUCUGCAAUUACCAUAUUGGCUUCAUUCUUGUCAUCUUAUUUGCAAGACCCCAGAUUCGCUAAAGUGAGGUAUUUUCAUUAGCAUGGAUAUCUACUGAAGUCAGUGCGUUCAAACUUAGUACAGAGAAGCUUGUGUUUCUUUAAAUGCCUAAUAGCAACAUUGAGAAACUUUAGGAUAGUGUGAAGGUAUGUAUAACUUAAUACAUUAUGUGUGCAAUCUUUCAAUAGUAACAUUUAACUGUCAUACACAGCAAUGAUUUUGUCUUGGCCUCUUUUUUGACCGAGCAGCAUCAUGAUGAGUUAAACCAAAUAAUUCAUGCUGCCUCCAAGAAGCCAAAACUCCAAAGCCCACGUUGAUUCCACAUUUGAACAAGCUAGUUAUCUUGAGUCUAAGUGAUAGUAAAAGCCUAAAAAGUCUUCAAGUUGGAAUAUUUAAUUUGGAAUUUCUUACCAAACUUGAUCUUUCGGGUUGCUAAAAAAUGAAGAGGCUUCCAGAGAUCUUAUCUGGUAACAUAAGUUGGCUAUUUUUAAGUGGAACAACAAUUGAUGAACUGCCCUCAUCAUUUAAUCUUGUACUUAGGCUUGGGUGGUUGGACUUUUUAGAUUGUAAAAGGCUUAAGAGUCUCCCAAGCAGCCUAUGUAAGUUAAAAUCUCUUGGAGUUUUGAAUCUCCGUGGUUGCUCAAAGCUUCGGAGAUUGCCCAAAUGUCUUGGCCAAUUAUCAUCACUAAUUGUAUUGAAUCAAGCGAAAACCAAUAUUGAGAGAAUACCAGAAAGCAUCAUCCAACUUUUUAUGUUGCGGUACCUCCUCUUAAAUUAUUGUGAAGGGUUUCAAUCCUGAAAAAAGCCUUCAUUCCUUGUACGAUGGUUAGAUGUCGAUCAUUGCCCGGCACUGCAAUCAUUAAUAGGUUUAUUCUCUAAGUUCUGAAUCUUAUAGGCAGUGUUUUUUUAACUAGAGUAAUAAUUUUAAAUUGGAAGGUAAUUCUACUGCAGAAAUUAUUGAAGAUGCCGUGAGAAUUCAGCAUAUGGGCCAUGCGGUGGCACCCUGUUGGAAAAAAGUACGGGAAAAGGUGUGUCAUAACUCUCUCGCCUUACAAUUUAUACAGUCUUUUUUUUGUUUAAAAUUAUGAUUUUUUUGUACAAAGAGGUUUUUCUAAUGACAAAGGUCAUGUCAUACUACCUGGGAAUGAAAUUCUAAGGUGGUUUAACUUUCAAAAUGUAGGAUCUUUUAUAACCUUGGAGAAGUCCCUAUAUUUCUUCAAUAACAACAAAACACUGGGCUUUGCAUUGAUCCAAUCUGGGAUUUUCAUAUUGGAACACCAUCUUCUACACACACACACACACAGAGGUUAGGUUUAGGAAUUAGAAACUUUUACUUACAUAUAUUUAUGAUUAAAUUUUUUCAAUGUAAUGUUUAUGAUUAAAAUUAAAAACAUAAAUAAUUGAAAUAAAGAAUGUGGGUUGGCAGAUACCUGUGUAGUAUCUGACAAACUUUUUCUCAAUACCAAAUCCUCCUACAACUUGCAAUAGGUUUAAAGUUUAAGAUGCCAAACCCGUCUGUAGCCCACAAAACUACCUAUAACGAGCAAGUUUGGGUGGGUUUGUUGGUAAUUUUGUCAUCCUUACUUAUAAAGGAAAGGAAUAUAUUUUAUUUUGGAAUAUUUUCAAAAUAAAUUGAAAACUUUUCUGUAUAUAUUUUUCUAUAUUGUAAAAGGUUACACAGAUUGCUCUUAUAGAGGAGAAUACAUAAAAUCAUGAAACUGACCAAAAAUACCUAUCGAGCUGUAUUAGUUAUUUCCUAAUUUACACCAUUGACUUAUUCUUAUUUACAGCUAACAAUCCUCUCUAAUUACAAAUAUUUCUUUCCUUUUCUACAUUCCCCCUCAAGUUGGUUUGAAGAUAUCCUCUAUAGCCAGCUUGCCAAUUAACUCAUUGAAUUGCCGAGUAGGAAGCCCCUUAGUAAGCACAUCUGCAACUUGCUGAGUAGUGGGAAUGUAAAGCAUACAGAUCAACCCUUUCUCAAGUUUUUCCUUGAUGAAGUGUUUGUCGACCUCCACGUGCUUUGUUCUAUCUUGAAGCACUGGAUUAUGAGCAAUUGAAAUGGCAGCUUUAUUGUCACAAUACACUUUCAUAUGUAGUGGAUUAGAAACUUUCAAUUAUUCCGAGAGUCUCUUAAUCCACAACACCUCACAAAUCCCAUGAGCAACUGAUCUAAACUCAGCUUCUGCGCUGCUUCUUGCCACCACAUUCUGCUUCUUACUUUGCUAUAUAACAAGAUUGCCACCAACAAACGUGCAAUAGCCAAAAGUUGAUCGUCUAUCAACAACACUUCCAGCCCAAUCCGUAUCAGUAUAGGCUUCAACUUGCAAGUGCCCACGAUUCUUGAAUAACAAACCUCUUCCAGGAGUCCCUUUCAAAUACUUGAGAAUUCUAUAAACUGCAUUGAAGUGUUAUUGUCCAGGCGAAUGCAUAAAUUGGCUAACUAUGCUCACUAUAAACGCUAUAUCUGGAUGAGUAUGCGACAAGUAAAUCAGUCUUCCAACAAGUCUCUGGUAUUGUUCUCUGUCCAGGACUUCUUCAGGUUUAGGAGGCUGUAAUUUGAGGUUGAGCUCAAUAGGUGUUUCCGUUGGUUUACACCCUAGUAAACUCAUUUCAUUAAGCAAAUCAAGGACAUAUUUACAUUGAUUCACAAAUACACCUUCUUUGAAUCUAGUAAACUCUAUUCCAAGAAAGUAUUUCAAUGUCCCUAAAUCCUUGAUCUCGAAGUCAGCUGCAAGUCUCUUUUUCAGUUUUUCUAGUUCUUCAUUGUCAUCACCUGUCAUGACUGUAUCAUCUACAUAAACAAUUAGUAUAGCAAUGCUAACUUCUCUACUAUGUUUAUAGAACAUAGUAUGAUCAGCUAGGCUUUGACAAUAGCCACAAUUCUUUACAGAUUUCCCAAAUCUCUCAAACCAAGCUCUAGGGGACUGCUUGAGGCCAUACAAUGACUUCUUUAGUCUAUAGACUUUCUUUGAUCCCAAAUUCUUCUCAAAACUAGGUGGUAGACUCAUAAAAACCUCUUCCUCAAGAUCACCAUUCAAAAAGGCAUUUUUUACAUCUAAUUGGUGUAAUAACCAGUUCAGAUUUACAGCCAAAGAUAAUAGAAUUCUAAUUGACUUUAUCUUGGCUACUAGAGCAAAGGUCUCCUAAUAAUCAAUCCCAUAGGUUUGAGUGAAUCCAUUAGCUACUAAUCUUGCCUUAUACCUUUCUAUGCUACCAUCCACUUUACACCUCACAAUAAAGACCCAUUUGCAACCUACAGUCUUCUUCUCCUUAGGCAAGUCAACUAUUUCCCAAGUACCACUUCUCCUAUGAGCAUUCAUCUCUUCCAUCACUGCUAAUUUCCAAUUUGGAUCACUAAGAGCUUCAUGAAUGUUUCUCGGGACAAACAAGUGUGAGAUUUUUGAGGUAAACGCUCUAUGGGUGUGAGAAAGUUUGUCAUAAGAUAGAUAUUGAGCAAUGGGAUAUCUAGGAUUCCUAGAGUGAUUUCGGAUUCCUUUUCCAAUAACAAUGGGAAUAUUAAGGUCUGAUGAUUAUUUGCUAGGGAAAAUGAUGGGAACUGAAGAUGACUUAGGAUUGGAAAUACCUGUGAUAUUUCCAGGUCCAAUCCCUGAGGGUUGUGAUUGAUCAUUACCAAGAGUAACUGGCUGCCUUUGACUCUUUUGAUGAUUUUUUCUCUGAGUAUAAACCAGAAGCUCAGUGUUAGAAUUAUUUUGAUCUAGUUACAGUAGUGAUUCUCCCCCUGUUUCAGAUACAAUAAUGUUUGGCAUUAUAUUUCUAGAACUUCCCUUACUAUUCUCAGUGUUUUUAUCAAUUGUAGGAUAAGAGGAAUGAGGUAUACUAGUCAAAAUUACUUUUGGUUAAGGGUUAGGAGAUAAAUCCCCCUUAAGAGAAUUUUUGUGAAAGUAUGUGUAAUACCCCAAAUCUCCUAAGGGUAUUUAAGUCUUUUUAAUUUUUAGUGAUCCUUUUACCCCUAGUAUAAAUAGAACAAGAUGUCUUUUUCAUUAUAAGAGAGAGAAAAAGAGGGAUCUGUUGAAAAAGAGAGAUGGAGAGACAAGAGAGAAAAGAAAAGAAAAAGAGAAGAAGAAAGUCUUCUUCUUCUUCUUCUUAGUUCUGCCAUAGGCAACACAUGAGAUCAAGGUGUUAUUGUUGGGAGAAGUUUUGGAGGUAAGUUUUAAUCUUGGUUUUCAUUAAAUUGUUGUGGAGAAGCAUGAUUGCAAUAGAAGUAGAAACUUACGAUUUUACAGAAAUAUGCUGACAGUGAAUUAUUACGAAAAUCAUAGUAAUUUGUACAAAUUGAUUUUGAUUCUAAUUUUUGGGUAUGUUAAACUAGACAUCGUCUGAUAUGUUUUGAAACUUGUUUCAAGUUAAUCGGAUAAGAUUUCAAUUAAUUAUGAUUUUUCAAAGUCAAGUCUGAAAACCUGGAAAUUUAUGAUUUCAGUGAAUUACGAAAUUAUUUCUACCAUACCUAGACUUCUUCAAAAAUUAUGAAAUUUGGAACAAUGAUUUUUAUAUAUGUCUAGUAUGAUUCUGGAAAUUUUCAUGAUUUUAUGAUAAAGAAAUAAAUUGUUUUGUAUUUUUAAAGCAAGUGUGUUCAAAACAGAAAACUGUUUGACAAUAUUGAUGAUGUCUGAAACGUGAAUUAUUUUCAAUCGUUUUGGAAGGAAUUAUAUUAUGAAAUUUUUAUCAAUGAACUUUCAAUGUGUCAGCAUAUGGUCUGUAAAAUUUGAGAUUCUUCCAAUAAGAGAAUAAUUUAUUAAAAAUCAGAGAAGUAUGGACGGUUAUGUUUUGAGGGCCGAUUAUUGAGAACAUUUGAGGUUGAGCUUAAGAGUUGUUUAAAUUGAGAUAUUUGAGGACAUUAGAGUUUAUGAUUGAGAUUUGAUUAUAUCUUAUGAGAAUUUAUUGAUGAUUUUGGGUUGAUGGUAUCAGUACGCAUUUGUUACAUGAGGAUGCCAAGAGGUAAGUAAACUAAACUUUAAAACGAAUCACACUAAACAAUAUAUAUGUUUGACUUGUGUGAAAAGCCUAUUUUGAUAUAUAUACGGAUAUGGAUUUAGAUGUCUCUGCCCAUGUGUUUAUGUGAUGUGUUAGCAUGUGUUGAGCGUGAUUAUGUACAUGGGCAUAUGUAUGUGUGAUGGUUCAUUGGCAUGAGCACAAAAAUGCAUUGAGUUUUCUAUGAAUGAGAAAGUGGAUUUUAGCAAACGGAAUUUCUGUUUUAUGAGAUUCUGCAUUGGGGGCCACCUCUUGAAGUUGUGUGGGGGCCACCUCUUAGGACUAUGCGAGGGCCACCUCUUGAGGGCCAGAGCGCCGCAAAGUGCCAUGCAUGGUGCAAAGUGCCACGCACAGCACAAAGUGCCACAUUGCAGGAUACGUAUUUCAUCGAAAGAAAAUGAGAAAGUUUGAAAGCGACAGAAAGCGAUUUUUAUGAAUUUAUUUUACAGUAUUUCCAAAAGAUCAUGACAUAUCAUCCAUUGCAUUAUGUAUAAGUAUGUGUGUAUUUUCCGUAUAAGAAAAACUAGUUUGCUUACUGGGUUUUGUACUCAUUAUAGUUCAUUGUGAUUCAGUUUCCAGAAGUCAGGAUUGAUUCGUGAUGAGUGAGAAGAUGGAUUUGAAUUGAGGAUAGUAGAUGGUUUGGUUAAGUUUUUAAGUUAUUCCGCUGGAUUUUGUAUUUGAGGCUCGAAUUUUAUCGGUUGUAAAGAGUUAUCUAAAUUCAUAUGUGAGUUGUGGACAUAUUUUCCCUUAGAUUUCGGAUUAGGGUGUUACAGUAUGAUUUAUUUUCAAAAAAUGAGUCAUCCAUACUCACAUAAAUUUUUCUUGUUUGGGGAUUAUAGCACUUAUAUCCCUUUUUUAUUGGAGGCAUACCCUAUGAACACACAUUUUUCUGCCCUUGGAUCAAGUUUGGACUGAGUGUUAUUAGGUAUACAAACAAAGACAAUACAACCAAAAACCUUUAGAGGUAAAUCUGAGUACAUUCUAGAUAGGGGAAAACAUUUUUUAAAACAUUCUAGAGGUGUACUAUAUUUUAAAACACGUGUAGGCAUCAUAUUAAUUAAAUAAGUUGCCGUUAAAACAGCUUCUCCCCCAAGGUAUUUUGGAACAUUCAUCGAGAACAUUAUAACACGUGUUACUUCAAGUAAAUGUUUAUUUUUUCUUUCAGCAAUCCCAUUUUGCCGAGGAGUAUCCACACAAGUGGACUGGUGAUGAAUACCUAUGUCUUUCAAAAAAAUUUCCAAGAUACCUUUAUAGUACUCGGUUCCAUUAUCAUUGUGAAGAACCCUAAUUUUCUUUUGACAUUGAGUUUUAACCAUUGUGUAAAAGUCUUUAAAAAAUUUUCCAACUUCAGAUUUUUCACUCAUUAAGUAAACCCAAAAUAAACAGGAGUGAUCAUCUAUGAAUAUGACAAACCAUUUUUUCUUUGAAAUAGUAGUGACUCUUGAAGGUCCCCAAACAUUACUAUGCAUUAGAUAAAAUGGUUUUGAAGGAAUAUAAGGUUUUGGCAAAUAAGUAGUACAAUGAAUCUUAGAUAAGCAACAACUUUCACAAUAAAAUGAUGAAAGAUCCAAACCCUUAAAUAAAGUAGGACACAAAUGUUUAAGAUAUGGAAAGCUAGGAUGUCCCAAUCUUAAAUGCCAAAGCAUUAUUUGUUCAUAAACCGAGUUAGAACUAACACUACUAAGGCCCUGAGCCUUUUUAUUCCUAGAUAAAUCAUCAUCAAAGUAGUAAAGGCCACCAAUCAACUUAGCAUUGCCAAUCUUCUUCCCCGAGGUCUGGUCCUGAAAUUCACAGUAAGAAUCACAAAAAAUCACUCGGCAAUUAGAAUCUUUAGUUAUUUUACUCACAGAUAAAAGGUUACAAGCUAACUUGGGAACAUGGAGAACAAAAUUAAGGUUUAAUUUUUUGGAUAAUUUAAUUAAACCUUUCUCUGCUAUUGGUGAGAAAGUACCAUAUGUAAUUCUUAUUUUGUUAAGGCUAUAACAUGGUGAGUAAGUGCAAAACAAAUUUGAAAGGUUGGUCAUAUGAUCAGAAGCUCCUGAAUCUAUGAUCCAAGGAGCAUAAUAUGAACAUGAAGAAAGAGCAUUGGGUGUGCUACCUGUUUGUGCAAGAGAAACAGUAGGAAUACUACUUGGUGAGUAAUUGGGUUUUAGGAGCUUCAGAAGGUGAUCCAUAUGCUCCUUGGUGAAAGGACUUGUCUCGGCUUCAUUUGCAGUAGGAAUCAACUGGGUAUUUUUAUCACCAGGCUUGCUCUUAUUGCCGCUCUUCCAAUUUUCCAGUUUUCCGUGGAUUUUCCAGCAUGUUUCUCGGGUAUGACGUGGUUUAUUGUAAUAGUCACACCAUACCCAUGGCUUCUCUAAGGAUAUUUUUAGCAGCAGCCUCUGUACUGAGAAGGGCAGAACUUUCAGUAGGCCCAUUAGUUGUCUUCUUUCCUAGCAUUACAUGUCUGUGACUCUCUUCUCUUCGAACCUCAGCAAACACUUCGCCAAUUGGAGAAAGUGGCUUCCUGCCAAUGAUCCACCCCCGAACCUCAUCAAACUCAACGUUGAGUCCCGCAAAAAACUUGUAAAUACGAGAAGCCUCAACAAUAUUGUUGUAAUAUUUGGCAUCUUCUGUGGAUUUCCAUUCAUAAUCAUUGAACAGAUCCAAAUCUUGCCAAAGACUUUUUAAUGAAUUAAAAUACUUGGUCACCGAGUCUUGUCCUUGCCGGAUUUCACCAAGUUUCAGAGUCAAUUCAUAGACCUGAGACUGAUUUCCCAAGUUAGAGUACUUUUUGAUUCAUGUUGUCCUAGAGUUCCUUGGCUGUGGAGUAACACAAAUAAUUGGAAAUAAUGUCCUCAUCCAUGGAGUUCACAAGCUAAGUCAUCACCAUCAAAUUUUCUGCAUCCUAGGUCGCGUACGUUGGAUCUUCUAUUGCUGGUGCUUUCUUGUCUCCGGUUAGGUAUCCAAUCUUCCCUCUCCCUCUAAUAUACAUCCGAACGGAUUGAGACCACCUUAAAUAAUUAUCACCAUUAAGGCGAAUAGUGGUGAUUUGGACUUGAUGAGUAUCGGUAUUAGGAGUUUGGGUUUAUGUUGAAGGACUGAUUGAAGCAGACAUAAUCGGUUGAUUAGGAUGGCUCUGAUACCAUGAAAACUUUUAUGUAUAUAUUUUUCUAUAUUGUAAAAGGUUACACAAAUUGCUCUUAUAGAGGAGAAUACAUAAAAUCAUGAAACUAACCAAAAAUACCUAUCUAGUUGUACUAGCUAUUUCUUAAUUUACACCAUUGACUUAUUCUUAUUUAUAGCUAACAAUCCUCUCUAAUUACAAAUAUUUCUUUCCUUUUCUACAUAAACGAUGCCUUAAAAUGUCUUAUUGGGAAACACGUCGAAUUAAACAAUUUCAUGUUGAAAUGAACUCAAACUCGUCAGUACAACUUGUUGAUUUUAAGUUGUGAAGAUGAGUGACGUGUCGUUUCAUUUAAGCAAGAUACCAGAGCUGAAAAAUUGCCAAUGUCGUACAAGACCUUUAAUACUCACGUGUCUAAUGCAUGCCUGUUUUAAGUUUAAACGGCAAUGCUAGCAGUCGUUUAAGGAAGGCUUUAUAAUAGCGCGUGAGAAGCUCGUGACGGGAUGGUUAAAAGGUUGUUAGAUUUGGAGGGAAAAUCUGGAUUUGUUACGCCUGCACAACUGGUAUAUAAUCGAGCUGGUUCUGGUGUUAUCUGUAGUAAUCUAGGAAAGAGAGAAAUAGCAACCAUAGUGAGAGUUGAGCUUCGUGUGUAAUCUCUGUAUUGUGUGCUUUCAUCUCUGUAACCUUGAAGCUUAAUAAAGUUGCUCCCUGAGUUGUUUUCUCCAGUGGAUGUAGGCACCCUCAAAGGUGCUGAACCACUUAAGUUCUUAACUAUUCUUGGUUUUUUGGGCUGUGUUCAUUGAUCUGAUCUUUGUUCUUGUUUAACUUAAGUUUGAUUCUUAAGUCUUUAAGUCUGAGUUAGGUCUUAGGGUGUGAUUAAUCUAGUAGUCAUAAGGGUUAAUUUCACAACAAUUGGUAUCAGAGCUUUAACUCUGAUUUUAAGGAUUCAAAAAUGGGUUCAAAAAUGGAUCUUGAGAAGUUUACAGGCAUAAUGAUUUCAAUAUAUGGAAGAUCAAGAUGGAGGCUUUGUUAAUUACUCAAGGUCUGGGAGAAGCCAUAGAUCCAGUCAUUAAGAUUGAAGGAGGUGAGGCUUCAUCAUCUAAGACCCCAGAACAAGUAGUAGAGAUUGACAAGAAAGCCAGAAGCACAAUCAUUCUGAGUCUUGGUGACUUUGUAAUUCGAGAAGUGGCUAAAGAAAAAACUGUUGCUGGUUUAUGGGCCAAGUUGGAAAAUCUGUAUAUGACAAAGUCUUUGGCAAAUAGACUUUACAUAAAAAAGAAGAUGUUCUCACUGAAGAUGAUUGUAGGGGCAUCAUUAAAUGUGCAUAUAGAUGAGUUCAAUAAGGUUUGUGAUGAACUGAAGACUAUUGAUGAAGGACUGAGUGAUGAGAGCAAAGCUUUGCUACUAAUCAGUUCUUUACCAAAGUCUUACGAACACUUUGUGGAUGCACUGCUGUAUGGGAGGCAAACACUCUCCCUAGAAGAGGUUAAAUCUACUCUUGGCACCAAGAAGCUGAAAGAUAAGCAAGAUAAUCCAGAAAGUGAAUCAAUUGAGGGACUGAUGGCUAGAGGCAGACCUUAGAAGAGAGAAAGCAAAGGAAAGAAGCAAUGCAGAUCAAAGUCUAAACAGAAGAAUUUGAAGUGUUUCCAUUGCCAUAAAGAAGGGCAUUUCAAAAGAGAUUGCCCUGAAAGGAAGAACAAGAAUCAAGAAACCAAAGAAAGAACAGGAAAUACAGCCAUAGCCACAGAAGAAGAAUGUAACUUUGAAACAGCUGGAGUACUCAUUGCCACAAAUCAGAAACCUCAAGGUCAGUGGGUCUUUGACUCAGGUUGUACCUUUUAUAUGUGUCCAAAUAGAAGCUAUUUUACAACAUAUCAGCCAUGUGAUGGGGGUAUGGUUUUAAUGGGUAAUAACUCAAUGUGUAAGGUGGCUGGUAUUGGGACUAUUAGCCUUAGAAUGUUUGAUGGUGUGAUAAGGGAAUUGACACAAGUAAGGUUUGUUCCUGAUCUAAAAAGGAACUUAAUUUCAAUUGGCAUGCUAGGUGGGUGUAGAUACUUUCUGACUUUUAUAGAUGAUUUUUCAAGGAUGGUUUGGGUCUUUGCACUCAAAAGUAAAGAUGAGGUUCUGGAAAAAUUCAAGAAGUGGAAGAUCUUUGUUGAAAACCAAACUGGUUUGAAGGUGAAAACUCUGAGGACAGAUAAUGGCUUGGAGUACAGUAAUAAGUUGUUUGAAGAAUUCUGUGAAAAGAAUGGUAUUCAGAGGCACAAAGCUGUCACUUAUACUCCUCAACAAAAUGGUCUUACUGAGAGGAUGAAUAGGAGGUAAGGUGCAUCCUGAUCUAUUCUAAGCUUCCAAAAAUCCUUUGGGCAGAAGCUUUAAACACAGCAUGCUACCUAGUCAACAGGAGCCCAUCAACUGCUAUAGAUUGUAAAACACCAAUGGAACUUUGGUCAGGAAGAAAGGCUGACUAUAAAAAACUCAGAAUUUUUGGCUGCACAGCAUAUGCUCAUGUGAAGCAGGGUAAACUGGAACCAAGAGCAUUAAAAUGCAGGUUUCUGGGGUAUCCAGAAGGUGUCAAAGGCUAUAGAUUGUGGUGUGUUGACUCAAAACCACUACAGUGCAUCAUAAGCAGGGAUGUAAGAUUCCAUGAAGAAGAGUUAUUGAAUAAACCAAGGAGCCCUAUUAACAACACUGAAUCAGGUUCUGAGACUGAUAAAGUGAAGUUUCAGGUGGAGCCUAAAAACUUGAAAGAACUUGAGCCUGAAACUGAGGGUGCUGAAAUAGAACCUGAAGCUGGUGUUGAAUAUGAAUUAGCAGAAAGUGAAGAGGACACCUAUCAGUUGGCAAGAGACAGAAAGAGAAGGACAAUAAGACCACCUAAAAGAUAUGCAGUGGCUGAUUUGAUUGCAUAUGCUUUGAAUGUUGCUCAAGAGCUGAAUGAUGAUGAACCUAGGACUUAUCAAGAAGCUAUCACAGGCAAAAACAAGCUGGAAUGGAAGAGGGCAAUGGAUGAAGAGAUGACAUCCCUAAUAAAAAACAAGACCUGGAAAUUGAUUGAAAAACCAGCUAAGAGGAAAACAGUAAGAUGUAAAUGGAUCUUCGAGCUGAACCUAGAAGAUUUAAGGCUAGACUGCUGGCAAGGGGCUUCACAUAAAAGAAGGGAAUUGACUUCACUGAAGUAUUUUCUCCUAUAGUGAGACAUGCUUCCAUCAGAAUUAUUCUUGCACUUGUGGCUGUUCAAGAUAUGCAUCUUGAGCAAAUGGAUGUAAAAACAGCCUUCCUACAUGGUGAAUUACAAGAGGAAAUUGUAAUGCAGCAGCCUAAAGGGUAUGUGACAUCUGGUAAAGAAGAUUGUGUUUGCUUACUUCAAAAGUCUCUGUAUAGGUUAAAGCAAUCACCUAGGCAAUGGUAUCUGAAGUUUGAUAACUUCAUGAUGACACAUGCCUUCAACAGGUGCAACUAUGACUGCUGUGUGUACUUCAAAGAGACAAGUGGAGGGGGAAUGAUAUACCUUCUGCUGUAUGUAGAUGACAUGCUGAUUGCAUGCCAUGACAUGGAAGAGAUAAAUCACUUAAAAAGGCUUUUGAGCAGGGAAUUUGAAAUGAAGGAACUUGGAGAAGCAAAAAGAAUUCUGGGAAUGGAUAUCAUCAGAAACAGGAGCAAGAAGAGUUUGUUCUUAACUCAACAAAGCUACAUUCAGAAGUUUCUAGUAAGAUUUGUAAUGAAUGAUGCUAAGCAAGUACAAACACCAUUGGCAAGCCACUUCAAGUUGUCUGCUGCUCAGUGCCCUCAAACUGAAGCAGAACAACAGAAAAUGGCUUGAUACCCUACUCCAGUGCAGUAGGUAGCCUCAUGUAUGCCAUGGUACUCACCAAACCUGAUAUCUCACAUGCUGUGAGUUUGGUGAACAGGUUUAUGGCAAACCCUGGAUAUGAACACUGGAGAGCUGUUCAGUGGAUUGUGAGGUAUCUGAAGGGGACUCUGGAGGUUGGUUUGGUCUAUGGUGGAGAAGACAAAAGUGGACACACAUUGAUUGGUUAUGUGGAUGCUGAUUUUGCUGGUGAUCUUGAUAAAAAAAGGUCACAAACAGGGUAUUUGUUUACUCUGGAAGGCUGCACAGUCAGCUGGAAAGUAACAUUACAGAAUGUAGUGGCUUUGUCCACAAUAGAGGCUGAGUAUACUGCAGCAGCAGAAGCUCUCAAAGAAGCAAUUUGGCUGAAAGGCAUGACAACUGAGUUGGGAGCAAAACAAGAGUCUGUAACAGUAUACAGUGACAGUCAGAGUGUUAUACAUCUUAGCAAGAAUCAAUCCCAUCACGAGAAAACAAAGCAUAUAGAUGUUAAGUUGCAUUUCGUGAGGCUUGAGGUGUCAAGGGGAGCUGUAAAGUUACUGAAGAUUCAUACUGAAGAAAAUCCAGCUGACAUGUUAACCAAGGUUGUGCCAAAUGCCAAGUUCAUCUUUUACAUGAACUUAGUAGGUAUCUGCAGGUUUUAAGAAGUUGUAGAUGUGGAGAAGACAAUGUGAAAGGAGGGAGCUGGGAGUAUUGAGUUCAAGGUGGAGAUUGUUGAAAUGAACUCAAACUCAUAAGUACAACUUGUCAGUUUUAAGUUGUGAAGAUAAAUGACGUGUCGUUUCAUUUAAGCAAGAUACCAGAGCUGACAAAUUGCUAAUGUCGUACAAGACCUUUAAUAAUCACGUGUCUAAUGCAUUUAAGCUUAAACGGCAAUGCUAGCAGUCGUUUAAGGAAGGCUUUAUAAUAGCGCGUGAGAAGCUCGUGACAGGUUGGUUAAAAGGCUAUUAGAUUUGGAGGGAAAAUCUGGAUCUGUUACGCCUGCACAACUGGUAUAUAAACGAGUUGGUUCUGGUGUUAUCUGUAGUAAUCUAGGAAAGAGAGAUAUAGCAACCAUAGUGAGAGUUGACCUUCGUGUGUAAUCUCUGUAUUGUGUGCUUUCAUCUCUGUAACCUUGAAGCUUAUUAAAGUUGCUCCCUGAGUUGUUUUCUCCAAUAGAUGUAGGCACCCUCAAAGGUGCUGAACCACUUAAGUUCUUGACUGUUCUUGGUUCUUUGGGCUGUGUUCAUUGAUAUGAUCUUUGUUCUUGUUUAGCUUAAGUUUGAUUCUUGAGUCUUUAAGUCUGAGUUAGGUCUUGGGGUGUGAUUAAUCUAGUAGUCAUAAGGGUUAAUUUCACAACAUUUCAUAUACAGGAAAAAUGUAUCUUUUUAUUUAAUGAUGCAUUCAUUCAUGGUGCCAUAUUUUAAUUUAAAAUAGUGAUGGUUUAUUUUGGAUCAGUGAUGAUCUAAUUCAAAUUUUGAUUCAAUGACCAUGAAUGAAGAGUACCAUGAUAGGUGACAACCCAAAUGAAGGGGCACAUGAUUAUCUAUGAAUAGAAGUCACGACCAUUUUGUGAUCCAUGAAAUAUUCCUACAAUGAAUUUAUGCAUAAUACAUCUAUAUUUUAUGCAUUGAAUCUCUAAUAUAUUGUUUUUUGCAAAACAAUUUAUUGAUUUUUGAUAGGCUUGUAACAUUCAAGGAUAUUUAGGUUUGCUUUCGUUAGUGCACAAUGCAGACAAACAAAAAAAUUGCUUCAUUGUAUCCUAGAGGUAUCUUUGCUUAACUCAUGUACAUCAAUUAAUUGAUAGGGGCAAAUAACAUUUUAAAGAAAGUGACAUUUAUAAUGUGUUUUGGAGCACCAUCAAUUCUCGAAGUUUACUACUACUACUCUAUUCUUUGUACUAUAUUUCAAUUAAAAUAAACUUUCAUCAAUUAUUACUCCAAUUUUCUACGAGUGUGGUGCUAUUGGCACACUGCUAAUGUUCUUUUAAAAUCCCUCUAGCAAAUAAACACUAUUAAAAAAAUUUAAAACAUCAUAUUAUUGCUAUUACCGUCGAUGUAAAUUUCAAAAUUAGUAGUAGAUCGUAAACCCCAUUCACAAGUCUCGUCUUUUCUUUCUCAACUUCUUUUCUUUAUUGUUAUUAUUAGUAUUAUUAUUAUUUUGUAUGUUCAGUCAACUCAAAGGUGAAAUUGUUAGCAAAACUAUUUGUAUCCCUCUCUUACCGUUCAUCCCUCUCACGGAUAAGACUUUUUUGCAUUUUUUUCUUUUCAUGAAUCAACUGACUGGUUGUGACUAAAAACUAAAGUUUAUUUAUUUUUCUUACAAUAAUUGAGUAUAAUUCAAAGUCCUGUAUAAUUUUCUCUCUAUCUUCACACUAAACAUAAUUAAAAAGGAGAAUUUGUUUCAACAUUUUUCAAUAUGGACCUUUGAGAUUUGUUCUCUCAAUUGUUAUAUGAGAACUGAUCUGAUGUUGGGUUCUAGCAGUGCCACCUUCCUUUUACUUAUCUAAGAUGCUCGUUAUAUAUGGGUUGCAUGCAAAUCUGGUAUUUUGAUGAUAUGAUCUGUAAAAUCAAAGAUCGGAUUUCACAUUUCAAGGUGGGCCAACCAGCUCGUUUUUUUGGGGGGCAAGUUUGUGCUUAUUCAGUAUAUGCGUUCUUCCAUGUCGCUACAUAUCUUCCAAGUCCUCUGGCUGCCUACUUUAGUCAUUCAUCAUCUUGAGCGAUUGUUUACUAAUUGUUUUAUGGGGAGAUAUAGAUUUCUGUUUGCUUCCCUAUGGAUGAGAGUGGUCUGGGAGUUCGUUCUUUUUCGAAUCUGGUUGAUGCUUUUAAGCUGAAAAUAUGGCAGAGAUUUUGGGAUCAGCAAUCUCUUUGGGCUUCAUUCAUGAAGUCCAAGUAUUGCAAAACUGAACAUCCUAGUAUGGUUCAAUUUCGCUAUCCUGUUUCCUCAGUUAUUGACAUUUUUACUCCAAUCUUUGUGUUGCUAAGCCUUAUAUGCACUGGCUAAUUAGAUCUAGUGAUAGUAAGUUUUGGUACGAUUGUUGUUUGGACUCUAUGCCUCACUUUCAUUUUAACCAUGCUGUUGUUUCUAUGGUUCCUAUGUCAUUCUUUUGACAAGGAGUAGUUUUGGAUAGGGGUAGGCUGUUGUCGGUUCUACCUACUUUAAUUGUUGAGCAGAUUUCGUUGAUCUUUAUUUCUGUUGUUGGACUUUGUCUAGGGAUGGGAAUUUUUCUAUGACGAGUGCUUGGGAGCUUGUUCAGGGAUCUCGAAUUUAAAAUGAGGUUUUCACUUAUAUUUGGCAACCACGUAUUCCUUCUAAGGUUUCUUUUGGUUACGGUGGUUGUUGCAUGGUUUCUUGGCCAUGAUGCCUUGAGCUUGAGGGGUUUCUGCAUGGUUUCCUAAUGUCAUUUUGGUUGGGCUGUUGAGAUUGCCAGGCAGUUAUUUUACGGAUUGCUAGUUUGUUGGGCAGAAAGAUUCCCAGGCAGUUAUUUUACGGAUUGCUCGUUUGUUGGGCAGAAAGAUUCCCAGGCAGUUAUUUUACGGAUUGCUCGUUUGUUGGGCAGAUCUAACAACAGUUUUACUCAAUGAUUGGUCUUAGAUACUUUAUUUUCUAUCUCCCAAUGCUUUGCUUGUUCACUAGCAGCGUUGCACCUAUUCUUCUAGACAUAUUCUAGCCCUUCUCUUAUGCUUCAUCCUGUGGCAUGUCUAGAAGGCUUGAAAUGUUUUCAAAUUUAGUUGUGGUUCAUUUUAGAUGGAUUUCAUUGCUUUUUAGGUGGUUUUAGACCUCAGACUUGCUAGUUCUGCUUUUGAUUUUAGACCAUCCAAAUUAAGGAGUGUUUUAGAUACUCAUAUUAGAGAGGUUUGCGGAUUAUUUUGCCUCCUCAUAGGCCGGUCACUUGGUUUCCUAGUUGAAUCCACCGCCUAGGUUAAUGAAAUUAAGUGUGGAUGGUUGCUCUAGGGACAACCCUUGUACGUUUGCUGCUAGAGGUGUUCUUGCGAUCAUCGGGGAGUAGUAUUAGUUGCUUUUGGUUCUUUCUUGGGGCAUCAUCAAUACUGUUUGCUGAGCUGAUGGCUAUGCUUGAAGGAUUAGAUCCUACUGCUCAGCUUGGGUUUACUGUUCUGGAGGUGGAAUCUAACUUGGCCACUGUGUUUUCUUGGGCUAUUUCGCAUGGUUCAGUGAGGUGGGGUUUUGCUUAUCUCGUUGGAGAAUUCAUGCUUUAUCUUCUGGUCCUUUUAUUGCCAUUAAAUAUGUCUUUUGAGAGGCCACUUCCGCUGUUGACUUCAUGGCCAAUUGUGCAUGUACUCAACAGACUCGUCAAUGAUUCUUCAGCUUUAGGGAUCUUACAUUUGGUUUGUCUGGCAUUCUUCAUUCGUCAAUGAUUCUUCAGCUUUAGGGAUCUUACAUUUGGUUUGUCUGGCAUUCUUCAUUUGGAUGCUCCGGAGUUCCUACAUAUUCGUCGUUGAUUUCCCUUUGUUGGUUUCUUUUGUAGUUUUUUUUUUUUUUUUUUUUUGAGGUUUUGGUUUAUGUUCCCCUCCUCACGUUCCUUUCAUUAUCUAAUUUAUACUAUAGAUAGGGGUCUGACUUAACCCCCCACCUUCAUGGUGGUUUAAAUUGAAGAAAAAAAAAAUUGAUCUGAUGUUGGGUUUGAUUAUCCAAACUAGAGGGGGAUUGCUAAGGAUCCUUUGGUAAUGAUAUUCACACGACUUGCGCACAAAUCAAUUGGAAUAAUAUCGAUUUGCAUCCUCACAAAUGAUGGAAAUAAGAGAAUCCACUUUUUUGUAUGCUUAAAGUUCUUGGGAUUGAAAAAUUACACCAAGUUAAAAAUGUGUCAUAAAGAUUUCUUCUUUGAAAAUGUUAUCAGAAUUCUUUUACAAUUUUACCCUUUUCAUCUAUUCCUCUUUCAAGGUGAAAUUUUUUUUGUAGGUUUAGUUUAUACUUUAGAGAAUUUUAGGUGAAAUCAUUUCCGCAUUCAAUUAGACUAUGUCUACUUGUCUGUCUAUUAUCAAAAUUUUAAUUUAGUAUAUAAUUGUAAUUAUCCAAGCAUGGUUUAAGAGGUAAAUAGAGGGGGGCUUAUAGUCCCACUCUUUCCACAAUUAUUAUUAUUACCCUUGCAUAUUUAUCCAACAUUUUAUUUCAUAUUUGACUUAUGCUUCUAAUAUUAUAACAAAAGACGCUUUGUUGAACUACAUCAGUUUGUAGAUGCAUUUUUACCGAUAAAUCAACCGAACACACCAUCCAUUGUUUAUUUAUGGGUAAAAUAAAUAGUUAUUUGUAGUUGAAAUAAUUGUUUUUUUUUUUGGGUAGAUAAUCUAGAUUUUAAAACAAUUUAAAAGAUUUUCAAACAUCAGAUACAAUAGUAUACAAUUGGAACCUAAUCCAACAUAAAAAAUCAAAUAAAAUAAAUUUUCGUCAUUGACAUUGAGGUAGCAUUUAUUUUUUUAUCUGAAAUCUAAAUAGGUAUAAAUUUGGCUGGAGUAUGAAUGGAUCUAAAUAUAAAUGUUUAAAUAACAUGUUUUUUUUUUAUAUCUAAAAAUUAAGUGGCAUCUUUUUUGUUUUGAUAAUAAAAAACAUAUUAAACAAGGUUAUUUGACAUUUAUAUCCUUAUAAGCCAAAACAAACAAAGGGAUUAUACUUUACAAUUUAGGAAAUAACUAAAUUUAAUAGAGAUAAUUUUGGGAUAUAGCAUUUACUUUCUAUUGAGACAUUUUCAUAUAUUAUAUAAAAGUCACAAAAGUUUACUUUUUAAAAAAAAAAAAAAAAGUUAGACUUCACACUUUUAACAAACAACUCAAAGGAACAUGAAUAAGAAUUAUUAAAACAAAAAUGAUAAAUAAGGAUAAUUUUAAAAUUAAAUGCAAUUAAUUGAGAGAUGAAGACUGAUAAGAAAAAUUGGGGGGCAAAAAUUAAAAUAUCACCCUACUACUACUCAUGGUUGAUAGUCAUGACCCACUCAAUUUGAGAAUUAAAAGCACAAAAGCCACGUGUUGAAAACUAUGGUGUUCAUAGGGAAAUUUCAGCUAAAAGUCUAUAAAGCAGUGAAAUUAUCGUGCAGUGCACGGUGCUUGGACAAUGAGAUGAAAUUGAAAAAUUAUCACGAAACUUCCAGGAAGAGUGGCAAUAGUCUUAAGUCAUAACGCGUGGCUAUAAUUUCAACUGAAAAAAUCUGCCAAGUCGACAAACUAGGUGGGCAUUUCAAUAAGACUUGAAACUUCCAUGAAUUAUUGCCCAGAGAGCUAGGAAUAUGAGAUAUCAAGUCAAUAUAUACUGCAGAGUCAAGCUCAUCUUGGCUUAGUAAUUGUUUUCAUCUGAUCAAAAUCUCUCUCUAAUCAAUUCAAUUGCUUCAGGUUGAUUAUGGCUUCUUCUUCUCAAAACAACAAGAAGUAUGAUGUUUUUGUCAGUUUCAGAGGAGAGGACACCCGCCGCAACUUUACUAGCCAUCUCUAUUCAGCUCUGUGUCGACAAAAUAUCCAAACUUUCAUUGAUGACCAACUUAACAGGGGAGAUGAAAUUUCGGGGUCACUUGUGAAUGCAAUUAAAGCAUCAGCCCUUUCAGUUAUCAUUUUCUCUGAAGACUACGCUUCUUCCGGAUGGUGUCUUGAUGAACUUGUGGAGAUCCUCGAGUGCAAGAAAGAGUAUGCACAGAUUGUGAUACCGGUUUUCUAUCGCGUUGAUCCAUCAGAUGUGAGAAACCAAACUGGGUCUUUUGGUAUUUCAUUUUCGAAGCUUGAAGAAAGAUUUAAAGAAAAUUCAGAGAAGCUGCAGACAUGGAGGAAAGGAUUGAGAGAAGCCGCCGGUUUGUCUGGCUUUCAUUAUCGUAGCAUCAGGUGAAAAGUUACUUUUAAUUUCUCAUGCUAAUAUUUAACCCUGUAAAUAAAAUUCACGCACCAUUCUUAGUUAAAUUUCCGGAUACUAAACUACAAUUUUAAAUUUUUUUAGGCAUCAAAUUCUUGACUUCCCCACUUUUGAACUCCCAUAAUUAUAAAAGACUUUUGACAAAAUUAAUAAUAAAAGCCCGAGAAUUUUACUAUAUAUUUAACAAAAUUAAUUGUGGUCUGUCGUUUUUUAAGCAAUUUCAAUCACUCACUCAUAUACCUCCAUCAGGGGAAAAAAAAACUCACAUACUCCUGUAAUUUAAGAGUUAUUAAUUUAUAGGGAGAUUGUAGUGGUAUAAUUAACUUCAAUUGGAAAACUAGCAAUUAUUAGUUUAUAGGGAGAUUGUGGUGGUAUAUAUUAAUUUCAAUUGGAAAACUAGCAAUCUCCCUUACUUCAUAUUUCAUGCAAGUCCCUCCAAUUUGAAGUUACUGCUGCUAAUUUUAUGUCUUUGGUAGGCCUGAAUCAGAACUUAUAAACGAAGUUGUUAAUCACAUUUUGAAGAGACUGCUUGACGAAGUGUUUCAGCCCAGUGAUAACAAAAGCCAGCUGGUUGGAGUAGAAUCAAGAGUCGACGAAAUUGAAACUCUAUUAGGUGUUGAGUCGAAUGAUGUUUACGCUUUAGGGAUCUGGGGCAUUGGUGGUAUAGGCAAAACAACAAUCGCUAGAGCUACUUUCGACAAAAUCUCUAGUGAUUUUGAAGGUUCUUGCUUCCUUGAAAAUGUUAGAGAAGAGUCACAAAGACUGGGAGGAUUAGCUAGCUUGCAAAAGAAACUUCUUUCAAAUUUAUUGAAGGAUAAAAAUGUGAUUCUUGAUAUUGGCCUCAAUUUUCGAAGGCUCAGCCGCAUGAAGGUUCUGAUUGUUUUUGAUGAUGUGACUUGCUUCAGCCAAUUGGAAUCUUUAAUGGGAAGCCUUGAUUGGUUGACGCCAGUGAGUCGAAUCAUAAUAACCACCAGAAAUAAACAAGUGCUUAGAAAUUGGGGGGUGAGUAAAAUAUAUGAGAUGGAGGCAUUAGAAUAUCAUCACGCUCUUGAGCUUUUUAAUCGACAUGCCUUCAAACAAAACCAUCCUGAUGUUGGUUAUGACGAACUUUCAAGCAAAGUAAUGAAAUAUGCUCAAGGUGUUCCGCUAGCUCUUAAAGUUUUGGGUUGCUUUCUAUAUAAAAGGGAAAAAGAAGUUUGGGAAAGUGCAAUAGAUAAAUUGCAAAGAAUCCUCCAUCCAAGUAUUCUAGAGGUAUUAAAAAUAAGUUAUGAUGGUUUGGACGAUAAAGAGAAAAAUAUUUUCCUUGAUGUUGCUUGUUUCUUUCAAGGCGAGCAUGUAAAUCCCGUAAUAAAAUUCUUUAAUGCAAGUGGCUUCUACCCAGAAAUAGGAAUAAGUGUUCUUGUUGAUAAAUCUCUCAUUGCUAUUGAUUCACACAAAAAGGUAACAAUGCAUGAUUUAUUACAAGAAUUGGGUAGGGAAAUUGUUCGACAAGAAUCAAUUAAUCCUGAAAACCGCAGUAGAUUGUGGCAUCAUGAGGAUAUCUUUGAAGUUCUCACAUAUAAUACGGUAAGCAGUUUGUUGUAGAUUAUUAUUUUGGAAUAUUGUAGUGUUUCAAAACUUGUUGUGAAUAUAUUUAUAUACGCUCGAACAAAUGAGUCUUAGAAUUAAUAGAAGAGUGACAAUGAUUAGAAAAAACAAUAGUGGUUAGAUGAUGUAGCAAUAAAUUAUAAAUGCAAUCGACAACUUGCAAAACCGUUUGCAAGCAUAAUUGAGAUAUAAAUUUGUAUAGUACACUUACAGAAUUUUUAUGUUAAGUAUUACUGGUGCUAUUAUGUUUCUUUGUGCAUUUGCAAUUAAGAGUUUAACUGCCUAGCAAUACCAACAAACAUGAAUUAUUGAAAUUUAAUUUGAGUAAUGAUAGAGAGCCCCAGUCCAAUCCGACAUAAACUCCACACAAGAACAAAUUAAAGUUGAAUUAAUAUCUAAGCUACCUUUAAUUGUGAAUGAGUGAUAAACUUGCCCCAAAAAUUUGUCUUGGUGGGGCUGAAGUGUUGUUCACUAGUGGAAUAUAAAUAUCAUUUUUCAUUUGAUGUUAACUUUAUUGAUUUUUCUAUUUAUUUUUAGGGGACAGAAAAAAUUGAGGGCAUCUGUUUGGAUAUGUCAAAAGUAAAAGAGAUCCAUCUAAAUCCCAAUACUUUCGCAAAGAUGCGUAAAUUGAGAUUUUUAAAAUUCUAUAGUUCAUCAUUCACUGGGGAGAACAAAUGCAAGGUGUCUUAUUUGCAAGACCUCGGAUUUGCUGAAGUGAAAUAUCUUCACUGGCAUGGAUAUCCAUUGAAGUCAUUGCCUUCAAACCUUAGUGCAGAGAAGCUUGUGUUUCUUGAAGUGCCUAAUAGCGACAUUGAACAACUUUGGAAUGGUGUGAAGGUAUGUUUAUCUUAAUAAAUAUGUGCAAUCUUUCAAUAAGAACGCUAAAUUAUCAUACAUAGUAAUGAUUUUAUCUUUGCCUCUUUUUUUACCUAGCAGCAUUAUAGUAAGUUAAACCAGCUAAUCCAUGCUGCCUGCAAGAAGCUAAUUGCCAAAAAUCCAAACCCCACGUUGAUUCAUCAUCUGAACAAGCUAGUUAUCUUGAAUCUAAGAGGUAGCAAAAGCCUGAAAAGUAUUCCAGCUGGAAUAUUUAAUUUGGAAUUUCUCACCGAACUUGAUCUUUCGGGUUGUUCAAAGCUGAAGCGGCUUCCAGAGAUCUCAUCUGGUAACAUAGGCCAGCUAUUUUUAAGUGGAACUGCAAUUGAAGAACUACCCUCAUCAUUUGAGCUUCUACUUAGGCUUUGGUUAUUAGACCUUUCAGAUUGUAAAAGGCUUAAGAGUCUCCCAAGCAGCCUCUGUAAGUUGAAGUCUCUUGGACUUCUUAAUCUCCGUGGUUGCUCAAAUCUUCAGAGAUUGCCCGAAUGUCUUGGCCAGUUAUCGUCGCCAUUAAUACUGAAUCUAGUGAAAACCAAUAUUGAGAGAAUACCAGAAAGCAUUAUCCAGCUAUUUAUGUUGCGAUACAUCCUCUUAAAUUAUUGUGAGGGGCUUCAAUCCUUACCAAAGCCUCUAUUCCUUUUACGAUGGUUAGAUGCCGAUCAUUGCCCGGCACUACAAUCAUUAAUAGGUUUAUUCUCUAUGUUCUGAAUCUUAUAGGCAAUUUUUUUUUUACUAGACAAUAAUUUUUAAUUGGAAGGUAAUUCUACUGCAGAAAUUAUUGAAGAUGCCUUGAGAAUUCAGCAUAUGGGUCAUGUGGUAGCUGCCCGUUGGAAAGAAGUACGGGAAAAGGUGUGUCUUAAUUCUUUCUCCUUACAAUUUAUACCUUUUUUGGGUUUAAAAUUUUGAUUUUUUGGUAUAGAGGGGUUUUACCAAGGAAGGCCAUUUCGUACUAGCUGGGAAUGAAAUUCCAAGGUGGUUUAAUUUUCAAAGUGCGGGAUGUUUUAUAACCUUAGAGAUGCCCCCAAAUUUCUUCAAUAACAACAGAGUACUGGGCUUUGCAUUUGGUGCUAUUUUAGCAUUUUCAGACCGUCAUGUUGAUUGUGGCAGAUGGUUUUCAUUUUCUUAUGAGCUCAAAGUGAAAACCACCAAAGAUGGUGAUCCGCGUGACACACAGUUAUUUCAGAGCAGAGUUCAUUAUGUAGAAUCAGAUCACUUACAUUUAGGGUACUAUUUGUUCUGUGAAGAGGAUUUUAAUGGUUUUUGGAAAUGCAAUUACAUUCCUGAGGCAGUCCACUUUAAUGUUUCUCCACCUUUGGAGUGUCAGUGCUGCGGGGUGAAAAAAUGUGGGAUCCAUCUAUUUCACAUACCUCACCAAACUCCAAAGUCAAAUUAGACAUGUAGAGUCAUGUAAUCCAUAUCUAUUUUGAGUUAAGGAUAUUUUAGUAACUUCAUGUGACUAUUUCGGGGGUAUUUCAGAAAUUGUUGAAAAAUUCUAUUUUUGGGGUAUUGAAUCAAUUUUAGCGGUAUCAUCUCCUCACCCAGCCUAUUGCUUAAGCUAGUCGCCUUAGUCAUUGUCGCCAGUCGUUGCCAUCGCAGCCACUCUCAAUCAUUUCUGUCACGCCAGUGAAGCUAAGUAUUGACUAUUAAAUUUGUUUAAUUUGUUUUCUUAUUUAUUGUUACUUGAUUUUUUUUCCUUAAUUGUGUUUUUUUAUUUGGGAUUACUAAAUUAGGGCUGGUUGAUGAAAACUUUGAUUUUCGAAAUUGGUUUUUUGAGAUUUGAUUUCACAUUAAUAAUUUGGUUGGACUUUAUAAAUUAGGAUCAAAUGAAAUAAAUAAAACAGCGGAGGGGUUUCAUUAUUUGUUUGUUUGUUUAUGGGAAUUUGGUAAUUUAUUUAAUUAUUUAGUUGAAAUUAUAGUUUAGAUUACUUGUAGUUAGUUAAAGGUGAGACUUUUCUUAAGUAUAUAUUGUGCUGGGUUUUUUUUUUUGAUUUGUGAUUAUGGCUUCAAAAACAGUAACUUUGAUGCGUAUUGAUGAAUGCACUAAGUUUGGUAUGGGAUACGUGGAACAUAUUAUUAAUGAAUUAAUCAUUAAAUAGAUAAAAAUGCUCUGAAUUUUAAGGUCAUGUACGGUGUAGGAGAGCAAUUUAUGUUAACUUAAAUUUAUUGGAAAAAUUUAAUUUAAUUGAGGAAGCAAUUAAGUUGAAAAUUUGACCAAAAAGAUUGUGUUAGAGAUUCUUCAACAUCUGCCUAAUAGUUCUCAAACAUUUGAAUCACAUAGUUAAUUAUUCAAGCUUUACUAGAUGAAACUCAAUUUGGUCUUUGAUGGUAUACUCAUGAGAUGAAUUACUCCAAUUUCAUGUGCGUUAUAAGUCAUUUACAAAAAAGUAAAAAGGAAAGAAAGAAAAACCCCCCGCUAGGCAAUAACUAUAUUAUUGUAAUUUAAGUUUAUUUUUUAAAUAAUAUAGACCUAUUCAAUUUUUCUUCAUGUAAAACUUCAUAAAUCAAUAAUGGUGGACCAACUUGGUAUUUCAAGAAGAAAACUUUUGUUCAACAUAAAGAACAUUUAUGUAAUAAAGUUGAUAUACAUCUAUUUGUUAGUUAUUAAAUAUUACUUUAUUUUAUUUAGUUUAACUAUUGGAUGCUUAAUUGGCUCACUUUGAUGUAAAUAAUAUGGAUGGUGGAUGUAGUUGUAGCCGUGUGUUGUUGUGGAGUUUCGUCAAAUGUCAAUGCAAUGUAACUUUUAGAGUUGCUUUUAUCACUGAUAAUGUGAUAUUGCGGACUUGUGGUGUUUUGUUAUUUUGUUCUUGGGGAUUUAUAAUUUGUAUUAAAUUUUAAAAUUAAGUGCAUUUGUGAAUUAUGACUUUAUUCUGUAUUGGGACUUUUAUUAUUUUGUUUUGAAUUGAAGACCUUAUUUAUUUAUAAUUUUAUAUUUAGUGCUGCUAUGUGUAUAGUAACUAGUUAACACAGGUGAAAACUGCAGACUCCAACUAAUAUAGGCGAGAACAAAAAACUGUUGUAACUGUAAUGAAAAACAAAACCAAACUAAUCUGAUUUGAAUUAUUAGAACUGAACCAAUUAGAUUCUAAAAUUUAAUUUUGCAUGUGGUUAUUUUUUAGAACUGAUCGGUUUGGGUUCUGUUUAGUUCAGUUCUGGACUAGAAUUGAAUCGAAUCAGGUAUUGCCCGUCGCUAGUUUUGAUUUAGUUAUCCUUAUAGUGCAAAUCGUAAAGGAUGUGGUACAUUGAUAAUUAAUAAAUGGAGCAUGUUAAAUCUAAUAUAUAAAUAUUGAUAAAAAUAGAUAGAUAUAAUUUUAAAAAACUAAUACAUGUUAUUAUCAUCUAUGUAGUGUUCAGAAUAUUAAAAGUCAUCUUAUUAAAAGUAUAGAGAAUAAAUUAUUAUCCCAAAAAACUGUAAGAAAAAUACUUUAUUCCAUCUUAAAUUUUUUAUAUAACAUAACAUAUUUUUUUUUGUAAUAUAUAAAUAAUUGUUACCCUGUGGAAGUAAGUUCCGUAAGACGGAAUGCACAAAAGUUAUAACUUAUUAAAAUAAGAAGUUUAUUUUUAUUUAUAAUAGACCCAAAUUGAUACCAGAAUUUUUAUAACUAUACAGAAGUUAUUUCUACAUAGAAUAUCACUAUAGAGAAAUUUUAAUGUUUAAACCAGUGAAAACUAUUAUAAAAUAUCUUAAAGGCAUAAAGCAAUAUAUAAAAUACUUUCAAAGUAAUUAUUUUUUAUAAAAAAAAGGAAGAAGUUGUAGGCUCUAAAUUCAAAUUUUCAACCAAAACAGAUAUACUUUUUUUUUUCUUUUUUGCGUAAAAACCAAAACAAAUAUAUUUGAAUAUGCUAAAUGUAUUUUUUUCCAAAAUUCUUGCUAACGAAAGAGUAGUAAUUUUUUAUCAACCUGUAUUCAAACAAGUAUAUUUGGCGAGACAGAGCCGAAAGGGUCUUAUACUCAGUACGUAGCUCUUCCUAUCGCUGAGGCUAGAAAAUUGUACGCACAUCCAACCCUUUAUGCCCAGUGCCGAAUUUAACAAACAAGGCCCUUGCGGGUUAUGAGGAUUUUCGCCGUUCCUAUUAAUUAAAAACUCUCUUUUUAUUUCUAUACUCAUUAUUGUGUUAACUCAAAAUAUUGACUUAAAAUUUUAUAAUAAAUGAAAAUUUGUUACAAAAUAAUUAAAGUUAAUAGAAAUUCAAAUUACUUUGAGCAUUAAAAAAAUUAAUAAUAUUAAAUAAGCCAGAUGGAUUUUAUAAAUAUGAAAAUUUUGUUAACCCAAAUUAAUGUUUGAUAAGAAACAGAAAUAUAAUAUUAAAACAAAAUAUUACAAAUAAAUAGAUACUUAAAUUAUUUUAACAUCAUUACUAUCCCAUACUGAUUUUAUUAGUACUAAAAUCUGUUAAUCCAAAGACUUAUUUACAAAUUUUAUAAAAUAUAAUAAAUUGUAUAAUUUACAUUCUAAAAUUCAUUUUAAUUAACAUUAAAAAUUUAAUGUAAUAGUAUAAUCUGUUGGAAAUAUUUUUAUUAAUAUUAAUAUUACAUGUAUCGAAAAAAUAAAAAUCAAUUUUUUUAGUGACUACUAUAGUCAAGGGGGUAUAAUAAUCCAUCUAUUAUUUGUGAUCAUUUUUUUAAAUUUGCAGAUCUACAUAUAUAUUUAAGUAAUUAUGAGCCUGUAGGUAUUAUUUUCCCAAAUUAUAUAAAGGAUCUUGGGUAUAUAAACUAUUUAGUUUGUAAAAUAUAUCUUUGCUUUUUAAACAUAAAAAUUUUUUAGAACCCAUAUCCAAACAGCCACUGGAAUUCUUGAAACAUAUUUACAUGCAUGCAUCCCCUACUAAAAACAAUCAUAUUGAAAUAUAUGUAAGUUAAAAAAUCAAAGCCUGACAUUGUGAAGUUUGGUAUCUUUACCUCUCUCUCCCAACUUACGAAAUUCGCUCGGGUUUCCAACUUAUUCAAUAAGUAGUCUUCUUUUAUUACAAACGUGUCUUGAUUUUUAAGCAAAACGGAUGCUCUCUCCAAGAAGAUAAAUUUCUUUUCUAACUAAUACUUAUCUUCUGUUCAUGUGCUAGCAUGAAGAACUUCACUUUUACAUAUUUAUUGAUGAGAAAUUAUGUCUAAAAGUAAAAAAAAUAAAAAUAAUCUUUUUUAAUUUUCUUUUUUUGGUAGUUAGACUUAGGAUCUAAUGAAGGAACUGUUGGUUUGAAAAAUAUUUUACAAUGGAAAUAUUUGAAUCACAAUUCUCAUACAAUAUAUAAAAUUACCAUGAUCUAGAAAUCAUUUCUUUACUUUUUCGCUGAAAUAAUCUAGGCUCCUAGAUCAUGAUCUGUCACCACCAAUCUUGUUGGAUCACGAUCCAUCACCACCAAUCUUGUUGGAUCAUGAUCCAUCACCAAUGACUCAAGUUUGAUCUGCAUUUGACGUGUGGGCGCCUUUAUCACUACUAAAAGCAACUAAAAAGAGAAAAUUUUAUCUCAAAGUUAAAGAGAAAAAAUCUUUUUUUCUCUGAUUUAUAUAUUGUGGCUAUUGUCUCAUUUUAGAGAAAACAAACCCUUUUAUAUCUUUAUUUGGUGGAAAUCCUAGACUCCAUAUUUAUAUUCUUUUUUUUAAUUAUAUUAAAUCAAAUUUGAUUUAAAUUAAAAAUAAUAAUAAAACCAAAAUUGGUGUUACUUAUCCUUGUUACAGGGGCUCAUCUUGUAAAAAAAUACAAGACCCCAUACAAUAGUAAUUACAAUAAUUAGGCAUGUAAUUAAACUAACCCAAUUUUUUAAUUUCUAAUCUACUCCAUUAAAAGAUUGGAACUGACCUCCAUAAUUGUAUGUUAUCUAGGAUAGUGUUUCCGAAUAAUAAUCCUACACUUGCCACAUUGAUUUCCUUACCGAACAACCAUUUGUACUACAUUACUAAUUAAAUUGACAUCUCAACUGUCUAAUCAAUUUAAUUACAUUUUGUUCCUUAACACUUAUUGGUUUUCUCUAAUGAUCAUUUUCAACAUACUAAUUAUGUUGACACAUUUUGUCCAGCGAAUUCUAGGAUCAAGUACCAAAAACCCGGCAAGAGAUGUGUUGUACAAAUUCUAUAUUGUUAAUCUAUAAUCUCACUGCUCAUAAUUGCUUCCACCAAGAUACCGAGUAAUCUUGACUACAAAUGUAUGUCGCGCCCAUUGGUAACUCAAAUGAAAUGACAAUCACAAACAUGAAAUUACAAUUAACUCAAGAUUAAAAUUACAAUAAAAUCAAUGCCUAUGAGAUUUAAAAAGUCUGACAAUCAUUUCAAUGUUAAUUAAAUCUCAUAUGUGAUCCAAUUCAAUGUAGUCAAACUACCUCAGUAAAUUCAUACAUGAUUAAGACAAAUCAUUCAAUAAAUUUACUACAAUUUAAACAUAAAUAGAGCGCCCAACUCUAUUUAUGAACUGCGAACUUAAUUUAUUUAAUCAUAAGAUAACUUGUAUUUAUGUCUUCUGUGAAUCCAUAUAAUGAUCACAUAAAUACAUAUGAUAUGAUUAAAUGGACCUUAUUCAAAAUAUUUAUGCAAUUAAGAUUUUUCAAAAAUAUCUCAAAUAUUUUAUUAAUCAAAAAAUAAAUAGAUCAAUAUGCUUUAGAGAGCACAUAAUCCCAACAAUCUCCCACUAGCUCUCAAAGUAUAUGUGGCAACUCACGCAUGCCCAUACAUUAUAAGUGUAGGUUAAAAAGUUUCCUAGGUAUUGCCUUUGUAAAAGGAUCUGCUAGGUUUUGUUCUGAGGCAAUCUGGGUAAUCUCUACAGGAACAAUUUUAGAAUACAUCACGAGUAGUCAAUAAUACAAUUAAUUAAUGAAUAUAUAACAUGCGUAAUUGAAUUUAAUAUAAUCACUUCUCAUAGGAUGAUUUUUCAAAAUAAAUAUACAUAUAUCAUAACACUAUUUAUUUAUUGUUUAUUGAUAUGACACUUCUGAUAUAUUCUAAAAUUUCUCUUGAUGAUGAAAUAAUGACUGAACUAGUUUCCUAAUUAAAGAUAGUUCCAUUAAUGGUUAAAUUAAUUAACAUACAUUUGAUGCCAUAGUUAAUAAAGAUGAAGGAUUCAAGACACAUCAAAAUUUAUUCUGGGCAACUAAUCACUCGAGAAACCAUAAUAAUAGGCAGCUAAUGAAAAAUGAUAGAUCUAUAAAAGUUGAGAUAAAAUUGGAGCCCGACACGAGCUAAGAGUAGUACUCAUGAUAAAUUAUUUGUCUUUUAUUAUUUUUAUUUUUUUUGGUACUAAAGGAACCUAGCCAGCACUUAGGUUAAAGAAAGACGAGGGAAAGCAGUCCCCAACCCAUCACUAAACAGCCAAAAGUUCAUGCCUGGGGGAGGUUGAUGAAAUAAAUAGAAACCAAGGGGGAGGGUGAGAGCCAUGCCUGCAAGGAAGUCGGCAGCAAAAUUCGCUUCCCUAUACACAUGAUGCACUGAAAUCAACAAAUCUCGGCUUAGCAAAUCCUUUAUUCCCCAAAUCAAUGAAGAAUUAACAUUACUGUGAUAGUUAUGAUCGGCUAGAAUUUGAGUAAUGCCCAAGUUGUCAACUUCCACGAUUAGGAAACGAAUGCCAUGAUCCCAAGCCAUUUGCAACCCUUUAUAAAGUCCCCACAAUUCAGCCCCCAUUAUAGAACAACUUCCCAAGUUCAUACUUAAACCACUUACCUAGGCACCACAUGAAUUUCUCACUAAACAACCAGCACUAGCUAAACCGGGCCGUUUCAAAGCCCCGUUGGUUACGAAUUCAAUGGAAGAUCCAAACACAUGUUUCAACUAUAACAAAGAAGAAUGAGAUUUUCAUGAAUGUAUUUUUAUAGUUUUCCUUUUUCUAAUCACUCUUAAUAGUAGGAGAAAAUGUCAAAAUCAGUUCUUGGAACAAAACAUUCAUGUAAAAACUUUCGAGGGAUCUAGUGCAUGCAAUACAAAAUUCACACUAGAGUGUUGAACUUUACCUUAUUAGAUGAAGGGUACAAUGUACCGAAAGCACAUGAUGUAUAUUGUAAAAUUAAAAUUAUUGGCCUUCUUUCUUGCUUUGCACACACUGCCCAUAACGAUUUUGUUAUUGAACUUUGCAACCUAAAACACAUCUACUUAGGUGAGCAUGUGACUUAUAAACUAGUGAAAAAAACUCACUUGCCAGCGACAUGAAAUAUUACAAGACGCACAACAAGUUCUUACAGAGUAUGUUGUGGGCCCAUAUCUCAACCAAUGAAAACAUGCCACUCAUCCCAUUGCGCACUACAUCAACUCUCCUAUAUAUAACACAAUCACAUUUGAAAAAAUUCUACUUUGUUAAAUCUAAAUGUUGUAUAUGGGAAAGUUUCAUCAUGUGGAAGCAAAAGCAAUAAAGAGGGAACAGUUAAACUCCGUCAAAUCUUAUAUAUUUUUUAAAAAACAUAUUUGUAUAUUGAUUUUUUAAAAAAGAACAGGAUAUGUGUCAUUUUCACCCAACUCAUUUUUUAUGUCAAUCAGUUUGUUUAAACAUCUAUUUUGGGGUGAAAAACAUCAUGAUCAGACACGCAUGAGCAAAAUGUGCUCCCCUCGGCCUAAAAUGACUCCUCGAGACAGAUUAUCCCCGAUGAGGUGUGUGGCUGGUCACAUGAGCAAAGUCAGCUCGAGGAAGCACGAGGAGAGACCAGAAUUAAGUCAAAUCGAAGACUUGGUUAAAGGUCAACCCGUGGGUUUCCACCAAAGAAUUCGAGCAUGAAGCCAACUCACCAGCAGUUACGCUGCCUACUCUCCCACGGUUAUGUGACCAACUCAGAACGGUGUUGGGGGAGAGAGGAGGCCGAUAAUUUUGGUUGGUUAUUAAAGCUUUAGAGAAGAAGGUUAGGGGUUUAGAUAACUUUUUAUUUAAUUUUCUCAUACUCUCUCUAUUCACAAUUCUAUUCACAAUUUUAUCUUCUCUUUCUUUUUUCUGAAAUUAAACCUUUUUUUUUCAUUCAGAGUAGUUGUAAUUAAGUCACGUGAAUCAUGUCACGAGUUUUUCUAAGUAAACACAGAUUGCUCACUUGAGCGUCGGAGGGUUUACGCCGGAAAAACCUCAGGCAUCCCCUAACUAAUUGUUAUAAAUGUAGGUGUUCUUGGAGGAAGUACUCAAGGUUGUAGGAACUUGUUCGAUAGUGAACAAGUAGCACAGAACCAUCUACCCAAUAACAACAAAUUUAAGUGUUGGCGUGGUUGUCUAGUCGCUACAUAGCUCGACCAGAUUUCUAUAUCAACAAACAUGUAUCCACUCUUUCAAGUAUUUAUACCAAUUCCAUAUUCGAAAUGUUUCAUUUGAUUCCAUAGUUGACGUGGUAUCAUCUAUGGGUAGAAUUUACCUUUAAAAAACUGGCUUGUAAAGAAAGGUUAAAGAUGCCCAUGAGCCUAUAUUUCUACUUAGAUUAUUGUAUCUUUUUCAUUUGAAAAAUUGAAUCUUAUCAUUCACUUAUCAUUAACAUGAGCAAUAUAGAUUAAUAAAUCAUUGCUCUUUAUUAUUGUGCUAAAGUUGACUUUUUAUUGAAUAAUUUGGUACAUUUCUUGAAUCAAUUUCGAGCUUCUACAACUUGUUAGGGAUCAAUUUCUCCUACAUUCUUUCGAUGCCAAAAGAUAUUCAAGUGGUUGAAUAAGAAUUGAUAUAUACAAUAUAAAUACAAGAGUUUUUUGCCAUUUUACAUUAGGAAUAAUAUAUAAUACUCAUCAAAACUUGCUGAUGAGAAAGUAAAUUCCUCAGCACUUAAAUGUUUCAGCCAACCGAGAAGGCAACUUUUCAUGGAUCUCCUUGGGUCUGUCGUCAUGGGAUGAUGUCCCACUCUUUCCAAUACAAUUAACCUGCACAUUUGAGAGUUAAGAAGGUAGAAAUGAGGAGUAUUAACUAGCAGGUCCAUCAAAGAGGGUGAAUGGAUCCUUAACACCCCAUAAAACUAGUAUAGGUAUGGAGAUUGAUGGCAUCAAUUGCACUAGGUUCGGCCCUGGUAGGCCUAUCACAAUCGAAACAAAUGCAUUAAGCGCAUAUUCAUUAUUGGUGGGUUCUCGUAUGAUUUGCAGUUUUGAGGUCAAUUAUGAAUUCUGAGUAAAAUGGCACAUUAGUGGAGAAUAUUAGGGCCUGUUCGAUAACAUUUUACGGGCCUUGUUUUCAUUUUCCUUUUAUGAAUCUAAGUUAAUGCGCGAUCGAUGGCCGAAAUUCAAAAAACAAAUUAAUUCAUAUCUUCUUUUAUAGUUAUAAAUUUGAGAACGUGUAUAACUCAUUCUCAAUGAAUUACAAAUAUAAGGCUAAAAUAAAUCAGAAAAUAGAGAAUCCAAGGCUUAUCCAUGACCAGUGGCGGAUCUAUGUGUGGGCUAGACCGGGCUGUAGCUCGGUCUAGUCUAAAAAAAUCUUUUAUAUCCCUUAUGUUUUUAUUAAUUUAGUAAAAUAAUAGAUUUUGUUUUUCAUAUAUGUCCCUAAUUCAAUUACCCUUAUGAUUUCAUCAAUUUAGUAUAACAAUAGAGUUUUUAUUUUAUAUUCAAAUAUGUCCCUAACUCAAUUACCCUUAUGUUUUCAUCAAUUUCAUAUAACAAUAGAGUUUUUAUUUUACUUUUAAAUAUGUCCCUAAUUCAAUUAUAUUAUUUUCAAUUGAAAUUAGUGACUUAUUUUAUAAAAUGAUUAAAUUAUAUAUUUAUUGAAUAGAUUGUAAAUAUUAGGGAGCUAAAAGUUUAUUAGUGCUUUAAUUUAUUUUAAAAAACUUCUAAUUGAAAAAAAAAAUAUGUCAAUUUAAUAUAACGUCAUCAAUGGUACUAAAAAUACUUAUAAAAACAAUAUAUAGUAAUAAUUAUCAACAUUUUCAUAAAUUUUUAUAUGAAUUUUUAGACUUUAUUUUGUAGUUCCAUUAACUAGGAGGACAAGUAAGAAAAUAAAAUUUGAAUAUUUUAAGGAGCUUUUGAUAGAAGGAUUAUCAACAUCUAGUUCUUUAAGAAGAGAUAGAGCACCUGACAAAGAAACAACUGCAUCCAAGUACCUUUUUACUGAAUUGAGUUUAGUUUAUUAUUAAACCUUUUAACUAAUAAUACUUUUAUAAUUUGAAUGGAUGAAUAAAUUUUAAUUGUUUAAUUUAUUAAGUUUGAUAAUUUAGCACUUGAUUUCAAACAUAAAAGUUUUACUUGUAAUUUUUAAUUGAUUGUAAUUACAUAUAUUAAUCUAUUUUAGUUUGGAAUUCUUAAUUGAUUUCUUAAUCCUUAUAUAAUUACAUGUUAUUAUAGGUUGCAAUGUCAGGUUCCAUAUUUGAAAAAUAGUGUUUUGAUAUUUAAAUUGUCUUUUGUUUUCUACGCUUUUUUUAUAAUUAUUUUUGUUUAUAGUACAUAUUUAUAGUGAUAGAGUUCUUAGUGUUACCCCUUAUUUAAUGUACUUCUUUCUACUUAUAAUUUUUUAUGUUUGCUUCAAAAUGUAAAUUUUAAAAUUUAGCCUGGCGUAAUAAUAAGUCCUGGGUCUGCCCCUGUCCAUGACCGUCUAUUUCUCUCGCCUAAAAUCUUAUCACGAUCUUCCCAUUCACUCUCCCUUAUCACGGAUCUAAUCGCUCUUUUUCUCCAUCUUUGGUAGGUGUUGCUAUUCUCUCUUCUUCACUACUCUUGUGCUGAUGCUCUGUCUCUUUCACUGUUGUUGAUCUUCCUCUAUGCUGCUGUUAUUUUUUUCAUUUGAAAUCUGAAUAAGUCUAAAUUUGGCUAGAGUUUGCAUGGAUCUGAAUAUAAAUAUCUAAAUAACAUGUUUAUUUUUUAAAUAUCUAAAAAUUAAGUGGCAUCUUUUUUGUUUUUAUAAUAAAAAAACAUAUGAAACAAUGUUAUUUGACAUUUAUAUCCUUAUAAAUCAAAACGAACAAGGGGAUUACAUUUUACAAUUUAGGAAAAAACUAUAUUUAAUAAAGAUAAUUUUGGGAUAUAGUAUUUACUUUCUAUUGAGACAUUUUCAUAUAUUAGAUAAAAGGUACAAAAAUUUACUUAAAAAAAAAGAAAAGAAAAAUUAGACUUCUCAUGUUUAACAAACAACCCGAAGGAAUAUGAAUAAGAAUUAUUAAAACAAAAAAUGAUAAAUAAGGAUAACUUUAAAAUUAAAUGCAAUUAAUUGAGAGAUGAUGACUGAUAAGAAAAAUUGGGGUGCAAAAAUUAAACUAUCAACCUACUACUCAUGGUUGAUAGUCAUGACCCACUCAAUUUGAAAAUUAAAAGCACAAAAGCCACGUGUUGAAAACUAUGGUGUUCAUGGGGAAAUUUCAGCUGAAAGUCUAAAAAGCAGUGAAAUUAUCGUGCAGUGCACGGUGCCUGGACAAUGAGAUGAAAUUGAAAAAUUAUCACGAAACUUCAAGGAAGAGUGCCAAUAGUGUCACUCAUAACGCCGUGUCUAACUCAUAACAUAGAAUAGGAGUUUUACGAAACUAACGGAAGGGUGCCAAUAGUCUUAACUCAUAACGUCGUGUCUAUAAUUUCAACUGAAAAAAUCUGCCAAGUCGAAAAAUUAGGUGGGCAUUUCAAUAACCCUUGAAUAUUCCAUGAAUCAUUGUCCAGGAAGCUUGGAAAAUGAGAUAUCAGGUCAAUAUAUGCUGCAGAGACACGCUCAUUUUGGCUUAGUAAUUGUUUUCAUCUGAUCACAAUCUCUCUCUAAUCAAUUCAACUGCUUCUGUUGAUUAUGGCUUCUUUUUCUCGAAACAACAAGAAGUAUGAUGUUUUUGUUAGUUUCAGAGGAGAAGACACCCGCGACAACUUUACUAGCCAUCUCUAUUCAGCCCUGUCUCGACAAAAUAUCCAAACUUUCAUUGAUGACCAACUUAACAGAGGAGAUGAAAUUUCAGAGUCACUUGAGAAUGCAAUUAAAGCAUCAGCCAUUUCAGUUAUCAUUUUCUCUUAAGACUACGCUUCUUCCAGAUGGUGUCUUGAUGAACUUGCGGAGAUCCUCGAGUGCAAGAACGAGUACGCACAGAUUGUGAUGAAGAAACUUGUUUUCAUUUCUUGAAUAAAACAUUAUACACUGAGCGUUAUUUAUGGAUGCAGAGGCUACAAUUUUUUCAAAGAUUACAUAUGUGAAUACGGAAGGAAAUGUGUCGAUCCGUUCAGCGCGGAUCGUGUCUUUGACAAGUGCAUAUCAUCCCUUUGACAAGUGCGGAUUAUGCCUUUGAAAACUUCCUUCAAUGCCGUUUUAUUUGACAUUCUCAACACUCCCCCUCAAGCUAGUGCAUAGAUGUCUUGCAUACCCAGCUUGUCUAGGAAUUUUGUAAAUGCUCUGCUUGAAAUGGCCAUCGUUAAAAUAUCUGCAAGUUGAUCUUCUUAUUAAAUUUUCGGCAGUUCUAAGAUUUUUUCAUCUAAUUUCUCCUUGAUGAAAAAUCUAUUUACCUCGACAUGUUUUGUUCGAUCGUGUUGAACUGGGUUAUGAGCAAUAUCUCGUGCAGUUUUUGUUGUCACAGUAUAGUUGUAUUGGUUGUUGUGAUGGAUAGCCCAAAUCAUUUAAGAUUGAUGGUUAUCGAAGCCAGCAAAAAUAAAUACCUACUCUAAAUAAAUUGUGUAUAGUGAUUGAGUAGGGUCGUGUCCACAGAGAUUGGUAAUUAUUUAAAUCCUUUUAAAAUGUAAAAUGAAAAAUGGGGGGAUUGUUGCCAAUAAUAAAAAUCAAAUUAAAAUAACAAGAAUGCAAAUUGAAAUUGUAAUUCAAAUUGGGAAAAGCUCUGGUUGAAGGAAUUAACUCAGUUUGAUUCGACUACUGAUCAUUGAUUCAAAUAUAAAUCAUUACUACUUAUGAAUAGACCGAUUAUAGCUACUGAGACCCUCUAAUAGCCAAUCUCUCCUUAACUAGUCGAUAACUAAGGUACGACAAUUGGUUAUUUCCCUAAUCAACAGACAACCCCAGAUACGAUCAUAGGAUUUAAUCAAUUGACAGCCUGAAAAACUAGAGAGACCCAAAUCCUAAUCAACAAACGCAUACGAUGGUUCAUUUAAAUUAUAUUGUUUUUCUCAUAACACAACACACUGCUAUGCUAUUUGUCACAAACAUAAAAAUCUUCAUGCGAUGAAUCCUUUAAUUGACAAUAGAUUAAGUUGAUAAUUAAAUAGUGACCAAUUAUCUAAUUAACAAACAUAAUCAUGACAAAAUUUAGAGAAUAAACAAAUACCCAAAAAGUAAUAAAACAAUUAAAGCAUAAGAAAGAUCUCACAGUAAUGAUAAAUCAAAUCUUCAUUAACCUUCAACCAGAAUAAUAGGUUUAGUUCUUCAUAUAGAGAAGAGAAAAAUUUAGAUCUAGGGUUUUUUUUUUGACAAAAUAGCUUCCCCCCUUCAAUUCUCUCCCCCCUCUUGUCCUCUAGAGUUCCUUUUCAAAUCAAAUACUAAUAUCUAAAAUAUUAUCUAAAUAUUAAAUUCGGAAUUAUAAAAAUAACCAAAAAGACAAAACACGUUAAACUAAAAAUUGCAGGUCCGUAGUUGACAGCACGCGCCCACGCCUUAUCAACAAAGUUCUUCUGAAGCUCACAAUUUCUCCAGGAAAACAAUCAUCCUAAAAAAUCAUCUUGUAGCUCAAUUUUAGCACCAAUCAAUAGAAUUACACCUACAGAAAUAAAACACAAGUAAAUCACUAUUAUUAAGUGCAAAACAUUGACAUUAAAGGAAGUAAACAAUGCAAAACUAGUGCAUAAAUUGCACUCUAACAAAGAUAAAGCUUAUCCAUAGCCCUUCACAUACCCCAAGGGCCAUGCCUCGAUAUUCUGCUUCAGCGCUCGAACAGGCAACGACAUGUUGUUUCUUGCUUCUCCAUGUGACAAGGUUGCCUCCCACAAAGGUAAAGUAUCCUGAGGUAGAGCAUCUAUCACUAGCUAACCCGGCCCAAUCUGCAUCAAUAUAAACUUCUAUGUUGUUGUAAUCUUCAUUUUUGGAAAAUAGGAUUCAUUUUCCUGGAUUUGACUUCAGGUACCUCAUGAUCCGCAUUACUGCUUUCAUGUGUUGUUCUCUGGGAUUAUGCAUAAACUGGCUUACAACACUCAAUGCAUAAGCAAGAUCUAGCCUUGUGUGGGACAAGUACAUCGAUCUUUCAAUCAGCCUUUGAUAUCUUCCUUUGUCUACUGGAACUUGGUCUGAGGUAAUACAAAACUUUAGUCCUUCUUCUAUUGGGGUGUCAAUAGGCUGACAAGCUGUCAUUCUCGUUUCAUCCAAUAGAUCUAAGGCAUAUUUCCUUUGAGACAGGAAGAUUCCUCCCUUAGAUCGAGAAAUCUCAAUUCCAAGAAAGUAUUUUAAGGCUUCUAAAUCCUUCAUCUUAAACUCUCCCGACAAGUACUUCUGAAGAGCCUCUCUUUCUUCCUCGUUGUUGCCUGUAACUACCAUACCAUCCACAUAGAUAAUAAAGGCAGUGAUUUUACCUUGUCAUUUUUUAAUGAACAAAGUAUGAUCUGAAUUGCUUUGGUUAUACCCAAAAAGAACCAUAGCCUUUGUGAAUUUCCCGAACCAUGCUCUUGGGGAUUGCUUCAACCCGUACAAUGAUUUCUUCAAUUUGCAUACUUUCCGAUUGAGUCGUUCUGGUCCACUACAUCUUGGUGGAAGAUCCAUAUAAAUUUCUUCAGACAGGUCUCUAUGGAGGAAAGCAUUCUUUACAUCGAACUGUUGCACUGGCCAAUCCAAGUUUACUGCUAAUGAUAAUAAGAUACGAAUAGUAUUAAUUUUUGCUACCGGUGCAAACGUAUCGGUAUAAUCUAUCCCGUAGGUUUGAGUGUAACCCUUAGCUACAAGCCUUGCUUUGUAUCGUUCAAUAGAGUCAUCUGCUUUGUACUUUAUAGUGUAGAUCCAUCAGCAACCCACUGAUUUCUUUCUUGGUGGAAGAUCAACUAGUUCCCAUGUUUGAUUUUUCUGAAGAGAUCUCAUUUCGUCAUUCAUAGCCGCUUUCCACUUUGGGUCUUUUAAGGCUUCCUGCACACUGUUGGAAAUUGAUACAGUAGAUAAUUGAUUCAUAAAUGACUAAUUUGAUUCUGACAAGCAAUGGUUAGACACAAAAUGACUCAUAGGGUAUUUGACUCUACUAGAGAGGUCAGGCUCAUAUGUGGGUUUAGGGAUACCUCUAUUUUGACGCUGGGGAAGAAUUCUUUUGAUUAGACUGGGACUUGUGGUAGGAACAUCCUCUGCAGACGAUUGGUUAGGUAUUUCUUCAUGUGACUCAUUCUCGAUUGCAAUUGUGUCUAAGUUAUUUUUCUCCCAAAAUGUGUCUUCACUUAUCUCAGCCUGAGAAUCAUCACCAUUUUCUUUUCCAGUAUCUUGAAGGUUGACUACCUCAAUGGAAGAUUGAUAUUCUUUAGGUGGAAGAUAUGUAAGAGUAUGAAUUUCCUCUUCAUUAUACUCCCCCUAAAAUUCAGGCUCUGACAAGUAGUACAUGAUAUCUUCAUGAAAGAUGACAUCCAUGGUGAUGUAUAUUUUUCUUGAUGGUGGAUGAUAGCAUCGGUAUCCCUUUUGAUGUAAGGCAUACCCUACAAACACACAACGUAGUGCUCAAGGAGAUAAUUUGUCUUGUUGCGGAAAAUGAACGAAGGCAACACAACCAAACACAUGUAAGGGUAAAUUCGACACAUUUGGUGACAUAAUUACAUCAUUCAGAACCUGGAAAGGAGUUUGGAAUCCAAGGGAGCUGGAAGGUGUUCGAUUGUUCAAGUAUACUGCGGAUGCCAGUGCUUCUCCCCAAUAAGAUAAUGGCAUGUGGGCCUGGAUUAGUGAUACUCGAACAACUUCUAGUAAAUGUCUGUUUUUUUGUUCGGCAAUGCCAUUUUGUUGGGGUGUCCCCACGCAAGUGGUUUGAUGGACAGUUCCUUGUGAUUUCAGAAACUGUUGAAUUGUUGUGCUCAUACACUCGCCUCCAUUAUCAGUAUGUAUAACUUGAAUUUGUGUCUGAAAUUGAGUCGUCACCAUCUUAUGAAAUCUUUGAAAUAAAGAGUUUACUUCAUCUUUUGAUUUUAUAAGAAAAAUCCAUGUCAUUCUGCUACAAUCAUCAAUAAAUGUAACAAACCAACGAGCACCUCCAAUUGUGGAAACUUUAAAUGGCCCCCAUACAUCAGAAUGUACUACCAUGAAAUGAACUGGAUUUUUAUUUAAAGACAAUGAAAAAGUAAUUUGAUGGCUUUUUGAAAGUUCACAAACAUCACAUUUAAAGUUACAAAAAUCAAAUUUUAUAAACAAACUAGGAAAUAAUUUUUUUAACCAAAUAACACAUGCCAUAAACGUCUAUGCCAUAACCAAAUUUUUUAUUUCCUUUUUUUGUGGAACUAUCUGCGACUAGUGCGGGGCUUAGCUUUCCAGUGUUUGUUGAUGUCAUCUCCAAGUAUUACAAGUUUCCUUGUUUAAUACCAUAACCAAUUGUUUGCUUCGUUUGGAUGUCCUUAAACACACAAUGAUCAAGCCAAAAAAUUACAACACAUGAUAAGGAAGUGGUUAAUUGAGACACGGAUAAAAGAUUAUAAUCUAAAGAUGGAACAAUUAACACAGAGUCUAAAUUUAAUUCAUCUCUAAGUCGUAAAGAUCAUUUCCCAAUAAUUGAGGUUGUGGUUCCGUUUGCAGUGGAAACAUGCUUUUGUGAAGAUGGUUUCAAUUGAGAAACUUGUCGAGAAUCAAAAGUCAUAUGAUCAGUUGCCCCAGAAUCAAUUUUUCAUGUACUAUUAAUAACAUGUGUAAGAGUUUUAAGGGCCUUACCUGGACUGACAGGGGUUGCAAUUUGCACUGAAGAUUCUUUUCUAAGAUCUGUAGUGGAUGUGGAUUCAACUACUGCAGUUUUAGAUCCCUGCUUGGUGUUCUUCUUUCGAGUAUCCCACCAGUCAGGAUAUCCAAUGAUUUUCAAAACAUUGUUCUUUCAUAUGACCCUUCUUCCUACAAUGAGUGCAAUGGAGUGAUGACUUAUCAACAAGCUUCCUUUGAGGUUGUUGUUGUGCUAUCAUAGCAGACGUUUCUGAGUCAACAUUCUUGUUUAGUUUGCUUUGCCGUACAUCUUCUCUUCGGAUAAGAGAAUAACAUUCUUCUAAGUCUGGGAUAAUAUCUUUUCAUAGAAUUUCUCCACGAACUUGGUCAAACUCUUCAUCUAGCCCAGCAAGAAAAAUGUGCACUCUCAAUCUUUCAACAGACCUUCUGUAUAUUACAACAUCUUCUGGAUCCUUCAUGACUACUUUAUCUCGGUGAUCGAGUUCUGGAAAUAUUUCGAUCAAUUCUCCAUAGAAUUUAGAGAGUGGUUGUCCAUUUUGCUUGGUAGAGAACGCCUUCUGGUUUAGAGUGAAAACUUGUAAUUCAUUGCUUCCAUCAUAUAAGGCUUUUGAUAAUGCAUCCCAGAUUUCGUAGGCUGUAGGAAUUCGUAAAUAUCGCUUCAUGAUCUCCGGAGACAUGAAUAUGAGUAACCAUCUUUUUACUUUUUGGUUCUUACUAUACCAUUUCUCAUAUUCCUUUAAAGAUUCCUCAAAUGGCUUUGUGUUGCUACGAAUAUAUGAGAGUUUUUCUCUUUCUCCGAGAUGCAUUUCCAUUAUUUGAGACCAAACAUCGUAGUUUGUCUCAGUGAGGAUAAUUCCAGCAUUAAAUACUCCAUCAGAUUGAACAGAUUGAAUGACAACAAGAGCAGAUUUAGUUGGAGUUUUCUCUAUUUGUUUUGUUUUUUUUCUCUUUUUUUUUGUUUUUUUUAGGCGUCUAUAUUGAAAUAAGAAAAAAUAACCUUUUUAGAUCAAAAACGACAAGUCGUUUGGCCUCUGCUUGAAGAAACGAUAUAUCGGUUCUGAUGGAAUGGAAACGACAUGUCGUUUUAAGACUGUUGCACUUCUGAAGAUUAAACAUCACGUCGUUUUGUCUCUACUUUACAAACGACAUGUCGGUUUUAAUGUAAUAUAAAACGACACGUCGUUUUAUGACUGCUAUACUCUGGAGAUAAAAAAUGACAUUUCGGUUGGAGUCUUCUUCAACCUCUAGAGCGCGUGAGAGCGCGUGAAAGAUGACAGAGGCGUGUGGUUGGCACGUGUUGGUUGGCCGUGAUUUCGGGUUGCGCGUGGGACUGUGUUUAAAUGUGAAAUUUUUACAGUUUGCUUACUGGAAACUGAGAAAUUUGAUGGUAUUCUUGGUUUUUUUAGGAACACUCUCUUGGAAAAUUUAUGGGAUUGUUGAUAAAUUUGUAAACUCAAGUUUUUUACGUAUAGGUGGCUUGUUUUUUGAUCGGCAUGGAUUUCUGUAAUGGUAAGGAUGAUUGAUGGGUGUCGAAGCCAACAAAAAUAAAUUCCUACUCUAAAUAAAUUGUGUAUAGUGAUUGAGCAGGGUCGUGUCCAUAGAGAUCGGUAAUUAUUUAAAUCCUUUUGAAACGUAAAACGUAAAAUGGGGGAAUUGUUGACAAUAAUAAAAAUCAAAUUGAAAUAAACAAGAAUGCAAAUUAAAGUUGUAAUUCAAAUUGGAGAAAGCUCUGGUUGAAGGAAUUAACUCAGCUUGAUUCGACUACUGAUCAUUGAUUCAAAUAUAGAUUAUUAUUAUUACUUAUGAAUAGAUCGGUUAUAGCUACUGAGACCCUCUAAUAGCCAAUCUCUCCUUAACUAGUCGAUAACCAAGGUACGACCGUUGGUUAUUUCCCUAAUCAAUAGACAACCCUAGAUACGAUCAUAGGAUUUAAUCAAUUGACAGCCUGAGAAACCAGAGAGACCCAAAUCCUAAUCAACACAUAUGAUGAUUCAUUUAAAUUAGAUUGUUUAUUCUCACAACACAACUCUCUGCUAUGUUAUUUGUCACAAACAUUAAAUUCUUCAUACGAUGAAUCCUUUAAUUGACAAUAGAUUAAGUUGAUAAUUAAAUAGUGGCCAAUUACCUAAUUAACAAACAUAAUCAUGAAAAUAAUUCAGAGAAUAAACAAAUACCCAAAAAGUAAUAAAACAAUUAAAGCACAAGAAAGAUCUCACAGUAGUGAUGAAUCAAAGCUUCAUUAACCUUCAACCAGAAAAAUGGGUUUAGUUCCUCAUAGAGAGAAGAGAAAAAUUAGAUCUAGGGUUUCUUUUUCUCCAAUCCAAAAAUCCCCCCCUUUUUUCACAAUAGAUUCCUCCCUUAAAUACUCUCUCUCUCUUCUCUUUUAGAAUUCUAUUUAAAAUAAAAUCCUAAUAUAUGAAAUAUUAAAUUCGUAAUUACAAAAAUUACCAAAAAUACAAAACACGUUAAACUAAAACUACAGGUCCGCAGUUGACAGCACGCGCCCACGCCUUAUCAACAAAGUUCUUCUGACGCUCAUAAUUUCUCCAAGAGAACAAUCAUCCUUAAACAUCAUCUUAUAGCUCAAUUUUAUCAUCAAUCAAUAGAAUUGCACCUACAAAAGUAAAACACAAGUAAAUCAAUAUUAUUAAGUGCAAAACAUUGAUAUUAAGGGAAGUAAAUAAUGCAAAACUAGUGCAUAAAUUGCACUCUAACAAUGAUUUUAAGGAAGAAAAUGGUGGAAAAAAUGGUUGUGGGAAGAAUUUGGUUUCCUCUGUUUUUGUUACAAACAGAGCAGCGAAACUUAAAGAAACUUGAGCGUAUUUAUGGCUAUGAUACCAUGAAGAAACUUGUUGUCAUUUCUUAAAUAAAACAUUAUACAUUGAGCGUUAUUUAUAAAUGCAGAGGCUACAUUUUUUCAAAGAUUACAUAUGUGAAUACCGAAGGAAAUGUGUUGAUCCGUUCGGCGUGGAUCGUGUCUUUGACAAGUGCAGAUCAUCCCUUUGACAAGUGCGGAUUAUGCCUUUGAAAACUUCCUUCAAUGCCGUUUUAUUUGACAUUCUCAACAUGUGAUUCUUGUUUUCUAUCGGGUUGAUCCAUCAGACGUGAGAAACCAAACAAGGAGUUUUGGGGAUUCAUUUUCAAAGCUUGAAGAAAGAUUUGAGCAAAAUUCGGAAAAGCUGCAGACAUGGAGAAAGGGAUCGAGAGAAGCAGCCGGUUUGUCUGGAUUUCAUUAUCGUAGCAUCAGGUGAAAAGUUACUUUUAAUUUCUCAUGCUAAUAUUUAACACUGUAAAUAAAAUUCACGCAUCACUCUUAGUUAAAUUUCCGGAUGCUUAACUACAAUUUUAAAUUUUCUUAGGUAUCAAAUUCUAGGCUUCUUGACUUCCCCACUUUUGAACCCCGAUAAUUAUGAAAGAGUUUUGAUAGAAUUAAAAGUAAAAGCCUGAGAAUUUUACAAUAUAUUUAACAAAAUUAAUGGUCGUCUGUCGUUUUUUAAGCAAUUUCAAUCUUUCACAUACCUCCAUCAGGAAAAAAAACUCACACAUAUUCCUGUAAUUUAAGAAUUAUUAAUUUAUAGGGAGAUUGUAGUGGUAUAUUAAUUUCAAUUGGAAAACUAGCAAUCUCCCUUAUUUCAUAUUUGAUGCAAAUCCCUCUUAUUUGAAGUCACUGCUGCUAAUAUUAUGUACUUGGUAGGCCUGAAUCAGGACUUAUAAACGAAGUUGUUAAUCACAUUUUGAAGAGACUGCUGGAGGAAGUGUUUCGGCCGCAAGAUAACAAAAACAGUUGGUUGGUGUUGAAUCAAGAGUUGAGGAAAUUGAAUCUCUACUAGAUGUUGAGUUGAAAGAUGUUUAUGCUUUAGGGAUUUGGGGCAUUGGUGGUACAGGCAAAACAACAAUCGCUAGAGCAAUUUUCGACAAAAUCUUUAGUGAUUUCGAAAGUUCUUGCUUCCUUGAAAAUCACUAAAGAUUUUCAAAUCACAAGAACUUAUUUCAAAUUAUUUCAAAUUUAUUGAAGGAUAAAACUGUGAUUCCUGAUAUUGGCCUCAAUUUUAGAAGGCUCAGCUGCAUGAAAGUUCUGAUUGUUUUUGAUGAUGUGACUUGCUUCAACCAAUUCGAAUCCUUAAUCGGAAGUCUUGAUUGGUUGACGCCUAUGUGUAGAAUCAUAAUAACCCCCAUAAAUAAACAAGUGCUUAGAAAUUGGGGGGUGAGGAAAAUAUAUGAGAUGGAGGCAUUAGAAUAUCAUCACGCUCAAGCUUUUUAGUCGACAUGCCUUCAAACAAAACCAUCCUGAUGUUGGUUACGAGCAACUUUCAAGCAAGGCAGUGAAAUAUGCUCAAGGUGUUCCUUUAGCUCUUAAAGUUUUGGGUUGCUUUCUAUAUAAAAGGGAAAAAGAAGUCUGGGAUAGUGCAAUAAAUAAAUUGCAAAGAAUCCUCCAUCCAAGUAUCCUACAGGUAUUAAAAAUAAGUUACGAUGGUUUGGACGAUAAGGAGAAAAAUAUUUUCCUUGAUGUUGCUUGUUUCUUUCAAGGUGAGGAUGUAAAUCCAGUAAUGAAAUUCCUUAAUGCAAGCGGCUUCUACCCAGAAAUAGGAAUAAGUGUUCUCGUUGAUAAGUCUCUUAUUGUCAAAUCAAACAACAACAAGAUAACUAUGCAUGAUUUGCUACAAGAAUUGGGUAGGGAUAUUGUCAGUCAAGAAUCAAUUGAUCCUGGAAACCGCAGUCGGCUGUGGCAUCAUGAGGAUAUCUACGAAGUUCUUACAUAUAAUACGGUAAGCAAUUUGAUGUGGAUUAUUACUUUGGAAUAUUCUAGCAUUUCCAAACUUUAUAUGGAUAUAUUUAUAUACUCUUGAAUUGAUGAAUCUAGAAUUAAUAGCAGAGUGACAAUGAUUAGAAAAAAUAAUAGUGGUUAUAAAUGCUGCGAUAACUUGUGUAAUUCUUUGUGAGGACAGUUUAUUUGUCAAUUUGUAUUGUAUCCCACAUGCGUAAAUUUCAUGUUUAGUAUUACUUGUAUUAUUAUGUUCCUUUGUGCGUUUGCAAUUAAGAGUUUCACUGCCUAGCAAUAACUAUAUAAACAUGAAUUACUGAAAUUUGAUUCAAGCAAUGAUAAAGAACUCCACUCCAAUCCCACCUUAAUUCCACACAAGAGUAAAAAAAUGUUGAAUUAAUAACUAAGUUACCCCUAGUUGUGAAUCAAUGUCAAACAUGCCCUUAAAUUUUGUCUUGGUGGGGUUGAGGUGCAAUUCAUUGGUGGGAUGUAAAUAUUAUUUUUCAUUUUUUUAUUCAUUAUUAGGGGACCGAUAAAGUUGAGGGCAUCUGUUUGAAUAUGUCCAAAGUGAAAGAGAUCCAUCUAAAUCCCAAUACAUUCACAAAGAUGCAGAAAUUGAGAUUUUUAAAAUUCUAUAGCUCAUCAUUCAACGAAGAGAACAAAUGUAAGGUGUCUUAUUUGGAAGACCCUAGAUUUACUGAAGUGAAGUAUCUCCACUGGCAUGGAUAUCCAUUGAAGUCAUUGCCUUCAAACAUUAGUGCAGAGAAGCUUGUGUUUCUUGAAAUGCCUAAUAGUAGCAUUGAACAACUUUGGGAUGGUAUGAAGGUAUGUAUAACUUAAUACUUUAUGUGUGCAAUCUUUGAAUAAUAACGUUAAGUUAUCAGACAUGGUAAUGAUUCCUCUUGGCCUCUUUUUUGACCAAGCAGGAUCGUGGUAAGUUAAACCAGAUAAUCCAUGCUACCUGCAAGAUGCUAAUUGCCAAAACUCCAAACCCCACGUUGAUUCCACAUCUAAACAAGCUAGUUAUCUUGAAUCUAAGAGGUAGCAAAAGCUUGAAAAGUUUUCCAGCUGGAAUAUUUAAUUUGGAAUUUCUUACCACACUUGAUCUUUCCGGGUGCUCAAAACUUAAGAGGCUUCCAGAGAUCUCAUCUAGUAAUAUAAGCUGCCUUUUUUUAAGUGGAACUGCAAUUGAAGAACUGCCUUCAUCAAUUGAGCUUCUACUUAGGCUGGGGUACUUGGACCUUUCAGACUGUAAAAGGCUUAAGAGUCUCCCAAGCAGCCUAUGUAAGUUGAAAUCUCUUGAAAUUUUUUAUCUCAGUGGUUGCUCAAAUCUUCCGAGAUUGCCCGAAUGUCUUGGCCAGUUGUCCUCUCUAGGAACAUUGCUUCUAGAGAAAACCAAUAUUGAGAGAAUACCAGAAAGCAUCGUCCAAAUUUCUGUGUUGACUUACCUCUACUUAAGCUAUUGUAAGAGGCUUCAAUCCUUACCAAAGGUUCCAUUCCUUGUACGAUGGUUAGAUGCCGAUAAUUGCACAUCGCUGCAAUCAUUAUCAGGUUUAUUCUCAAGUUCUGAAUCUUAUAUAUAAGCAGUGUUUUUUUACUAGAGCAAUAAUUUUAAAUCGGAUGGUAAUUCUACUGCAGGAAUUGUUGAAGAUGCCCUGCAGAGAAUUCAGCUUAUGGCAGCUGCCUAUUGGAAAGAAGUACAGGAAAAUGUGUGUUUUUAACUCUCUUCUUCCAAUUUUUUUUUUUUUGAGUUAUGAUUUUUUUUUUUUUACAGAUUGAUUUUCACAUGAACGGAGGUCAAAUCUUACUACUCGGGAAUGAAAUUCCGAAGUGGUUUAAGUUUCAAAGUGUGGGAUAUUUUAUAACCUUGGAGAUGCCACCAGAUUCCUUCAAUAAUAACCUAGUACUACUGGGCUUUGCAUUCAGUGCUAUUGUAGCAUUUUCAAACCGUCAUGUAGAUAAUGAUAGAUGGUGUUCAUUUUCUUGUGAAUUCAAAGUGAAAACCGAAGAUUGUGAUGCGCAUGUCACGCGGAGAUUUCUGAAGCGCCUUGCUUACGUGGAAUCAGAUCACUACUUUUGGGGUGCUAUUUUUUCAGGAGGAUGAUUUUAAUGGUUCUUGGAAAUACAAUUGCGUUCCUGAGGCAGUCCGCUUCUUUUUUGAUGAUUUUGAUCGUUUUCCACCUUUGGAGUGCGAGUGCUGCGGGGUGAAAAAAAAUGGGGUCCAUUUACUUUACAUCCCAGAUUCAAUGGAAGUUCCAAGCAGAUGUUUCAACUGUUACGAAGAAGACUAAGAUUUUCAAGAAUGUAAUUUUAUUUUUUCUCUUUUGCUAAUCACUAUUAAUAAUAAGAGAAAAAGCCAAGGUCAGUCUUGGAACAAAACAUGCAUGUAAUAAUUUUCGAGGGACGCGGUGCAUGUAACACAAAUUCACACUAGAGCAUUGAACUAUACCCUUAUUACAUGAAGGGUAUAAUGUACCGAAAGCACGUAUUUAGCAUUGUAAAAUUACUGGCCUUCUUUUCCCGCCGAUUUAAUUAAUCUACUUGGCGUGUUAUUUUUUUCCCUUUUUUUUUAAAUGCAAUUGUUUCAUUCAUCAUAUUUCUGAAUUUUUAUCCAUGAUUUUUUAAUUUUAUUUUUAUUUUUAUUGAUUGAAUAAGGUUUCCUUGACAAAUAUUCUCAAGCCUUAAGCGUGUUAGGAAAUUGUUGGGUGGCGCAGACACGCAGCUAAAGUAAAAUUGGUAGAAACAAUAAAGAACAAGCACAAUAGAGGACACAAGAAAUUACGUGGUUCGGCUUUUAGCCUACGUCCACGGGCGAAAACAGAAGGAAAUAUUUUACUAGUGAAAAGGAGUUACAAGUAUUGUAGUAUUUUAGCUCACUACCCAAAACCCCAAUACACCCAAACUCUCUCAAUCACUGUAACAAGAGCUUAUAAAUCCAAGCUCUUGAACUCUCUCUUGACUCCCUAAAUUGCUCUCUAAAUGGAAUGAAUAAGCUCUUCAUUUGCACUUGUAUUUAUAGCAAAACGUUGGCCAAGAAAGUCAAAGCCGUGGGUAUCAAAACUUCUUCAAAACCGUGUUCAUCAAAGUUUGGUGGGUGAAAACUGUGUUCAAUUUUCAAAGCCAUGUGCCACCAUUAUUUGUCAAAGCUUCUAGAUGCAGCCAUGCCAACCAUUCUUGUCAAAGCUUCUAGAUGCAGCCAAUUUUGACAUUCUCCCACUUGGAGAUUAAAUUGAAAAACAAUCAAUCUCCACACCAUCCUUUCUGCUUCGCCAUAAUCAUGUUGCCUACGUUUCUGCUAGGCCACAAGAGGAUCUACUCCAGAUAAACUUGUCAGCAUUGAUUGGCUUGGUCAAAACAUCUGCUAGGUUCUCCUUGGUAUGGAUUUUCUGCAAAUCCACAUUUUCGUCUUCCACUACUUCUCGAACGAAGUGAUACUGAACUCCUAUGUGCUUUGUCCUGGAAUGAAAGGCUGGAUUCCUUGCAAUGUGCAAGGCACUCUAACUGUCACUAAACACAGGAAUUUUCUGUUGUUUGUGCCCGAGCUCCUCCAAUAACCUUUGUAUCCAAAUAGCUUCCUUGCAAGCUUGUGUAGCUGCCAUGUAUUCUGCUUCUGUUGUAGAUAAAGCCACAACGGUCUGCAGUUUCGAAAUCCAGCUUACAGCUGCUCCCGCAAGUGUAAACACAUAACCAGUAGUGGAUUUUCUUUUAUCAAGAUCUCCAGCAAAAUCUGAAUCCACAUAGCCUCUGACAGUAAACUCUGAUCCUCCAUAACAUAAUGCAACAUCUGAGGUUCCUCUGAUGUAUCUCAGAAUCCUCUUCACAGAUAUCCAAUGUUCUCCACCAGGAUUCGCCAUGUAUCGACUGACUGCUCCCACUGCUUGUGCAAUGUCCGGUCUAGUACAUAUCAUAGCGAACAUCAAACUUCCCAUUGCUGAUGCAUACGGUACUCGAGACAUUUCCUUCCUCUCUGCUUCAUUGCUAGGACACAUACUUGAGGAUAAUUUGAAAUUGAUAGGAAGUGGGGUAGAAAUUGACUUACAAUCUUGCAUGUUGAAGGGCCGCAAGAUUUUCUUCAAGUAAUUCUUCUGUGAAAGCCAAAUCUUCCUGUUAUUUCUGUCUCGGUGAAUUUGCAUCCCUAGAAUCUUGUUUGCUGGUCCCAAGUCCUUCAUUUCAAACUCCCUAGCCAACUGUGCCUUCAAUUCUUGGACUUGAUCUUUGUUGGGGCCUGCUACCAACAUGUCAUCCACGUACAAUAGCAAAAUGAUGAAAUCAUUAUCCUCAAACCUCUUGUAAUAUGCACAAUGGUCUGAACUGAGUUUGUUGUACCCAAGGCUCAUGAUGAAGGAAUCAAAUCUCUUAUACCAACACCUCGGCGCCUGUUUGAGACCGUAUAGAGAUUUGUUCAACCUGCAAACCAAGUUCUCCUUUCCUGUUUCUGCAAAACCUUCUGGUUGGAGCAUAUAUAUUUCUUCUUCAAGUUCUCCAUGAAGAAAUGCAGUUUUCACAUCUAACUGCUCUAGAUGUAGGUCAAAUGUAGCAUACAUUGCUAAGACUAUUCUGACUGUUGUGAGUCGAACCACCGGAGAAAAUAUCUCGUUAAAGUCAAUACCUUCUUUCUGAGCAUAUCCUUUCACCACCAGUCUUACACGAUACCGCUCCACGUGAUGCACUUGUAUUUAUAGCAAAAUGUUGGCCAAGAAAGUCAAAGCCGUGGGUAUCAAAACUUCUUCAAAACCGUGUUCAUCAAAGUUUGGUGGGUGAAAACCGUGUUCAAUUUUCAAAGCCAUGUGCCACCAUUAUUUGUCAAAGCUUCUAGAUGCAGCCAUGCCAACCAUUCUUGUCAAAGCUUCUAGAUGCAGCCAAUUUUGACAAAGCAUAUGUAAAUAUUGCAGUAUGGCAUAUGUGUAUAGGAAUUUGAAUCAGGUGCACAUAUGCAUAUAAGAAUUUUGAUUAGGUGCGCAUAUGCAUAUAAGAAUUUUGAUUAGGUGCGCGGCGGGACAUGUAGUGAUUUCUUAUUAGCGCAGCUGUGUUGUGGGCCCAACAGCUCUGCCUAACACACCACUUGCGCACUAUAUCAACCCUCGUGUGUAUAACACAGUCACAUUUUCUUUAAUAUGGGAAAGUUCCAUCACGUGGAAGCAAAAGCCAUAGAGAGGCGACAAUGAAAACACCAUCAAAUCUUAUAUAUUUUAAAAAAUAUAUUUGUAUAUUGAUUGAAAAAGGAAUAGGAUAGGUGUCAUUUUCACUCAAAUCAUUUGUGUUGUGAAUCCGUUCGCUUAAACAUGUAUGCACUUUUUCAAGUAUCUAUACCAAUUCCAUAUUUGUAAUGGUGCAUUUGAUUCCACAGUUGAUGUGGUAUCGUCUAUGGCUAGAAUUUAUAUUUGCAAAACUGACUAAGGAAAGGAUUGAAGAUGCCUGUGAACUUAUAUUUCUAUUCCCGAUUAUUGUAUCUUUUUCAUGUAUAAAAUUGGAUCUUAUCAUUCUCAUAUCAUCAGCACAAGUGGAGAAUGUUAAUACCUCUACCAGUGUUUCAUCCACAGAUUCCUUAUUUGCAUAGAUGGACAGUAAAAUGUUGCUCAGUGUUUCCCUGCAGCACCAAUAUAUACACAUCAUAGAGUUUUUUAAUGUUUGACUCUAGUGUUUUAGGAUAAUGAACCAGUGUUUGACUGGAUCCUUAUUGUAGAAAAUAUAGCAGGUUUAUCGCAAACCUUUGUUACAAGAAGGUUAAUUAGGUGGUACAAGUGGUUCUUUCCAAGCAAAUUGAAGAAUAUCUGAUGUCCAAGAGGAAGUUAAAAUAACUAUACCUGGGGCGGCAAUAACACAAGCUAGGCUUCCAACAUAAUUACCUAUAAGCACAGUUGGCUUCCGAACAACUUCAUCCAAGAAAUCCUGUAUUAGUUGUAUUAAUGAGUCUAACUCAAGUUAGCAAGGACAAUAACUAAAGGUCAAGCUAUUGAUAAUAUAAGUACAGGAGUUGUGAUAUUUAACCAGUAAUAUAUCUCAUCAGCCCCCAUUAAUCACUUUAUCUGGUAAUAUAUCUCAUUAGCCCCCAUUAAUCACUUCAUGUAAAUAUAUAUUUUAUUCUUGUAUGAAAUGAUUUAAAAGGGUAAAUAACUAAUAAUUUUUAAUGUUUACGGAUGCUUACAAUUAUAUAUACACAAAAAUAAAUAGUAUAAAUAAUAAUACAUUAUCAAUAAAAAAUUCACAAAAAAGAUAAAAAUUAUUUUUUGUCUUCUGUGCCUUUUGUACUAAAUUUUGUUUAAUUUUUAGUAUAUAUAGAAUUAUUCUACGGAUGCGAGGAGAAGAAAUGUGGGAUCCAUUUAUUGUAAGUCCCAAAUUCUAACUUAUGAUCCAAGCUCGAGUUUCAAACUAAACCAACCCAACAUGAAAAAUUUGCAUUUUCUUACGGCUGAAAAAAUUACUUUGAAACAUGUAAUGUCUAUAUUAGUGAGAAUAAUAUUUAUAUUAGUGUAAAUGAAAUAUUUUUUUUUCUUAUUUUCCAUCUGACUAUUGGAUAGCUUUCAAAUAAUUAUAAUUAUUCAUAGUACCAAAUAUCAUAAUUAAUCAUCAAAUAUUGUUAUUCUCAAUAUUAGUUGAACUAGUGACUAAUAUUAAUGAUAUAAAUCUGCACUGCUUACAAUGCAUAAAUAAUGUACCAUAUAUUUGAUAUUUGGAUUAUACUCACAAAGAUUCUCUUACUCAAAUUACUUCAUACUAAUAUAUCACAAAUUAAUUAAAUUAUUGCAUACUUUGUUUAAUUUUUUUUUUUUUUGCUACAUUAUUAAAUUAUCGCAUGUAACAUAUUUGAUUUUGUGUUAUUACUAGUACUAUAGUUAAUGGUAGUUAAGGGAAAAUGAGAAUUACCUCCUACUGCCCCCCAAAGUUAUAACAGUAUUAGCUUUAUAUAUUAUUUCACUAUUCUACCCCUAGUCUUAAUGUUAGCUAUAAAAUUUAAAUAUUUUGAAAAUACAAAUCAAGUAAAAUAACUUAUAUACCCUGAAUGAUCAAAUUUUAUUUUAUAAUGGAUUGUAAUUAUAGAGAAAAAUUACAGGUAGGAAAAAUAUCAUUAAUAUCCCUAAUAGUUGUAAAUUAUCCAUUUAAAUUUGAAUAACAUUGUGUUGUGUGUGUGUAUAUAUAUAUAAUAUUAAAACAUGACAAUGUUUUAAUAUUAUGUUUCUAUUUUAUUAAAAAAAUUUGUUUAAUAUAAUAUAAGAUUAUAAAGUACUAAAAUAGUUUUUAUAUGUUGAAUUAUUUUAAAAUGUAUAUAUUGUUACAUUUAUUUUAAUAUUAUAUUUCUACUUAUUAUAAAACAUUAGAGUCAAUUUUUUUGAAUUAAUAAAGUCAAAAGGCAUUUUAGUCAAAAGAGGUUAUCGUGUCUCUUAGUGAAAACUCGGGGAUUUACAUUAUCAUUUUCCUAAACCUCAGGGAUUUACAAGAUCAUUUUCCUAAACCUCGGGAAGUGAACUUUUCAUAAUUUAUGCUUAAUUGAAUAUAAUUAAAAUUUUAAAGUAUAAUAUAUUAAUUUGAGUAGUACUCACUUAUAAAUAGAUAUUAUAUAAUUCAUGUAGUAAUCAAUGUAAAAUAUGAUGUAUAAUCAAUUAUUACAAAUUUAUUACACUAUUAGUAUACAAUAAAAUAAACUAUCACUAAAAUAUAACAAUUAAAAAUAAGGCAACAUCAAUUAAGGUAGAAAUUAUGUAUCCAACUAUAUAAGUAUAUUGAACAAUGGACUGAAUAGAGAGAAGAGAACAACUUUGUUUCACACUCUCAAAGAUUGCAGAAACAAUUGGCCUUUGUUUCAACAAAAAAUCGGUUACAAUUGCCUUUUUGUUCAUGCCAUAUUGCCACCAGCACAAUUCAACAGAACAAACCCUCCAACAAGUGUUUGACUGGAUUCUCAUGGUAGAAAAUAUAGCAGGUUUAUUGUAAAAUAUAGAUACCAGAAAGGCUAAUUAGGUGCAAGUGUUUCUUUGUAAGCAAGAUGAAGAAUAUCUGAUGUGGACGAAGAAGUUAAAAUAAGUAUACCUGAGGCAGCAGUAACACAAGCUAUGCUGCCAACAGAAUUACCUAUAAGCACAGUUGGCUUCUGAACUUCAUCCAAGAAAUCCAAUAUUAGAUGUAUCAGUGAGUCUCACUCCAGUUAGCAAGGAAAAUGACUAAAGGUCAAGACAUUGAUGAAAUAAGUACAGGGAAGAUCCAACUUCUGGCUCGGGAACAUGCGUUCCUGUGCCCAUGCCUCCAUGGUAUAUGAAAAACCAGCUGGCUUAUCUGAAGCACCAAAGCCACGAAGGUCAAUUGCACAAACCGUGUAGCUCUUUUCCAGGGUGCCAAUAUUCCUGAAAUUACCUCAGAGUUGACAAGAAAAAUUAUCAAUUCCUCACAUUAUUUAAUAGGAUAAAGAAGUAGUAAACACGCAAAUCUUCCUUCCCCUCUUCUACGGAGCAUGAAAAUGACUAAUUACAAUUGAAAAUAAGCAGAAGAUAACUUGAAUUGAAUUCACAAUAAGGAGCUAAAUUUUUAUUUACCCAACAAUCAUCUUGCUACAUAAUUCACAACAAGAAAGAACAAUCUUGUUUAGCUAAUCUGCGCCAGUGAGGAAUGGAGGCACCAAAGCCAUGGACAAGGAAUAGAGGAGGAGAAUGGGGAUGUGAAUUUGGAAUUAAAAAAACCAAGUAAUUGAUGGAGUAUUGGCCCUUCAAUUUCCACAUUGUGCUACUCCUUAUCUCAUUAACCUCCAAUUCCAAUGCAGCAGCAAAAGAAGAAUCCCCUCCACUGCUACUGUCGGUAUAACUGAUAGUAACAUUUUUUCUCUUUUUCUUCUCCUUAUUCCUCAGCUGCAACUGCAACUGAAACCGCCUACUCUUAUUGCUCAAUACGGGCAUGCGCAGGCCUUUUCUAUUUCCAUCUCCAAUUCUGAGUGUUGUUAACUUGUUAUUGAAAUAAUGGGAAAUUAUUUCCCGAGCCCUUGCUAUAAACACACUCAUUCUUUUCUUGCUUUUUCAAUUGAAUAUUUUCUGUGGCCUGGCCAAGCCUGCCCCUCCCCUGCUUCUACCUCUAUGAGACUAUGAACAUCAGGUGCUUUUCUAAAAUACUCCGUGUGAUGGUAUCUCCGCCCAAUAACUUUUGCAAACCCAUCUCAUUUUUAAAAAAAUAUUAUAAAAAGUAUAUACGAUUUUUAAAAAUCUUCAAAUAAAGAAAAACUUUAGAGGAUUAAUUAAUUAAAUCUAUUUUAAUUUAUUUUUUUGUGACUCAAUUUUUUUAUUACAUUUGACUACAAAGAUUGCUUUGGUGUAAGUUUAAAUGGACUAUUUUACUUUUAUACAGUAAAACUAACAAGAAUUUACUUUAAUAUUUUUCUAAUUUAAUAUCAAAUUCAUUGUUUCUAAUACUACUUUAUUAGUAUAAGUAUUAAUCUUUAAUUAAACUAACGUAGUGUCUUUAUAGCAUAAUACUCAUGUAAAUAAUUGAGAUGUCAAAUUUAUGUCAUCAUCCGUUAAUUCUAAGUAAUUCUUCUUCUUCGAAGAAGUUGAAGAACAAUUGCCAUUGGGGCUGCAAUUGGAAGACAAGAACAGAGGCUGAUAAUUCCAGCAACACAUUCUUAUAGUAGGCCCGGCCCAAUCCAGCCAAGUUGCGCAGGUGAGCGACUUCUCGCCUACCUUAUAUCCAAUGAUGAUGUGCUGGUUGGAUGUAGUUUAUCUAAUAAGUGUUUAUUUAGGGCCAGUUUGGGAUUACGAAAGCUGAUAACAUAACUUGCUUGUACUGUGUAGGUAAAAUAAAUAGUUGAUUAAAAAAAUAUCUUGAUGUUUAGUAAAUUGUGUUGGUAGAGUACAUGCUUUUGGUAAAUUUUAUUAUGAAAAUGUUGUUUUAUUAUAUGAUUAUCAAAAUAGACAUAAGUUUAAAUUACCUUUUAUUUUUAGAGUAUGUUUAAUAAAUCGUGUAGACGUACCUUUUUUUUCUUAAAUAUGUAAAAUUACAUUAAAAAACUCAAUUAACAACAUGGAUGUAAAAGCAAAAGCAUGGAUAUAGAAAAAAUAUAUAUAUUGAAAAAAAUGAACUUACUAAAUAAAAACUAGAUAUAAAAAAAUAUGAAUAUAUAUAUAUAUAUAUAUAUAUAUAUAUAUAUAUAUUAAACCUUAAAAGCCAUAGUUAUGGAAUUACAAUUUGAACUUAUUGGAUAAGAACUAGAGAUAACGUACGUGGUUAUGGCGGUAAUAUGAUAUCUAAUAGUUUAUUUAUUAAGGUUUAUAAAUAAGUAAGAUAUAAUUGUCCUUUUAUUAAAAUAUUAGGGUUAUAAUAGAAAUUUUUAAAAAAGUGUUGGAGCUUAUUGAAUAAGCUGCUUAUGAAAAGUAACCACCUACUUGCUUUUAAAAGCUGCUUAUAAAAUAGAGAAAAUAAUUAAAUAAGUUGCUUUUACAAAAUUUAGCAAAUACUAUUUUUGUCAAAACUUAUGAAAUAAGCAGCUUAUUAAAUUUCAACCUCGAUACUAAACGGGACCUUAAUCUUAUAAGUUUUUUUCAAAUUUUUUAUUGUUAUUUAAUUAUUUUUUUGAGUAGCACUUUUAAAGACUAAAUAAGAUAUUUUGCAUCUACUAAAAAAAACUCAAAUUUUAGGCUUGUGUUAGUAAAGGUUGAAAAGCUUAUUUAAAAUUUUAAAAUGUUUAAAAUAUUCUUUAUUUAUUUGACAAUCUUAUUUCAUUUUUUUAUAACAUAACUUUAAGAAAACUUGUCUAUUAAAUUAAUUUUAUAAUUUGUAAUAAAAGUUUUUGUUAACAACCAAACAAUUAAAUUUCUUUUUAGUAACUGUAGUUCUAAAAGUUCUACGGACAAAAUGUCUAAUUAAAUAAGCUCUAUUUAAAAAGUUAUACCAAACGAACCUAACAGUAUCAUUGACGCAAGCAAUGUUAUUAUUCUAUUAUUUUUGAACUCAUGGUGGCUCUGUAUCAUUUGCAAAAUAUUGUUAUAAGGGAGAGGGAUAUAUAUAUAUAUAAUUUAUGUUGGAAUAUUCUCAAAAUAAAUGGCGUGCCUUAAAAGGUGUCUUAUUGAAAAAUACAUCUAACCAAAUAUUGUCUUAUACAAGAAAAAUGUAUCUUUUUUUUUUUAAGAUGUAUCUAUUCAUGGUGCCAUAUUUUUAUUUGAAAUGAUGAAGGUUUAUUUUGGACCAAUGAUGAUUUAAUUCAAAUUUAAUCCAAUAACCAUGGAUAGAGGGUGUCAUAAAAGGUAACAACCCAAAUGAAGGUGCACAUGAUUAUCUACAAAUAGAAGUCACGCCAUUUUCUAUAAAUAGAAAUUACGCCAUUUUGUGAUCCAUAUAAUCUUCUUACACCACUCUUUUUUUCUUUUCUUAUUUUAACCCCUCUUUCCUAAAAUGAAUUUAUGCAUAAUAAAUCUAUAUUUUUUGCAACAAAUCUCUAAUAUAUUAUUUUUUGCGGGAACAUUAUAUUGAUUUUUCGUAGGCUUACAACAUACAAGGGUAUUUAGGUUUGCUUUUGUUAGUGCAUAAUACAGGCAAAUAAAACAAGCACUUCAUUAUAUCAUAGUGGCAUAUUGGCUUACCUGAUGUAUAUUACUCAAUUGGAGGAGGAGGGAGUAACUAACGUCUUGAGGAAAGCAAUAUUGUGUCUCGCAACACUGUCAAUUCUUACAUUUUACUAUUAUUAUUAUUAUGAUUAUUAUUCUUUGUACCUACAAAGUUUCAUCAAUUAUUUCUGCAGUUUUCCACAAUUAUGAUUCCCCACGAAUAUAUUUCCAAUAUUUUAUUUCACAUAUUUACUUCUGCUACUAGUAUGAUAACAAUAGAUGCCUUUUUGAACUACAUCAGUUUCUAGAUCCAUUUUAUUGAUAAACUAACCGAACGAACCAUCCAUUAUUUAAUUUAUGGGUCAAAUAAGUCAUAAGUAGUUGAAAUAAAAUGUUCGUUUGGUAGAUAAUGUCGAUUUUUAAAUUAGUUUAAAAGAUUUUCAAACAUAAGAUACAAUAUUAUACAAUUGAAGCCUAGUCCAACAGAGAAAAUCAAAUAAUGAGGAAAAUAUAUGAGAUGGAGGCAUUAGAAUAUCAUCACGCUCUUGAGCUUUUUAGUUGACAUGCCUUCAACCAAAACCAUCCUGAUAUUGGUUAUGAGAACUUUCAAGUAAGGCAAUGCAAUCUAAUUAAUCGUCUAAGGAGGGUACUAUGCUACAUUUAGCCAUUGGUUGAAUAGGCAGCUUGUCUUCUAGUACAACUUUAAAUUUACCAAGAUUGAGAAUUUUCCUUCUGAAGAAAAAUAAUUUCUAUAGCAGCUGUUACCAUCUUCAUCCCAAAGGUAAGCAGCUCCAUACUAAGGAAAGAGUGAAAUAGGUGUGCUUUACUUAUAGAAGCCCGUUCCUGUCCAGAGUGAUUAGUAAGUUGUUUCACCACAACGCCCAUUAUGGUGACUGAAAAAAGAAAAAAAAUAUAUAUAUAUAUAUUUGCCCAACACAGAAGUAGCACCCAAGAAGUCCUACUUAAGAGGCUUCAUACCCUGCACAAAUCGGAAAGUUUUUUAAAAUUUUCAUGUUCCAAAUGAAGAUGGCCCAUUAAAAAAUUACACACAUAAUGUAUGUAAAGCAAUUAAAACAGAAAAACAAGGAUAACCCAGAAACAAUCCAACCAUCAAUAACAUAAAACUUUUGUAAAUCUGAUAAAGUGAAUGAGAAGCAGAACAUACAUUUCACUUAAUAAUGAAAGAUACAUCUUUUAAUCAGUUUUUGCUCUUGCUUUAUUCUCGUACGUCCUUCCAAUAACAAUUUAUAAUGCAGGUAGGUAUCUUGAAAAAUUAUAUCAUACAUUUCUCGUAUCAAUGGGGCAGGUUGCUAUUGAACAUUAUUCAUAAACAAAGAGCCAAAUAUGCUUUAACGCUACUUGCAAUUAUGCCAUCAGGCAUUGACGAAGAAGAAAGAAGAUAACAAUUUUAAAUUAACCAACAGGUUGAAUCUUAUCGUAAUACACACUAUCAGAUUUGAAUUAGCAUACCUUAGAAGUCCUGAACUCAUUCACGGCCAUUCGAAGAGAAUCAUCCGAUAGAAUCAACCGUGACAACGCUCCAGUGCUUAACCUGCUACAUUUAUUAAAGAUCACCAUAUGAGAGAAAUUUUAAAUUAAAAAAAUAUUGGAAACCUAAACGCCAAUCAAACACAUUACAUAUAGCAAUUUCUCUUUUUAAAGUUCAAUUAUCACUUGAUAGAGUAUUAAGUUUAAUGCAAUACCCCAAUAAUUUUGCAGCUUCUGAUACAGAUCCCUCGACUGCGAAAAUUAGAUCAAGCAGAGCUUGCAUUCCCUGUAGUCAACCAAAAAAAAAAAAAAAACAUUACUAUGACUUAAAUUUUAAUAGAAAACAAAAAACGAAGCAAGAGUGAAUAGAGUAAUACCAAAGCAAAUUUAGGAUUGUUAGGUCCAAUUUGUGGACCAACUUCUGAACUUCUAAUAGUAGACUUAGGAGGAAGGAUUUGAAGAAGCUGCGGCGGCGGUGAAUACGCAUCAAGAGUCACACUGCUCCUCACUUUGAGGGCCAAGAGAGUGCGGAGGCGCGACAAAGCUAACGCGUGAUUCUUGUGCUGUGAUCGGUCUUCGGCGGGCUGCGCUAUGACGCCGGUCGGUACGUGCUUGAGACGUACGGCGGAUUCGCGCUUGUUGCGGUGCUGACCGCCUGGUCCGGACGAUUUGUACGUGUCUAUUUCGCAUCCGCGAAGCAGCUCAUCGUCGGUCAAUUCUAAGUAAUUCUUCGAAGAAGAAGAAGAAGAAGAUGAAGAACAAUUGUCAUUGGUGCUGUAAUUGCAAGACAAGAACAAUGGCUGAUAAUUCCCGCGAUGCUUGUACGACGGAAAGUUUAUAUUUUUACUUCCGAGUUGGGGAAUCCGAAGCAGGAAUUGAGCGGCCAGCGCCAUCAUCAAUUUCAAUUUCCCUCACGGUGAAUGUGGUAAUCCAAGCAAAGCUUCGUUCUAGUAACACAUUCUUAUAGCAGGCCCAGCCCAAUCUUAUUUUAUUAUUUUUGAACUCGCGGUGGCUCUUUAUUAUUGGCAAAAUACUCAUGUAAGGCAGAUAAUAUAUUCUAUAUUGGAAUAUUUUCAAAAUAAAUGGUGCUUUAAACAGGUGUCCGAUUGUAAAGAUAUGUCAUAUGUCUAAUUAAACAGUGUCAGAUAUAAUAAAAAUAUAUCCUUUUAUUUAAAGAUGUAUCUAUUCACGGUUUUAUGCUUCAAUUUGAAAUGGUGAUGGUUUAUCUUGGAUCAGUGAUGAUCUAAUUCAAAUUUUGAUUAAAUAAUCAUAAAUGAAAAACUAAAUUUGCAAUGUGUCUCGAAGCACCAUCAAUUCUUACCUAUAUUUUAAUUAAAAUAAGAGUGAAACUAUUGGCACUCAUUCGUUAUUCUUAUAAAACCUUAUUUCAAAUAAAAUUACAGUUAAGGGCAAAGAAGAAAUAAACACAUGUAGGAUUUUUUUUUUUUCCCAACAAAUUACUUACAUUAAUAAUCAAUCUCCUUUUUUUUUUUUUAAUUUCUUACCAUUAUUUCUUAUCUAACUAAGAUAAAUUGUAUAAAUCUAGCAUAAUCUAUUUUUCUUUUCCUAUUUCUUAUUGAUUAAAUAUUUUUGUACUCAAGAUUACUUUCAAACUACAAUCUAAAAUAUGUGUUAUUUAAGCUAAUGAUUAGCAUUCAAACUUUAUCACCUAGAAAACUUUUUAAUUUGUAUGUAGGAUAACAAUAAGAUUGCAAAAGAGAUGAAAAAUAGCACAAUACUACUUUGAGUUUUAACAAUAAAAAAAGAUUAAAUGAAAAACUAAAAGAGCGUCAUUGAAAAUAAAAGGAAAUUUUUGGAAAUAAAAUAAAUAUAACUGAAAAAAAAGGUUUGAUGAGGAGACUAGACGGGUGCCAAUAGUCCAACUUUUAAAAUAAAGUUUUAUCAAUUAUUGAUCCCUUUUUCUGCAAUUAUUAUUCCCCACAAAUAUUUCUCCAACAUUUUAUUUCAUAUACUUACUUCUACUAUACUCUAACAAAAGACGCCUUUUUGAACUACAUCAGUUUCUACUUUCUAGAUGCAUUUUAUUACUAAAUUAAAUAAAGGCACCAUCCAUUGUUCAAUUUCUCUAUUUUUUUUCUCUAAAUAACCACUUUCUGUCAGCUCUCUUAAAAUUUAUUAAGGAAUCUAUGUUGAAGACCAUUUCAUCCUUAGUAUUGUGUAAAUGUAUAAAAAUACAUUUUACACUUUGAAAUUUAAAAUGACCUUCUUUUAGCACAAAAUUUUAAAACAAAUGCCUCUAACUAAGCGACAAAUUUUAGAAUCAUGAUAAGUACCAUAUCUGCCAUAUAAAAAGUGAAUCAUACUAUGAUACAUGUACAUUUAUUUUGAAAAAUCAUAUUUGAAACAUCAUCACGUAAAUAAUGGUUAUAUUGAAUCUAAGUAAGUGCAUAUCAUACAUGACACAACCCGGCCCAGCCUCUCUGCUGGAUUCGAGGUGAAUCAUGUGAUCUUAUAUCUAAAGCUUGUGAAAUAAAUUUAAUUCAUGAAUGCAUAACACUAGUCUCGGCCUUUGUUAUAAACAUAUAAUAACAUAUGUGACUCAUUCAAAAAUAUAUUCAAAACUUGAACAGUUUACAUCUUACUGUACAUACAUACACUUUGGAUAUAUAUAUAUAUAUAUAUAAACAUAAACAUGCUCAAAAUAUAAGUUAUGCAGUAAUGCGUAUCGUGGCCCAACCUCAACUGAUUAGAAACUAAACUGCACAAAAUCCUAUGAAAAUCUUAAAGAAAUGGGGUAAAUAAGAAAAUAGUAUACUUGUGGGUAAAUGAAUGGAUAUAAUUAUAAUUAUAUAUAUAUAUAUAUAAAUUAGCGCUCUAGUGCUCGUACAUAAUUGUAUGACAUAACUUCGCACUAAACGCAUUACACAAGCAAACAUGAAAUCAUAUAUUUAUACAUGAUAAAACUACACCAAAUAAUAUCUAGGAGAAAUAACUCUUAAUACUCAUUGGAAUCAUCAUUGCACAAGUAAAGUAGGGGAAACACCUCUCAAUACUCAGCAGAAUUAACUACAUCACAAGGGCCGAGUAAUCUAUAUGGUAUCUGGCAAUCACAUCUCAUUAUUCAAUCAAUCAUAUAAUAUGAGUACAUAUAAUCAUGACAUGAUACUAAAUCAUACUAACAAGCAUAAAUACAUUGUAGGAUACAUAUAAGUAAUAAUAGUAAUCCACUCACAAAACAAUUUUCACUCCGGGGUUUGUUGGAGCUCCUAUAGAUUCCUUAAUUCUUGGAUUUCUCCUAAAAUAUAGGGUUAAAAAAUUAACUGUCAGAACUGAUAUAAAAACUUUUACAUAUGACAUAAACUAAAUCAUAAUUGUUCAAAUUUCUUAAAUACGUUACCUAUUGACUUAAUGGAUAUAGAUAUAACUGUCCAACUCUCUUUCCUAUAAUAUUUCCUCUCAAUUCCUCUUUUCAAAAUUAUUUUUCACUCUCGGUUUUUCUUUUCUUUAUUUUUCCUUCUUCAUCUUUUAUUCUUCUGUUCUUUUCCUCUUCUUUCUUCAUCUUUUCUUCUUUUGUUCUUUUCCUCUUCUCUUUUCCUUUUGUUUUCUUCCCUUCUCACCUUUUCCUUUCUUUUUCUUUUCUCUUUGAAUUGCUUUGUUUUAGUUUGAUUCUUGAAAAUGGUGACAGUUGCUUCAAUUCUUUACUUCAUAUAUAUCCAUUGCCUCCAAUCAUGCAUGACAAGCACAUAGCAUGCAUGUGCUUUGCUUUAAGCCGACAGUUUGCUAAUUAGCCACAUGUGCUCCCUUUUGGCUUGCAUGUACGUCACAAUAUAUGCAUUAAUUAGUUGUAUUAUUUUUAAUGUAUUAUAAAAUUUCUUUUAAUGAAUGACGUAGUUAACAAUUUUAACCAGUUAAAUAUGUUGUUUGACAUAUAAUACAGUUUAUGGUCAAACAACUUAUAAGUAGUUGAAAUUAAAUUAUUUUUUAAUCUCAAUUUUCCUUUUCUCUCAAUUUUAAAAUAUUUUAAAAGAUUUUCAAACAUAAGAUACAAUGGUAUACAAUUGAAGCCUAAUCCAACAUAGAAAGAAUAAAUAAAAUUAAUUUUCACCACUACUCAAGAGACUUGAAAGGACAUUAAGGUAGUGUUUAUUUUUUUUAUUUAAAAUAUGAAUAGGUUAGAAUUUGAUUAAAAGCUGAAUGGCUUUGAAUAUAAAUGUUUCAAUAACAUGUUUAUUUUUUUAAUAUCUAAAAAUUAAGUGGCAUCUUGUUCGUUUUUAUAAUAAAAAAAAUAUUAAAUGUAGUUAUUUAACAUUUAUGUCCUUAUAAGUCAAAACAAAUAAAAGGGAUUAGGUUUCGUAGUUUAUGAAAUAAUUAUAUUGAAUUGAAAUAUUUUUAGAAUAUAGUAUUUAUUUUCCAUUCAAACAUUUUUUUAUUUCGGCAAAGGUUACAAAAAUUUACUUUUUUAAUUCAAAUGUAAAUAUCUAAAAAUCAAAAAAAUAAAAUAACUAAUUUUUGCUUUUAAAAAAAAGUUAAACUUUAUAUGUUUAAAAUAAACGCUAAGGAACAUGAAUAAGAGCUAUUAAAACAAAAAAAAGAAUAAUUUUGAAACUAAAUACAAUUAAUUGAGAGAUGAGGAUCGAUAAGAUAAAUUCAUAGAUAAAAAUUAAAAUAUCAACCCUACUUAUUGCUAGCAGUUAUGAGCAUUAAAGAACAGAAGCCGUGUGUUAAUAAGUAUGGUGUUCGUGCGGAAUUCUCAAUUUUAAUAUAUAUAUUUUAAAAAAAAGUUAGACUUCAUAUGUUUAAAAUCAACGCUAAGGAACAUGAAUAAGAGCUAUUAAAACAAAACAAAAAAGAAUAAUUUUGAAACUAAAUACAAUUAAUUGAGAGAUGAGGAUCGAUAAGAUAAAUUCUGAGAUACAAUUAUUGCUGGUAGUUAUGAGCAUUAAAGCACAGAAGCCGUGGGUUGAAAAGUAUGGUGUUCAUGUGGAAUUUUCAGCUAGAAGUCUACAAAGCAGUUGAAUUAAUCAAUCACCGUGGAGUGCACGGUGCUUGGACAGUGAGAUGAAAUUGAAAAAUUAUCACGGAACUUGAAGGAAGGUUCAUGGCAUCGAUUUAUUCUACAGAGUCGCUCACAUUUGGUUCAAUAAUUGUUUUCAUCCGAAUCAAAAUCUCUCUCUAAUCAAUUCAACUGUUUCUGUUGAUUAUGGCUUCUUCUUAUCGAAACAACAAGAAGUAUGAUGUUUUUGUUAGUUUCAGAGGAGAGGACACCCGGGACAACUUUACUAGCCAUCUCUAUUCUGCUCUGAGUCGACAAAAUAUCCAGACUUUCAUUGAUGACCAACUUAACAGAGGAGAUGAAAUUUCGGAGUCACUUGUGAAUGCAAUUGAAGCAUCAGCCAUUUCAGUUAUCGUCUUCUCUGAAUCAUACGCUUCUUCUAGAUGGUGUCUCGAUGAACUUGUAAAGAUCCUCGAGUGCAAGAAAUAUUAUGCACAAAUUGUGAUUCCGGUUUUCUAUCGGGUUGAUCCAUCAGACGUGAGAAACCAAACUGGGAGUUUUGGGGAUUCAUUUUCGAAGCUCGAAGAAAGAUCAAAGGAGAAUACUGAGAAGCUGUGGAGUUGGAGGAAUGCUUUGAAGGAAGCAGCCAGUUUCUCCGGCUUUCAUUCUCUUAACAUCAGGUGAAAAGUUACCUUCAAUUUCUCAUACUAAUAUUUAACAAUAAAUAAAAUUCAGGCAGCACUCUUAGUUAAAUUUCCGGAUGCUAAACUACAAUUUUAAAAAUUUUUAAGCAUCAGAUUCUAGACUUCCUGACUUCCCCACUUUUGUGCUCCCAUAAUUAUAAAAUAAUUUUGACAGAAUUAAUAAUAAAAGCUCGAGAAUUUUACAAUAUACAUCUAACAAAAUUAGUGGUGGUCUGUCGUUUUUUUAAGCAAUUGCAACCUCACUCAUGUACCACCAUUAGGGAAAAAAAGGAAAUUAUCAUUGCACCACCUUCUUUUUACCUAUUGUACAUCCAAUCACUACAAAAUUCUAACAUAUUCUUUGCACCACCUUUUUUUUUUUUAAUUUGAAUCAAUAAGCCACUUUUGCACUAACACCAUGAAAUAAUUUAAAUGAAAUGAUCAUUUUUCCCUUAAAUAAAUUAAAAGACCAUUUUUAUUUUAUAAAAAAUAUGAAAAUAAAAAUUAUAAUUAUAAAAAUACCCCUAAAUUUAAUUAAAAAUAAAUCCCAAAAUUGCAAUUUUUAUUUUUUAAUAAAAAUUAUUUUAGUAAAAAAUUAUAAUUAUAAAAAUAAUUAAAAAAUUUUGGGAUUUAAUAAAAAUCCCCUAAAUAAAUUCAGUUAUUUUAAUAAAAUUUUACAAAAUUAUAAAUUUUUAAUAAAUAAAUUCAGUUAUUUUUAUUAAAAUAUUGCAAAAUUAUAAUUUUUAAUAAAAAUAAUUAUUAAAAAUUUGUCAAAUCUAAAUUUAAUAAAAAUUAGCUGAGCACCUCUAUUUGGGAUUUAUUUUUUAUUAAAUUUAGGGGCAUUUUUAUAAUUAUAAUUUUUUUUUGAAAACUUUUAUAAAAUAAAAUGAUCUUUUAGUUUAUUUAUGGGUAAAUUUAUCAUUUUUUAAAAAUUAUUUAACAGUGUUAGUGCAAAAGUGGCUAAUUGAUACAAAUUUAAAAAGAAAUGUGAUGAAAAGAAUAUGUUAGAAUUUUAUUGUGGUUGGAUGAACAUAAGACAAAAGAGAGGUGGUGCAAUGAUAAUUUCCAAGAAAAAAAAACUCACACAUAUUUUUUUAAUUUAAGAGUUAUUAAUUUACUGGGAGAUUGUAGACUAGUGGUGGUAUAUAUUAAUUUGAAUUAGAAAACUGACAAUCUCCCUUAUUUCAUACUUAAUGCAAAUUCCUCGUAUUAAUUUGAAGUUACUUUGGCUAAUUUUAUGUAUUUGCUAGGUGUGAGUCGGAACUUACAAAUGAAGUUGUUAAUCACAUUUUGAAGAGAUUGGAUGAAGUGUUUCAGCCCCGUGAUAACAAAAACCAGCUGGUUGGAGUGGAAUCAACAGUUGAGGAAAUUGAAUCCCUAUUAGGUGUUGAGUCGAAAGAUGUUUACGCUUUAGGGAUUUGGGGCAUUGGUGGUAUAGGCAAAACAGCAAUUGCUAGAGCUAUUUUCGACAAAAUCUCGGGUGAUUUUGAAGGUUCUUGCUUCCUCGAAAAUGUUAGAGAUGAGUCACAAAGACCAGGAGGAUUAGCUUGCUUACGACAAAAACUUCUUUCAAAUUUAUUGAAGGAUAAAAAUGUGAUGCCUUAUAUUGACCUCAAUUUUAGAAGGCUCAGCCGCAUGAAGGUUUUGAUUGUUUUUGAUGAUGUGAUUUGCUUCAGCCAAUUAGAAUCUUUAAUUGGAAGUCUUGAUUGGUUGACGCCUGUGAGUCGAAUCAUAAUAACCACCAGAAAUAAACAAGUGCUUAGAAAUUGGGGGGUGAGGAAAAUCUAUGAGAUGAAGGCAUUAGAAUAUCAUCACGCUAUUGAGCUUUUUAGUCGACAUGCCUUCAAACAAAACCAUCCUGAUAUUGGUUAUGAGGAACUUUCAAGCAAAGUAAUGAAAUAUGCUCAAGGUGUUCCUUUAGCUGUUAAAGUUUUGGGUUGCUUUCUGCAUAAAAGGGAAAAAGAAGUCUGGGAAAGUGCAAUAGAUAAAUUGCAAAGAAUCCUCCAUCCAAGUAUUCUUGAGGUAUUAAAAAUAAGUUAUGAUAGUUUGGACGAUAAGGAGAAAAUUAUUUUCCUUGAUGUUGCUUGUUUCUUUCAAGGUGAGGAUGUAGAUCUAGUAAUGAAAUUUUUUAAUGCAAGUGGCUUCUACCCAGAAAUAGGUAUGAGUGUUCUUGUUGAUAAAUCUCUCAUUGCUAUUGAUUCAUACAACAAGAUAACAAUGCAUGAUUUACUACAAGAAUUGGGUCGGGAAAUUGUUCGACAAGAAUCAACUAAUCCUGAAGACCGCAGUAGGCUCUGGCAUCAUGAAGAUAUCUAUGAAGUUCUUACGUAUAAUACGGUAAGUAGUUUGUUGUGUGUUAUUAUUUUGGAAUCAUGUAGUGUUUAAAAACUUGAUGUGAAUAUAUUUACAUACGCUCGCACUCGUGAGUCUUAGAAUUAAUGGAAGAGUGGCAAUGAUUAGAAAAAACAAUAGUGGUUAGAUGACGUAGCAAUAAAUUAUAAAUGCGAUGACAAUUUGCAUAACCGUUUGCAAGCAUAAUUGAUGUGUAAAUUUGUCUACUACACAUGCAGAAUUUUUAUGUUAAUUAUUACUUGUGUUAUUAUGUUUCUUAACUGCGUAGCAACAACUAUAAACAUGAAUUAUUGAAAUUUGAUUGGAGUACUGAUAGAGAGCCCACCUCCAAUCCCACAUAAACUCCACCAAAAAUUUGUCUUGGUGGGGUUGAAGUGCGAUUUUUGGUGGAAUGUGCACAUCAUUUUUCAUUUGAUUUUAAUUUUAUUUAUUUAUUUAUUUUUAGGGGACAGAAAAAAUUGAGGGCAUCUGUUUAGAUAUGUCGAAAGUCAAAGAGAUAUGUUUAAAUCCCAAUACUUUCACAAAGAUGCCUAAAUUGAGAUUUUUAAAAUUCUAUAGUUCAUCAUUCAAUGGAGAGAACAAAUGUAAGGUGUCUUACUUGCAAGAUCCGGGAUUUGGUGAAGUGAAAUAUCUACACUGGUAUGGAUAUCCGUUGAAGUCAUUGCCUUCAAACCUUAGUGCAGAGAAGCUUGUGUUACUUGAGGUGCCGGAUAGCAACAUUGAACAACUUUGGGAUGGUGUGAAGGUUUGUAUAACUUAAUACAUUAUGUGUGCAAUCUUUUAAUAAUAACAUUUAAUUGGCAUACAUAGUAAUGAUUUUGUGUUGGCAUCUUUUUUGACCGAGCAGCAUUAUAGUAAGUUAAACCAGAUAAUUCAUGUUGCCUGCAAGAAGCUGAUUGCAAAAACUCCAAACCCCACAUUGAUGCCACAUCUGAACAAGCUAGUUAUCUUGAUUCUAAGAGGUAGAAAAAGCCUGAAAAGUCUUCCAGCUGGAAUAUUUAAUUUGGAAUGUCUUACCGAACUUGAUCUUUCGGACUGCCCAAAACUGAAGAGGCUUCCAGAGAUCUUAUCAGGUAAUAUGAGCUGUUUAUUUUUAAGGGGGACCGCAAUUGAAGAACUGCCCUCAUCAAUUGAGCUUCUACAUAGGCUAGGGUACUUGGACCUUUCAGAUUGUAAAAGGCUUAAGAGUCUCCCAAGCAGCCUAUAUAAGUUGAAAUCUCUUGGAGUUCUUGAUCUCCGUGGUUGCUCAAAUCUUCAGAGAUUGCCCGAAUGUCUUGGCCAGUUAUCCUCGCCAAUAUUAUUGAAUCUAGCAAAAACCAAUAUUGAAAGAAUACCAAAAAGCAUUAUCCAACUUUUUGUGUUGGGAUACCUCCUCUUAAAUUAUAGUGAGAGGUUCCAAUCCGUACAAAAGCCUCCAUUCCUUGUACGGGGGUUAGAUGCCGAUCAUUGCCCACUGCAAUUAUAUUCAGGUUUAUUCUCUAAGUUCUGAAUCUUAUAGCAGUGUCUUUUGACCAGAGCAACAAUUUUAAUUUGAAAGGUCAUUGUACUGCAGGAGUUGUUAACGAUGCCCUGAGAAUUCAGCAUAUACGCCAUCUGCUAGCUGUCCAUUGGAAAGAAAUACUGGAAAAGGUAUGUCUUUAACUCUCUUUCCUUACAGUUUAUACAAUUUUUUUUUUUGGGUUUAAAGUUAUGAUUUUUUGGUACAGGGAGAUUUUUCCAUGGACAAAGGUCAUAUCGUACUACCUGGGAAUGAAAUUCCAAAGUGGUUUAAGUUUCAAAGUGUUGGAUCUUUUAUAACCUGGGAGAUGCCGCCAGAUUUCUUCAAUAAUAGCAGAGUACAGGGCAUUGUAUUUAGUGCUAUUUUAGCAUUUUCAGACCGUCAUGUAGAUUGUGGCAGAUGGUUUUCAUUUUCUUUUGAGCUCAAAGUGAAAACCACCAAAGAUUGUGGUCCGCAUGACACACGAUUAUUUCAGAGCUGAGUUAAUUAUUUAGAAUCAUAUCACUUACAUUUGGGGUACUAUCUGUUCCGCGAAGAGGAUUUUAAUGGUUUUUGGAAAUGCAAUUGCAUUCCUGAGGCAGUCCACUUUAAUGUUUUUCCACCUUUGGAGUGCCAGUGCUGCGGGGUGAAAAAAUGUGGGAUCCAUUUAUUUCGCAUCCCAGAUCCUACGUCAAUGGAAGACCCAAGCACAUGUUUCAACUAUAACGAAGAAGACUGAGAUAGGUGUCAUUUUCACUCAACUCACCUGAGUUGUGAAUCCAUUUGCUUAAACAUGUAUGCACUUUUUCAAGUAUCUCUACCAAUUCCAUAUUUGGAAUGGUGCAUUUGAUUCCAUAGUUGAUGUGGUAUCGUCUAUGGUUAGAAUUUAUUGAUGGGUGUCGAAGCCAACAAAAAUAAAUUCCUACUCUAAAUAAAUUGUGUAUAGUGAUUGAGCAGGGUCGUGUCCACAGAGAUCGGUAAUUAUUUAAAUCCUUUUGAAACGUAAAACGUAAAAUGGGGGAAUUGUUGACAAUAAUAAAAAUCAAAUUAAAAAUAACAAGAAUGCAAAUUAAAGUUGUAAUUCAAAUUGGAGAAAGCUCUGGUUGAAGGAAUUAACUCAGCUUGAUUCGACUACUGAUCAUUGAUUCAAAUAUAGAUUAUUAUUACUCAUGAAUAGACCGGUUAUAGCUACUGAGACCCUCUAAUAGCCAAUCUCUCCUUAACUAGUCGAUAACCAAGGUACGACCGUUGGUUAUUUCCCUAAUCAAUAGACAACCCUAGAUACGAUCAUAGAAUUUAAUCAAUUGACAGCCUGAAAAACCAGAGAGACCCAAAUCCUAAUCAACACAUAUGAUGAUUCAUUUAAAUUAGAUUGUUUAUUCUCACAACACAACUCUCUGCUAUGUUAUUUGUCACAAACAUUAAAUUCUUCAUACGAUGAAUCCUUUAAUUGACAAUAGAUUAAGUUGAUAAUUAAAUAGUGGCCAAUUACCUAAUUAACAAACAUAAUCAUGAAAAUAAUUCAGAGAAUAAACAAAUACCCAAAAAGUAAUAAAACAAUUAAAGUACAAGAAAGAUCUCACAGAGUCACAGUAGUGAUGAAUCAAAGCUUCAUUAACCUUCAACCAGAAAAAUGAGUUUAGUUCCUCAUAGAGAGAAGAGAAAAAUUAGAUCUAGGGUUUCUUUUUCUCCAAUCCAAAAAUCCCCCUUUUUUCACAAUAGAUUCCUCCCUUAAAUACUCUCUCUCUCUUCUCUUUUAGAGUUCUAUUUAAAAUAAAAUACUAAUAUCUAAAAUAUUAAAUUUGUAAUUACAAAAAUAACCAAAAAUACAAAACACGUUAAACUAAAAACUGCAGGUCCGCAGUUGACAGCACGCGCCCACGCCUUAUCAAUAAAGUUCUUCUGCCGCUCAUAAUUUCUCCAAGAGAACAAUCAUCCUUAAAAAUCAUCUUGUAGCUCAAUUUUAUCACCAAUCAAUAGAAUUGCACCUACAAAAGUAAAACACAAGUAAAUCAUUAUUAUUAAGUGCAAAACAUCGAUAUUAAGGGAAGUAAACAAUGCAAAACUAGUGCAUAAAUUGCACUCUAACAUUUAUAUUUACAAAAAUGACUUGUAAGGAAAGGAUUGAAGAUGCCUGUGAACUUAUAUUUCGAUUUAGAUUAUUGUAUCUUUUUCAUGUAUAAAAUUGGAUCCUAUCAUUCACAUAUCAUUGACAUGAGCAAUAUGGAUUACUAAAUCAUUAUUCUUUAUUAUUGUGCUGAAUUUGAUUUUUUAUUGAAUAAUUUGAUAUAUUUCUUGAAUCAAUUUGGAGCUUCUACAACUUGUCAGAGAUCAGUUUCUCCAACAUUCCUUUCGGCGCCAAAAAUAACCAAGCGGUUGAAUAAGAAUUGAUAUAUACAACAUAAAUACAAGAGUUGUUUUGUCUUUUUACAAUAGGAAUAGUAUAUAAUGCUCGUUAAAACUUGCUGAUGAGAAAGUAAAUUCCUCAGAAAUUAAAUGUUUCAGCCAACCAAGGAAGCAUCUUUUCAUGGACCAACUCAGGCCUGUCAUCAUGGGGGCAAUGUCCUACUCCUUCCAAUACAAUUAACUUCACAUUUGAGAGUUUAGAAGGCAGAGAUGAGAAGUAUUUACCAACAGGUCCAUCGAGGGGUGUGAAUGGAUCCUCAUCACCCCAUAAAACUAGUACAGGUAUAGAGAUUGAUGGCAUCAAUUGAACUGGGUUCGGCCCUGGUGGGCCUGUUACAAUCGAAACAAAUGCGUCGAGUGCCCCUUCCUCAUUGGCGGGCUAUCGUAUGAUCUGCAGUUUUGAGGUCGAUUCAUGAAUUAUGAGAAGCCAUUUUUGUAACAGGUUAAAAUGGCAUAUAAGUGGAGAAUAUUAAUACCUCAACCAGUGUUUCAUCCACAGAUUCCUUAUUUGCAUAAAUGGACAGUAAAAUAUUCCUCAGUGUUUCCCUACAGCACCAAGAUAUGCACAUCAUAGAGUUUUUUUUUUUUUAAUUUUGACUCUAGUGUCUUGGGAUAAUGAACAAUCGACUGAAUAAAGAGAAGAGACAAUACCUUUGUUUCACACGCUCAAAUAUAGCAGAAGCAAUUGGCCUUUGCUUCAACAAAAAAUCAAUGAACCAAAGCAAUGGUAACAAUAGCUUGAUUCUCCAAUCAUCAACAAUUGCCUUGUUGUUCAUGCCACCAGCACAAUUCAACAGAACAAGCCCUCGAACAAGGGUUUGACUAGAUUCUUAUGGUAGAAAAUAUAGCAGGUUUAUCGUAAACCAUAGAUACCAAAAAGGAUAAUUAGGGACAAGUGUUUCUUUGCAAGCAAGUUGAAGAAUAUGUGAUGUCCAAGGGGAAGUUAAAAUAAAUAUACCUGAGGCAGCGAUAACACAAGCUAGGCUUCCAACAGAAUUACCUAUAAGCACAGUUGGCUUCUGAACAACUUCAUCCAAGAAAUCCAAUAUUAGCUGUAUCACCGAAUCUCACUCAAGUUAGCAAGGAAAAUAACUAAAGGUCAAUUGAUUGAUGACAUAAGUACAGAGAAAGAUCCAACUUCUGGCUAGGGAACAUUGCACACCUGAGCCCAUGCCUCCAUGGUAUAUGAAUAACCAGCUGGCUUAUCUGAAGCACCAAAUCCAAGAAGGUCAAUUGCAUAAACCGUGUAGCUCUUUGCCAGGGUGCCGAUAUUCCUGAAAUUACCUCAGAGAUGACAAGAAAAAUAUCAAUUACUCACAUUAUUUAAUUGGAUAAAGGAGUAGUGAACACACAAAUUUUCAUUCCCCUCUUCUACGGAGCGGUAAAAUGAAUACUUUUUCACUAGAUUAAGAAUUGGAAAAUGGAAGAAGCCUAUACCCAUAAAAGGGUAAUAUGAAAUGGAACCCUGAAAUUCAGAUCACUGGUUUGUCAUCAUCUAGGUGCAAGGAAUAGAACUAAGUGUUAAUGCCAACGCACCAUGAAAUAAUGAAUAGAUUUUACUUUCAUUAUUCUUUUGCUUCAUUGAUCUUAAUUAAUUAUUAGAAGUAUAACACAUAUAAAUCCAUCCCUGGAGUUCAUAAUACAUAACAGAGUCAGAGAUAUUACAGACAUAAGGUAAAGACAUGCUCCAUACAAAAAAAAAAAUUACAGUCGAAAAUACCCAGAACAUAAUUUGAAUUGAAUUCACAAUAAAGGAGCUACAUUUUUGUGCACCCAAUAAUCAACCCGCUAGACAAUUCACAACAAGAAAGAGCAAUCUUAUCUCGCUAACCUGCGCCAGUGAGGAAUGGAGGCGCCAAAGCCAUGGACAAGGAGUAGAGGUGGAGAAUCGGAAUGUGAAUUUGGAGUUGAAGAAACCAAGUAAUUGAUGGAGUAUUGGCCCUUCCAUUUCCACAUUUUGCAACUCUCCCUUAUCUCAUCAACCUCCAAUUCCAGUGCAGCAGAAGCAGAAUCCCCUCCACUGCCACUGUUAGUAUAACUGAUGGUAACAUUUUGUCUCUUCUUCUUCUCCUCAUUCCUCUGCUGCAACUCCAACUGCAACUGAAACUGCCAAUUCUUAUUGCUCAAUAGGGGCAAGCGCAGGCAUUUACAUCUCCAUUUCCAUUUCCAAUCCUGAGUGUUAUUGGAAUAAUGAAAGAGGGAGCCCGAGCCCUUACCUUCCACACGCUCAUUCUUUCCUUGCUUUUUCAAUUGAAUAUUUUCUGUGGCCUGGCUUGGCCUGCUCCUCCCCUGCUUCCACCUCUAUGAUACUACUAUGACUCCAAAAAUUUUUAUAUAAUUAUUUAUUGGGCUUAUUCCACUAUUAUAUGAAAAUUUUACUGAUAUUCCUCGAAAAUCAAGAUGAUAAUACUUCGUCUGAAACGAAUAUCAAGUGGUUUACUAAAAUACUCCGGGUGAUUGGUAUUUCCGUCCAAUAAUUUUUGCAAACUCAUCCCAUUUUUUUUUAAAAAUAAUUAUAAAGCAUAUGUGCUAUGUUUAAAAAUUUUCAAAUAAAGAAGAAUUUUAUAGAAUUAAUUAACAAAAUUUAUUUUAAUUUACUUUCUCCUGAUUUAGAUUAUUUUAUUAUAUUUGGUUACAAAGAUUGUUUUGUCAUAAAUUUAAAUUAACUGUUUUACCCUUAGAAGGUAAAACUAUUAAGAAUUUACUUUAAUUUCAAUGUUUUUCUAAUUUUAUACCAAACUCAUUGUUUCUGAUACUACGUUAUUAAUAUGAGUUUUAAUCUUUAAUUAAACUAAAAUAGUAUCUUUAGGGCAUGAUACUCAUGUUAAUUAUUGGGAUGUCAAUUUUAUGUUAUUUACACAUAAAAGUAGAGAAAAUAACAAUUAGAUUUUAUUUUAAAAUAUUAUAUUAUAAGCCACAAAAUUAGAUACAUAAAUUAUUAGAUACAAUAACUCGUGUUUAUUAUGGUAAUUUAGUCGCUAUAUAUCAUAAUAAUAAAAUACUAAAAUAAAACUUGUAUUAAACUUUAUGAUUAAAAAUGGUCAAAUAACCUAAGAAGAAAAUCAAUAGAAGGAUUUUACCGAUUAACUAUAGAAAAUUUUUAUUAAUUUGUAUUUUUUUAAAAACAUUGUGAAUUCAUUACAAUUAGUUUCUAGAAGUAGGGUGGAUUUAUAAAAAUAGUAAGGUGCAAAUAUCCUUACCCAAAUACUACAUAGAAAGUGAAAACUAUUACCUUUUUCGCUGUACUUCUCUUGAAUUUUUUUUUCCUAAGAAUAAACUUUAAUUCAUCCCCAAAUAAAAUGAUAAUCUCUAAUUUGCUCUCAAUGUAAACCUCAAUUUAUUCUUCAUUUCCGUCCAAAAGAUGAGGGGCAAAUAAGGAAUGUGUUGAUGAAUUUGUUUUUUUAAUCUUUUUAACAAUAAAUGGGGUAAAUUGAUAUUUUUAUACUUUUAGGUGAUAAAUUAAAGAUUUUUAUUCUGAAUUGGGGGCAAAUUAAAAUCUAUCUUAUUUCUAAAGGCACCACGUGAUUUGGCAAAAUAACUAUAAAGAUAUUUUGUUUUUAGAAAAGGUCACAAUGUCUCUUUUGAGAUACACAAAUUCUCUUUUAGAUAAAACAUUAGGAUUUGUGUGAUUAUUACUGAACCAAAAGGGUUUGUGUUUCAAAAAAAAGAUUAUGUGACUAUUUUGCCUAACCGAGAGAGCCAUUAUUCAAACACCAAUCUCAUUUUUUUUUUUUUAACAAACACACUUUCAUUUAUUCUUUAAGCUUCUUUUUUUUCCCCCAAAAAAUGAUGAAUAGAUAUUGAAAUUUUUGUUUUCAUUUUUUUUUAUUGAAAAAAUGAAAAACAACAAAGAUUACUGCUUCCUUGUUUUUUCGUCCUAUAUUACCUUAAUUUUAUAUCGUUUUCUCUAUUUUUAUUUUAUAGUCCAAUUCUGAAAAUACACUAUUAGACACAUUUUUAAAUUCAAAAACACAAAACAUAGUAAAUCAUUUUCAUUAUAGGCAUUAACACCUGACGUACACAUUCUCCAAAUGGGAUUAAUGGAAAAAUAAAAAUAAAAAAGGUGAGCCCUUCGGUCAAUCUUAUAGGUUCUAACCUUUUGAAGGUAAGUUUUAUCUUGUAACAUUCUCACAAAAUUUAAAAUCAACUGGGACGAAAAUUUUGAAAAUACUAUGAUUAGCACAAGCAUUUCAACAAUAGAGGAUGUAAUAAAAGCUCAUUGAGUUGAAACUUGAAAGCAAAAUUAGGGCAAGGUCAUUUCUUUAAAAAGAAUAAGGCAAGAUGAUGCACGGCAUGAAAUACCUGUGUGACCAAGCCUCAAAAGAUUCAUCAAGCCCAGUAUUUUGCUUGCCCUCGGCAUAAUUACACUUGGCUUCCCAAACAAAUAAUUGCUGGAGCUCGGACAAUGGAAGUAUUCAAUUUAACUACAUAAAUAUCAGCCGGAGCAUAAUUACACUUGGCUCCCUAACGAAUAAUGCUGGAGCUCGGACAAUACGAGUAUUCAAUUUAACUGUACAUAGAUGUGCGGGGUUUUGGUGGUAAGUAAAAAGACGUGCCACUAUCAGUUGAGGAGUGCAUAAGAGGAUUACAUCUAUCAAAUACUAUCCGGCCCCCUCGGCCAAUUCUUCCAUGAAAUUUGUGAGUUCGUGCUAUAGUGCCAUUCCUCGUAGAAGAAUCUGACGGCGGAACAAUACCUGCAGCGUCCAAUUUUUCUGGCACAAGGGGUUUUGUGAACAACAAAACUGGCUCAAGAGGAUCCUGAAACCCCACAGUUACAUUUUCAAAAUGAUGCACUGCUGAUAUUCAGAAAUAAAAUAAUGAUAAAACAUUUUGGAAAGUUUACUUAAAUCAUUUUUCUUUCCAGCCACAGAUAGGUCAAUAAGUCAAAUAUUUGAGGAAAAAUACUAAAGAAACUGACAGAGGGCACGCAGAAUUAACUACAAAACCACCAGAUUUAUCGUGUUUUUGUCCUGUUAAUUAAUUGUUUUCAAUUAACACGGUAACCCGGCUCGGGUGUUAACUCUGUUUCUGUCAGUGCUCUGUUGAAUAUUUCUACUUAAAAAUCAGCACUCGCAUGUAAGUAGUAUGGCAGCAGCAAAAUAUCAUGUGUAAUAAUUAGGCUAUUAGUUCCGGGUCCAGGAAUCGAGAUAAUCAGAUUAGGUGCAAAAGCUAUAUGUACCAAUUUAUGUAGCCAUGCAUAAUAUAUUCAUUUUUUACUUGCAAAUUCUUCCUUUUCACAACUUUAGGUACAACUUUUCCUUUCCUUUUGAAGGCCCACUCCACUGGCAUAGAGAGUAAAAAGAGUUUCUUAUAAAUAAUUUUAGGAGGAUGCUUCUGCCACGACAAGUAAUACCAUAAACAAAUGAUUUCACCACAUUUCAAGAAAGCAUUUAACUUAUGCCUCAUUUUCAUUCUAGCAAUUUGCUUGCCAUUGGCUGAUUGGAAAAAGUGCAUUUAAGUGAUAGAUUACUGUCAACCUAUAGCACGAAUAGGGGUUAAACAAAGUAAAUCCCUACCUUUACAUGUCAAAUAAAAGACUUUCAUAAUAUCAAAUAUCAAAACUCAUGUCUAGUAAAGGAUUCCCCAAUGCUGGCUCUCAAAAUUGCUUUUGUUUCAUGGAUGAGAUGAUGGUUUUUGUGGAUAUUCUGCUCAACUUGGAUUAUGACUUGGGUCAGAUCCCAACUUGCUGCAAAGCUCACCUGACUAAAUCUUAGUUGAUUUGCUUUUCCAAACUAAAUCCAAGCAAGUAAGUACAAGAGAUAAAAGCAAAAGUUCAAGCAUCUCAUUUGAGCCUGUCACUGACAAAUAGUCAAUGAGCAAUGUCUAGCUAUGACUGAGCAACAGAAUCAAUAAACAGACAGACAAAAAAUAAUAAUCAAGUCAUCUGUCAAAUGCUAGUCCAUGAAAAUCAUAUAUAUAUAUGUAUGUAUGUAUAUGUCUAUGUAUAUGUAUGAUCAUUCAUUUCUCAAUCAACCACCAAAUUGAUGUCAACAAAGCCAUGAGGAUUGUCUCACAAGUCUUUCAUUUUCCCUCUCUUUAGGCCAGAGACCAGUAAACCAUUUGAAAUAUGGAUGUGCAAACCAGUAAAUAAAUCAUGAAGUUACACACUAGUCUGCUUUCGCACUCAUUCAGAACUAUCAAUGAUACUUACUGCAGGUACGGUGUAUACAUUAUACUAAAGUGAAGGCUGGAUCAAUAAGAAAUUCAAAAUGUUUCAUCACAUUUGGGGCUUGAUGAUGCCAAAGAAAGACCAUACCAAUUAUGAUGAACAGUAAAAUGUGAACAAGAACAAGCAUACAUUUAAGAAAGCAGAGAAGCAUCAUUAAAAUAAAGUAUUCUUCUUACUAUUCUAUGUUGUUGGAAAAUGGACCAAAAUAAAAAAGGAACCAUAUAUGGUUAACGUCACAACAAGAGUAUUUGUGCAUUUGUACAUCAUAGGAUAUUGGGAAGACAUCAGCAGAGAAGUGCAAGUCAAAAAGGGGAAAAAAUGAAAAGAGAUAGAUCAAAAGGAAUGCAAUCUAAUUAAUCAUCUAAGGAGACUACUAUGCUACAGUUAGCCAUUGGUUGAAUAGGCAGCUUGUUUUCUAGUACAACUUUAAAUUUUCCAAGAUUUAGAAUUUUCCUACUGAAGAAAACUAAUUUCUAAAGCAGCUAUUACCAUCUUCAUCCCAACAGUAAGCAGCUCCAUACUAAGGAAAGAGUGAAAUAAGUUUGCUUUACUUAUAGAAGCCCAUUCCUGUCCAGAGUGAUUAGUAAGUUGUUUCACCAUGACCCCCAUUAUGGUGACUGAAAAAAGAAAAAUAAAAGAAGAAAAUAUUUGCCGAACACAAUAGUAGCACCUAAGAAGUCCUACUUAGGAGGCUUCAUACCCUGCACAAAUCGGAAAGUUUUUUAAAAUUUUCAUGUUUCAAAUGAAGAUUGUCCAUUAAAAAAUUACACACAUAAUGUAUGUAAAGCAAUUAAAAAAAAAAAAAAAAAACAAGGAUAACCCAGAAACAAUCCAACCAUCAAUAACAUAAAACUUUUGUAAUUCUGGUAAAGUGAAUGAGAAGCAGAACAUACAUUUCACGUAAUAAUGAAGAUACGUCUUUUAAUCAGUCUUUGCUCUUAAUUUAUUCUCGUACUUCCUUCCAAUAACAAUUCAUAAUGCAGGUAGGUAUCUUGAAAAAUUAUAUCAUACAUUUCUCUUAUCAAUGGGGCAGGUUGCUAUUGAACAUUAUUCAUAAACAAAGAGCCAAAUAUGCUUUAAAGCUACUUAAAAAUAUGCCAUCAGGCACUGACGCAGACACUCAACAACAAAAAACAGACUUAUUAUAUUUGUUGCACAAAUAAGAAAGAAGAUAACAAUUUUAAAUUAACCAACAGGUUGAGUCUUAUCGUAAUACACACUAUCAGCUAUGAAUUAGCAUAUCUUUAGAAGUCCUGAACUCAUUCACGGCCAUUCGAAGAGAAUCAUCCGAUAGAAUCAACGGUGACAAUGCUCCAGUGCUUAACCUGCGAAAAUUAGAUCAAGCAGAGCUUGCAUUCCCUGAAGUUAACCAAAAAAAAAGAAAAAAACAUUACGAUGACUUAAAUUUUAACAGAAAACAAAAAACAAAGCAAGAGUGAAUAGAGUAAUACCAAAGCAAAUUUAGGAUUGUUAGGUCCAAUUUGUGGACCAACUUCUGAACUUCUAAUAGUAGACUUAGGAUGAAGGAUUUGAAGAGGCUGUGGCGGCGGCGAAUACGCAUCAAGAUUCACACUGCUCCUCGCUUUGAGGGCCAAAAGAGUGCGGAGGCGCGACAAAGCUGACACGCGAUUCUUGUGCUGCGAUCGGUGUUCAGCGGCAUGUGCUAUGACGCCGGUCGGUACGUGCUCGAGACGUAUGGCGGAUUCGCGCUUAUUGCGGUGCUGACCGCCUGGUCCCGACGAUUUGUACACGUCCAUUUAGCAUUCGCGAAACAGCUCAUCGUCCGUCAAUUCUAAGUAAUUCUUCGAAGAAGAAGAAGAAGAAGAAGAAGAAGUUGAACAAUGGCUGAUAAUUCCCGCGAUGCUUGUACGACGGAAAGUUUAUAUUUUUCCUUCCGAGUUGGGGAAUCCGAAGCAGGAAUUGAGCGGCCAACGCCCUCAUCAAUUUCAUUUUCCCUCACUGUGUAUGCGAUGAUGAAAGCAAAGCUUCGUACUAGUAACUCAUUCUUAUGGCAGGCCCAGCCCAAUCCAGCCCAGUCCAGCAAAUGAGCAAUGUUAUUGUUUUAUUAUUUUUGAACUCGUGGUGGCCCUGUAUUAUUUGCAAAUUAUUUGCAAAAUACUCGUAUAAGGAGAGGGACAUAUUUUAUGCUGGAAUAUUUUCAAUAUAAAUGGUGCUCUAAAAAUGUGUCCGACUGUAAAGAUAUGUCUAAUUAAACAGUGUCAUAUAUAAUAAAAAUGUAUCCUUUUAUUUAAAGAUGAAUCCAUUCACGGUUUCAUGCUUCAAUUUGAAAUAACGAUAGUUUAUUUUGGACCAGUGAUGAUCUAAUUCAAAUUUUGAUUUAAUAACCAUGAAUGAAAUAACCACUUUCUGUUAGUUCUCUUAAAAUUUAUUAAGAAAUCUAUAUUGAAGGAUGUUUCAUCCUUUAGUGUUGUAGAAAAUACACUUUACAUUUUGAAAUUUAAAAUGACCUUCUUUUAAAUAAAAUUUUAAAACAAAUGCCUCUAACUAAGGAAGAAAUUUUGGAUUACAUCAAAAAUACCAUGUUAGCCAUACAACAAGUGAAUCAUGAUACGACACAUGUGCACUGAUUUUAAAAAACUAUCAUUCAAAUGGUGGUUAUAUUGAAUAUAAAUAUGUACAUAUCAUACAUGACACAAAUCACCUCAACCCUUCUGUUGGAUCUGGGGUGAAUCAUGCAAUUUUAUAUCUAAAGCUCAUGACAAACUUAAUUCAUGAAUAUAUAACACUAGCCUUGGCCUUUGUUAUAAACAUAUAAUAAUCUAUGUGCCUCAUUCAAAAAUUUAUUAAAAACUUACAUAGUUCAUAUCUCACUGUACAUACAUACACUUCAAAAAUAUACAUAUAAACAUAAACGUGGUCAAAAUGUAAGUCGUGCAGUAAUGCGUGUCGUGGCCCAACCUCAAUUGAUCAAAAAUUGAAAUACACGAAAUCCUAUGGAAACCUUAGAGAAAUGGCGUAAAUAGGAAAAUAGUAAGCUUGCGACUCAAUGAAUGAAUAUAAUUAUAUAUAAAAAUAAAUUAGUGCUUUAGUGUUCGUCAUAAUUGUAUGACAUAACUUUACACUAAACACUUUACAAAAGAAAACAUGAACUCAUAUAUACAUACAUGACAAAAUUGUACCAAAUAAUUUACAGGGGAAAUAACUCUCAAUACUUACUGGGAUCAUCAUCGCACGAGUAAAAAGGGGGAAAAACCUCUCAAUACUCAGUAGAAUUAACAACAUCGCAAAGGUCGAGUAAUUUAACUCUCAAUACGCAUGAGUAGAGCCUAUAGGGAAAGGUACACAUAUGGUACCAGUCAAUUACAUCUCAUGACUCAGUUAAUCAUAUAAUGUGCGUUCAUAUAAUCAUAACAUUAUACUAAAUCAUACUAUCAAAUAUAAAUGUUUUGUAAAAUACAUAAUAAUAAUCCACUCACAGAUCCUAUUGAUGAAGCACGCACGUGCUUUGCUUUAAGCUAACAGCUUGCUAUUGCUUUGACAAUUAACCCAUGUGCCUCCUUUUAAAUUGGACGUGCGUCACAAUACAUGCAUUAGAAUUGGUUGUAUUCUCAUGGGUGAAGCAUGAAUGUGCUUUGCUUUAAGCUAACAGCUUGCUAUUGCUUUGACAAUUAGCCACAUGUGACCCGUUUAUAGUUUAGGAAAUAACAAUAUUGAAUAGAAAUAUUCUUAGAAUAUAGUAUUUAUUUUCCAUUCAAACAUUUUCUCAUUUAGGCAAAGGUCACAAAAAAAAAAUACUUUUUUAAUUUAAAUAUAAAUAUGUAAAAAAUAAAUAACUAAUUUUUUUUUUUUAAGUUAGACUUUAUAUGCUUAACAAUCAACCCUAUGGAACAUGAAUAAGAGCUACUAAAACAAAAAAAAAAAGAAUAAUUUGGAAACUAAAUACAAUUAAUUGAGAGAUGAGGACGGAUAAGAUAAAUUCAGAGAUAAAAAUUAAAAUAUCACCCUACUUAUUGCUGGCAGUUAUGAGCAUUAAAGCACAGAAGCACGUGUGUUGAAAAGUAUGGUGUUCGUGUGGAAUUUUCAGCUAAAAGUCUACAAGGCAGUUGAAUUAAUCAAUCAUCGUGGAGUGCACGGUGGUUGGACAAUGAGAUGAAAUUGAAAAAUUAUCACGGAAAUUGAAGGAAGGGGCAUGGCAUUGAUUUAUUCUACAGAGUCACGCACAUUUAGUUCAAUAAUUGUUUUCAUCCGAAUCAAAAUCUCUCGCUAAUCAAUUCAACUGUUUCUGUUGAUUAUGGCUUCUUCUUCUCGAAACAACAAGCAGUGUGAUGUUUUUGUUAGUUUCAGAGGAGUGGACACCCGCGACAACCUUACUAGCCAUCUCUAUUCUGCUCUGUGUCGACAAAAUAUCCAAACUUUCAUUGAUGACCAACUUAACAGAGGAGAUGAAAUUUCGGAGUCUCUUGUGAAUGCAAUUGAAGCAUCAGCCAUUUCAGUUAUCGUCUUCUCAGAAGGGUAUGCAUCUUCCAGAUGGUGUCUCGAUGAACUUGUAAAGAUCCUCGACUGCAAGAAGGAGUAUGCACAGAUUGUGAUUCCGGUUUUCUAUCGGGUUGAUCCAUCAGACAUGAGAAACCAAACUGGGAGUUUUGGAGAUUCAUUUUCGAAUCUUGAAGAAAGAUUAAAGGAGAAUACUGAGAAGCUGCAGAGUUGCAGGAAUGCUUUGGAGGAAGCAGCAAGUUUGUGUGGAUUUCAUUCUCCUAACAUCAGGUGAAAAGUUAAACCUUUAAUUUCUCAUACUAAUAUUUAACAAUAAAUAAAAUUCACGCAGCACUCUUAGUUAAAUUUCCGGAUGCUAAACUACAAUUUUAAAAAUUUUUAAGCAUCAAAUUCUAGACUUCCUGACUUCCCCACUUUUGUGCUCUCAUAAUUAUAAAAUAAUUGUGACAGAAUUAAUAAUAAAAGCUCGAGAAUUUUACAAUAUAUAUGUAACAAAAUUAGGGGUGGUCUGUCGUUUUUUAAGCAAUUUCAACCUCUCACUCAGAUACCACCAUUAGAACGAAAAAAAAAAAAACUCACGCAUAUUCCUGUAAUUUAAGAGUUAUUAAUUUACUGGAGAUUGUAGACUAGUGGUGGUAUAUAUUAAUUUCAAUAAGAAAACUGACAAUCUCCCUUACUUCAUACUUAAUACAAAUUCCUCGUAUUAAUUUGAAGUUACUUUGGCUAAUUUUAUGUAUUUGCUAGGUGUGAGUCGGAACUUACAAAUGAAGUUGUUAAUCACAUUUUGAAGAGAUUGGAUGAAGUGAUUCAGCCCCGUGAUAACAAAAACCAGCUGGUUGGAGUGGAAUCAACAGUUGAGGAAAUUGAAUCCCUAUUAGGUGUUGAGUCGAAAGAUGUUUACGCUUUAGGGAUUUGGGGCAUUGGUGGUAUAGGCAAAACAGCAAUUGCUAGAGCUAUUUUCGACAAAAUCUCGGGUGAUUUUGAAGGUUCUUGCUUCCUCGAAAAUGUUAGAGAUGAGUCACAAAGACCAGGAGGAUUAGCUUGCUUAUGACAAAAACUUCUUUCAAAUUUAUUGAAGGAUAAAAAUGUGAUGCCUUAUGUUGAUGCUGAAAUCUGCUCGCCCUUGGACCGACCAGAUUCUUUCACCAACGUUUAUAUUAUCCACUGCUGCUCGAACCACUGGGGUUGGAAUCACUCUCCUCUUCCUUACUAGACCUGCGUUCACCAAAAACAGAUCAGAGACGCCGGUGGUUUUGCCGGCAUAAACCCUCUGAUGCCUAAGUUAGCACAAGGUGUUUACGGGAAAACAGUUAAAUUUUGAUUCAAGAGUGGCUCUAAUUUGCUCGAAGUUUUUAAUAAAAUUGUCUGGUUUCAAUUUGGCAGCGUUUUCCCUCUCUUAGUUUUUCUAUCCCUUUCUUCAUCGAUUUCUCUCCCUUUUAUAGCCGCCCCCUGUCUCACGUUUUCCGUUUAUCCUUCAUCACCCCUUUUUCGGGUGGUGGCAGCCCCUCAUGGGGCUCUAACUGUUACAUUGUGGGCAAACGUGGGUCUCGCGUGUCCUUCAACGGUUCUGGGAAAAGCGCAACUACCGCGAUUUUGUGGGAUCGUGUUCCCGCUUUCUUGGGGAUGAGUAUCGGCUCGGUAUAUACCUAUGGUCGGUAUGUUUUCCUGGUUGUACUCAUUUCUGGUCGGCUCAUGUUUGCCCCCGUGUUCUGCUCGCAUCACUCGGUUGAAGCGAUCCGUGCUGGGGUGGAAACAAUAGCAUGGCCGACCUGGUGCUUUUAUGUACUCAACACAUAUUGACCUCAAUUUUAGAAGGCUCAGCCGCAUGAAGGUUUUGAUUGUUUUUGAUGAUGUGAUUUGCUUCAGCCAAUUAGAAUCUUUAAUUGGAAGUCUUGAUUGGUUGACGCCUGUGAGUUGAAUCAUAAUAACCACUAGAAAUAAACAAGUGCUUAGAAAUUGGGGGGUGAGGAAAAUAUAUGAGAUGAAGGCAUUAGAAUAUCAUCACGCUAUUGAGCCUUUUAGUCGACAUGCCUUCAAACAAAACCAUCCUGAUGUUGGUUAUGAGGAACUUUCAAGCAAAGUAAUGAAAUAUGCUCAAGGUGUUCCUUUAGCUCUUAAAGUUUUGGGUUGCUUUCUACAUAAAAGGGAAAAAGAAGUCCGGGAAAGCGCAAUAGAUAAAUUGCAAGAAUCCUCCAUCCAAGUAUUCUUGAGGUAUUAAAAAUAAGUUAUGAUAGUUUGGACGAAGUGUCUAAUAGCGACAAAAAUUUGUCUUGGUGGGGCUGAAGUGUUAUUCACUAGUGGAAUAUAAAUAUCAUUUUUCAUUUGAUAUUAACUUUAUUGAUUUUUCUAUUUAUUUUUGGGGACAGAAAAAAUUGUGGGCAUCUGUUUGGAUAUGUCAAAAGUAAAAGAGAUCCAUCUAAAUCCCAGUGCGUUCGCAAAGAUGCAUAAAUUGAGAUUUUUAAAAUUCUAUAGUUCAUCAUUCAAUGGGGAGAACAAAUGCAAGGUGUCUCAUUUGCAAGACCUCAUAUUUGCUGAAGUGAAAUAUCUUCACUGGCAUGGAUAUCCGUUGAAGUCAUUGCCUUCAAACCUUAGUGCAGAGAAGCUUGUGUUUCUUGAAGUGCCUAAUAGCGACAUUGAACAAUUUUGGAAUGGUGUGAAGGUAUGUUUAUCUUAAUGUAUAUGUGCAAUAUAUCAAUAAGAACAUUAAAUUAUCAUGCACAGUAAUGAUUUUAUCUUUGCCUCUUUUUUGACCGAGCAGCAUUAUAGUAAGUUAAACCAGCUAAUCCAUGCUGCCUGCAAGAAGCUAAUUGCCAAAACUCUAAACCCCACGUGGAUUCCACAUCUGAACAAGCUAGUUAUCUUGAAUCUAAGCGGUAGCAAGAGCCUUAAAAGUCUUCCAGCUGGAAUAUUUAAUUUGGAAUUUCUUACCGAACUUGAUCGUUCGGGUUGUUCAAAGCUGAAGAGGCUUCCAGAGAUCUCAUCUGGUAACAUAGGCCGGCUAUUUUUAAGUGGAACUGCAAUUGAAGAACUGCCCUCAUCAUUUGAGCUUCUACUUAGGCUUUGGUUGUUAGACCUUUCAGAUUGUAAAAGGCUUAAGAGUCUCCCAAGCAGCCUCUGUAAGUUGAAGUCUCUUGAACUUCUUAGUCUCCGUGGUUGCUCAAAUCUUCAGAGAUUGCCAGAAUGGCUUGGCCAGUUAUCGUCGCCACUAAUAGUGAAUCUAUUGAAAACCAAUAUUGAGAGAAUACCAGAAAGCAUUAUCUAACAAUUUAUGUUGCGAUACAUCCUCUUAGAUUAUUGUGAGGGGCUUCAAUCCUUACCAAAGCCUCUAUUCCUUGUACGAUGGUUAGAUGCCGAUCAUUACUCGGCACCACAAUCAUUAACAGGUUUGUUCUCUAAGUUCUGAAUCUUAUGGGCAAUGUUUUUUUACUAGAGCAAUAAUUUUUAAUUGGAAGGUAAUUCUACUGCAGAAAUUAUUCAAGAUGCCUUGAGAAUUCAAUAUAUGGGUCAUGUGGUAGUGGUACCUUCCCGUUGGAAAGAAGUACGGGAAAAGGUGUGUCUUAAUUCUUUCUCCUUACAAUUUAUACCUUUUUUUUGGGUUUGAAAUUUUGAUCUUUUGGUAUAGAGAGGUUUUUCCAAGGAAGGCCAUUACGUACUAGCUGGGAAUGAAAUUCCAAGGUGGUUUAAUUUUCAAAGUGUGGGAUCUUUUAUAACGUUAGAGAUGCCCCCAGAUUUCUUCAAUCACAACAGAGUACUGGGCUUUGCAUUUGGUGCCAUUUUAGGAUUUCCAGGCCGUCAUGUAGGUUGUGGCAGAUGGUUUUCAUUUUCUUGUGAGCUCAAAGUGGAAACCACCAAAGAUUGUGAUCUGCAUGACACACUGUUAUUUCAAAGAAGAGUUAAUUAUUUAGAAUCAGAUCACUUACAUUUGGGAUACUAUUUGUUCUAUGAAGAGGAUUUUAAUGGGUUUUGGAAAUGCAAUUGCUUUCCUGAGACAAUCCACUUUAAUGUUUUUCCACCUUUGGAGUGUGAGUGUUGCGGAGUGAAAAAAUGUGGGAUCCAUUUUUUUGGCAUUGCGGACUCUACGAAUUCAAUAGAAGACCCAAGCAGAUGUUUCAAAUAUAACGAAGAAGACUGAGAUUUUCAUGAAUGUAUUUUUAUUGUUUUCCUUUUUCAAAUCACUAUUAAUAAUAGGAGAAAAUGCCAAAAUCAGUUCUUGGAACAAAACAUUCAUGUUAUAACUUUUGACGGAUCUGGUGCGUGUAACACAAAUUCACACUAGAGUAUUGAACUAUACUCUAAUUUACCUUAUUAGGUGAGUAUUGAACUUUACCUUAUUAGGUGAAGAGUGUAAUGUAUGAAAAGCACAUGAUGUAUAUUGUAAAAUUAAAACUAUUGGCCUUCUUUCUUGCUCUGCACACACCACCCACAACGAUUUGUUAUUGGACUUUGCAACCCAAAACACAUCUACUUAAGUGAGCAUGUGACUUAUAAACUAGUGAAAAAACUCAUUUGCCAGCGGCAUGGAAUAUUACAGGACGCGCAACGAGUUCUUACAGAGUAUGUUGUUGGCCCAUAUCUCAACCAAUGAACACAUGCCACUCAUCCCAUUGCGUACUACAUCAACUCUCCUGUAUAUAACGCAAGUCUGGUGUUCAUGUGGAAUUUUCAGCUAGAAGUCUACAAAGCAGUGGAAUUAAUCAAUCAUCGUGGAGUGCACGGUACUUGGACAAUGAGACGAAAUUGAAAAACUAUCACGGAACUUGAAGGAAGGCUCAUGGCAUCGAUUUAUUCUACAGAGUCACGCACAUUUGGUUCAAUAAUUGUUUUCAUCCGAAUCAAAAUCUCUCUCUAAUCAAUUCAACUGUUUCUGUUGAUUAUGGCUUCUUCUUCACGAAACAACAAGAAGUAUGAUGUUUUUGUUAGUUUCAGAGGAGAGGACACCCGCGACAACUUUACUAGCCAUCUCUAUUCUGCUCUGUGUCGACAAAAUAUCCAAACUUUCAUUGAUGACCAACUUAACAGAGGAGAUGAAAUUUCGGAGUCACUUGUGAAUGCAAUAGAAGCAUCAGCCAUUCCAGUUAUCGUCUUCUCAGAAGGGUAUGCAUCUUCCAGAUGGUGUCUUGAUGAACUUGUAAAGAUCCUCGAGUGCAAGAAGGAGUAUGCACAGAUUGUGAUUCCGGUUUUCUAUCGGGUUGACCCAUCAGACGUGAGAAACCAAACUGGGAGUUUUGGAGAUUCAUUUUCGAAGCUUGAAGAAAGAUUAAAGGAGAAUACUGAGAAGCUGCAGAGUUGGAGGAAUGCUUUGGAGGAAGCAGCAAGUUUGCGUGGAUUUCAUUCUCCUAACAUCAGGUGAAAAGUUAAACCUUUAAUUUCUCAUACUAAUAUUUAACAAUUAAUAAAAUUCACGCAGCACUCUUAGUUAAAUUUCCGGAUGCUAAACUACAAUUUUAAAAAUUUUUAAGCAUCAAAUUCUAGACUUCCUGACUUCCGAACUUUUGUGCUCCCAUAAUUAUAAAAUAAUUUUGAAAGAAUUAAUAAUAAAAGCUCGAGAAAUUUACAAUAUACAUCUAACAAAAUUAGUGGUGGUCUGUCGGUUUUUAAGCAAUUGCAACGUCUCACUCAUACACCACCAUUGGGAAAAAAAAAGGAAAUUAUCAUUGCACCACCUUCCUUUUACCUAUUGUUCAUCCAAUUACCACAAAAUUCUAACAUGUUCUUUGCACCAUUUUUUUUAAAAAAAAUAUUGUAUCAAUAAGCCACUUUUGCACUAACACCAUAAAAUAAUUUAAAUGAAAUGAAAAUUUUACAAUUAAAUAAAUUAAAUGACCAUUUUUAUUUUAUAAAAAUUAAGAAAAUAAAAAAUUAUAAUUAUAAAAAUACCCCUAAAUUUAAUUAAAAAAUAAAUCCCAAUAUUAUAACUUUUAUUUUUAAUAAAAAUUAUUUUAAUAAAAAAUUAUAAUUAUAAAAAUAAUUACAAAAUUUUGGGAUUUAAUAAAAAUCCCCUAAAUUAUUAAAAUUUUAGGAUUUAUUUUUUAAUAAUUAAAUUCAGUUAUUUUAAUUAAAUUUUAAAAAAUUAUAAUUUUUAAUAAUAAAUUAAGUUAUUUUUAUUAAAAUAUUGUAAAAUUAUAAUUUUUAAUUAAACAUAAUUAUUAAAAUUUUGUAAAAUCUAAAUUUAAUAAAAAUUAGCUGAGCACCUCUAUUUGAGAUUUUUUAUAUUAAAUUUAGGGGUAUUUUUUUAAUUAUAUUUUUUUUAUUUUUCCAAGCUUUUAUAAAAUAAAAUGAUUUUUUAGUUUAUUUAGAGGUAAAUUUAUCAUUUUGUUUAAACUAGUUAACGGUGUUAGUGGAAAAGUGGCUAAUUGAUAUAAAUUUAAAACAAAAGGUGGUGAAAAGAAUAUGUUAUAAUUUUGUGGUGGUUGGAUGAAUAUAAAACAAAAGAGAGGUUGUGUAGUGAUAAUUUUUCCCCAAAAAAAAAACUCACACAUAUUACUGGAGAUUGUAGACUAGUGGUGGUAUAUAUUAAUUUCAAUAAGAAAACUGACAAUCUCCCUUACUUCAUACUUAAUACAAAUUCCUCGUAUUAAUUUGAAGUUACUUUGGCUAAUUUUAUGUAUUUGCUAGGUGUGAGUCGGAACUUACAAAUGAAGUUGUUAAUCACAUUUUGAAGAGAUUGGAUGAAGUGAUUCAGCCCCGUGAUAACAAAAACCAGCUGGUUGGAGUGGAAUCAACAGUUGAGGAAAUUGAAUCCCUAUUAGGUGUUGAGUCGAAAGAUGUUAACGCUUUAGGGAUUUGGGGCAUUGGUGGUAUAGGCAAAACAGCAAUUACUAGAGCUAUUUUCGACAAAAUCUCGGGUGAUUUUGAAGGUUCUUGCUUCCUCGAAAAUGUUAGAGAUGAGUCACAAAGACCAGGAGGAUUAGCUUGCUUACGACAAAAACUUCUUUCAAAUUUAUUGAAGGAUAAAAAUGUGAUGCCUUAUAUUGACCUCAAUUUUAGAAGGCUCAGCCGCAUGAAGGUUUUGAUUGUUUUUGAUGAUGUGAUUUGCUUCAGCCAAUUAGAAUCUUUAAUUGGAAGUCUUGAUUGGUUGACGCCUGUGAGUCGAAUCAUAAUAACCACCAGAAAUAAACAAGUGCUUAGAAAUUGGGGGGUGAGGAAAAUCUAUGAGAUGAAGGCAUUAGAAUAUCAUCACUCUAUUGAGCUUUUUAGUCGACAUGCCUUCAAACAAAACCAUCCUGAUGUUGGUUAUGAGAAACUUUCAAGCAAAGUAAUGAAAUAUGCUCAAGGUGUUCCUUUAGCUCUUAAAGUUUUGGGUUGCUUUCUGCAUAAAAGGGAAAAAGAAGUCUGGGAAAGUGCAAUAGAUAAAUUGCAAAGAAUCCUCCAUCCAAGUAUUCUUGAGGUAUUAAAAAUAAGUUAUGAUAGUUUGGACGAUAAGGAGAAAAAUAUUUUCCUUGAUAUUGCUUGUUUCUUUCAAGGUGAGGAUGUAGAUCUAGUAACGAAAUUUUUUAAUGCAAGCGGUUUCCACCCAGAAAUAGGAAUAAGCGUUCUUGUUGAUAAAUCUCUCAUUGCUAUUGGUUCAUACAACAAGAUAAGAAUGCAUGAUUUACUACAAGAGUUGGGUAGGGAAAUUGUUCGACAAGAAUCUAUUAAUCCUGGAAAUCGCAGUAGGUUGUGGCAUCAUGAGGAUAUCUAUGAAGUUCUUACAUAUAACACGGUAAGCAGUUUGUUGUGGAUAAUUAUUUUGAAAUAUUCUAGCAUUUACAAACUUGAUAGGAAUAUAUUUAUAUAUGCUCGAACUGAUGAGUCUUAGAAUUAAUAGAAGAGCGACAAUGAUUAGAAAAAACCAUAUCCGUUAGAUGACGUAGCAAUAAAUUAUAAAUGCCAUGACAACUUGCAUAAUCGUUUGCAAGCAUAAUUGAUAUGCCAAUUUGUAUGGUACACAGACGGAAUUUUUAUAUUAAGUAUUACUUGUGUUAUUAUGUUUCUUUGUGCAUUUGCAAUUAAAAGUUUAACUGCCUAGCAAUAACUACAAGCUACCUCUAAUUGUGAAUUAGUGAGAAAAUUGCCCCAAAAAUUAUCCCUAUGUAUUGUUGAAGGGCGAUUCAUUGGUGGAAUACACAUAUCUUUCAUUUGAUUUUAACUUUAUUGCUUUUUCAUUUAUUUUUAGGGGACAUAAAAAAUUGAGGGCAUAUGUUUGGAUAUGUAAAAAGUAAAAGAGCUCCGUCUAAAUCCCAAUACUUUCACAAAGAUGCCUAAAUUGAGAUUUUUAAAGUUCUAUAGUUCAUCACUCAAUGGAGAGAACAAAUGUAAGACGUCUUAUUUGCAAGACCCUGGAUUUGCUGAAGUGAAAUAUCUUCACUGGCAUGGAUAUCCGUUGAAGUCAUUACCCUCAAACCUUAGUGCAGAGAAGCUUGUGUUACUUGAAGUGCCUGAUAAUGACAUUGAACAACUUUGGGAUUGUGUGAAGGUAUGCAUAUCUUAUGUGCAAUCUUUCAAUAAAAAUAUUAAAUUAUUAUACGUGGUGAUGAUUUUGUCUUGGCCUCUUUUUUGACCGAGCAGCAUUAUAGUAAGUUAAACCAGAUAAUCCACGCUGCUUGCAAUAAGCUAAUUGCCAAAACUCCAAAUCCCACGUUGAUGCCACAUCUGAACAAGCUAGUUAUCUUGAAUCUAAGAGGUAGCAAAAGCCUGAAAAGUCUUCCAUCUGGAAUAUUUAACUUGGAAUUUCUUACCAAACUUGAUCUUUCGGGCUGCUCAAAACUGAAAAGGCUUCCAGAGAUCUCAUCAGGUAAUAUAAACUGGUUAUUUUUAAGGAGGACUGCAAUUGAAGAACUGCCUGUUGGUGGUAAAAUUGUGGGGAAUGGCAAAUGUAGAGAAAUACAACAAUAAUGGUGGAACUUUAUUAUGUAAAGUAAUAUGUUUACAACUAACUCUGUAUGUAGGAAGAAACUGCAGAAAUUUUGUGUGCUUCAAGGCACGUUACAAAUGUCGCUUUCCUUAAGACGUUAUUUGCCCCCACCAAUUGAGUGAUGCACAUGGGUUAAGCAAAUACGCCUCCAGGAUACAAUGAAGCACUUGUUUGUUUGCUUGCGUUGUGCAUCGACGAAAGCAAACCAGAAUACUCUUGAAUGUUGCAAGCCUGCCAAGAAACAAUAUAUUGUUCCUGCAGAAAACAAUAUAUUGGAAUGUGAAUGCACAAAAGAAAUGAGUGUUUUGUGUUGAAAUUCGUACUAGAAAAGAAUGCUAAGAAAAGAGUGGUGUAGGAUCAUUUAUUUCAUGUCUAAAUGGCUUAAACAUGACCCCUAUUUAUAGAUAUACUUGUGCCCCCUCAUUUGGGUUAUCAUCUUUCAUGAUACCCCUUCAUUCAUGGCCAUUGGAUCUAGAUUUGAUUUUAAUCAAUGGUCCAAAUUGAAUCAUCACCAUUUCAAAUGAAAUGUCACCAUGAAAUGAUGCAUCUCUAAGUGAAAUGUUGCCAUGAAAAGUUAUAUCAUUUAGUAAAAAGAUACCUUUUCUACAAGACGCAAUUAAAUGGACAUGUCCUUACAACAAUACAUCAUUUAAUUAGACAUGUUUUUAGUGAAAGGUACCUUUUCUAUAAGGCACAAUUAAUAGGACAUGUUAUUUUGAAAAAUUUCCAACAAUCCCCCACCAUUUUCAAAAUAAAUGAAUUUUGAAAAAUUAUCUUGCACAGGCUUGGAAAACUUAUGCAUAGAUGAAGGUGUCUUUUGGACUUGAACCUUCACUUAGUGAUAAUACAUCAAAGUUAAUCAAGGUGGCAAGGUAGGCAAGCUUUGAACCAGCGACCUUAAUCGACUAACCAGAUAUAUCUCACACAUAAGUUUUCAAAUUCUCAAGUAUUCCUUAGCCGACACGUGGAUUGGCCCUAUGUCUAUAUCCUGUUUUCAUGAGCGCUUUAGUAACCAACCAAGUUACAUAGGAAGCGGCACCACCUCCUACACUCACAUAAGUAGAGUUAUCUAGAAUGUCCCUGUAACUAAAAAAUUUAUAAGUCCAUUAAAAGCUAAGUAGCUUAACCUUUCUCAUAUGUUACAGGUAUCAAGCACUAACCUUUGGGACGCAUCUAAAAAUUUUAUAGUGCUUGCUAUCACAACAUAUGAUGUACUUUUGCUCAUUGAACCCAAGAUCUUGAUAUUUCAAGUGUUGGGUUGAGUUUCCAUCAUUGGUGAUAAGAUGAUGCUGGCUUCAGUCCCAUCCCCUUAGAAGUUUUAAAUACAAUAUCCCUUGCAAGGCCUUUAGUUAAGGGGUCUGCCAAAUUUUGGCAUGAUUUCACAAAGUCAAUUGUGAUUACUCCAUCUGUAAGUAAUUGUCUUACAUAACUAUGUCUUAGACCAAUGUGCCUAGACUUUCCAUUAUAGAUUUGACUAUAUGCUCUUGAUAAAGUUGCCUCACUAUCACAGUGAAUAGAUACAGGAGGCAUUGGUUUAGGCUAAAUAGGAAUUUCUAUAAGCAAAUUCCUUAACCAUUCAGCUUCCUUGCAACAUGAAGCCAAAGCUACAAAUUCUACAGCCAUGGUGGAGUCUGCUAUACAAGUUUGCUUCUUUGAGCCCCAUGAAAUAGCUCCUCCACUAAGAUUAAAAAUCCAACCACUUGUGGAUGUAUGAUCAUCUCGAUCAGUAAUCCAACUAGCAUCCGAAAAUCCUUCCAAAACUGAAGGAUAUCCAGUGUAGUAUAUACCAUAAUCCAUUGUAUGUUUUAAAUAUUUUAGAAUUCUGUACACUGCUUGCCAGUGUGCUUGGCUUGGAUUACUAGUAUAUCUACUGAGCUUUCCAACAGCGAAAGCAAUAUCAGGCCUAGUACAAGUCAUCGCAUACAUAAGACACCCAAUAAUACGUGCAUAUUCUAAUUGAGAUACUGAUCUGCCAGUGUUAGGAUACAGUCUUAUGUUUGAAUCAAAAGGUGUUGACACAGACUUACAAUCAUAAUAAUUAAAUUUCUUUAAAAUUUUCUCAAUAUAAUGUGUUGGGUCAAUACUAGGCCAUUCUCAUUUUUUAUAAUUUUAAUCCCCAAAAUCACAUUAGCAAGUCUCAUGUCAUAUCUUAAAUAGAGUGCCUAAUAAGAAAACAAAAGUGACCGCAUAUGAAUUAUGGAAAAAGAGAAAGCCUAAUCUUUCUUAUCUAAGAGUUUGGGGUUGUCGAGCCAUUGUAAGACUACCAAAACCUAAGAUAAAGAAAUUAGGAGAAAGGGGCAUUGAAUGCAUAUUCUUGGGAUAUGCUGAGCAUAGUAAAGCUUAUAGGUUUCUUGUAAUAGAACCUAAUAGCUUUGUUGAGAUCAAUACUAUAGUGGAAUCUAGAGAUGCAAUAUUCUAUGAAAAUAGAUUUUCCACUAUACCAAAAAGUAUUGAUUCUCAAGAGAAUGAUAAACAAAUAGAAAUUGGCCAAAAGCGUGAUGCUAAUAAUGAGCAAAAUCAUUUGAGAAGAAGUAAAAGAAUAAGGACCAUAAAAUCUUUUGGACCAGAUUUUAUAGUCUAUUUAGUUGAAGGGACAAGAGACUCACAAUCAAAACAGACCAUGAUCACACCUACUAUAGAGUCUGAUCCCCUCACCUAUGAAGAGGCAAUGAAGUCUCAAGAUACUGCUUUUUGGAAAGAGGCCAUUAAUGAUGAAAUGGACUCUAUUGUGGGUAAUAAGACUUGGAAAUUAGUUGAUUUACCACCUGGCUCUAAUCCUAUAGGUUGUAAAUGGAUUUUCAAAAAGAAGAAGAAAGUUGAUGGAACAAUUGAAAGAUUUAAAGCAAGACUAGUAGCAAAAGGCUUUACACAAAAAGAAGGCCUUGAUUAUUUUGAUACUUAUGCACAUGUUGCAAGAAUUGCUACUAUUAGAGUCUUGAUUGCUUUGGCUUCAAUUUAUCAAUUUGAAAUCCAUUAAAUGGAUGUAAAAACAGCUUUCUUAAAUGGAGAAUUAGAUGAGGAAAUUUACAUGAAACAACCAGAAGGGUUUGUUAUGCCAUGACAAGAACAUAAAGUUUGUAAACUAGUCAAGUCUUUAUAUGGUCUUAAACAAGCUCCAAAGCAGUGGCACGAAAAGUUUGACAAAGUGAUUGUCUCAAAUGGAGGAUUGUUGGAAAAUUUUCAAAAUAACAUGUCCUAUUAAUUGUGCCUUAUAGAAAAUGUACCUUUCACUAAAGACAUGUCUAAUUAAAUGAUGUCUUGUUGUAAGGACAUGUCCAUUUAAUUGUGUCUUGUAGAAAAUGUAUCUUUUUAUAAGGCACAAUUAAUAGGACAUGUUAUUUUGAAAAUUUUCCAACACUGCCUUCAUCAAUUGAGCUUCUACUUAGGCUCGGGCACUUGGACCUUUCAGAUUGUAAAAGGCUUAAAAGUCUCUCAAGCAGCCUAUUUAAAUUGAAAUCUCUUGGAGUUCUUAAUCUCGGUGGUUGCUCAAAUCUUCAGAGAUUGCCCGAAUGUCUUGGCCAAUUAUCCUCGCCAAUAAUAUUGAAUCUAGCGAAAACCAAUGUUGAGAGAAUACCAGAAAGCAUUAUUCAACUUUUCGUGUUCCGAUACCUCCUCUUAAGUUAUAGUGAGAGGAUUCAAUCCGUAUCAUUGCCUCUUGCACGAGGUUUGCCUGGCACUGCAACCAUUCUUAGGUUUGUUCUCUAGGUUAUGAAUCUUAUAGGCAGUGUUUUUUGACCGGAGCAAUAAUUUUAAAUUGGAAGGUAAUUUUACUGCAGGAAUUCUUGAAGAUACCCAGAGAAGUCCGCAUAUGGACCAUAAGCUAGCUGUCCUUUGGCAAUAAAUACAGGAAAAUGUGUGUCUUUAACUCUCUCUGCUUACAAUUUCUACAAUUUUUUUUGGGUUUAAAAUUAUGAUAUUUUGGUGCAGAGAGGUUUUUCUAUGGUCAAAGUUCAUAUGGUACUGCCUGGGAAUGAAAUUCCAAAGUGGUUUAAGUUUCAAAGUGCGAGAUCUUUUGUAACCUUGGAGAUUCCACCAGAUUUCUUCCGUAAUAGUAGAGUGCAGGGCAUUGCAUUUAAUGUUAUUUUAGCAUUUUCAAACCGUCAUGUAGAUUAUGGCAGAGGGUUUUCAUUUUCUUUUGAGCUCAAAGUGAAAACCACCAAAGAUUGUAGUCCCCAUGACACACAGUUAUUUCAGAGCAGAGUUAAUUAUAUAGAAUCAGAUCACUUACAUUUGGGGUACUAUCUGUUCUGUGAAGAGGAUUUUAAAGGUUUUUGGAAAUGCAAUUGCAUUCCUGAGGCAGUCCAAUUUAAUGUUUUUCCAUCUUUGGAGUGUGAGUGCUGUGGGGUGAAAAAAUGUGGGAUCGAUUUAUUUCGAUUCCCAAAUUCUGCGAAACCAAUGGAAGAUCCGAGCACAUGUUUCAACUAUAACGAAGAAGGCUGAUAUUUUCAUGAAUGUAUUUUUAUUUCUUUCCUUUUUCUAAUCAUAAUAAUAGGAGAAGAUGUCAAAAUCAGUUAUUGGAACAAAACAUUCAUGUAAUAACUUUUGAAGGAUCUGGUGCAUGUAACACACAUUCACACUAGAGUAUUGAACUUUACCUCAUUAGAUGAAGAGUAUAAUGUAUGAAAAGCACAUGAUGUGUAUUGUAAAAUUAAAAUUAUUGGCCUUCUUUCCUACAUUGCGCACACAACAAUCCAAAACACAUCUAUCUAAGUAGGAGAGCACGUGAAUUAUAAAUUGUAAAAAAACUCACUCGCUAGCGAUAUGGGAUAUUGUAAGACGCGCAGCAAGUUGUUAUUGGGGGAGCAAUGUUGUGGGCCCAUAUAAGGCCUGACAAGAUAUUGUCUAACUAGACUUGACAAGAUAUUGUCCGCUUUGGACCUUAAUGAGGCUCUUAUAGUUUUGUUUCUAGGGCGUCCAUACACCCCUAAUCGCGUUUUGUCAAUUAAGGUGCGGAUUACUCCUUAUAAACCUAUAAUCUCUCCCUUACUUGUUGAUGUGAGAUUUGCUUAGGGUGUUAUACUCAUCAUGUUGCGCACUAUAUCAACUCUCAUGUAUAUAAUACAAUCACAUUUGAAAAUUUUCUACUUUCUUAAAUCUAAAUUUUUGUACAUGGGAAAGUUUCAUCAUGUGCAAGCAAAAGCCAUUAAGAGGGAACAGUUAAAACACCAUCAAAUCUAUAUAUUUUAAAAAAUAUAUUUGUAUGUGGAUUUUUUUAAAAAAAGAACAAGGUAGGUGUCAUUUUCACUCAACUCAUUUGUGUUGUGAAUCCAUUUGCUAAAACAUGUAUGCACUUUUUCAAGUAUCUAUACUAAUUUCAUAUUCGGAAUGGUGCAUUUGAUUCCAUAGUUGAUGUGGGAGUCUAUGGCUAGAAUUUACCUUUAAAAUAUCAGCUUGGAAGGAAAGGAUUAAAGAUGCCCAUGAACUUAUAUUUCUAUUUAGAAUACUGUAUCUUUUUCAUGCAAAAAAUGGAAUCUUAUCAUUCACAUAUCAUUAACAUAAGCAAUAUAGAUCACGUAUCUUUAUGAUUGUGCUAAAUUUGACUUUUUAUAGAAUAAUUUGAUACAUUUCUUAAAUCCAUUUGGAGCUUCUACAACUUGUUAGGGAUCAGUUUCUCCUACAUUCAUUUCGGCGCCAAACGAUAUUCAAGCGGUUGAAUAAGAAUUGAUAUAUACAACAUAAAUAUAAGAGUUGUUUGUCUUUUUACAAUCGCAAUAAUAUAUAAUGCACAUAUAAAUGCAUUCAUGUAAUUCACAGAGUCAGAGAUAUUGCAUACAAAAGUUAAAUACAUGCUUUGAACCUAUACAAAAAAAAAUUACAGUCGAAAUUACGUAGAAGAUGAAUAAGGAGCUAAAUUUUUAUUUACCCAACAAUCAUCUCGCUACACAAUUCACAACAAGAAAGAGCAAUCUUGUUUGGCUAACCUGCGCCCGUGAGGAAUGGAGGCACUAAAGCCAUGGAUAUGGAGCAGAGGUGGAGAAUUGGGAUGUGAAUUUGGAAUUGAAGAAACCAAGUAAUUGAUGGAGUAUUGGCCCUUCCAUUUCCACAUUUUGCAACUCUUCCUUACCUCAUUAACCUCCAAUUCCAGCGCAGCUGAAGUAGAAUCCCUCCACUGCUACUGUUAGUAUAACUGAUGGUAACAUUUUGUCUCUUCUUUUUGUCCUUAUUCCUCUGCUGCAACUGCAACUUAAACUGCCAACUCUUAUUGCUCAAUACGGGCAUGAGCAGGCCCUUUCGAUUUCCAUCCCCAAUUCCGAGUGUUGUUAACUUGUUAUUGGAAUAAUGGGAGAGGGAGCCCGAGCACAUACUCAUUCUUUUCUUGCUUUUUCAAUUGAAUAUUUUCCGUGGCCUAGACGGGCCUGCCCUUUCCCUGCUUCUACCUCUAUGAGACUGACUACGACAGAACUUUUUAUUUAUUUAUUUAUGAGGCUUAUUCCACUAUUAUAUGAAAAUUUUACUGAUAUUCCUCAAAAAUCAAAAUGCCUGAAACGAAUAUUAAGCGCUUUACUAAAAUACUCUGUGUGAUGGAACCUCCACCCAAUAAUUUUUGCAUACCCAUCUCAUUUUUUUAAAAAAAUAAUUAUAAAAAGUAUAGACUAUUUUUAAAAAUCUUCAAAUAAAGAAGAACUUUAGAGGAUUAAUUAAUUAAAUUUAUUUUAAUUUAUUUUUUUGUGACUCAAUUUUUUUAUUAUAUUUGACUACAAAGAUUACUUUGGCAUAAGUUUAAAUUCGAUUUUACUCUUACAAGGUAAAACUAACAAGAAUUUACUUUAAUAUUUUUCUAAUUUUAUACCCAACUCAAGGUUUCUAAUACUACUUUAUUAGUAUGAGUAUUAAUCCUUAAUUAAACUAAUAUAGUGUCUUUAUGGCAUAUACUAAUGUAAAUUGUUGAGAUGUCAAAUUUAUGCCAUUUACACGUAAGGGUAGUAAAAGUAAUAAUUAGAUUUCAUUUAAAAAUAUUAGAUUAUAAAUCAAAAAAUUGAAUACUUAAAUUAUUGGAUACAAUAACACAUGUUUAUUGAGGCAAUUUAGUCGUUAUAUAUCAGAAUAAUAAUGAACUAAAAUAAAACUUAUAUUAAAGAUUAUGAUCAAAGAUGGUCAAAGAACUUAAGAUUGAGCAAAUCCCUUGACUGCAAAAAUUAGAUCAAGCAAAGCUUGCAUUCCCUAUAGUUAAAAAAGGAAAAAAAUCAUUACUAUUACCCUUAAAUUUUAAUUAAACAAAAAACGAAGCAAGAGUGAAUAGAGUAAUACCAAAGCAAAUUUAGGAUUGUUAGGUCCAAUUUGUGGACCAACUUCUGAACUUCUAAUAGUAGACUUAGGAGGAAGGAUUUGAAGAAGCUACGGCGGCCGCGAAUACGCAUCAAGAUUCACACUGCUCCUCACUUUGAGGGCCAAAAGAGUGCGGAGGCGAGACAAAGCUGACGCGCGAUUCUUGUGCUACGAUCGGUCUUUAGCGGCCUGCGCUAUGAAGCCAGUCGGUACGUGCUUGAGACGUACGGCGGAUUCAUGCUUGUUGCGGUGCUGACCGCCUGGUCCUGACGAUUUGUACGUGUCCAUUUCGCAUUCGCGAAACAGCUCAUCGUCCGUCAAUUCUAAGUAAUUCUUCUUCGAAGAAGAAGAAGUUGAAGAACAAUUGUCAUUGGUGUUGUAAUUACAAGACAAGAACAAUGGCUGAUAAUUCCAGCAACACAUUCUUAUAGUAGGCCCAGCCUAAUCCAGCCCAGUCGCGCUAGUGAGCGACUUCUCACCUAUCUUAUAUGCAAUGAUUAUGGGCUGGUUGGAUGUAGUUUAUCUAAUAAGUCUUUAUUUAGGGCCAAUUUAGGAUUGCGAAGGUUGAUGAAAUAAACUACUUGUACUGUAUAGAUAAAAUAAGUUGCUAAUUAAAAAAGUAGCUAAGUAUUUGGUAAAUUGCGUUGUUACAGUUACUGUAAGUUUGAAAAGUAGAGUACAUGCGUUUGGUAAAUUUUAUUACAAAAGUAAUGUUUUAUUAUAUGAUGACCAAAAUAGAAAUAAGUUUAAAUUAUCUUUUACUUUUAUAGUAUAUUUAAUAAAUCAUUUAGACAUACCUUUUCUUCUUAAACAUGUAAAAUUACAUUAAAAAACUCAAUUAACAACAUGGAUAUAAAAUAAAACAUGGGUAAAGAAAAGAGUAUAGGGAAAAGGACAUUUACACCCCCAAGGUUUGGGAAAAUGGUCACCAACACCCCCAAAUUUUUAAAGAGGGACAUCCACACCCCCUUUUGACCAUUAUACCCUUUACCUCUAUUAUUCUAGAAAAAUCGACUCUAAUAUUUUACAAUAAAUAUAAAUAUAAUAUUAAAAUAAAUUUAAUAAUAUAUACAUUUUAAAAUAAUUUAAAUAUUUAAAUAUUUUAUAAUCUAUUAGAUAUAUUUUAUUAUAUUAAAGUAAAUUUUAUGAUAAAUAGAAUCAAAAAAUAAAAAUAAAGGUAUUAAAUAUUUAAAUUAUUUUGAAUAUUAUGUAAAAUAAUUAUUUUAACAAUAUUAGUAUGUUAGAAUGUUUUUAAUUGUAGAAUGUAUUUAAUGCAAAUAUUUAUUUAAAAUCUCUACAAUAAAUAAAAAUACAUUAUUAAAAUAAAUAUAAUAAUUUAAAUAUUAAAAUAUUUUAAUAUUGUUAGCUACUACAUAGAUUGGAUUAUUUACAUGGUAUUUGUAUUUAAUAAAAAUUUUAAAGUCAAUUUUUUAGAAUAAUAGAGGUAAAUGGUAUAAUGGUCAAAAGAGGAUCUCGGUGUCCCUCUUUGCAAACUUGGGGGUGUUGGUGACCAUUUCCCCAAACUUGAGGGGUGUAGUUGUCCUUUUUCCAAAACUAUUUAGAAACAAAUAUGAACUUACUGGAUAAAAAUUAGAUAUAAAAAAAUAUAAAUAUAUAUAGAUUAAAUUUUAAAAGCCAUAGUUAUGGAAUUACAAUAUGAACUUAUUGGAUAAAAACUGGAGAAAACGUACGUGGUUACAACGGUAACUAAAUUAUGGCGGUAAUAUAAUAUCUAAUGAUUUAUAUAUUAGGGUUUAUAAAUAAGUAAGAUAUAAUUUUUUUAUGAAAAUACUAGGUUUGUAAUAGGAAUUUUUAAGAAGUGUUGUAGCUUAUUGAAUAAGUUGCUUAUGAAGAGCAGCUUAUGAUAUCUAAUGAUUUAUAUAUUAGGGUUUAUAAAUAAACAAGAUAUAAUUGUCUUUUUAUUAAAAUACCAAGGUUGUAAUAGGAAUUUUCAAAAAUGUUAAAAUGUUUAAAAUAUUCUUUAUUUAUUUGACAAUCUUAUUUUAUUUUUUAUAACAUAACUUUAAAAAACUUGUCUAUUAAAUUAAUUUUAUAAUUUGUAAUAAAAGUUUUCAUUGACAACCAAACAAUUAAAUUUCUUUUUAGUAACUCUAUUUAUAAAAGUUCUACUGACAAAAGGUCGAUUUAAAUAAGCUCUAUUUAAAAGUUAUACUAAACACAGGGAUGACAAAAAUCCCCACGGGGACGGGUACCCUCGAGGAUUUUUCCCAUUCGGGGAGGAUAUGGGGAUAAUUUCAUACCCAAUUUCUUAUUCGGGGAAGGGACAGGGAAAUUUUUUUACCCAAUUUCUUAUUCGGGGAGGGGACAGGGAUGAGGUGGAAUCUCCAUCCCCUACCCAUUUCCCCAUUUUAAUUUUUAAUUUUAUUUUAAUUUUUUAAAAUUACUAGCAAAAAAAUAAAUUUUAAAUUAUAAAAUUAUAAAUAUUGGUAAAAAUAAAAAAUGUCAAAAUAUUUAUAUUAUUAAACUUUUAGGCCUAAUUAACUAAUUAAAGUCCUAAAUUUUUAUUUAGGACAUUAAAAAGACCGAGUAGAUUCUAUUAGCCCAACAUUUUUUUUAAUUUUAAUAUUCUUUAAAUAUUUUAAACUUAAAUCUAUUUUUUAUUUAUUUUUAGAUGUUAUAAUUGCCCACAGCGAAUCACAAUUUUAAUAUCUAAUCUAAUCUAAUCUAAUCUAAUAUUUGCUCUUGAUUUGCUCCGAUUUAACUAUUGUGUUAUAAAGGGAAUAGUCCACAUUUAUAAAGUGCUCACGCCACCAUUGAAAAAGUUAAUUUUCAAUCUAAAUUCGAUUUUAUUUGUAACAAUUUUUGUAUUAGACUAUUAAUUUGUUCAUGAUAGUUUCUAAAAGAAGUUUGUAUCCUUUGCAUGUUGCGUUACUUACUAAUUUAAUGUAUGUGAAUUUUGUAAUAGAUAUUAAUGUAAGAUAUAUUUCGAGCUUUACUUUUAUUUGAAUUUUUUAUUUUAAUAUGAUUAACUCAAAAUCGAAAAUAAAAAAAAUAUAUUAGUUAUUCGGGGAUCGGGGACCCUCGGGGAUCCCUGUUAUUAUUCGGGGAGGGGAUGGGGAUUCUCUCAAGUAAUUCUGUCGGGGACGGGGAGGGGACAUGGACAUACGCAAAAUAUCGGGGAUGGGUACGGGGAGAUCGGUCCCCUCCCCUCCCCUCCCCAUUGCCAUCCCUACCAAACAGAUCCAACAGUAUCAUUGACGCAAGCAAUAUUAUUAUUCUAUUAUUUUUUAACUCAUGUGGCUAUGUAUCAUUUGAAAAAUACUAUUAUAAGAGGGAGGGAUAUAAUUUAUGCUGGAAUAUUCUCAAAAUAAAUGGCGUGCCUUAAAAGGUGUCUUAUUGUAAAAUACAUCUAACUAAAUAUUGUCAUAUACAAGAAAAAUGUAUCCUUUUUUUUAUAUAUAAAAAAAAAAAGAUGUAUCUAUUCAUGGUGCCAUAUUUUUAUUUGAAAUGAUGGUGGUUGAUCUUGGACCAGUGAUGAUUUAAUUCAAAUUUUGAUCCAAUAACCAUGGAUAGAGGGUGUCAUAAAAGGUAACAACCCAAAUGAAGGGGCACAUGAUUAUCUAUAAAUAGAAGUCACAACAUUUUCUAUAACUAGAAGUUACGCCAUUUUGUGAUCCAUAUAAUCUUCUUGCACCACUCUUUUUUUAUUUAACCCCUCUUUCCUAAAACGAAUUUAUGCAUAAUACAUCUAUAUUUUAUGCAUCAAAUCUCUAAAAUAUUAUUUUUUGCAGGAACAAUAUAUUGAUUUUUCGUAGGCUUGCAACACAGAAGGGUAUUUAGGUUUGCUUUUAUUAGUGCAUAAUACAGGCAAAUAAAACAAGCACUUCAUUAUAUCAUGGAGAUAUAUUUGCUUAACUCAUAUAUAUCACGCAAAUGCAGGAGGGAGUAACUAACUUCUUGAGGAAUGCAACAUUGUGUCUGGCAGCACUGUCAAUUCUCACAGUGUACUAUUCUUAUUAUUAUUAUGAUUAUUAUUCUUUGUACCUAUAAAAUUUCAUCUAUUUUUCUCCAAUUUUCCACAAUUAUUACUCCCCACGAAUAUAUUUCCAAUAUUUUAUUUCAUAUACUUACUUCUGCUACUAGUACGAUAACAAAAUAUGUAUUUUUGAACUACAUUAGUUUCUAGAUCCAUUUUAUUGAUAAAUUAACCGAACGCACCAUCCAUUAUUUAAUUUAUGGGUCACAUAAGUCAUAAGUAGUUGAAAUAAAAUGUUUGUUUGGUAGAUAAAAUCGAUUUUUAAAAUACUUUAAAAGAUUUUAUUUCUAUGAAGCCUAGUCCAACAUAGAAAAUCAAAUAAAAUUAAUUUUCAUCACUACUCGAGAGACUCAAAGAGUAGUAGAGUACUAAGGUAGCAUUUAUUUUUUUAUAUAAAAUUUGAGUAGGCCUGAACUUGGGUGAAGUCUGAAUAUAAAUGUCUAAAUAAUAUGUUUAUUUUUUUAAUAUCUGAAAAUUAAGUGACUUCUUAUUUAUUUUUAUAAUUUUAAAAAACCAAACAUAGUUAUUUAAUAUUUUUGUCCUUAUAAGUCAAAAUGAAUAAAAGAAUUAUGCUUUAUAGUUUAGGAAAUAACUAUAUUUAAUAGAAAUAUCUUUAGGGUAUAGUAUUUACUUUCCAUUUCGAUAAAAGUAACAAAAAUUCACUUUUUGUAUUCAAAUGUAAAUAUGUAAAACUCACACAUAAGUUCCUAAACGUAAACAAGCAACUUCAAGAAAUAAAAAAAAGUUAUGUAGCUUUUGUUUUAAACAAAAAUAAUAAAUAAUAAUAAUUUUCAAAAUUAAAUACAGUAUCACCCUGCUCAUUGCUGAUAGUUUUGAAAAUUAAGUUAUGGUGUUCAUGUGGAAAUUUCAGCUAAAAGUCCACAAAGUAAUUUCAGUCAUCGUAGUCCACGGUGCUUGGACAAUGAGAUGACAUUGAAAAAUUAUCACGGAACUUCAAGGGAGGUUCAUAGCAUCGAUUUAUUCUACAGAGUCACGCUCAUUUUGGCUUAGAAAUUGUUUUCAUAUGAUCAAAAUCUCUCCCAAAUCAAUCCAACUGUCUCUGUUAAUUAUGGCAACAAGAAAUAUGAUGUUUUUUUAGUUUUUUGGGUAGAUAAUCUCAAUUUUAAAAUACUUCAAAAGAUUUUCAAACAUAAGAUACAAUGGUAUACAACUAAAGCCUAAUCCAACAUAGAAAAAUUAAAUAAAAUUAAUUUUCAUCACUACUCAGAGAGAAUUGAAAGGACAUUAAGGUAGUGUUUAUUUUUUUUAAUCUAAAAUUUGAAUAGGCCUGAAUUUGACUGAAAUCUAAAUGGGUUUGAAUAUAAAUGUCUCAAUAAUAUUUUUCUUAAUAUCUAAAAAUUAAGUGGCAUCUUAUUCGUUUCUAUAAUAAAAAAAAAACAUAUCAAACGCUGUUAUUUGACAUUUAUGCCCUUACAAGUCAAAUUGAGUAAAAGGGAUUAGGCUUCGUAGUUUAGGAAAUAACUUUAUUGAAUAGAAAUAUUUUUAGGAUAUAGUAUUUAUUUUGCAUUCAAACAUUUUCUCAUUUUGCCAAAGGUCACAGAAAUUUACUUUUUUAAUUUAAAUGUAAAUGUCUAAAAAUCAGACAUAAGUUACAAAAAAAAUUAUUAUUAUUAUUAUUAUUAUAAAGUUAGACUUCAUUUAUUUAACAAUCAACCGUAAGGAACAUGAAAAAGAGCUAUUAAAAAAAAAAAAAGAAUACUUUUGAAACUAAAUAUAAUUAGUUGAGAGAUGAGGACCGAUAAGAUAAAUUGAGAGAUAAAAACUAAAAUAUCAUCCCCUCAUUGUUGAUAGUUAUGAGUAUGAAAGCACAGAAGCCGUGUGUUGAAAACUAUGGUGUUCAUGUGGAAUUUUCAGCUAAAAGUCUACAAAGUAGUGGAAUUAAUCAAUCAUCGCGGAGUGCACGGUGGUUGGACAAUGAAAUGAAAUUGAAAAAUUAUCACGGAACGUGAAAGAAGGUUCAUGGCAUCGAUUUAUUGUACAGAGUCGCGCACAUUUGGUUCAAUAAUUGUUUUCAUCCGAAUCAAAUCUCUUUCUAAUCAAUUCAACUGAUUUUGUUGAUUAUGGCUUCUUCUUCUCAAAACAACAAGAAGUAUGAUGUUUUUGUUAGUUUCAGAGGAGAGGACACCCGCGACAACUUUAUUAGCCAUCUCUGAUAUGCUCUAUGUCGACAAAAUAUCCAAACUUUCAUUGAUGACCAACUUAAUAGAGGAGAUGAAAUUUCGGAGUCACUUGCGCAUGCAAUUGAAGUAUCAGCCAUUUUAGUUAUCGUCUUCUCAGAAGGGUAUGCAUCUUCCAAAUGAUGUCUCGAUGAACUUGUAAAGAUCCUCAAGUGCAAGAAAGAGUAUGCACAUAUUGUGAUUGUUGGGAAAUUGAUGGGUGAAGCAGGACCACAAGUAAAAUGAAAUUGGAAGAAAAUAAAGAACAAGCUCAAAAGAGGAAUCAGAAAUUACGUGGUUCGGCUUUUAACCUACAUCCACUGGUGAAGAUAGAAGGAAAAUAUUUUACUAGUGAAAAGGAAUUACAAGUAUUGUGGUAUUUUAGCUCACUACCCAAAAUCCCAAUACACCCAAACUCUCAAAUCACAAAUCACUCAAGAGUUUGUUAAAACUCUUAAAAUACUCUCACUUUCUCUCUAAAGAAGAAGAAAUAAAAAUGAAAAAAUUGGAUGCACUAAACCGAUGGGGAACUCCCCUUUUUAUAGCCAAAAUUGGCUAUUAAAAUAAUAAUUUUUUUCUUGGGCGGCACCCUUUCUUCUUCUUCCAAUUUCUUCUUUCUUUUUUUUCUUCAUUCCAAAUUUGCUGCUGCCAAAUUCUUCUUUUUUUCUUCAACAAUUUCGGCAUUCAAAAUGGGCUGCAUCUAGAACGGUUGGCUUCUAGAUUUGCAACAUCCAUUUUUGACAUUCUCCCACUUGGAGAUUUGAUUGAGAAUUAAUCAAUCUCCACACCAUCCUUUCUGCUUCGCCAUUGUCAUGGUGCUUAUGUCUUUACUAGGCCACAAGAGGAUCUAUUCCAUACAAACUUGUCGAUAUUAAUUGGCUUGGUCAUAACAUCUGCUAGGUUUUCCUUUGUAUGGAUUUUCUAUAAAACCACACUUCCGUCUUCCACUACUUCUCAAAUGAAGUGGUAUUGAACUCCUAUGUGCUUUGUUCUAAAAUGAAAGACUGGAUUUCUUGCAAUGUGCAAAGUACUCUAACUAUCACAAACUUUCAUUGAUGACCAACUUAACAAACGAGAUGAAAUUUCAGAGUCACUUGUGAAUGCAAUUAAAGCAUCAGCCAUUUCAGUUAUCAUUUUCUCUAAACACUACGCUUCUUCCAGAUGGUGUCUUGAUGAACUUGCAGAGAUCAUCGAGUGCAAGAAAGAGCAUGCACAGAUUGUGUUACCGGUUUUCUACCGCGUUGAUCCAUCAGACGUGAGAAACCAAAAAGGGAGUUUUGGGGAUUCAUUUUCAAAGCUUGAAGAAAGAUUUGAGCAAAAUUCGGAGAAGCUGCAGACAUGGAGGAAGGGAUUGAGAGAAGCGGCUGGUUUGUCUGGAUUUCAUUAUCGUAGCAUCAGGUGAAAGUUACUUUUAAUUUCUCAUGCUAAUAUUUAACACUGUAAAUAAAAUUCAUGCAGCAUUCUUAGUUAAAUUUCCGGAUGCUAAACUACAAUUUUAAAUUUUUUAGGCAUCAAAUUCUAGGCUUCUUGACUUCCCCACUUUUGAACCUUGAUGAUUAUGAAAGAAUUUUGACAGAAUUAAUAAUAAAAGCCCGAUAAUUUUACAAUAUAUUUAACAAAAUUAAUGGUGGUCUGUCGUUUUUUUAAGCAAUUUCGAUCUCACAUACCUCCAUCAGCAAAACAAAAAGAAGUCACACAUAUUCCUAUAAUUUAAGAGUUAUUAAUUUAUAGGGAGAUUGUAGUGGUAUAUAUUAAUUUCAAUUGGAAAACUAGCAAUCUCCCUUAUUUCAUAUUUGAUGCAAAUCCCUCCUAUUUGAAGCUACUGCUGCUAAUUUUAUGUAUUUGGCAGGCCUGAAUCAGAACUUAUAAACGAAGUUGUUAAUCACAUUUUGAAGAGACUGAUGGAAGAAGUGUUUCGGCCGCGUGAUAACAAAAGCCAGCUGGUUGGAGUAGAAUCAAGAGUUGAGGAAAUUGAAUCUCUACUAAGUGUUGAGUCGAAAGAUGUUUACGCUUUAGGGAUUUGGGGCAUUGGUGGUAUAGGCAAAACAACAAUCGCUAGAGCUACUUUCGACAAAAUCUCUAGAUAUUUUGAAGGUUCUUGCUUCCUUGAAAAUGUUAGAGGAGAGUCACAAAGAACGGGAGGAUUAGCUUGCUUGCGACAAAAACGUCUUUCAAAUUUAUUGAAGGAUGAAAAUGUGAUUCCUGGUAUUGACCUCAAUUUUAGAGGCUCAGCCUCAUGAAGGUUCUGAUUGUUUUUUAUUAUGUGACUUGCUUCAGCCAAUUAGAAUCUAUAAUUGGAAGUCUUGAUUGGUUGAUGCCUGUGAGUCGAAUCAUAAUAACCACCAGAAAUAAACAAGUGCUUAGAAAUUGGGGGGUGAGGAAAAUAUAUGAGAUGGAGGCAUUAGAAUAUCAUCACGCUCUUGAGCUUUUUAGUCGACAUGCCUUCAAACAAAACCAUCCUGAUGUUGGUUAUGAGGAACUUUCAAGUAAGGCAAUGAAAUAUGCUCAAGGUGUUCCUUUAGCUCUUAAAGUUUUGGGUUGCUUUCUAUAUGAAAGGGUAAAAGAAGUCUGGGAAAGUACAAUAAAUAAAUUGUAAAGAAUCCUCCAUCCAAGUAUUCUAGGGGUAUUAAAAAUAAGUUAUGAUGGUUUGGAUAAUAAAGAGAAAAAUAUUUUCCUUGAUGUUGCUUGUUUCUUUCAAGGUGAGGAUGUAAAUCUUAUAAUGAAAUUCCUUAAUGCAAGCGGCUUCUACCCAGAAAUAGGAAUAAGUGUUCUCGUUGAUAAGUCUCUUAUAAUCAUAUCAAAUAACAACAAGAUAACUAUGCAUGAUUUGCUACAAGAAUUGGGUAGGGAUAUUGUUAGUCAAAAAUCAAAUGAUCCUGGAAACCGCAGUCGGUUGUGGCAUCACGAGGAUAUCUACGAAGUUCUUACAUAUAAUACGGUAAGCAAUUUGCUGUGGAUUAUUACUUUGGAAUAUUCUAGCAUUUACAAACUUGAUAUGUAAAUAUUUAUAUACCCUCGAAUUGAUGAAGCUAGAAUUAAUAGUGGUUAUAAAUGCCGUGACAACUUGUAUAAUUCUUUGUAAGGAUAGUUUAUAUUGUCAAUUUGUAUUGUAUCCCACAUGCGUAAAUUUCAUGUUUAGUAUUACUUGUAUUAUUAUGUUCCUUUGUGCGUUUGCAAUUAAGAGUUUCACUGCCUAGCAAUGACUAUAUAAACAUGAAUUACUGAAAUUUGAUUCAAGCAAUGAUAAAAAAUUCCACUCCAAUCCCACCUCAAUUCCACACAAGAGUGAAAAAAAAAGGUUGAAUUAAUAACUAAGUUACCCCUUGUUGUGAAUCAAUGGCAAACAUGCCCCAAAAAUUUGUCUCGGUGGGGUUGAGGUGCAAUUCAUUGGUGGGAUAUAAAUAUCAUUUUUCAUUUUUUUAUUGAUUAUUAGGGGACCGAAAAAGUUGAGGGCAUCUGUUUGAAUAUGUCCAAAGUGAAAGAGAUUCACCUAAAUCCCAAUACAUUCACAAAGAUGCGGAAAUUGAGAUUUUUAAAAUUCUAUAGCUCAUCAUUCAACGGAGAGAACAAAUGUAAGGUGUCUUAUUUGCUGAAGUGAAGUAUCUCUGUUAAAGUAUGAGCUUUAAACUGAUUUCCAGAAGAUCAACCGUCAUGUCAGUUUGUGUUUAUUUUGGUAUACGACAUGUCAGCUGUAAAGCAUACAAGUCUGUGUGACAAACUUGUAUCGUCAUCCAAAGUCUAUUAAGUAAAGCACGCAAAUGUCACGUGCUUUCACUUACUCCAUACGGCAUGGAAGACUGUCAUUUUGGGGGUCACUGCUUGGAAGAAAUCAACACAUGUCCUCAAGGUUGUUAAUGACAGCUACAACAGGCGGGAGAACUCUGGGUUUUGUUAGCUAACAAACCCAGAUUACAGCUGGUUGACAGGGGAUAUUUGUGAAGGGCUUUAAGCUAGUAUAAGUAGCCUUAAGGGUUGGGAAAUCAGUAGUUGUAUUGUGUGUCACUUCGUCUCUAAACUUGUAACUUGUUCUUGGUGAUUGAAUAAAAGCUGCUGCUCUGUUCUUCAGUGGAUGUAAGCUGUCUUCAGCUGAACCACUUAUAUUUGUUGUUCUUUGCUUAUUGUUUCUGGGUGAUUCUUUUGUGUGAAUUCGAUUAUCCAUUUUCUAGAUCAUUGUUAGAAAGUUCAGCUAGGUCCUGGAGAUUCUUGAUUGGAUACUAAAUCUAAUCUUGGUUCAACAAUCUCCACUGGCAUGGAUAUCCAUUGAAGUCAUUGCCUUCAAACAUUAGUGCAGAGAAGCUUGUGUUUCUUGAAAUGCCUAAUGGCAGCAUUGAACAACUUUGGGAUGGUAUGAAAGUAUGUAUAACUUAAUAGUUUGGGAUGGUAUGAACAUUAUCAACUUUGGGUUUGGGAUGGUAUGAAAGUAUCUCCACACUUUGAAAUUCUUGAUCUCAGUGGUUGCUUAAAUCUUCAGAGAUUGUCCGAAUGUCUUGGCCAGUCGUCCUCUCUAGGAACAUUGCUUCUAGAGAAAACCAAUAUUGAGAGAAUACCAGAAAGCAUCAUCCAAAUUUCUGUGUUGACUUACCUCCGCUUAAGCUAUUGUGAGAGGCUUCAAUCCGUACCAAAGCUUUCAUUUCUUGUACGAUGGUUAGAUGCCGAUCAUUGCACAUCGCUGCAAUCAUUAGCAGGUUUAUUCUCAAGUUCUGAAUCUUAUACAUAAGCAGUGUUUUUUUACUAGAGCAAUAAUUUUAAAUCGGAUGGUAAUUCUACUGCAGGAAUUGUUGAAGAUGCCCUGCAGAGAAUUCAGCUUAUGGCAGCUGCCCAAUGGAAAGAAGUACAGGAAAAGGUGUGUUUUUAACUCUCUUCUUUCAAUUUAUAUAUAUAUAUAUAAUUUUUUUUUUUCAGUUAUCAAUUUUAUUUUUUAUUUUUUGCCGAUUGAUUUUCACAUGAACGGAGGUCAAAUCUUACUACUCGGGAAUGAAAUUCCGAAGUGGUUUGAGUUUCAAAGUGUGGGAUCUUUUUUAACCUUGGAGAUGCCACCAGAUUCCUUCAAUAAUAACCGAGUACUACUGGGCUUUGCAUUUAGUGCUUUUGUAGCAUUUUCAGACCGUCAUGUAGAUAAUGACAGAUGGUUUUCAUUUUCUUGUGAAUUCAAAGUGAAAACCGAAGAUUGUGAUCCUCAUGUCACACGGAGAGAUUUCUUAAGCGCCUUGCUUACGUAGAAUCAGAUCACUUACUUUUGGGGUGCUAUUUUUUCAGUGAGGAGGAUUUCAAUGGUUUUUGGAAAUAUAAUUGCGUUCCUGAGGCAGUCUUACUAAACCAUGACUUCCAAUAAAUCAUGCAGUAACAUUACUUUGUACCCUUUUUCAGUUUUUCUUACUCUCUUGCAUUUUUUAGAGUACAUAUACCAUGGAGAAGUCUAUGUUUGUAACGCCACAAAUUUCCAUAAUAUUAAAUUAUGGAAAUUGGGCUUUCAUUAAUAAUUAUGGGUGCUUAUAACCCUUUUUAAGAAAAUGAUACUAAAUUAUAAAUAGAGUUUAUUUAUGAGAUAGUUUUGAAAAAGGGUUAUUUUUCCUUAUUAAAUAGGGUUUCUUACGAUUCCCUAUAAAUGUCUACUUUUUCCCUUUCCAUAACCCUAAGUUCACGACGUUUAUUCUUCUUCUCUGCUGCUCUUUACGCUCCUACCCAAAUCUUAGGAUUCAAACCUUUGUUUAAGAGAGAAUCAAAGCGACGGGUAAGUUAUUAUCCCUAUUCUCAACAGAUUUCUAAUCACUCUAUCUAGGGUUUAUAUUGGCACGAUUCUAAAUGGUUAUAGAUCAUAAUGCAUGAUUUAGAAUGUAUUUAGGCGUUGUUUAUCGUCUUGAUUUAUUAUGAGUUUAGUUAAUCAAUCCUUGACGUAUUAAGCACAGGAUAAUUCUGGACAGCAUGAGUAUCUCGAAUUUAAACCUAUACUUUCUGAACGAAUUUUCUUAUAAAAUUUAUAUUUCUGGAAACUAGACAUGUAGGGCUUCUUGAGUAAAUUUUAUUUCAUUAAAUUCGACUUCUUUUUUAAUUUUAUAUGUAUUUUCGAAAUAGAAACCACUGCACUGGAAAACUGCGAUUCCAGCAUUGCGAUCGGAUUCACAAGACUAUUUGUACCACCCAAUGAACUCGGAAAAUUCUGAAAGUCUAUAUGUAGGUUAAUAUAUGUGUCUAGGAUUCCCAGUUUUAAUUUCAUAAUUUUCUGAUUAGUAUUUUAUUUUAUAAAAAUCAUGAAAACCGUUCUGUUUGGUUUAGAUUAUGUGAAAACAGUUUCGAAUUUGCUGAGAAGUAAAUAGUUUUUAAAAUGUUUUUGAUAUCGGAUCCUCUUGUAAAUUUUACAUGGGGUACUCAUGGAUGUCCAGAAUAGUUCCACAGAAUAUUAUAUCAUUCUGAGUUUUAGAUUAAGAGUUAAAAUUCUGAGAAUCAGACUUGUACGGGUAUGAAUUAGAAAAUCAGAUUCUUAGAAUAAGUUAUUAAUUGUCAUAUCUUGUAUUUGUUUAAGGUAUUGAAGGUGAUUGAGGCUCUUAGAAGCUUAGAGGUGUGUUAAUUCAAAUUCAUUUGUCGAGGUAAGUAACUUCAUUCCUAGUAUACUGGAUAUGUAUAAGUAUUUUGAUAUUAUUAUAAGUAUAAAUCUUUUUAAACUACUUAAAGGAUUAAUUGAUUUUGAUAACAAAAUUAGUUUUAUGCAAAUGUUUUCAAACCUAAAUUCUUUUUAACAAAGUAUUUUAUAAAUUCUUUUUAAUAGGUAAAUGAUUUUAUGACAUGACAACCUUUUAUGAUUUUAUCUUUAAAAUGUUAUGCAAGCCUAAAUUAUUGAUAUGAACUUUUAUGAAUCUGAUACAAAUGUUUUAUACCCAUGUUUGAUUUCAAUUAUUGAUGAUUGUAUGGGAUUCCUAAUGUUUUGGCUCAUUGUCCAUAGUUAUUCUGAUUCUGAUUCUAAUUCUGAUUGUAAUAUACGAUAUAUCUGUCUGGACCAGUAUUGGGUUUUUGUUUGAGUGUGCACGCGAUAUUCUGAUUCUUUUUCUGGCCGGGUCACCGGGACUAGAGGUGACACUAUGUGACAAGAGCUAACCUUUUGUUUUCUGUAUACAUAUUAUAUGAUUUACUUCGUAAGUAAAUAUGCUUUUGGAUAUUCUGAAUUAUUAAGAAUUUAUGUUAUGUUAUCAUGAUAUAUUGUUUUAUGAAAUUUAUGGAUUAUGAUAUAUGUUUUAAACAAAAGAAGGCUUGCAAUAUUUUUAUAUCGAUAGGCCUAGUAUGUUAGAAAUGGUUUUACUUACCGAGUUGACGGCUCACCCCUCGUCAUUACUUUUUACAAAUUAAGUUUCUUUUGAGAGGUGCGCUUAGCUUUGGAGUUAGUAAUUUUCCGUUUCCGUUUGCCAUUUGAAUAAGAGGAGGAAUAGAUUCGUGUUUCUAUUUAGUUAUUUCUAUUAUGAACGUGUAAUUUGGAGUUUGAGACUUUUGUUAUUAUUUUUAUGUCCUCGGGAGAGAUUAUUUAGUAUUAGAUGUUUGAAUUUGUGGAUUUAUUUGAAUAAGAAUUGGAGGUAUUUCAGUUUGAAACUUAUGAGUAAAGAUUAUGAUUUGUGAGUAACCUCCUUCUUCACGUGCUGCGCACGUGUUAGAUUUGGGGUGUUACAAUGUUACGGCUUGUGUAAGUAAGAGCAGCCAAUGGGGAACUUCCACGAGUGCUAGAGGAGAGAGAAAGAGGUCCAAAUGCAAUUAUGCAAGGUGAUGGAAAUGGGAAAGUUCGAAGCUGUUACUUGCAGCUUCCGCACCGUAGCGGUGUCCGUACAUCAUUAGCUCUUUUGAAAUCUUAUAUUAUAAGAUUUAACAAAAAAAAUGGUACGUUGUUGAUGACUACACUAAGUUUUCUUCUUCUUCUUCUUCUUCUUUUUUUUGAAAGUUUUAAUUUUAGGAUAUCUGAGUGCAUGCCCGGUGGCUUAGCCUCAUGUGAAAUUUCUUCAUGAGAUAUAAGAGGCCUUUUCAAAUUGAAAGUUUUAAAAAAAAUGUUUCUUCAUUAAAAAAAAGUCCUUUAUUUAAAUUAACAUUCUUGCUUUUUUAGAUGCAGAAUUAUAAAUUUAAAUCUUAUAUUAUAAUUUAUACAAUGAUACUGAUUUAAAAUUUAUUUAAAAAAAUCUUUUUUGAUGAUUUUGAUCGUUUUCCACCUUUGGAGUGCGAGUGCUGCGGGGUGAAAAAAUGUGGGGUCCAUUUACUUUACAUCCAACAAGUGAGGACAAACCAGUAAAUAAAUCAUGAAGUUACACACUAGUCUGCUUUCGCACUCAUUCGGAACUAUCAAUGAUACUUACUGCAGGUAUGGUGUAUAAAUUAUACUAAAGUAAAGGCUGGAUCAAUAAGAAAUUCAAAAUGUUUCAUCACAUUUGGGGCUUGACGAUGCCAAAGAAAGACCAUACCAAUUAUCACGAUUGGUAAAAUGUGAACAAGAACAAGCAUACAUUCAAGAAAGCAGAGAAGCAUCAUUAAAAUAAAGCAUUCUUCUCACUAUUCUAUAUUGUUGGAAAAUGGACCAAAAUAAAAAAGAAACCAUAUAUGGAACGUCACAACAAGAAUAUUUGUGCAUUUGGAGAUCAUAGGAUAUUGGGAAGACAUCGGCAGAAAAGUACAAUUUUUUUUUCGUUGGGGGGGGGGGGGGGGAAGGAACAGAGAAGUGCAAGUCAAAAAGGAGAAAAAAUGAAAACAGAGAGAUGAAAAGGAAUGCAAUCUAAUUAAUCGUCUAAGGAGGCUACUAUGCUACAUUUAGCCAUUUGGUUGAAUAAGCAGCUUGUCUUCUAGUACAACUUUAAAUUUACCAAGAUUGAGAAUUUUCCUUCUGAAGAAAAGUAAUUUCUAUAGCGGCUAUUACCAUCUUCAUCCCAACGGUAAGCAGCUCCAUACUAAGGAAAGAGUGAAAUAGGUGUGCUUUACUUAUAGAAGCCCGUUCCUGUCCAGAGUGAUUAGUAAGUUGUUUCACCACGACCCCCAUUAUGGUGACUUAAAAAAGAAAAAAUAUAUAUAUAUAUUUGCCCAACACAGAAGUAGCACCCAAGAAGUCCUACUUAAGAGGCUUCAUACCCUGCACAAAUCGGAAAGGUUUUUAAAAUUUUCAUGUUCCAAAUGAAGAUUGCCCAUUAAAAAAUUACACACAUAAUGUAUGUAAACCAAUUAAAACAGAAAAACAAGGAUAACCCAGAAACAAUCCAACCAUCAAUAACAUAAAACUUUUUGUAAAUCUGGUAAAGUGAAUGAGAAGCAGAACAUACAUUUCACUUAAUAAUGAAAGAUACAUCUUUUAAUCAGUUUUUGCUCUCGCUUUAUUCUUGUGCUUCCUUCCAAUAACAAUUCAUAAUGCAGGUAGGUAUCUUAAAAAAUUAUAUCAUACAUUUCUCUUAUCAAAAGAAAUACAGUUGAUUAAUUGAACUGUAUUUCUAAAAAAAUUAUAUCAUACAAACAUGUCGUUUAUUAAUUGAAUUGUGGUCAUUAAUACACGCACACACAUGUAUGCUUAUGGUACAGUCACACCGAAUCUGUUAUAGACUAAUUAAAUACAAUAUGUUUUUACCAAAGUUGGUUAGUGUGAGUGGUUCGGUACUCUUACUCCUUAAGAGAGGUCAGGGGUUCAAGCCCCGCUCUCGUAUGGAAUCACCACUUUGGCCAGCACUUUACCCUUUACGGGCCAACCCGGUGAGAGCGGGGAUUAGUCUGGGUUGUGGUACGGACUUAAAGGUGCCUCCCACAGUUGGGGCACACUCAGAACCACCUUGUGGUUCAGACCAAAAAAAGUACAAUAUGUUUCUUUUACUAGCUAUAUGAUUGGAUCUUCAUUAAUGACCGAAGAAGAAAUUAUAACAACCCAUGCAAGUAUUAGUACUUCUCCUAAAGCUAAUAUUAAUGAAACAAAACAACUUCAAAUAUUUCCCAAUAAGCCACUAGAUCAGGAUCAAGUCCACAAUUCAAUAUUCCACAUGAUUUUUCCAUUUCAUCUGCAAUUACUAGAUUAAAAGGUAAUAAAAUUAAUUACUUAUCAUGCAUUCUAAAUCAUCCUUAAAUUUAAUAUGUUGGGUUCCAGCUGUAGGCAAAACUUUGGAUAAGUACAGAAAAAAAAUUAAAAAUGAGUAAAAAUGAAAAAGGAAGAAAAUAUCGAUCAAACCUCUUGUUCAAACGGAGGGGCGGCUAGUUUUUCCUUAAUACAAGUACAAAUUAUAUCAUACAUUUGUAAAACAAUUAUAUCGGUCUUAAUUCAUAAUGCAGGUAGGUAUUCUAUGAUCCAUCUAAUCUUUCUACACUUUUUUUUUGGUACUAGAAAAGCGAUAUUUAUAACGUAUCUCAAAAGAAAUACGGUCAAUUCUUACUGUUUUAGGAUAUAGUAUUUAAUUUGCAUUCAAACAUUUUCUCAUUUCAGCAAAGAUCCUAAAAAUUUAUUUUUUUAAUUCAAAUAUAAAUAUUAAAAAAAUCAGAUAUAAGUAUAAAAAAUAAUUUUUUUUUAAAAAAAGUUUUCAUAUGUUUAACAAUCAACGCUAAGGAACAUGAAAAGGAGCUAUUAAAACCCCGAAAAAAGAAUAAUUUUGAAACUAAAUACAAUUAAUUGAGAGAUGAGGACCAUAAGAUAAAUUGGGGAUAAAAACUAAAAUAUCAGCCCCUCGUUGCUGAUAGUUAUGAGUAUGAAAGCACAGAAGCCGUGUCUUGAUAAGUAUGGAGUUCGUGCGGAAUUUUCAGCUAGAAGUCUACAAAGCAGUGGAAUUAAUCAAUCAUCGUGGAGUGCACGGUGGUUGGACCAUGAGAUGAAAUUGAAAAGUUAUCACGGAACUUGAAGGAAGGUUCAUGGCAUCGAUUUAUUCUACAGAGUCACGCACAUUUGGUUCAAUAAUUGUUUUCAUCCGAAUCAAAAUCUCUCUCUAAUCAAUUCAACUGUUUCUGUUGAUUAUGGCUUCUUCUUCUCGAAACAACAAGAAGUAUGAUGUUUUUGUUAGUUUCAGAGGAGAGGACACCCGGGACAACUUUACUAGCCAUCUCUAUUCUGCUCUGUGUCGACAAAAUAUCCAAACUUUCAUUGAUGACCAACUUAACAGAGGAGAUGAAAUUUCGGAGUCACUUGCGAAUGCAAUUGAAGCAUCAGCCGUUUCAGUUAUCGUCUUCUCAGAGGGGUAUGCAUCUUCCAGAUGGUGUCUCGAUGAACUUGUAAAGAUCCUCGACUGCAAGAAGGAGUAUGCACAGCUUGUGAUUCCGGUUUUCUAUCGGGUUGAUCCAUCAGACGUGAGAAACCAAACUGGGAGUUUUGGAGAUUCAUUUUCGAAGCUUGAAGAAAGAUUAAAGGAGAAUACUGAGAAGCUGCGGAGUUGGAGGAAAGCUUUGAAGGAAGCAGCCAGUUUGUCUGGCUUUCAUUCUCUUAACAUCAGGUGAAAAGUUACUUUUAAUUUCGCAUACUAAUAUUCAACACUGUAAAUAAAAUUCACGCAGCACUCUUAGUUAAAUUUCCAGAUGCUAAACUACACUUUUAAAUUUUUUCAUGCGUCAAAUUCUAGACUUCUUGAACUUCCCCACUUUUGAACUAUAAAAGAAUUUUUGCAGAAUUGAUAAUACAAAAGCUCCAGAAGUUUACAAUAUAUUUUAACAAAAUUAAUGGUGUUCUGUCGUUUUUUAAUCAAUUUCAAUCUCUUACUCAUAUACCAAUAGGAAAAAAAAAAUCUCUUCCACAUAUAACAUAUUCCUGUAAUUAAAGAGUUAUUAAUUUAUAGGGAGAUUGUAAAUUCCCUUACUCAAAUUAAUAUAUGAGUAUUGAUAUAGCCACAAAUUCUUGUACAAAAUCAUUUUGCACAAACUGAUGUGGUGUUAAUUCAUUGGUUGAAUUAAAUAUCUCUUGGCCCACAUGAUUUAUUUCUAUUAUUUUAUAUUUUCAUUCAACCAAUGAAUUAAUGACACAUCAGUUUGUAUAAAAUAAGUUUGUACAAGAGUUUGUGGUUGUAUCAUCACUCUUAAUAUAUACCACUUAUUCUGACUAUUUUUACAAUAUUUAAUAACUCUCCUGGUACCAUCACUUUGCAAUAUUAUCCUUCUGAAAAAAAAAUAAGUGGUAUAUAUUAAUUUCAAUUGGAAAACUAGCAAUCUCCCUUAUUUCAUAUUUGAUGCAAAUCCCUCCUAUUUGAAGCUACUGCUGCUAAUUUUAUGUAUUUGGCAGGCCUGAAUCAGAACUUAUAAACGAAGUUGUUAAUCACAUUUUGAAGAGACUGAUGGAAGAAGUGUUUCGGCCGCGUGAUAACAAAAGCCAGCUGGUUGGAGUAGAAUCAAGAGUUGAGGAAAUUGAAUCUCUACUAAGUGUUGAGUCGAAAGAUGUUUACGCUUUAGGGAUUUGGGGCAUUGGUGGUAUAGGCAAAACAACAAUCGCUAGAGCUACUUUCGACAAAAUCUCUAGCCAUUUUGAAGGUUCUUGCUUCCUUGAAAAUGUUAGAGAAGAGUCACAAAAACCGGGAGGAUUAGCUUGCUUGCGACAAAAACUUCUUUCAAAUUUAUUGAAAGAUAAAAAUGUGAGUCUUGAUAUUGGUCUCAAUUUUAGGAGGCUCAGCCGCAUGAAGGUUCUGAUUGUUUUUGAUGAUGUGACUUGCUUCAGCCAAUUAGAAUCUAUAAUUGGAAGUCUUGAUUGGUUGACGCCUGUGAGUCGAAUCAUAAUAACCACCAGAAAUAAACAAGUGCUUAGAAAUUGGGGGGUGAGUAAAAUAUAUGAGAUGGAGGCAUUAGAAUAUCAUCACGCUCUUGAGCUUUUCAGUCGACAUGCCUUCAAACAAAACCAUCCUGACGUUGGUUACGAGGAAUUUUCAAGCAAGGUAAUGAAAUAUGCUCAAGGUGUUCCUUUAGCUAUUAAAGUUUUGGGUUGCUUUCUAUAUGAAAGAGAAAAGGAAGUCUGGGAAAGUGCAAUAAAUAAAUUGCAAAGAAUCCUCCAUCCAAGUAUCCUAGAGGUAUUAAAAAUAAGUUACGAUAGUUUGGACGAUAAGGAGAAAAAUAUUUUCCUUGAUGUUGCUUGUUUCUUUCAAGGCGAGGAUGUAAAUCUAGUAAUGAAAUUCCAUAAUGCAAGCGGUUUCUACCCAGAAAUAGGAAUAAGCGUUCUUGUUGAUAAAUCUCUCAUUGCUAUUGGUUCAUACAACAAGAUAAGAAUGCAUGAUUUACUACAAGAGUUGGGUAGGGAAAUUGUUCGACAAGAAUCUAUUAAUCCUGGAAAUCGCAGUAGGUUGUGGCAUCAUGAGGAUAUCUAUGAAGUUCUUACAUAUAACACGGUAAGCAGUUUGUUGUGGAUAAUUAUUUUGAAAUAUUCUAGCAUUUACAAACUUGAUAUGAAUAUAUUUAUAUAUGCUCGAACUGAUGAGUCUUAGAAUUAAUAGAAGAGCAACAAUGAUUAGAAAAAACCAUAUCCGUUAGAUGACGUAGCAAUAAAUUAUAAAUGCCAUGACAACUUGCAUAAUCGUUUGCAAGCAUAAUUGAUAUGCAAUUUGUAUGGUACACAGACGGAAUUUUUAUAUUAAGUAUUACUUGUGUUAUUAUGUUUCUUUGUGCAUUUGCAAUUAAAAGUUUAACUGCCUAGCAAUAACUAAAAACAUGAAUUAUUGAUUUGAGAAAUGAUGAAGAGUCCACUCCAAUCCCACAUAAACUCGACUAAAUAAUAAAUAAAAAGUUGAAUUAUUAACUAAGCUACCUCUAAUUGUGAAUUAGUGAGAAACUUGCCCCAAAAAUUUGACUUGGUGGGGUUGAAGUGCGAUUCAUUGGUGGAAUACACAUAUCUUUCAUUUGAUUUUAACUUUAUUGCUUUUUCACUUAUUUUCAAGGGACAGAAAAAAUUGAGGGCAUAUGUUUGGAUAUGUCAAAAGUAAAAGAGCUCCGUCUAAAUCCCAAUACUUUCACAAAGAUGACUAAAUUGAGAUUUUUAAAGUUCUAUACUUCAUUAUUCAAUGGAGAGAACAAAUGUAAGAUGUCUUAUUUGCAAGACCCUGGAUUUGCUGAAGUGAAAUAUCUUCGCUGGCAUGGAUAUCCGUUGAAGUCAUUUCCCUCAAACCUCAGUGCAGAGAAGCUUAUGUUACUUGAAGUGCCUGAUAGUGACAUUGAACAACUUUGGGAUUGUGUGAAGGUAUGCAUAUCUUAUUAUAUAUGUGCAAUCUCUCAAUAACAACAUUAAAUUAUUAUACGUGGUAACGGUUUUGUCUUGGCCUCUUUUUUGACCGAGCAGCAUUAUAGUAAGUUAAACCAGAUAAUCCAUGCUGCCUGCCAUAAGCGAAUUGCCAAAAUUCCAAAUCCCACGUUGAUGCCACGUCUGAACAAGCUAGUUACGUUGAAUCUAAGAGGUAGCAAAAGCCUGAAAAGUCUUCCAUCUGGAAUAUUUAACUUGGAAUUUCUUACCAAACUUGAUCUUUCGGGCUGCUCAAAACUGAAAAGGCUUCCAGAGAUCUCAUCAGGUAAUAUAAGCUGGUUAUUUUUUAGGGGGACUGCAAUUGAAGAACUACCCUCAUCAAUUGAGCGUCUACUUAGGGAACAUUGCAUACCUGAGGCAGCAAUAACACUUCCAACAAAGUUACCUAUAAGCACAGUUGGCUUCUUAACAACUUCAUCCAAGAAAUCCAAUAUUAGCUGUAUCAGUGAAUCUCACUCAAGUUAGCAAGGAAAAUAACUAAAGGUCAAGCGAUUGAUGACAAAAGAUCCAACUUCUGGCUAGGGAACAUUGCAUACCUGAGCCCAUCCCUCCAUGGUAUAUGAAUAACCAGCUGGCUUAUCUGAAGCACCAAAUCCAAGAAGGUCAAUUGCAUAAACCGUGUAGCUCUUUGCCAGGGUGCCAAUAUUCCUGAAAUUACCUCAGAGAUGACAAGAAAAAUAUCAAUUCCUCACGUUAUUUAAUAGGAUAAAGGAAUGGUGCACAAGCAAAUUUUCAUUCCCCUUUUCAAUGGAGCAGUAAAAUGAAUACUUUUUCACUAGAUUAAGAAUCGGAAAAUGGAAGAAGCCUAUAUCCAUAAAAGGGUAAUAUGAAAUGGAACCCUGAAACUCAGGUCACCGGUUUCUCAUCAUCUAUGUGCAAGGAAUAGAACUAGGUGUUAAUGCCAAUGAACCAGGAAAUAACGAAGAGAUUUAACUUCAUUAUUCUUUUGCUUCAUUCAUCUUAAUUAAUUAUUAGAAGUAUAACACAUAUAAAUGCAUCCCUGAACUUCAUAAUACAUAACAGAGUCAGAGAUAUUACAUACAUAAGGGAAAGACAUGCUCCAUACCAAAAAAAAAUAUAGUCGAAAAUGCCCAGAACGUAAUUUGAAUUAACCCGCUACACAAUUCACAACAAGAAAGAGCAAUCUUAUCUCGCUAACCUGCGCCAGUGAGGAAUGGAGGCACCAAAGCCAUGGACAAGGAGUAGAGGAGGAGAAUUGGGAUGUGAAUUUGGACUUGAAGAAACCAAGUAAUUGAUGGAGUACUGACCCUUCCAUUUCCACAUUUUGCAACUCUCCCUUACCUCAUUAACCUCCAAUUCCAGUGCAGCAGAAGCAGAAUCCCCUCCACUGCUACUGUUAGUAUAACUGAUGGUAACAUUUUGUCUCUUCUUCUUCUCCUUAUUCCUCUGCUGGAACUGCAACUGAAACUGCCAACUCUUAUUGCUCAAUAGGGGCAAGCGCAGGCCUUUUACAUCUCCAUUUCCAUUUCCAAUCCUGAGUGUUGUUAUUGGAAUAAUGAAAGAGGGAGCCCGAGCCCUUACCAUCCACACGCUCAUUCUUUUCUUGCUUUUUCAAUUGAAUAUUUUCUGUGGCCUGGCUUGGCCUGCUCCUCCCCUGCUUCCACUAUUAUAUGAAAAUUUUACUGAUAUUCCUCAAAAAUCAAGAUGGUAAUACUUCGUCUGAAACGAAUAUCAGGUGCUUUACUAAAAUACUCCGGGUGAUUGGUAUUUCCGUCCAAUAAUUUUUGCAAACUCAUCCCAUUUUUUAAAAAAUAAUUAUAAAACAUACAUGCUAUGCUUAAAAAUUUUCAAACAAAGAAGAACUUUGUAGAAGUAAUUAACUAAAUUUAUUUUAGUUUACUUUCUCCUGAUUUAGAUUAUUUUAUUAUAUUUGGUUACAAAGAUUGCUUUGUCAUAAAUUUAAAUUGAUUAUUUUACCCUUAUAAGGUAAAACUAUUAAGAAUUUACUUUAACUUUAAUAUUUUUCUAAUUUUGUACCAAACUUAUUGUUUCUAAUACUAUUUUAUUAGUAUGAGUUUUAAUUAUUGGGAUGUCAAUUUUAUGUAAUUUACACAUAAAAGUAAAGAAAAAACAAUUAAAUUUUAUUUAAAAAUAUUAGAUUAUAAGCUAGAUACAUAAAUUAUUAGAUACAAUAACUCAUGUUUAUUAUGGUAAUUUAGUCGCUAUAUAUCAUAACAAUAAAUUUCUAAAAUAAAACUUGUAUUAAAGUUUAUGAUUAAAGAUGGUCAAAAAACCCAAGAAAAAAAUUAAUAGAAGGAUUUAACUGAUUAACUAUACAAAAUUUUUAUUAAUUUGUAUUUUUUUAAAAAAUAUUGUGAAUUCAUUGCAAUUAGUUUCUAGAAGUAGGGUGGAUUUACAAAAUAGUGGGGUGCAAAUACCCUUACCCAAAUACUCCAUAAAAAGUAAAACUAUUACCUUUUUUGAUGUACUUCUCUUGAAUUUUUUAUUUCUAAGGAUAAAGUUUAAUUCAUUCCCAAAUAAAAUGAUAAUCUCUAAUUUGCUCUCAAUGUAAACCUCAAUUUAUUCUUCAUUUCCGUCCAAAAGAUGAGGGGCAAAUAAGGAAUGUGUUGAUGUUUUUCUUUUUGUUUUAAUCUUCUUAACAAUAAAUGGGGUAAAUUGAUAUUUUUAUAUUUUUAGGUGAUAAAUUAAAGAUUUUCAUUUUAAAUUGGGGCCAAAUUAAAAUCUAUCCUAUUUCUAAAGGCACCAUGUGAUUUGGCGAAAUAACUAUAAAGAUAUUUUGUUUUUAGAAAAUGUCACACAUGUCUCUUUUGAGAUACACAAACUCUUUUUUAGCUAAAAGAUUGGGAUUUGUGUGAUUAUUUCUGAACCAAAAGGUUUGUGUUUUAAAAAAAAUGAUUAUGUGACUGUUUUGCCUAACCGAGAGGGUCAUUAUUCAAACACCAAUCACAUUUUUGUUUUAAAACACCCUUUCAUUUAUUCUUUAAGCUUCUUUUUUUUUUUUCCCAAAAAAUGAUGAAUAGAUAUUGAAAAUUUUGUUUUCAUUUUUUAUUGAAAAAAAUGAAAAACACCAAAUAUUACUGCUUCCUUGUCCAUACUUUUUCGUCCUAUAUUACCUUAAUUUUAUAUCAUUUUCUCUAUUUCUAUUUUUAUAGUCCAAUUCUGAAAAUACACUAUUAGACACAUUUUUAAAUUGAAAAAAACCAAACAUAGUGCAUCAUUUUCAUUAUAAGCAUUAACACCUGACGUACACAUUCUCCAAAUGGGAUUAAUGGAAAAAAAAAAUGGUGACUCCUUCAGAAAUGAAGUUGUACAAUUAGUUUGAAUUGAGUCGAUACAGAGACGUCUCCAUUGCGUCAUCUGUUUAACUGUCUUGUGCAACCUUAUUCUGUACUAGGUGGAUUCCACAUUGGCCAAGUAUAUGCAUAGUUCCUGGUUUAUUCAAGGUCUUAAAGAGAAGUCCAAUCUUACAGGUUCGUUAACAUUUUAAAGGUAAGUUUUAUCUUGUAACAUUCACACAAAAUUUAUAAUCAACUGGGGCGGAAAUUUUGAAAAUACUAUGAUUAGCACAACCAUUUCAACAAUAAAUGAUGUAAUAAAAGCUCAUUAAGUUUAAACUUGAAAGGAAAAUUAGGGCAAGGUCAUUUCUUUAAAAAGAAUAAGGCAAGAUGAUGCACGGCAUGAAAUACCUGUGACCAAGCCUCAAAAGAUUCAUCAAGCCCAGUAUUUUGCUUGCCCUCGGCAUAAUUACACUUGGCUUCCCAAACAAAUAAUUGCUGGAGCUCGGAUAGAGGGCAGGAAGAAUUAACUACAAAACCACCAGAUUUAUCGUGUUUUUGUCCUGUUAAUUAAUUGUUUUCAAUUAACACGGUAACCCGGCUCGGGUGUUAACUCUGUUUCUGUCAGUGCUCUGUUGAAUAUUUCUGUUUAAAAAUCAGCACUCGCAUGUAAGUAGUAUGGCAGCAUCAAAAUCUCACGUGUAAUAAUUAGGCUAUUAGUUCUGGGUCCAGGAAUCGAGAGAAUCAGAUUUGGUGCAAAAGCUAUAUGUACCAAUUUAUGUAGCCAUGCAUAAUAUAUUCAUUUUUUACUUGCAAAUUCUUCAUUUUCACAACUUUAGGUACAACUUUUCCUUUCCUUUUGAAGGCCCACUCCACUGGCAUAGAGAGUAAAAAGAGUUUCUUAUAAAUAAUUUUAGGAGGAUGCUUCUGCCACGACAAGUAAUACCAUAAACAAAUGAUUUCACCACAUUUCAAGAAAGCAUUUAACUUAUGCCUCAUUUUCAUUGUAGAAAUUUGCUUGCCAUUGGCUGAUUGGAAAAAGUGCAUUUAAGUGAUAGAUCCCUACCUAUAGCACGAAUAGGGGUUAAACAAAGUAAAUCCGUACCUUUACAUAUCAAAUAAAAGACUUUCAUAAUAUCAAAUAUCAAAACUCAUGUCUAGUAAAGGAUUCCCCAAUGCUGGCUCUCAAAAUUGCUUUUGUUUCAUGGAUGAGAUGAUCGUUUUUGUGGAUAUUCUGCUCAACUUGGAUUAUGACUUGGGUCAGAUCCCAACUUGCUGCAAAGCUCACCUGACUAAAUCUUAGUUGAUUUGCUUUUCCAAACUAAAUCCAAGCAAGUAAGUACAAGAGAUAAAAGCAAAAGUUCAAGCAUCUCAUUUGAGCCUGUCACUAACAAAUGGUCAACGAGUAAUGUCUAGCUAUGACUGAGCAACAGAAUCAAUAAACAGACAGACAAAAAAUAAUAAUCAAGUCAUCUGUCAAAUGCUAGUCCAUGAAAAUCAUAUAUAUAUAUAUAUAUAGGAGGCUGUUCCAAUCCGGGAGUCCCGGAUUGGAACAGCACUCUAUUAAUUUUUUUGGUUUGGCUGCACAUGGUGGAGGUGGCCUUUGGAUUUGAAUCCAAAGGCCACCAGCCUCCCUCCCGGACAUUGUUCCAAUCCGGGAUUCUGGAUUGGAACAGCACUCUAUAUAUAUGUAUGUAUGUAUAUGUAUAUGUAUGAUCCUUCAUUUCUCAAUCAACCACCAAAUUGAUGUCAACAAAGCCAUGAGGAUUGUCUCACAAGUCUUUCAAUUUCCCUCUCUUUAGGCCAGAGACCAGUAAACCAUUUGAAAUAUGGAUGUGCAGGUAUGGUGUAUACAUUAUACUAAAGUGAAGGCUGGAUCAAUAAGAAAUUCAAAAUGUUUCAUCACAUUUGGGGCUUGAUGAUGCCAAACAAAGACCAUACCAAUUAUGAUGAACAGUAAAAUGUGAACAAGAACAAGCAUACAUUUAAGAAAGCAGAGAAGCAUCAUUAAAAUAAAUUAUUCUUCUUACUAUUCUAUGUUGUUGGAAAAUGGACCAAAAUAAAAAAGAAACCAUAUAUGGUUAACGUCACAACAAGAGUACUUGUGCAUUUGUACAUCAUAGGAUAUUGGGAAGACAUCAGCAGAGAAGUGCAAUUUUUUUUUUUUUUUUGAGGAAAGGAACAGAGAAGUGCAAGUCAAAAAGGAGAAAAAAUGAAAACAGAGAGAUCAAAAGGAAUGCAAUCUAAUUAAUCGUUUAAGGAGACUACUAUGCUACAUUUAGCCAUUGGUUGAAUAGGCAGCUUGUUUUCUAGUACAACUUUAAAUUUUCCAAGAUUUAGAAUUUUCCUACUGAAGAAAACUAAUUUCUCAAGCUGCUAUUACCAUCUUCAUCCCAACGGUAAGCAGCUCCAUACUAAGGAAAGAGUGAAAUAAGUGUGCUUUACUUAUAGAAGCCCAUUCCUGUCCAGAGUGAUUGGUAAGUUGUUUCACCAUGAAAAAAGAAAAAUAAAAGAAGAAAAUAUUUGCCGAACACAAUAGUAGCACCUAAGAAGUCCUGCUUAAGAGGCUUCAUACCCUGCACAAAUCGGAAAGUUUGUUAAAAUUUUCAUGUUUCAAAUGAAGAUUGUCCAUUAAAAAAUUACACACAUAAUGUAUGUAAAGCAAUUAAAAAAAAAAAAAAAAAAAACAAGGAUAACCCAGAAACAAUCCAACCAUCAAUAACAUAAAACUUUUGUAAUUCUGGUAAAGUGAAUGAGAAGCAGAACAUACAUUUCACGUAAUAAUGAAGAUACGUCUUUUAAUCAGUCUUUGCUCUUAAUUUAUUCUCGUACUUCCUUCCAAUAACAAUUCAUAAUGCAGGUAGGUAUCUUGAAAAAUUAUAUCAUACAUUUCUCUUAUCAAUGGGGCAGGUUGCUAUUGAACAUUAUUCAUAAACAAAGAGCCAAAUAUGCUUUAAAGCUACUUAAAAAUAUGCCAUCAGGCACUGACGCAGACACUCAACAACAAAAAACAGACUUAUUAUAUUUGUUGCACAAAUAAGAAAGAAGAUAACAAUUUUAAAUUAACGAACAGGUAUGAAUUAGAAGAGAAUCAUCCGAUAGAAUCAACCGUGACAAUGCUCCAGUGCUUAACCUGCGAAAAUUAGAUCAAGCAGAGCUUGCAUUCCCUGAAGUUAACAAAAAAAAAAAAAAAAACAUUACGAUGACUUAAAUUUUAACAGAAAACAAAAAACAAAGCAAGAGUGAAUAGAGUAAUACCAAAACAAAUUUAGGAUUGUUAGGUCCAAUUUGUGGACCAACUUUUGAACUUCCAAUUUGGCGGCGGCGAAUACGCAUCAAGAUUCAAACUGCUCCUCACAUUGAGGGCCAAAAGAGUGCGGAGGCGCGACAAAGCUGACGCGCGAUUCUUGUGCUGCGAUCGGUCUUCGGCGGCCUGCGCUAUGACGCGUAUCGGUACGUGCUUGAGACGUACGGCGGAUUCGCGCUUGUUGCGGUGCUGACCGCCUGGUCCGGACGAUUUGUACGUGUCCAUUUCGCAUCGUCGGUCAAUUCUAAGUAAUUCUUCUUCUUCGAAGAAGGAGUUGAAGAACAAUUGUCAUUGGUGCUGUAAUUGCAAGAUAAGAACAAUGGCUGAUAAUUCCCGCGAUGCUUGUACGACGGAAAGUUUUAUAUUUUUCCUUCCGAGUUGGGGAAUCCGAAGCAGGAGGCCAACGUCAUCAUCAAUUUCAAUUUCCCUCUCCGUGUAUGUGAAAAUCAAAGCAAAGCUUCGUACUGGUAACCCAUUCUUAUAGCAGGCCCAGUCCAAUCAGCCCAAUCCAGCCGAGUCGAGCAAGUGAGCAAUGUUAUUGUUUUAUUAUUUUUGAACUCGUGGUGGCUCUGCAUUAUUUGCAAAAUACUCAUGUAAGGCAGAGAAUAUAUUUUAUAUUGGAAUAUUUUCAAAAUAAAUGGUGCUUUAAACAGGUGUCCGAUUGUAAAGAUAUGUCAUAUGCCUAAUUAAACAGUGUCAGGUAUAAUAAAAAUAUAUCCUUUUAUCUAAAGAUGUAUCCAUUCACGGUUUUAUAUUUCAAUUUGAAAUGGUGAUGAUCUAUUUUGGACCAGUGAUGAUCUAAUUCAAAUUUUAAUUUAAUAACCAUAAAUGAAAAACUACAUUUGUAAUUUGUCUCGAAGCACCAUCAAUUCUUACCUAUAUUUCAAUUAAAAUAAGAGUGAAACUAUUGGCACCCAUUCAUUAUUUUUAUAAAACUUAUUUCAAAUAAAAUUACAGUUAAGGGUAAAGAAGAAAUAAACACAUGUAGGAUUUUUUUUUUCCCAAGAAAUUACUUACAUUAAUAAUCAAUUCUUUUUUUUUUAUUUCCUACCAUUAUUUCUUAUCUAACUAAGAUAAAUUGUAUAAAUCUAGCAUAAUCUAUUUUUCUUUUCCUAUUUCUUAUUGAUUAAAUAUUUUCGUACUCAAGAUUACUUUCAAACUACAAUCUAAAAUAUGUGUUAUUUAAGCUAAUGAUUAGCAUUCAAACUUUAUCACCUAGAAAACUUUUUAAUUUGUAUGUAGGAUAACAAUAAGAUUGCAAAAGAGAUGAAAAAUAGCACAAUACUACUUUGAGUUUUAACAAUAAAAGAAGAUUAAAUGAAAAACUAAAAGAGUGUCUUUGAAAAUAAAAGGAAAUAUUUGGAAAUAAAAUAAAUAUAACUGAAAAAAGGAUUUGAUGAGGAGACUAGAGGGGUGCCAAUAGUCCAACUUUUAAAAUAAAGUUUUAUCAAUUAUUGCUCCCUUUUUUUGCAAUUAUUAUUCCCCACCCAUAUUUCUCCAACAUUUUAUUUCAUAUAUUUACUCCUACUACACUCUAACAAAGGACGCAUUUUGGACUACAUCAGUUUCUAGAUGCAUUUUAUUAAUAAAUUAAAUAAAGGCACCAUCCCUUGUUCAAUUUCUCUAAAUAACCACUUUAUGUCAGCUCUCUUAAAAUUUAUUAAGAAAUCUAUGUUGAAGACCAUUUCAUCCUUAGUAUUGUGUAAAUGUAUAAAAAUAAAUUUUACAUUUUGAAAAUUAAAAUGACCUUUUAGCACAAAAUUUUAAAACAAAUGCCUCUAACUAAGCGACAAAUUUUAAAAUACAUGAUAAGUACCAUAUCAGCCAUAUAAAAAGUGAAUCAUACUAUGAUAUAUGUGCAUUUAUUUUGAAAAACCAUCACGUAAAUAAUGGUUAUAUUGAAUCUAAGUAAGUGCAUAUCAUAUAAGACACAACCCGGCCCAGCCUCUCUGACAGAUUCGAGGUGAAUCAUGUGAUCUUAUAUCUAAAGCUUGUGAAAUAAAUUUAAUUCAUGAAUGCAUAACACUAGUCUCGACCUUUGUUAUAAACAUAUAAUAACAUAUGUGACUCAUUCAAAAUUAUAUUCAAAACUUGCAGAGUUUACAUCUUACUGUACAUACCUACACUUUAGAUAUAUGCAUAUAAACAUUAACAUGCUCAAAAUAUAAGUUAUGCAGUAAUACGUGUCGUGCCCAACGAUAACUGAUUAGAAACUAAACUGCACAAAAUCCUGUGAAAAUCUUAAAGAAAUGGGGGUAAAUAGGAAAAUAGUAUACUUGUGGCUAAAUGAAUGGAUAUAUAUAUAUACGCUCUAGUGCUUGUACAUAAUUGUAUGACAUAACUUCACACUAAACGCAUUACACAAGCAAACAUGAAAUCAUAUAUUUAUACAUGAUAAAAACUACACCAAAUAAUAUUUAGGAGAAAUAACUCUCAAUACUCGAUGGAAUCAUCAUUGCUCAAGUAAAGUAGGGGAAACACCUCUCCAUACUCAGCGGAAUUAACUACAUCACAAGGGCCGAGUAAUCUAACUCUCAAUACACAUACAUAGAGCCUAUGGUGAAGGGUACACAUAUGGUAUCUGGCAAUCACAUCUCAUUAUUCAAUCAAUCAUAUAAUAUGAGUACAAAUAAUCAUGACAUGAUACUAAAUCAUACUACCAAGCAUAAAUACUUUGUAGAAUACAUAUAAGUAAUAAUAGUAAUCCACUCACAAAACAUUUUUCACUCCGGGGCUUGUUGGAGCUCUUAUAGAUUCCUUAAUUAUUGGAUUUCUCCUAAAAUAUAGGGUUCAAAAAUUAACUGUUAGAACUGAUAUAAAAACUUUACAUAUGACAUAAACUAAAUCAUAAUUGUUCAAAUUUCUUAAAUACGUUACCUACUGACUUACUGGAUAUAGAUAUAACUAUCCAACUCUCUUUCCUAUAAUUUUUCCUCUCAAUUCCUCUUUUCAAAAUUAUUUUUCACUCUCGGUUUUUCUUUUCUUCAUCCAGUUAAACAUGUUCUUUGACAUAUAAUACAGUUUAUGGUCAAAAAACUCAUACGUAGUUGAAAUUAAAUUAUUUUUUAAUCUCAAUUUUAAAAUAUUUUAAAAGAUUUUCAAACACAAGAUACAGUGGUAUACAAUUGAAGCCUAAUCCAACAUUGAAAGAUUAAAUAAAAUUAAUUUUCAUCACUAGUCAAGAGACUUGAAAGGACAUUAAGGUAGCGUUUAUUUUUUUUAUUUAAAAUCUGAAUAGGUUAGAAUUUGAUUAAAAGCUGAAUGGCUUUGAAUAUAAAUGUUUCAAUAACAUGUUUAUUUUUUUAAUAUCUAAAAAUUAAGGGGCAUCUUGUUUGUUUUUAUAAAGAAAACACAUUAAAUGUAGUUAUUUAACAUUUAUGUCCUCAUAAGUCAAAACAAAUAAAAGGGAUUAGGUUUCGUAGUUUAUGAAAUAACUAUAUUGAAUUGAAAUAUUUUUAGGAUAUAAUAUGUAUUUUCCAUUCAAACAUUUUUUCAUUUCGGCAAUGGUUGUAAAAAUUUACUUUUUUAAUUCAAAUGUAAAUAUUUAAAAAUCAAACAUAUGUUUAAAAAAAACUAAUUUUUUAAAAAAAAGUUAAACUUCAUAUGUUUAAAAUAAACGCUAAGGAACACGAAUAAGAGCUAUGAAAACAAAAAAAGAAUAAUUUUAAAAUUAAAUACAAUUAAUUGAGAGAUGAGGACCGACAAGAUAAAUUCAUAGAUAAAAAUUAAAAUAUCAACCCUACUUAUUGCUGGCAGUUAUGAGCAUUAAAGCACAGAAGCCGUGUCUUGAUAAGUAUGGUGUUCGUGUGGAAUUUUCAGCUAGAAGUGGACGGUGGCUGGACAAUGAGAUGAAAUUGAAAGAUUAUCACGGAACUUGAAGGAAGGUUCAUGGCAUCGAUUUAUUCUAAAGAGUCACUACAUUUGGUUCAAUAAUUGUUUUCAUUCGAAUCAAAAUCUCUCUCUAAUCAAUUCAACUGUUUCUGUUGAUUAUGGCUUCUUCUUCUCGAAACGACAAGAAGUAUGAUGUUUUUGUUAGUUUCAGAGGAGAGGACACCCGAGACAACUUUACUAGCCAUCUCUAUUCUGCUCUGAGUCGACAAAAUAUCCAAACUUUCAUUGAUGACCAACUUAACAGAGGAGAUGAAAUUUCGGAGUCACUUGUGAAUGCAAUUGAAGCAUCAGCCAUUUCAGUUAUCGUCUUCUCAGAAGGGUAUGCAUCUUCCAGAUGGUGUCUCGAUGAACUUGUAAAGAUCCUCGAGUGCAAGAAAGAGUAUGCACAGAUUGUGAUUCCGGUUUUCUAUCGGGUUGAUCCAUCAGACGCGAGAAACCAAACAGGGCCUUUUGGGAUUUCAUUUUCGAAGCUUGAAGAAAGAUUUAAGGAGAAUACUGAGAAGCUGCGGACUUGGAGGAAAGCUUUGAAGGAAGCAGCCAGUUUGUCUGGCUUUCAUUCUCUUAACAUCAGGUGAAAUUGAAAAGUUACCUUUAAUUUCUCAUACUAAUAUUUAACAAUAAAUAAAAUUCACGCAGCACUCUUAGUUAAAUUUCCAGAUGCUAAACUACAAUUUUAAAAAUUUUUAAGCAUCAAAUUCUAGACUUACUGACUUCCCAACUUUUAUGCUCUCAUAAUUAUAAAAUAAUUUUGACAGAAUUAAUAAUAAAAGCUCGAGAAUUUUACAAUAUAUAUCUAACAAAAUUAGUGGUGGUCUGUCGUUUUUUAAGCAAUUUCAACCUCUCCUCAUAUGCCACCAUUAGAAAAAAGAAAAGGGAAAUUAUCAUUGCACCACCUCUCUUUUACCUUAUGUUCAUCCAACCACCAUAAAAUUCUCACAUGUUUUUUACAACGCAUUUCUUUUUAAAUUUGUAUUAAUUAGUUACUUUUGAACUAAUAUCGUUAAAUAAUUUAAACGAAAUGAUAAUUUUACCCCUAAAUAAAAUAAAAGACCAUUUUUAUUUUAUAAAAACUUUAAAAAUAAAAAAUUAUAAUUAUAAAAAUACCCUUAAUUUUAAUUAAAAAAUAAAUUCCAAAAUUACAAUUUUUAUUUUUUAAUAAAAAAUAUUUUAACAAAAAAUUAUAAUUAUAAAAAUAAUUACAAAAUUUUGGGAUUUAAUAAAAAUUCCCUAAAUAAAUUCAGCUAUUUUAAUAAAAUUUUACAAAAUUAUACUUUUUAAUAAAUAAAUUCAGUUAUUUUUAUUAAAAUAUUGCAAAUUAUAAUUUUUAAUAAAAAUAAUUAUUAAAAAUUUUUAAAAUCUAAAUUUAAUAAAAAUUAGUUGAGCACCUCUAUUUGAGAUUGAUUUUCUAUUAAAUUUAGGGGUAUUUUUAUAAUUAUAAUUUUUUAUUUGUCAAAAAUUUUUUAAAAUAAAAUGAUCUUUUAGUUUAUUUAUGGGUAAAUUGGUCAUUUUUUAAAAAUUAUUUAACGGUAUUAGUGUAAAAGUGGCUAAUUGAUACAAAUUUAAAAAGAAAAGUGAUGAAAAGAAUAUGUUAGAAUUUUAUUGUGGUUGGAUGAACAUAAGACAAAAGAGAGGUGGUACAAUGAUAAUUUCCAAGAAAAAAAAAACUCACACAUAUUACUGUAAUUUAAGAGUUAUUAAUUUACUGGAAGAUUGGUAUAUAUUAAUUUCAAUGAGAAAACGGACAAUCUCCCUUAUUUCAAACUUAAUGCAAAUUCCUCAUAUUAAUUUGAAGUUACUUUGGCUAAUUUUAUGUAUUUGCUAGGUGUGAGUCGGAACUUACAAAUGAAGUUGUUAAUCACAUUUUGAAGAGAUUGGAUGAAGUGUUUCAGCCCCGUGAUAACAAAAACCAGCUGGUUGGAGUGGAAUCAACACUUGAGGAAAUUGAAUCCCUAUUAGGUGUUGAGUGGAAAGAUGUUUAUGCUUUAGGGAUUUGGGGCAUUGGUGGUAUAGGCAAAACAGCAAUUGCUAGAGCUAUUUUCGACAAAAUCUCGGGUGAUUUUGAAGGUUCUUGCUUCCUCGAAAAUGUUAGAGAUGAGUCACAAAGACCAGGAGGAUUAGCUUGCUUACGACAAAAACUUCUUGCAAAUUUAUUGAAGGAUAAAAAUGUGAUGCCUUAUAUUGACCUCAAUUUUAGAAGGCUCAGCCGCAUGAAGGUUUUGAUUGUUUUUGAUGAUGUGACUUGCUUCAGCCAAUUAGAAUCUUUAAUUGGAAGUCUUGAUUGGUUUACGCCUGUGAGUCGAAUCAUAAUAACCACCAGAAAUAAACAAGUGCUUAGAAAUUGGGGGGUGAGUAAAAUCUAUGAGAUGAAGGCAUUAGAAUAUCAUCACGCUAUUGAGCUUUUUAGUCGACAUGCCUUCAAACAAAACCAUCCUGAUGUUGGUUAUGAGGAACUUUCAAGCAAAGUAAUGAAAUAUGCUCAAGGUGUUCCGUUAGCUCUUAAAGUUUUGGGUUGCUUUCUGCAUAAAAGGGAAAAAGAAGUCUGGGAAAGCGCAAUAAACAAAUUGCAAAGAAUCCUCCAUCCAAGUAUUCUAGAGGUAUUAAAAACAAGUUAUGAUGAUUUGGACGAUAAAGAGAAAAGUAUUUUCCUUGAUGUUGCUUGUUUCUUUCAAGGUGAGCAUGUAAAUCCUAUAAUGAAAUUCUUUAAUGCAAGCGGCUUCUACCCAGAAAUAGGAAUAAGUGUUCUUGUUGAUAAGUCUCUCAUUGCUAUUGAUUCACACAAAAAGAUAACAAUGCAUGAUUUAUUACAAGAAUUGGGUAGGGAAAUUGUUCGACAAGAAUCAAUUAAUCCGAAAAACCGCAGUAGAUUGUGGCAUCAUGAGGAUAUCUACGAAGUUCUUACAUAUAAUACGGUAAGCAGUUUGUUGUGAAUUAUUUUUUUGGAAUAUUGUAGUGUUUCAAAACUUGAUGUGAAUAUAUUUAUAUACGCUCGAGCAAAUGAGUCUUAGAAUUAAUAGAAGAGUGACAAUGAUUAGAAAAACAAUAGUGGUUAGAUGAUGUAGUAAUAAAUUAUAAAUGCGAUUGACAACUUGCAUAACCGUUUACAAGCAUAAUUGAUAUAUAAAUUUGUAUAGUACACAUACAGAAGUUUUAUGUUAAGUAUUACUUGUGCUAUUAUGUUUCUUUGUGCAUCUGCAAUUAAGAGUUUAACUGCCUAGCAAUAACAAUAAACAUGAAUUAUUGAAAUUUAAUUUGAGUAAUGAAGGAGAACCCCACUCCAAUCUGACAUAAACAUCACACAAGGACAAAUUAAAGUUGAAUUAAUAACUAAACUACCUUUAAUUGUGAAUGAGUGACAAACUUGCCCCGAAAAUUUGUCUUGGUGGAGCUGAAGUGUUAAUCACUAGUGGAAUAUAAUUAUCAUUUUUCAUUUGAUGUUAACUUUAUUGAUUUUUUUAUUUAUUUUUAGGGGACAGAAAAAAUUGAGGGUAUCUGUUUGGAUAUGUCAAGAGUAAAAGAGAUCCAUCUAAAUCCCAAUACUUUCACAAAGAUGCGUAAAUUGAGAUUUUUAAAAUUCUAUAGUUCAUCAUUCAAUGGGGAGAACAAAUGCAAGGUGUCUUAUUUGCAAGACCUCGGAUUUGCUGAAGUGAAAUAUCUUCACUGGCAUGGAUAUCCGUUGAAGUCAUUACCUUCAAACAUUGAACAACUUUGGAAUGGUGUGAAGGUAUGUUUACCUUAAUAUAUAUGUGCAAUCUUUCAAUAAGAACGUUAAAUUAUCAUACAUAGUAAUGAUUUUAUCUUUGCCUCUUUUUUGACCGAGCAGCAUUAUAGUAAGUUAAACCAGCUAAUCCAUGGUGCCUGCAAGAAGCUAAUUGCCAAAACUCCAAACCCCACGUUGAUUCCACAUCUGAACAAGCUAGUUAUCUUGAAUCUAAGAGGUAGCAAAAGCCUGAAAAGUCUUCCAGCUGGAAUAUUUAAUUUGGAAUUUCUUACUGAACUUGAUCUUUCGGGUUGUUCAAAGCUGAAGAGGCUUCCAGAGAUCUCAUCUGGUAACGUAGGCCAGCUAUUUUUAAGUGGAACUGCAAUUGAAGAACUACCCUCAUCAUUUGAGCUUCUACUUAGGCUUUGGUUGUUAGACCUUUCGGAUUGUAAAAGGCUUAAGAGUCUCCCAAGCAGCCUCUGUAAGUUGAAGUCUCUUGGAUUUCUUAUUCUCCGUGGUUGCUCAAAUCUUCAGAGAUUGCCCGAAUGUCUUGGCCAGUUAUCGUCGCCAUUAAUAUUGAAUCUAGCCAAAACCAAUAUUGAUAGAAUACCAGAAAGCAUUAUCCAACUAUUUAUGUUGCGAUACAUCCUCUUAAGUUAUUGUGAGAGGUUCGAAUUCGUACAAAAGCCUCCAUUCCUUGAACGAGGUUGCUUGGCACUGCAACCAUUUAUAGGUUUGUUCUCUAAGUUAUGAAUCUUACAGGCAAUGUUUUUUGACCGGAGCAAUAAUUUUAAAUUGGAAGGUAAUUCUACUGCAGGAAUUGUUGAAGAUACCCUGAGAAUUCAGCAUACGAACCAUACGCCAGUUGUACGUUUGCAAGAAAUAUGGCAAGAAGUAUGGCUAAAUGUGUGUCUUUAACUCUCUCUACUUACAAUUUCUACAAUCUUUUUUUUUUUUUGGGUUUAAAAUUAUGUUUUUUUGGUACAGAGGGGUUUUUCCACGGGCAAAGGUCAUAUCUUACUACUCGGGAAUGAAAUUCCAAAGUGGUUUGAGUUUCAAAGUGUGGGAUCUUUUAUAACCUUGGAGAUGCCGCCAGAUUUCUUCAAUAAUAGCAGAGUGCAGGGCUUUGCAUUUAGUGCUAUUUUAGCAUUUUCAGACCGUCAUGUAGAUUGUGGCAGAUGGUUUUCAUUUUCUUGUGAGCUCAAAGUGAAAACCACCAAAGAUUGUGGUACGCAUGACACACGAUUAUCUCAGAGCAGAGUUAAUUAUGUAGAAUCAGAUCACUUACAUUUUGGGUACUAUCUGUUCUGUGAAGAGGAUUUUAAUGGUUUUUGGAAAUGCAAUUGCAUUCCUGAGGCAGUCCACUUUAAUGUUUUUCCACCUUUGGAGUGCCAGUGCUGCGGGGUGAAAAAAUGUGGGAUCCAUUUACUUCACACCCCAGAUUCUACGAAUUCAAUGUAAGAUCCAAGCAGAUGUUUCAACUGUAACGUAGAAGAUUGAUAUUUUCAUGAAUCUAUUUUUAUUGCUUUCCUUUUUCUAAUGACUAAUAAUAAUAGGAGAAAAUGCUAAAAUCAGUUCUUGGAACAUUAAUGUAAUAACUUUGGAGGGAUCAGGUGCAUGCAACACAAAUUCUCACUACAGCAUUGAACUUUACCUUAUUAGAUGAUGAGUAUAACAUAUGAAAAGCACAUGAUGUGUAUUGUAAAAUUAAAAUUAUUAGCUUUCUUUCCAACAUUGCGCACAUAGCAACUCAAAACACAUCCACUAGCUGAGUUAAGCACUUGGUGAGCUGAACAAGUCUUGUUUUUCCAUACUCUGUUAUUGCGAGCAGUAUGGGAUAUUAUAAGACGUGCAGCAAGUUCUUAUUGGCAGAGUAAUGUUGUGGUCCCAUAUCGCUACAAAUGAAAACAUGCCACUCAUCCUAUUGUGCACUACCUACUGCAUGACUUGGGCACCACUUUUAAUUCUAAAAUACGUAUAACAAACAAAAAAAAGAAAAAGGCCAAACAUAUAACAUAUAACGUAUUUAAAAAAAGAAAAUUUAUAAGACUAGCAGGGAUUUUAUUUUAUUUUUUUAUAUUAAUCACGAGGUAUCCUGGGGAGGGCCCCAACUGUGGGAGGCACCUUUAAGCCCGUACCACAACCCAGUCUAGAAGUCCCCGCUCGAACCGGGAGGCACAGGUUCUCCCAAUAAAGUCGACUUCCCUGCGACUCGAAUUGGGGAGCAAACCCAGUCAAGCCACUUAAGGGGACUCCAUUGCCAGUGGAGCCAACACUUUGUUGGUGACUAGCAGGGAUUUUAAAAUUUUAACUAAACCAAAUAAAUAUAAUACGUUCAAAUAAAAUUUAAAGCGAAGGAGGCCGAGCGUAUGGCAAGGCAGUUCAGCCCAUGCUCAGGUCACAGUCAUUCAUUCAGAGUUUAGACAGCAUAACAGACUAAACAUGCUAUAAAUACCCAACAGAAAUCUAAUUACAAGCAAUAAAAGAAGAUUGUUAAUGUUGCGAGAGAGCAUCAAACUCCUCUUAAUAAGCGUAAACUAUACCUCCUCGUGAUAUUAAAUUAUGGGUUUAGCCAUUUGACUUACAGAAACUAAAUAAAACAAAUAAAUAAGCAUCAAACUCCUCUUAAGAAGCAUCAAUGCUUCUAUUCAUUGAAAAAUAGAUGUUGAAUAAAAUUCACAGAUUACUUCACACCCCAGAUCCUACGUCAAUGGAAGACCCAAGCACAUGUUUCAACUGUAACGAAGAAGACUGAGAUAGGUAUCAUUUUCACUCAACUCACCUGAGUUGUGAAUCCAUUUGCUUAAACAUGCAUGCACUUUUUCAAGUAUCACUACCAAUUCCAUAUUUGGAAUGGUGCAUUUGAUUCCAUAGUUGAUGUGGUAUCGUCUAUGGUUAGAAUUUCUAUUUACAAAAAUGACUUGUUAGGAAAGGAUUGAAGAUGCCUGUGAACUUAUAUUUCGAUUAAGAUUAUUGUAUCCUUUUCAUGUAUAAAAUUGGAUCCUAUCAUUCACAUAUCAUUGACAUGAGCAAUAUGGAUUACUAAAUCAUUAUUCUUUAUUAUUGUGCUGAAUUUGAUUUUUUAUUGAAUAAUUUGAUAUAUUUCUUGAAUCAAUUUGGAGCUUCUACAACUUGUCAGAGAUCAGUUUCUCCAACAUUCCUUUCGGCGCCAAAAGAUAACCAAGCGGUUGAAUAAGAAUUGAUCUAUACAACAUAAAUACAAGAGUUGUUUUGUCUUUUUACAAUAGGAAUAAUAUAUAAUGCUCGUUAAAACUUGCUGAUGAGAAAGUAAAUUCCUCAGAAAUUAAAUGUUUCAGCCAACCAAAGAAGCAGCUUUUCAUGGACCAACUCAGGGCUGUCGUCAUGGGGCAAUGUCCUACUCCAUCCAAUACAAUUAGCUUCACAUUUGAGAGUUUAGAAGGCAGAGAUGAGAAGUAUUUACCAACAGGUCCACCGAGGGGUGUGAAUGGAUCUUCAUCACCCCAUAAAACUAGUACAGGUAUCGAGAUUGAUGGCAUCAAUUGAACUGGGUUCGGCCCUGGUGGGCCUGUUACAAUCGAAACAAAUGCAUCAAGUGCCCCUUCCUCAUUGGCGGGCUCUCGUAUGAUCUGCAGUUUUGAGGUCGAUUCAUGAAUUAUGAGAAGCCAUUUUUGUAACAGGUUAAAAUGGCAUAUAAGUGGAGAAUAUUAAUACCUCAACCAGUGUUUCAUCCACAGAUUCCUUAUUUCCAUAAAUGGACAGUAAAAUAUUCCUCAGUGUUUCCCUACAGCACCAAGAUAUGCACAUCAUAGAGUUUUUUUUUUUUUUAAUUUUGACUCUAGUGUCUUGGGAUAAUGAACAAUGGACUGAAUAGAGAGAAGAGAAAAUACCUUUGUUUCACACGCUCAAAUAUAGCAGAAGCAAUUGGCCUUUGCUUCAACAAAAAAUCAAUGAACCAAAGCAAUGGUAACAAUAGCUUGAUUCUCCAAUCAUCAACAAUUGCCUUGUUGUUCAUGCCACCAGCACAGUUCAACAGAACAAGCCCUCGAACAAGGGUUUGACUGGAUUCUUAUGGUAGAAAAUAUAGCAGGUUUAUCGUAAACCAUAGAUACCAAAAAGGAUAAUUAGGGGCAAGUGUUUCUUUGCAAGCAAGUUGAAGAAUAUCUGAUGUCCAAGGGGAAGUUAAAAUAAAUAUACCUGAGGCAGCAAUAACACUUCCAACAGAGUUACCUAUAAGCACAGUUGGCUUCUUAACAACUUCAUCCAAGAAAUCCAAUAUUAGCUGUAUCAGUGAAUCUCACUCAAGUUAGCAAGGAAAAUAACUAAAGGUCAAGCGAUUGAUGACAAAAGAUCCAACUUCUGGCUAGGGAACAUUGCAUACCUGAGCCCAUCCCUCCAUGGUAUAUGAAUAACCAGCUGGCUUAUCUGAAGCACCAAAUCCAAGAAGGUCAAUUGCAUAAACCGUGUAGCUCUUUGCCAGGGUGCCAAUAUUCCUGAAAUUACCUCAGAGAUGACAAGAAAAAUAUCAAUUCCUCACAUUAUUUAAUAGGAUAAAGGAAUGGUGCACAAGCAAAUUUUCAUUCCCCUUUCCAACGGAGCAGUAAAAUGAAUACUUUUUCACUAGAUUAAGAAUCGGAAAAUGGAAGAAGCCUAUAUCCAUAAAAGGGUAAUAUGAAAUGGAACCCUGAAACUCAGAUCACCGGUUUGUCAUCAUCUAGGUGCAUGGAAUAGAACUAGGUGUUAAUGCCAAUGCACCAGGAAAUAACGAAUAGAUUAAUUAUUAGAAGUAUAACACAUAUAAAUGCAUCCCUGAACUUCAUAAUACAUAACAGAGUCAGAGAUAUUACAUACAUAAGGGCAUGACAUGCUCCAUACCAAAAAAAAAUAUAGUCGAAAAUUCCCAGAACGUAAUUUGAAUUGAACUCACAAUAAAGGAGCUACGUUUUUGUGCACCCAAUAAUCAACCCGCUACACAAUUCACAACAAGAAAGAGCAAUCUUAUCUCGCUAACCUGCGCCAGUGAGGAAUGGAGGCACCAAAGCCAUGGACAAGGAGUAGAGGAGGAGAAUUGGGAUGUGAAUUUGGAGUUGAAGAAACCAAGUAAUUGAUGGAGUACUGACCCUUCCAUUUCCAAAUUUUGCAACUCUCCCUUAUCUCAUUAACCUCCAAUUCCAGUGCAGCAGAAGCAGAAUCCCCUCCACUGCUACUGUUAGUAUAACUGAUGGUAACAUUUUGUCUCUUCUUCUUCUCCUUAUUCCUCUGCUGGAACUGCAACUGAAACUGCCAACUCUUAUUGCUCAAUAGGGGCAAGCGUAGGCCUUUUACAUCUCCAUUUCCAUUUCCAAUCCUGAGUGUUGUUAUUGGAAUAAUGAAAGAGGGAGUCCGAGCCCUUACCAUCCACACGCUCAUUCUUUUCUUGCUUUUUCAAUUGAAUAUUUUCUGUGGCCUGGCUUGGCCUGCUCCUUCCCUGCUUCCACCUCUAUGAGACUACUAUGACUCCAAAACUUUUUAUAUAAUUAUUUAUUGGGCUUAUUCCACUAUUAUAUGAAAAUUUUACUGAUAUUCCUCAAAAAUCAAAAUGAUAAUACUUCGUCUGAAACGAAUAUCAGGUGCUUUACUAAAAUACUCCGGGUGAUUGGUAUUUCCGUCCAAUAAUUUUUGCAAACUCAUCCCAUUUUUUAAAAAAUAAUUAUAAAACAUACAUGCUAUGCUUAAAAAUUUUCAAACAAAGAAGAACUUUGUAGAAGUAAUUAACUAAAUUUAUUUUAGUUUACUUUCUCCUGAUUUAGAUUAUUUUAUUAUAGUUGGUUACAAAGAUUGCUUUGUCAUAAAUUUAAAUUGAUUUUUUUACCCUUAUAAGGUAAAACUAUUAAGAAUUUACUUUAACUUUAAUAUUUUUCUAAUUUUGUACCAAACUCAUUGUUUCUAAUACUAUUUUAUUAGUAUGAGUUUUAAUCUUUAAUUAAGCUAAAAUAGUAUCUUUAGGGCAUGAUACUCGUGUAAAUUAUUGGGAUGUCAAUUUUAUGUAAUUUACACAUAAAAGUAAAGAAAAAACAAUUAAAUUUUAUUUAAAAAUAUUAGAUUAUAAGCUAGAUACAUAAAUUAUUAGAUACAAUAACUCAUGUUUAUUAUGGUAAUUUAGUCGCUAUAUAUCAUAAUAAUAAAAUACUAAAAUAAAACUUGUAUUAAAGUUUUAUGAUUAAAGAUGGUCAAAAAACCCAAGAAAAAAUUAAUAGAAGGAUUUAACUGAUUAACUAUACAAAAUUUUUAUUAAUUUGUAUUUUUUUUUAAAUAUUGUGAAUUCAUUGCAAUUAGUUUCUAGAAGUAGGGUGAAUUUACAAAAAUAGUGGGGUGCAAAUACCCUUACCCAAAUACUCCAUAAAAAGUGAAAACUAUUACCUUUUUUUGAUGUACUUCUCUUGAAUUUUUUAUUUCUAAGGAUAAAGUUUAAUUCAUUCCCAAAUAAAAUGAUAAUCUCUAAUUUGCUCUCAAUGUAAACCUCAAUUUAUUCUUCAUUUCCGUCCAAAAGAUGAGGGGCAAAUAAGGAAUGUGUUGAUGUUUUUCUUUUUGUUUUAAUCUUCUUAACAAUAAAUGGGGUAACUUGAUAUUUUUUAUACUUUUAGGUGAUAAAUUAAAGAUUUUCAUUUUAAAUUGGGGCCAAAUUAAAAUCUAUCCUAUUUCUAAAGGCACCACGUGAUUUGGCAAAAUAACUAUAAAGAUAUUUUGUUUUUAGAAAAUGUCACACAUGUCUCUUUUGAGAUACACAAACUCUUUUUUAGCUAAAAGAUUGGGAUUUGUGUGAUUAUUUCUGAACCAAAAGGUUUGUGUUUUAAAAAAAAUGAUUAUGUGACUGUUUUGCCUAACCAAGAGGGUCAUUAUUCAAACACCAAUCACAUUUUUGUUUUAAAACACCCUUUCAUUUAUUCUUUAAGCUUUUUUUUUCCCAAAAAAUGAUGAAUAGAUAUUGAAAAUUUUGUUUUCAUUUUUUUUAUUGAAAAAAAUGAAAAACACCAAAUAUUACUGCUUCCUUGUCCAUACUGUUUUUCGUCCUAUAUUACCUUAAUUUUAUAUCGUUUUCUCUAUUUCUACUUUUAUAGUCCAAUUCUGAAAAUACACUAUUAGACACAUUUUUAAAUUGAAAAACACAAAACAUAGUGCAUCAUUUUCAUUAUAAGCAUUAACACCAGACGUACACAUUCUCCAAAUGGGACUAAAAAUGGUGACUCCUUCAGAAAUGAAGUUGUACAAUUAGUUUGAAUUGAGUCGAUACAGAGACGUCUCCAUUGCGUCAUCUAUUCAACUGUCUUGUGCAACCUUAUUCUGUACUAGUAGGAUUCCUCAUUGGCCAAGUAUAUGCAUAGUUGCUGGUUUAUUAACCCCAAAACACCCUCCACUUAAUUCAAGGUCUUAAAGAGAAGUCCAAUCUUACAGGUUCGUUAACAUUUUAAAGGUAAGUUUUAUCUUGUAACAUUCACACAAAAUUUAUAAUCAACUGGGGCGAAAAUUUUGAAAAUACUAUGAUUAGCACAACCAUUUCAACAAUAAAGGAUGUAAUAAAAGCUCAUUAAGUUUAAACUUGAAAGGAAAAUCAGGGCAAGGUCAUUUCUUUAAAGAGAAUAAGGCAAGAUGAUGCACGGCAUGAAAUACCUGUGACCAAGCCUCAAAAGAUUCAUCAAGCCCAGUAUUUUGCUUGCCCUCGGCAUAAUUACACUUGCCCUCGGACAAUGGAAGUAUUCAAUUUAACUACAUAAAUAUCAGCCGGAGCAUAAUUACACUUGGCUCCCUAACGAAUAAUGCUGGAGCUCGGACAAUACGAGUAUUCAAUUUAUCAGUUGUGGAGUGCAUAAGAGGAUUACAUCUAUCAAAUACUAUCCGGCCCCCUCGGCCAAUUCUUCCAUGAAAUUUGUGAGUUCGUGCUAUAGUGCCAUUCCUCGUAGAAGAAUCUGACGGCGGAACAAUACCUGCAGCGUCCAAUUUUUCUGGCACAAGGGGUUUUGUGAACCACAAAACUGGCUCGAGAGGAUCCUGAAACCCCACAGCCAUGAGGAUUGUCUCACAAGUCUUUCAAUUUCCCUCUCUUUAGGCCAGAGACCAGUAAACCAUUUGAAAUAUGGAUGUGCAAACCAGUAAAUAAAUCAUGAAGUUACACACUAGUCUGCUUUCGCACUCAUUCAGAUCUAUCAAUGAUACUUACUGCAGGUACAGUGUAUACAUUAUACUAAAGUGAAGGCUGGAUCAAUAAGAAAUUCAAAAUGUUUCAUCACAUUUGGGGCUUGAUGAUGCCAAAAAAAGACCAUGCCAAUUAUGAUGAACAGUAAAAUGUGAACAAGAACAAGCAUACAUUUAAGAAAGCAGAGAAGCAUCAUUAAAAUAAAGUAUUCUUCUUACUAUUCUAUGUUGUUGGAAAAUGGACCAAAAUAAAAAAGAAACCAUAUAUGGUUAACUGUCACAACAAGAGUAUUUGUGCAUUUGUACAUUCAUAGGAUAUUGGGAAGACAUCAGCAGAGAAGUGCAAAUUCUUUUUUUUUUUUUUUGAGGAAAGGAACGGAGAAGUGCAAGUCAAAAAGGAGAAAAAAUGAAAACAGAGAGAUCAAAAGGAAUGCGAUCUAAUUAAUUGUCUAAGGAGACUACUAUGCUACAUUUAGCCAUUGGUUGAAUAGGCAGCUUGUUUUCUAGUACAACUUUAAAUUUUCCAAGAUUUAGAAUUUUCCUACUGAAGAAAACUAAUUUCUAAAGCAGCUAUUACCAUCUUCAUCCCAACAGUAAGCAGCUCCAUACUAAGGAAAGAGUGAAAUAAGUUUGCUUUACUUAUAGAAGCCCAUUCCUGUCCAGAGUGAUUAGUAAGUUGUUUCACCAUGACCCCCAUUAUGGUGACUGAAAAAAGAAAAAUAAAAGAAGAAAAUAUUUGCCGAACACAAUAGUAGCACCUAAGAAGUCCUACUUAGGAGGCUUCAUACCCUGCACAAAUCAGAAAGUUUUUUAAAAUUUUCAUGUUUCAAAUGAAUGUUUAAAAUUUUCAUGUUUCAAUUAAAAAAAAAAAAAAAAAAACAAGGAUAACCCAGAAACAAUCCAACCAUCAAUAACAUAAAACUUUUGUAAUUCUGGUCAAGUGAAUGAGAAGAAGAACAUACAUUUCACGUAAUAAUGAAGAUACGUCUUUUAAUCAGUCUUUGCUCUUAAUUUAUUCUCGUACUUCCUUCCAAUAACAAUUCAUAAUGCAGGUAGGUAUCUUGAAAAAUUAUAUCAUACAUUUCUCUUAUCAAUGGGGCAGGUUGCUAUUGAACAUUAUUCAUAAACAAAGAGCCAAAUAUGCUUUAAAGCUACUUAAAAAUAAGCCAUCAGGCACUGACGCAGACACUCAACAACAAAAAACAGACUUAUUAUAUUUGUUGCACAAAUAAGAAAGAAGAUAACAAUUUUAAAUUAACCAACAGGUUUUAUCGUAAUACACACUAUCAGCUAUGAAUUAGCAUACCUUUAGAAGUCCUGAACUCAUUCACGGCCAUUCGAAGAGAAUCAUCCG